rnacentral:lncRNA from 1 species
AGAAUAGAAGCAUUUUGAAUUCGCCAAAAGAAGGAAUAAAUAGAUGCAUUUUCAAGCGGCUUUGGCCGGGGCGGGUGUAGGGGUAGAAGAAAUUAGCUUGCAUGUAUCGCGACACUUGUUAUCUGAGCUAUCCUUUUCCUUUGCGCAAUGCUUGAAGCAAUCGAUGUCUUGCUCUAUGGCUUUCUUAUUGGUGGGGGUGGCCAUGAUGUAGCCAAAUCUCGCAGCCAUGUAUGGGCAGUCGACGUAGCAGUGGUCGGUGCAAGUAGGAUCCAUGCAUGCCUUGUCGCAGUCGGCGCCACAUUGGGUAGAAUAGUCCUUGACAGUCUUGUCGCCUGGGCAGCCACCAUGCUUGUCGACGGAUUCUUUCAAGGCAUCCUGCCCUCCAGAAGUUUCUAGAUUAAAGACUUCUUCCUUCUUUUCCCCGACCUCGGCGAGCUCCGUGAACAAGCGCUCGAUGAAGGUGACGCUGCUUGCCUUAGUGCUGCAUGCCUUGUCGACCAUGGCGGUGCACGUGGCGUCCUUUUUUAUCCCUUGCCACAGAGCUUGGAGUACUCGAUGAGGCAGGUGGGAGUAGCCUUCUCAUGCCCCGAGUCCACCAACACAGGUGAUGUGGCCGCCGCCACCACAAGGGUGAUGACGAGCAGCGACUCGGCCUUGCGCUUGGCAUCCAUCUUGUUGUCGAUUUCUCUUUGAUAGUUGGACCACCAACACUAGUGUUGAUCGAGAUACUUGCAUUGCAUUACAUUUAUAUAGGCGAUGACCCAGGGUCGGGGCAAGUGGUAUGAUAGUGAGGCCAUCAGCCAUUGGAGCUCCAUAGACGCUAAAUUUGGCGAAUGCAUUUUUACAAAACCGGCCAAAACAUCCACCCGACCGAGGUCCAAUUUCUAUUUAGGGAGCAAGAUCUAAUUUUAGUACUAAAGGCAUUCAUAUAUGUGUGAGGUGUGUAUUUUCUACUUAUGUAUUUUAAGAAAAAUCCUCGAAUUUUCUAUAGACGGAAAUUAGGUGUGGUAUGCAUGUGUUGUUGCUAAAUUCAGCUUGCUAGUCCUCCUUUCCUGACUGAGACCGUCCCCUGGUCGUGAAGUGAUGUGACACUCCUCCUCUCUUGGAUGAUACCUCCUAUUUCGUGCCUAGGCACUCGCGAAUUAAAAAUUGAGCAACCGAAACUUCUAAUGGGAUAUCGUGCAUAUGAAAACUAUUUGUCACCUAUUUCAAAGAAAAAAUAUGUAUUCUAUAUUAAAGAACUGUGGUCGAAAUUUGAAAAGAAUCAUUGCAUAUUUGACAUUGUGUGAAUUUCCUAUUAGAGGUAUGGAAAUUUUGUAACAAAAUAUGGUCAUCACAUAUUUUAAUAUUCUCAUAGUUUAAUUAAAAUUGUUCAUUGGGUAAGAAAGUCAUCAAGUUAUUAAAACAUCGAAAAGGGAAAAAAUCUAAGAAAUGAAAAGCUGGAAAUGAAAACAUGGUCAUCUGGUACUAAAAGAUAAUAUGAUAAAAGACAACAUUGUCAAAAAUAAGGAAAAGAAAACUAAGGGUAAAACAAAAAUACAAGAAAUAAGUAGGAGGAUGAAGAUAGAAAAUAAAACAAAAACAUCACAAAUAGAGAAGCACAGAAAAUAAAGGGAGCAAAAAAGUACUAGAGCAGCAACUGCUAAGUGCGCAAAAUAACUAUUAUGUGCACUAUGAGCGGAAUAGAAUUCUUACAAUUGGAUGGCUUACUCGAUGGGAGACCCUAUACAGUGACCUACCUGCUAGAAACUCUAAAAUCACUUGUUAAGGGAUAUCCUUUGUAAAGGUCACCAUCAUCUUGUUAGGCUCUUACAUGUUGUGCAUUGCAUGUGCGCCACUUGUCGCACCGAGAUGUCCUUUUUUUUGUAGAUUUGUUUGUUUAAAAUGUUUAUCUCUUGAACCAUGCAUCUAAAGCCAUAGUUGGUUUCACUGUUGGAUUUGCCACGUCAAGAUUUUCAAAACUAGAUCACAUGUUAAUAGAUUUUGAAUAAAACCUCACAAAAACCUAAAAAACAGAAACCUAAAAACAAAAAAAUUGGGAAAAAAUAAUAACAAAAAAGUUUGAAAAAAACUGAACCCGAAAACAGGAUUGUGGUUUUCACUUUUUUUCUCUUUUCGAGGAUCACAUUUUUAUCCCGAGUUGUGAUUCUCGUGCAACCAAAUAUGUGCUUCCGCGAGAAAUAAAAUUGUGCUUUUCAUAGAGGCAAUUUUUUUCAUUUUUUCGAAGAAGCAAAAGAAGUAUGUUCUUCCACAAGAGGCGAAUAGUGUUUCUUGUGGACGUAGUUGUGUUUCUCUUAAAAAUAAAUCUUUGCUUCCCUUGGAAGCACUGUUUUUGUCCUUUUCCAAGAAGCACACAUGUUUCAGAAAAAUCAAAUAACAUUCACAAAUUACUAGAAAGUAAACAUUUAAUAAAUAUUGUUUGCAAUUUUCAAAAAAUAAUUAGAGUCCAAGAACAUUUUUUUAUUUGGGAAUAAAUUUUGAGUUAAUGUUCUUUUUCAAGCGUGCGAACAUUUUCAUGAAUUAAUGCACAUUUUUAUGAAUUCAUCAUAAUUUUUGAAUUCAUGUUUUUUUCUGAAUUCAUAACCAUUUAUUUGGAUUCAAGAAUGUUCAUUUGAAUUUAUCGACAUUGUUCUGACUUAAAAACCGACCUAGAUAAAAAAAGUAGGUAAAAAACUAAUCUAAGAAAAAGCAGGUGUGAAAAAAGAGUAUGUGUGUUGGGACCCUGAUCCUAAGUCAUACAAUUCCAGCUUGUAACACAUUAUAUCACUUUGUGGCCUCAUGCAUGAUACUCACCACGGCUGCCACCUUUCCUUGGCCGGGACCGUUUGCGUAUUUUGGCUCACGUAUAUGACUAUGUCGCCAACAUUCAUAUGUCAGAAAACCCGGAUAGACAUGGCUAGCUUUAAACCCAAGUGGCACAUCCGUACAGGAACAUGCAUACAUAACCCAACAAAGCAAGUGUCGGUCAACAACGUAGAGGCAAUAAUAAAAUGGUUAUUAUCAUAUUUCCUUGUUCAUGAUAAUUGUCUAUUGUUUAUAAUAUAAUUGUAUUGACAGGAAACAUUAAUACAUGUGUGAAUAAAUAGAUCACAAUGUGUCCCUAGCAAGCCUCUAGUUGGCUAGCUCGAUGAUCAAUAGAUGGUCGUGGUUUCCUGAUCAUGGACAUUGGAUGUCAUUGCUAACGGGAUCACAUCAUAGGAGAAUGUUGUGAUGGACAAGACCCAAUCCUAAGCAUAGCACUAGAUCGUUUUGUUCGUAUGCUAAAGCUUUUCUAAUGUCAAGUAUCUUUUCCUUCGACCGUGAGAUUCUGCAACUCACAGAUACCGUAAGAGUGCUUUGAGUGUAUCAAACGUCACAACGUAACUGGGUGACUAUAAAGGUGCACUACGGGUAUCUCCGAAAGUAUCUCUUGGGUUGGCACGAAUCGAGAUCGGGAUUUGUGACUCCGUGUGACGGAGAGGUUUCUCUGGGCCCACUCAGUAGAACAUCAUCAUAAUGAGCUCAGUGUGACUAAGUAGUUAUUCACGGGAUGAUGUGCUACAGAACGAGUAAAGAGACUUACCGGUAACGAGAUUGAACAAGGUAUAGGGAUACCGACGAUUGAAUCUCGGGCAAGUUCUAUACCGACAGACAAAGGGAAUUGUAUACGGGAUUGAUUGAAUCCUUGAGAUCGUGGUUCAUCCGAUGAGAUCAUCGUGGAACAUAUAGGAGCCACCAUGGGUAUCCAGAUCCCGCUAGUGUUUAUUGGCCGGGGAGGUGUCUCGGUCAUGUCUGCAUGCCUCCCGAACCCGUAGGGUCUACACACUUAAGGUUCGAUGAUGCUAGGGUAGUAGGGAAUUGUUAUACGAGGUUACCGAAGGUUGUUCAGAGUCCCGGUUGAGAUCCCGGACAUCACGAGGAGCUCCGGAAUGGUUCGGAGGUAAAGAUUGAUAUAUAGGAUGGAUGGGUUUGGAUGCCAGAAAUGUUUCGAGCACCACCGGCAACGUGUCGGGACCACCGGAAAGGUUCCAGAGGCCCACCGGGAGGGGCCACCAGCCCCGGGAGGCUACAUGGGCUAAGUGUGAGAGGGAACCAGCCCCUGGGUGGGCUCGUGCGCCGCCACACCCAGCCCAAGGCGCCAAGAGAGGGAAGGGGGAACCCUAAGUCAGGUGGGCCUUAGGCCCACCAGGGGGUGCGCCACCCCCUCCUCCCCUCCUGGCCACCACCUCCUGCCCCAUCUAGGGUUGCCGCACUCCUUAGGGGUGGGAACCCUAAGGGGGGCGCCACCCUGCCCUUCCCCCUAUAUAUAGUGGGGGUUUUGGCCAUUGGAGACAUGUAAAUUUCUCUCUCUCUCGGCGCAGCCCUCCUUCUCUUCUUCCUCGUGUCCCACGGUGCUUGGCGAAGCCCUGCGGGAGACCUUGUUGCUCCAUCGCCACCACGCCGUCGUGCUGCCGGAGCUGUUCCCCAACCUCUCCCUCCUCCAUGCCGGAUCAAGGUGCGGGAGACGUCACCGAGCUGCACGUGUGUUGAACGCGGGGGUGUUGUGGUUCGACACUAGAUCGGAAUCACACCAUGAUUUGAAUCGCAACGAGUACGACUCCAUCAACCGCGUUCUAGCAACGCUUCCGCUUAGCGAUCUUCAAAGGUAUGAAGAUGCUCUCACCCCUCUCUUGUUGCUGGUUUCUCCAUAGGAAGAUCUUUAUAUGGCGUAGGAAAAAUUUUGAAUUUUGCUACAUUACCCAACAAAUAGGCCGAGAGGGGUUGAGUUACCGGAACUCAAUGUGCGGUAGUAGCUAGUCUUGGCACACCAACACAAGAUCUCGGGUGGUGAGUGCGACGUAAGUGAGACAACCCACCAUGUACUCCUACAUGGCCUCUCAUCGCUGGCUUUACCGAAAGAGGUUCACAUACUUAACCCUCAUCAGUAGGACAUGAUCAUUCCAAUUCAUCACCCAGAUGAUCAAACCAGCUCAACUCUAAGCAUAGCAAGCAUAACAGGGUAAUGGCACAACAUGUCUCAUGCAUCUACUAGGUAUGCUAGGUUUCUUGGUUUAGCUCUUUACUGUAACAAUGACAUAUCAUGCAAAGGAAUGGGUUCAUCUACCGAAACACAAGUAGCAGUUGAAUUAUCUUGUCCUAAUGUAUUGAAACGAGAGCAAGAGCGAUAGAGUGCGAUUUCAUUGGUCAGAAGAACUCAACUAUUCUUUGAUGUCAGUGAUAAAUACAUCUCACAAGUCUAUCAACAAGAUCAAACAAGGAAGAAUUUAGGCACGGAAAAUGCUUCACAAUGAUGCAUGACUUUGGCAUGUUAACAUGAUUCUGUUUUUGUCUAAUGCAGGUGGUCAUAAGUUAAAUGGAAGUUAUUUGAUCAUUAUAGAUCAAUUUCAAACCCAUUUAUAAGCAUUCAUAUGUCUUUAUUGAAAUUUUCAUAUUCAACAAGUUUAAGUUGUUCAAACAGUCAUGAAAAUGGUACCAUCCUAUUCCUUGCAUUUUUCGAUAACUUUUCAUAAAUAAUUUACUUCAUUUGGAGCUAUGGUUGAAUUUCUAUGAACUUUUGAAGUUUUGAACAUUUUCUAGAAUUAAAUAAAUCCAGAAAUGGUUUACUGCGUCAGCAAGUCAACCGACCAAGUUCCAGGUCAAACCUGACCAGUAGGGGCCACUGGUCAGUGACCCAGGGCUAAUCCCCGCACUGACCCGCCCUAAUUGGGGGUUUGACCACCUGCGGGCCCGCUGGUUUGUGGCUGAUGGGGGCAAUUUGGACUAAUGGCCACGCCACGUGGGCGCCCAUCGGGGUUUGGCCGACGGCGACCGAAUACGUAGCGGGGGCUCACCGGAGUUGCCCUAAUAGGCGCUACAGAGCACGGAUCCAGGCGCUAAGAGCACUAGGAUGAAGCCCAGGCUUGACCUCACCCAGCAGGAUUUGGCGCCGACGAUAAGUUGGGCGGCCGGAUUUGGCGCCGACGAUAAGUUGGGCGGCGUCAGUGGCGCGGGCUCAGCGGAAGCUGCAGCUAGGGGCACGGGAGGACCACAGGGAUAGAGGAAUGGGCUGUGCGGCUCACCACGAUGAGGAUAGAGCCAACGACGACCUCAGGGAGGCCUUCUAGCUGGCGAAUCGGUGACGAGGUUGUCGGCGACUGGAGGUUGAAGACGACGUCGCUGGCGGCGAUGCAGGGGCGUCCGAGCUCAAUUAUUCCAGCGAGGAAGAGCAUUCGUGUUGGCGGAGGCGAUGAGCAGGUCAGGGGGGCGUAGAAGUGACGAUGGCCGUGGUGGUGCCCGAUGGUGACGGCAGCGCGCUCUGGUCCGAGGGAGAGGGAGCAGAGGGAUAGGAAGAAAGCGAGAGGGAGAGACCAGAGGGGAUAAGGGAGAGGGCAUCGGGGCCUCCGUGGCGUCGCUAGAAGGAGGACUGAGCCACGACGAAGCAGGAGGUGGCCGAGGCUCUCGGGUGCACGCCACGCCUCUCCUCUGCCUACUGGCUGGAGGUAGAAGACGGGGCUGCCCCUGGGGGCUGGGCUAGCCAGGUAAGUGGCGAGGUUUGUUCUUUCUCCUUUUUUCUAGUUCAUUUCUUUUCUACUUUCUGAUAUAUUUUUUUGGCUUUUUAUAUAAAUAUAAAACCAUUUGUAAAUUUAUCUUGAUAACAGUCAUGUGGGCUACAUCUGCAUGAUACGUCCAUUUUGCAUCAUGCUUUCAUGUUGAUAUUUAUCGCUUCUUGGCCUGUUAUUUCACUUCACGGUACAAUACUUAUGCCUUUUCUCUCUUAUUUUGCCAGGUUUACAUGAAGAGGAAGAAUGCUGGCAGCUGGAAUUCUGGCCUGAAAAUGGAGCAAGUUUGAGAUACCUAUUCUGCGCAACUCCAAACACCGUAAAAAUAAACGAGGAUUUUUUCGGGAUUUAUAAAAAAUACUAGGCCGAAGAAGUGUGAGAGGGGCGCUAGCAGGUGGCCACAGCCUGCUAGGUGCGGCCACCCCCCUGGCCGCGCCUAGGGGGCUUGUGGGCACCCAUCUGGCCCUCUGGCCCCCCUCUUCUGCUAUAUGAAGGGUUUCGUUCUAAAAAAAAUCAGGAGGAGGCUUUUUUGAGGAUUCGCUGCCGCCACGAGGCGGAACUUGAGCAGAACCAAACUAGAGCUCCACGAGGACGAUCCUGCCGGGGAAACUUCCCUCCCGGAGGGGGAAAUCGUCGCCAUCGUCAUCACCAACACUCCUCUCAUCGGAGGGGAAUCGUCACCAUCAACAUCUUCAUCAGCACCAUCUCAUCUCCAAACCCUAGUUCAUCUCUUGUAACCAAUCUCUGUCCCGCGACUCCGAUUGGUACUUGUAAGGUUGCUAGUAGUGUUAAGUACUGUUUGUAGUUGAUGCUAGUUGGAUUACUUGGUGGAAGAGUUUAUUUUCAGAUCCUUGAUGCUACUCAUUACCUCUCUGGUCAUGAAUAUGAUAAUUCUUUGUGAGUAGUUAUCUUUGUUCCAAAGGACAUGGGAUAAGUCAUGCUAAUAGUAGUCAUCUGAUUUGGUAUCCGUUCGAUAUUUUGAUGUGUUGUAUGUUGUUUUUCCUCUAGUGGUGUUAUGUGAACGUCGACUACAUAACAUUUCACCAUUAUUUGGGCCUAGAGGAAGUCAUUGGGAAGUAGUAAGUAGAUGAUGGGUUGCUAGAGUGACAUAAGCUUAAACCCUAGUUUAUGCGUUGCUUCGUAAGGGGAUGAUUUGGAUCCACUAGUUUAAUGCUAUGGUUAGAGUUUGUCUUAAUUCUUCUUUAGUAGUUGCGGAUGCUUGCGAGAGGGGUUAAUCAUAAGUGGGAUUCUUGUCCAACUAAGGGCAGUACCCAAGCGCCAGUCCACCCACAUAUCAAACUAUCAAAGUAACAAACGUGAAUCAUGUGAACAUGAUGAAAACUAGCAUGACAGAAAUUCCCGUGUGUCCACGGGAGAGUUUUUCCUCCUAUAAGACUUUGUCCAGGCUGGUUCGUUGCUACAAAAGGAUUGGGCCACUUUGCUGCACCGUUGCAACUUUUGUUACUUGUUGCUUUCUACGAAUCAUCUCACCACACAAUCACUUGUUACCGAUAAUUUCAGUGCUUGCAGAUAUUUCCUUGCUGAAAACCACUUGUCAGAUCCUUCUGCUCCUCGUUGGGUUCGACACUCUUACUUAUCAAAAGGACUAUGAUAGAUCCCCUAUACUUGUGGGUCAUCAAGACUCUUUUCUGACGCCGUUGCUGGGGAGUGAAGCGCCUUUGGUAAGUGGAACUUGGUAAGGAAGCAUUCAAAUAGUGUGCUGAAAUUUAUUGUCACUUGUCACUAUGGAAACUAAUCCUUUGAGGGGCUUGUUCGGGGUAUCUUCACCUCGAACAAAAUCACAAAGAGUUGCUUCUCAACCUGCUGCACCUACUGAAAAUAUUUGCUUUGAAUUUCCUUCGGGUAUGCUUGAGAAACUGCUGGCUAAUCCUUUUGCAGGAGAUGGAACAUCACAUCCAGACAUGCAUCUAAUCUAUGUAGAUGAAGUUUGUGGUUUAUUUAAGCUUGCAGGUUUGCCCGAGGAUGAGGUCAAGAAGAAGGUCUUUCGUUUAUCUUUGAAGGAUAAGGCGUUGACAUGGUAUAGGCUACGUGAUGAUACUCGAUCAUGGAACUACAAUCGGUUGAAAUUGGAAUUUCAUCAAAAGUUUUAUCCUAUGCAUUUAGUACAUCGUGAUCGGAAUUAUAUUUAUAAUUUUUGGCCUCGUGACAGAGAAAGCAUCUCUCAAGCUUGGGGGAGGCUUAAAUCAAUGUUAUAUUCAUGCCACAACCAUGAGCUCUCGAGAGAAAUUAUCAUUCAGAACUUCUAUGCUCGGCUUUCUCAUGAUGAUCGCACCAUGCUUGACACUUCUUGUACCAGUUCUUUUAUGAAGAGAUAUAUUGACUUCAGAUGGAAUUUAUUGGAGAUAAUUAACCGCAACUCUGAAGAUUGGGAGCUUGAAGAAGGUAAGGAGUCAUGUAUGAAUUUCCAGUUUGAUUGCGUUAAAUCCUUUGUUGAAACAAAUACUUUGUGUGACUUUAGCGCUAAGUAUGGACUUGACUGUGAGAUAGUAGCUUCAUUGUGUGAAUCAUUUGCUGCUCAUAUUGAUCUCCCCAAAGAUAAGUGGUUUGAAUAUCAUCCACCUUUAGAAGUCAAUGUAGUUAAACCCAAUCCAGUUGAAGGGAAAGUCAUUGCCUAUAGUGAUCCUAUUGUUCCCAGUGCUUACAUUGAGAAACCACCUUUCCCUGUUAGGAUAAAGAUUCAUUCUAAAGCUUCAACUCUGAUACAUAGAGGCUACUAGAACACCUACACCCCAGAGAAAAUUAGAGUUGAACCUAGCAUUGCUAUUAUCAAAGAUCUCCUGUCCGACGAUGUUGUGGGACAUAAUAUUCACUUCUGUGAAGAUGCUUCUAGAAUUGCUAAACCUCACGCUAGAGACAAACAUAGGCCUGUUGUUGGCACGCAUGUUGUUUUUGUUAAGAUAGGAGAUUAUUGUUAUCAUGGUUUAUGUGACGUGGGUGCCAGUGUUAGUGCAAUACCUCAAUCCUUAUACGAUGAAAUUAAAGACGAGAUUCCACCUGUUGAGAUAGAGCCUAUUGAUAUCACUAUUCAGCUAGCCAAUAGAGAUACUAUCUGCCCUGUGGGAAUUGUUAGGGAUGUCGAAGUCUUGUGUGGUAAAACGAAGUAUUCUGCUGAUUUCCUCGUUCUUGCUACCGCACAAGAUUGCUUUUGUCCCAUCAUAUUUGGCAGACCUUUUCUCAAUACUGUCAAUGCUCAUAUUGAUUGUGAGAAGCAAACUGUUACUGUUGGCUUUGAAAGUGUGGCACAUGAUUUCAAUUUCUCCAAGUUUGGUAGACAACCUCAUGAAAAGGAGUUACCUAGUAAGGAUGAAACUAUUGCCUUCACUUCUAUUGUCGUGCCUCCUACUGAUCCAUUGGAGCAAUACUUGCUUGAACAUGAAAAUGAUAUGCAUAUGGAUGAAAGGGAUGAGAUAGAUAGAGUUGUCUUAGAACAAUAUCCUAUCAUUAAGAAUAAGUUGCAUGUUGAACUGCUUGGGGAUCCGCCCCCGCUAAAGGGUGAUCCUGUGUUCGAGCUUAAACAGUUGCCUGAUACUAUUAAGUAUGCUUAUCUUGAUGAAAAAGAGAUAUAUCAUGUUAUAAUCAGAGCAUGAAGAAAAGAAGUUACGAAAUCUGUGAGAAAGCACCGUGCUGCAAUUGGAUAUACUCUUGAUGAUCUUAAUGGCAUUAGUCCCACUUUAUGCAAGCACAAGAUUAAAACUAAUCCUGAUUCCAAACCAGUUGCUGAUCAUCAACGGAGACUAAAUCCUAAGAUAAAAUAGGUAGUAAGAAAAGAAAUACUAAAGCUCCUGGAAGCAGGUAUUAUCUAUCCUGUUGCUCAUAGCGAUUGGGUGAGUCCGGUGCAUUGCGUCCCGAAGAAGGGAGGCAUUACCGUUGUCCCUAAUGAUACGGAUGAAUUGAUCCCAUAGAGGAUUAUUACUGGCUAUAGGAUGGUGAUCAAUUUUAGGAAAUUGAAUAAAGCCACUAGGAAAGAUCAUUAUCCUUUGCCUUUUAUCGACGAAAUGCUAGAAAGACUGUCUAAACACACAUACUUCUGCUUUCUAGACGGUUAUUCUGGUUUCUCCCAAAUACCAGUUGCACAGUCUGAUCAGGACAAAACCACUUUCACCUGCCCUUUCGGUACCUUUGCUUAUAGACGUAUGCCUUUUGGCUUAUGUAAUGCACCUGCCACCUUUCAAAGAUGUAUGAUGGCUAUAUUCUCUGACUUCUGUAAAAAUAUUGUUAAGGUUUUCAUGGAUGACUUCUCCAUUUACGGGUCUUCUUUUGAUGAUUGCUUCAGCAACCUUGAUCGAGUCUUGCAGAGAUGUAAAGACACCAAUAUUGUCUUGAACUGGGAGAAGUGCCAGUUUAUGGUCAAUGAAGGCAUCGUCUUAGGACAUAAGAUUUCUGAAAGAGUUAUUGAAGUCGAUAAUGCUGAAGUUGAUGCAAUCGAGAAAAUGCCAUACCCCACAGAUAUCAAAGGUAUAAGAAGUUUCCUUGGUCAUGUUGGUUUCUAUAGAAGGUUCAUUAAAGACUUCUCUAAGAUUUCUAGGCCUCUUACCAAUCUCUUGAAAAAGGAUAUUCCUUUUGUUUUUGACGAUGAUUGUGAGGAAGCCUUCGAAAUACUUAAGAAGGCUUUGAUAAGUGCACCUAUUGUUCAACCACCUGAUUGGAACCUACCUUUUGAGAUCAUGUGUGAUGCUAGCGAUUAUGCUGUUGGUGUUGUCCUAGGGCAAAGAGUUGACAAGAAGUUGAAUGUUAUUCACUAUGCUAGUAAAACUCUAGACAGUGCCCAGAGAAACUAUGCCACUACGGAAAAGGAGUUCUUAGCAGUUGUGUUUGCAUGGGAAAAGUUCAGGUUUUACAUAGUUGAUUCCAAAGUCACUAUUCACACUAAUCACGUUGCUAUUAAGUACCUCAUGGAGAAGAAGGACGCUAAACCUAGACUUAUCAGAUGGGUUCUCUUGCUACAAGAAUUUCAUUUGCACGUUGUCGACAGGAAGGGUGCUGAUAACCCCGUAGCAGAUAACUUGUCUAGGUUAGAGAACGUUCUUGAUGACCCACAACCUGAUGUUAGCUUUCCUGAUGAGCAACUGAAUGUCAUCAAUACUUCACGUAGUGCAUCGUGCUAUGCUGAUUAUGCAAACUAUAUUGUCGUGGGUAUAAGCGUGACAAUGGAUGUGUAGGGUACGAAUGAGAUGGGCAGAGUCCUAGCUACGACGAGGUUGUAUGAGUUCAGGCCCCUCUGCGGUGGAGGUAACAGCCCUACGUCUUAGUGCUCUCGGAGCUUGUUACCGAGUGUAAUAUGGAAUACAGUGAUUUGCUAACCCCUUGACCAGUGGGGGAGGGCGGCUUAUAUAGAGUGCGCUCCCCUCCACAACGGUUCUGACUCAGGGGUGGAGUAGUGGCGAUUGAAUGCAUACGUUACAGGUAACGUAUGCUCUAAAUGCUAAUAAACGCACCCGGAAACGUACGGCAGUUUACCUCCAGAGAGAUACGAUGUACCGAGUGUAUCCAGUCGGUUGGCCUGGUGCCCUCUGAAUGCUAGUCUCCGACUAGAUAAUUCUGGGCCUAUUACCGACUGGAUGAUGGGGACUCCUUAAUUCAGUCGGGGCAGACUUAAGGUCCUCUCCUUUGUGUGGGGUAGUCCUCGGGUAGGACAUGUAGGGCAGGCCUAUGACCCUACCCUAGGACUAUGACCCCAUCAUUAGUCCCCGAAUGGAUUGGGGUUGAAACGCCGAAGCAGUGCUUGAGGUUCAGAUCCGACUGUACUAGGUUCGCCUUGGGCGUUGCUUGCCUCUAUCCACUUUAUCUCUCCUGACCAGCGCUCCGAGUGGAGGUGCUUGCAAAACAGACUGUCGAGAACCGAGUGCUUCCGUGGCAUCUUUUGACGCGACCGGUCAACUGAUAGCGGCGGAUUUUCCGGGAUCUCAAAUUUCGGGCUCCGCGCGCUCAGCGGGGACGACGUCAGCGCGCUCGAGUAGCGCCUGACUCCUCGAUCCUCGCGCAUUCUACUCCUCCACUGAUAUCGCCGCGGCCGGUCGGGCGGAGAAGAUUUCGGGCCCGCUAGCGACCCAGUCGACGCUCUAUUUAACUCUGGGCGGCGAGACUCCUCGGUUACGCUCGCCGAAUCUUUCGCUCUUGCCUGCUCCGUCUUCCUCGCCACCCCCUGUGCUCAUACACUCCUUCCUUCUCCUCCUUCUCGAGGGCUCGCCGUCGCCUCCAUGACCAAAGGUCUGACCAGCAAGAUGGAGGCGAGGAAGAAGAAGAACAAGGCGGCGGCUGCUCAACGGCGGCAGCGGCCGUUGCCGGCGGGGUGGUUCCAAGGAGACUUCCUCCCCUCCACGGUGACGGUGGGAUAUCUACUGGAGCUGGUGGAGCACGGAAUGCUCGUGCAUAAGUCCUGGAGGCUGCCGGCGGACGACGAGGUCGAGCCAGCGCCACGGGAGGGGGAGGGCCUCUUGCUCCUCAGCCAUGUUCACAGAGGUUUUUCUUUGCCCCCACAUCCCUUCUUCAAAGGCAUCAUGAAUCACUUUGGUGCUCAACUCCAUCACUUUCCUCCGAAUGCCAUCGCCCAUCUUUCUGCCUUUAUCGUUUCGUGCGAGUGCUUUAUCGGUUGCCCCCCCCAUUGGGGUUUGUUCAAACACAUCUUCUCCGCCCGCUCUCAAACCAUCAAACAUCUUAGUCAGUCGGACGAUAAGAUGCACCUCCUCCAGCUCUGCGGCGGUUUAGGGUUCCAGAAGAAGAGUCGGAGUAGCUAUCCUGCUCUCCAGUUGAGCGAGUCGGUUAGGAACUAGCAGUCGACGUGGUUCUACUGCCAAGACAUCGCCUGCCCGAAUGCAUCGACUGGGCUGCCUCCAUUUAGUCUAGACCGGCCCGCUCCGCCCAAGCAACUCGCGCUCUCGAAGGCCGAGAAGAACGACAUCCAGCCUUUGGUCGAGGCACUCGUGGAUGUCGUCAGGAGGGGGGUCGCCGGCAUAGACCUGCUGGAAAUCUUCCUUGGUCGGCGGAUUCAGCCGCUGCAGGCUCGCGACCACGCUAUGUGGCACUACACAGGGCCCGAGGAUUCCACUCGGACCAACGUAGUGGGCGUACCCGAGGAGAGAGUGACCUCGUGGGUGCUCCAUAUCACGGGCCCUUGUGAGAACCCCAAAGGAGCUCGCCGAGUGAAGCCUUACAGCGUGGACCACCCUCCACCGAAUCAGGUGAGUGACAUGAGCCGAGUGCAUUGAACUGUCUUAAUUCCAGUCACUUGAUUAUAUCUCCGUGUGAUGUCUAAUGUUUCCGACUGAACUUCAUGCAGGCGUGGACGAACUGGUUCUCCCCCAUCUCGAAUGGGAAUCCGGAGGAGGAAGAGGAGGAAGGCAGCCAGGAGGGGAGCGUGGAGAGCGCCGAAUACGUCUCCGACAGCGGGGAGUCGGAGGAGGAGGACAGCGAGGAAGAGGAAGAAGAUGAAUAGCAAGACUCGCCACCUCUGCGGCCAGAGCAUCGGAGCAAGCGCCGGCACGAGCCCGCCGUCCCUUCAGCUCCUCCUGCGUCGUCGAGUGCUCCGCCUGCUGCCCCGGUGGUCCCGAGCGUUCGAGGUACCAAGAGGGCCAGGGACGCAGCCGCUGAGCCCGCAGGCCAGUCUUCCAGGGCGCCCAAGCCGAGUGGGCCCAAACCUCGGAAGGCUCUGCCGCGAAUGAGGGUUGCCAUCCCCGUCACCUCCACGUAAGUGAGUCUAACUUUCGGCUCUUUCUGUUGUCUGAGUGAACUCCUGCUUUAUAAGUCGAAUGGACUUGACUUUCGGCCACUUUUGCAACCUCUCCGGCCGCCAAGGGGACGACCCCAUGGACACGGACAACGUCGUUUCGUCCCAGCCAGGUGUGUUGUAGGAGAGUCGGGUGUUUUAUUCCUGCAGACUGUGCCAUUCUUUCUUUUUCUGAGACGUCGUGUCAUUCGACUUAUCAGGGGCGAUUUGCCUGGACGAGGACGACCAGGGGAGAGCCGACCCCACCGUGGAGCCUCUCCUGGAGCCUGUCCCUGAGGCUGAUCCUCCUGCUGCCACCCUUGUCACCGACGCUCCACCGACCGAAGCGCCUCCACCGACUGAACCGGUGCCGGUGGGGGAGGAACCGACUGGGGCGGACCUUGGGAUGCCCUAGGAACCUCCCACGAUUGCCGGUUCGUCGAAUGUUGAAUUCAGCAUCCGGUGUGUCCCAGAGGAGCAGGUGGGAGCGGCCAAGGGGGCCAUGGUGCAGGCGGAGUUGAUGGCUGGAGAAGCCAAGAGGGCUGACGACUCCGUUGCGGCCUUGUACCAGCGGAGCUUGGAGCUGCGCGAUGAUAUCCGAGUAAGUAGUCUAGUAAGUAUUUACUUUUCUCCUGUAACCCAGUGGGUGUAGUCCCCGAGACUUCUGUCGAGUGCUUGCACCGGCAGUUGUCUUUAUACAUUUUGCCUUUAGUUUGGUUGUGUCCAUAGCCAGUAUUUCCGAGUGCGAGUACUUAUUGCAGUCGGAGCGCUCUUGCGGUAAGAGUCUCCGAGAGUAAGUUGCACGCAGGUCGAGUAGUAUUGGCCUCGGAGGCGUAGGUGAAAACGUGCACCUCAAUAGGGCGGGCCUGCUUUAGGUGCAUGCCAGUGGGGUCACUCUUAGUGAACCCACUGGGUGUAGUCCCCGAGACCGCUGUCAACUGCUUGCGUGGGCAGGGGUCUGAAGAACUUAGCCUGUGAACUAACAAACUUGCUGAUAACCCUGUGUUUCUUGGUGCAGAAAAGUUGUGAAAUGGGAACGACUUAUGAAGCCGUGAGAGCGGAGAGGAACCAGUACGCUGGUGAACUUGAAGCUGCGAUGCUUGCCAUGGCCGGCAUGAAGGAUGCUCUGGAGGGAUGAGAGGAGUCCCUAGAGGAGGCUCGGGAAGCAAACAAAGUGUUGAUAGAGGAAGUGGAGAGACUGAAGAAACAGAGGACUCAGCUGCACAAUCAAAUGGCCAUUCGGAACAGACGAUACAUAGCUCAGGAGAAGUAUGUCAACGACUGGGCUGUGCAGAUGAUGACUCGUCUGGCUGGUAAGUCGUAUGUUCUGCCGAGUGCUUGUACCGUGUGCCGUACACUCGGUUUUUAUUGUCUGCUUGUCCGUUUGUUGCAGAUUUUUGCGGCGACGCUGAAGCUGAAGCGGCGGCUGUGGAGCGGUCCAUUAAGGAGAAUGUGCCACUCAACGAGGACGCCAACCGGGAUCUGCUCCGGGCGCAUAUCCACGUAGGUAAAGUAGGUCCUUUCAUCGGCCGACUGAGAGAAGUCGUCGGCAGAAUUGACAAGGAACUUUGGCCAGAAGACGAGUCGCGGCAGGAGAUGGAGACCCUGAUGGCGCGACUGGAGGAGAUUCCGAGCCGAGUGCAAUCGUGGAAGAAAUCGGCAGCGUGUUGCAGUGCUGAUGUUGCGCUGUCCUUGGUCCGAGUCCAUUGCAAGGAGGUGCGGGAAGAUAAGCUGAAAGCAUUGAAGGUCGCCAACACGAAGAAGCUUCGAUUCGAAGACUUCAUGGAGACGUUCCUUGAGACUCCUACCCGCAUCGCUGAUGGAAUCGACUUGGACACUUUUGUGGAGCCCUCCAGUCCUGGCGCCGGCCCAGCUGACGCGUAAUCAAACUUUAUCCUCAGUAUGCCGAGUGUUUACCUGUAAGAUACUCUCGCCACUUCUGUUGGUUGUCAUACUUUUAAAUCGGUGCGGGUAAGCUUGAUCCACACCGAAUCAGCUAUCGUUUUUGGACUUUUGGAGUCGGAAUGAAAACAUUUAGUAUUUUGUUUGAAUGUUGUUUCGAGUGCAACACUUAGUGCGUACUCGGAGAAGAUUAAUACUUAGGUGAUUCUUGAUCACGUCUAAGUCCCCGAGUGCGACGUGUAGUGCACACUCGGAGGAAGUUAUUACUUAGGUGAUUCUUGAUCACGUCUAAGUCCCCGAGUGCGACGUGUAGUGCACACUGGGAGGAAGUUGGUACUUAGGUGAUUCUUGAUCACGUCUAAGUCUCCGAGUGCGACGUGUAGUGCACACUCGGAGGAGGUGAUUACUUAGGUGAUUCUUGAUCACAGCUAAGUCUCCGAGUGCGACGUGUAGUGCACACUCGGAGGAAGUUAUUACUUAGGCGAUUCAGGAUCGCAGCUAAGUCCCCGAGUGCGACAUAUAGUGCACACUCGGAGGGGGUUAGUACUUAGGUGAUUCUUGAUCACAGCUAAGUCCGCAAGUGCGACGUAUAGUGCACGCUCGGAGAGGGUUAGUACGAAGGCGAUUCAGGAUCACAGCUAAGUCCCUGAGUGUGAUGUAUAGUGCACACUCGGAGGAGGUUAGUACUUAGGUGAUUCUUGAUCACAGCUAAGUCCCCGAGUGUGACGUAUAGUGCACGCUCGGAGGAGGUUAGUACUUAGGCGAUUCAGGAUCGCAGCUAAGUCUCCGAGUGCAACGUAUAGUGCACGCUCGGAGGGAGUUAGUACUUAGGCGAUUCAGGAUCGCAGCUAAGUCCCCAAGUGUGACGUAUAGUGCACACUCGGAGGAGGUUAGUACUUAGGUGAUUCUUGAUCAUAGCUAAGUCCCCGAGUGCGACGUAUAGUGCACGCUCGGAGGAGGUUAGUACUUAGGUGAUUCAGGAUCGCAGCUAAGUCCCCGAGUGUGACGUAUAGUGCACACUCGGAGGAGGUUAGUACUUAGGUGAUUCUUGAUCACAGCUAUGUCCCCGAGUGCGACGGAUAGUGCACACUCGGAGGAAGUGAGUACUUAGGCGAUUCAGGACCGCAGCUAAGUUUUUUUUUUUAUGACCGGAGUCUGCGACCGUGGGAGAACUCUGAGUCUGCACAAAACUGAAUCUGCUGUAUAUAUUAUUUCUUCAAAACUUGUUUGUUACACUGCUUCAGUCGACGAUCACGUAUAAAAACGCUUGAGGAGAUCCCCGUUACAUGCGCGCGGCUCGUCUGUCUCCCUCUGAAUGUUGUAGAGUCGGUAUGCUCCAUUGUUCAACACCUUGGAAAUGAUGAAAGGCCCUUCCCAGGCCGGAGCCAACUUGUGUGGUCUUUGCUGAUCCACUCGGAGCACCAAAUCACCAGCUUGGAAUGUGAGACUCCUGACGUGACGUGCGUGAAAGCGUCGCAGAUCUUGCUGGUAAAUUGUUGAGCGAGUAAGUGCCAUCUCGCGCUCCUCCUCUAGAAGAUCGACUCCAUCUUGCCUUGCUUGUUCUGCUUCGGCUUCGGAGAAGAGUUCGACUCGCGGGGCAUUGUGAAGCAGGUCACUCGGAAGGACCGCUUCUGCUCCAUAAACGAGGAAGAACGGUGAUCGCCCCGUUGAUCUGUUCGGAGUGGUGCGGAGGCCCCAAAGCACUGAAGGUAACUCGGUGACCCAUGCACCAGCAGCAUGUCCUACCUCUCGCAAGAGUCGGGGCUUCAAACCUUGAAGGAUAAGUCCGUUCGCACACUCAGCUUGUCCGUUGGAUUGCGGAUGUGCUACGGAAGCAAAAUCCACUCGGAUACCAUGACUCGCACAGAAGCCUUUGAAUCUGUCCGAGUCGAAGUUUGUCCCAUUGUCUGUGAUUAUGCUGUGAGGUACCCCGAAUCUGGAAAUGAUGUCCUUGGCAAACUUGACAGCUGUUGAGGCAUCGAGUUUCUUGAUGGGCUUGGCUUCUAUCCAUUUUGUAAACUUGUCGACUGCCACCAACAGAUGUGUGUAGCCUCCUUGGCCUGUCUUGAAUGGUCCGACUGUGUCUAGACCCCAAACUGCAAAUGGCCACACAAGUGGGAUUGUCUUUAACGCAGAUGUUGGCUUGUGGGACUUGUUGGAGUAGAACUGACAGCCUUCACAUCGGUCGACCAUAUCUUUAGCCAUCUCGUUGGCCUGCAGCCAAAAGAAACCGGCUCUGAAUGCCUUGGCGACAAUCGCUCUUGAAGAAGCGUGAUGACCGCAGGUUCCCGAGUGAAUAUCUUCUAAGAUCAACUGCCCUUCCUCAGGGGAAAUGCAGCGUUGAAGAACGCCCGAAACACUCUCCUUGUACAAUUGACCGUCAAUGACAGUGAAUGCCUUCGAACUAUUUGCCUGGCUUGGACUUCAUCUUCUGGAAGUUCUUGCCUUAGGAUAUAUGCGAUGAUCGGCACAGUCCAAUCGGGAGUGACAACCAGAAUCUCCGUGACUAAAUCAACCACAGCAGGUACAUCGACUUCAGUCGGAUCUGUUGCGCUCUUGGGUUGUAUCGGUUCUUCUGUGAAGGGAUCUUCUUUGACUGAGGGAAGAUGGAGGUGCUCGAGGCAGACAUUACUCGGGACUGGUCUCCGAGUGGAUCCGAGUUUCGCCAACUCAUCCGCCGCUUGGUUCUUCAGUCCCGGAACAUGAUGGAGCUCUAGACCUUCAAACUUCUUCUCUAGCUUCCUCACUGCAUUGCAGUACACUAUCAUGGUGGGGUUCCUUACGUCCCACUCUUUCAUCACUUGGUUGACCACCAAAUCCGAAUCGCCGUAGACCAUCAGGCGACGGAUGCCGAGUGAGAUGGACAUGCGCAAUCCGUAGAGGAGAGCUUCAUACUCCGCCUUGUUGUUGGAGGAAUCAAAGUGUAUCUGAAGCACGUACUUGAGCUUGUCGCCAUUGGGUGAUAUGAUCACAACGCUAGCGCCGGAGCCGUUCAACAUCUUAGACCCAUCGAAGAACAUUGUCCAAUGAGCCGAGUAGAUGUGGGUCGGUUGUUGUUGUUCUACCCAUUCUGCUAUAAAGUCAGCCAGGGCUUGAGACUUAAUAGCUUUCUUGGCCUCAAACUUGAUGUCACAAUACAACAUCUCCAUUGCCCACUUCGCCACUCGGCCUGAUGCGUCACGAUUGUGGAGAAUUUCUGACAACGGAGCAUCAGAAACGACAGAUACCGAGUGGUCUUGGAAAUAAUGGGCCACCUUCUUCGCAGUCAUAUAAAUCCCAUAGAUAAGCUUCUGAUAAUGGGGAUACCUCUGCUUGGAAGGGGUCAGGACUUCGGAGACGUAAUACACUGGCCGCUGAACCUUGUAUGCUUUGCCUUCUUCUUCUCGCUCGACUGUAAGAACAGUACUGACGACUUGAUUUGUAGCCGCGAUAUAUAGAAGAAGGGGCUCUUUACUGAGCGGAGCAGUAAGAACCGGCUGGGUGGAAAGUAGGACUUUGAGAUCGUCAAAUGCGACUUCUGCUUCGUCUGUCCACUCGAAGGUAUCUGACUUCUUCAUGAGUCGGUACAGAGGAAGUGCUUUUUCGCCGAGUCGGCUGAUGAACGUGCUCAAAGCCGCUAGGCAACCUGUGAGCCGUUGAACAUCGUGUAUUCUGAUCGGCCUCUCCAUUCGGACGAUGGUCCCGAUCUUUUCGGGGUUAACGUCGAUCCCUCGUUCGGAAACGAAGAAACCGAGUAACUUUCCGCUGGGAACACUGAAUGAACAUUUGGCUGGGUUGAGCUUGAUAUCGUACCUACGAAGGUUGGCGAAUGUUUCUGCCAAGUCAGUCAGCAGGUCGGAACCUUUGCGUGACUUGACUAUGAUAUCAUCCAUGUAUGCCUCCACAUUGCGACCGAUCUGGUCGAGGAGACAUUUUUGGAUCAUGCGCAUAAAGGUAGCUCCUGCAUUCUUCAGACCGAAAGGCAUAGUGAUGUAGGAGAAGCACCCAAACGGGGUGAUGAAGGCUGUUUUCAACUCAUCAGGACCAUACAGACGGAUCUGAUGAUAGCCCGAAUAGGCAUCAAGAAAUGACAAACGCUCGCAUCCCGCAGUCGAAUCGACAAUUUGAUCUAUGCGGGGGAGCGGAAAAUGGUCUUUCGGGCAGACCUUAUUGAGGUGCUUGAAGUCAAUGCACAUUCGGAGUGACUUGUCCUUCUUGGGCACCAUGACGACAUUUGCGAGCCACUCGGAGUGGUGAACCUCGCGAAUGAAGUUGGCAGCUAGUAGCUUGGACACCUCUUCUCCGAUUGCCUUCCUCUUGUGCACGGCGGAUCGGCGCAGGCGCUCUCGGACAGGCCGAGCGGCGGGAUCCACAUGCAGUCGGUGCUCAGCCAACUCCCUGGGUACACCCAGCAUGUCAGAUGGUUUCCAUGCGAAGAUGUCCCAGUUCUCACGGAGGAAUUGGGUGAGCUCAGCUUCGUAUUUAGGAUCGAGGGUGGUGGAGAUGUUUGUCGGGGUGGCUGAGUCGUCCGUCGGGUGGAUGCUGACCUUCUUCGUCUCUCCCGCCGACUGGAACGCGGACUCAGAAGCUGGUUUCUUUGAGCGCAUUAGGUCGGCAGGGUCGACUGUCUUCUUGUACUCGUCGAGCUCGAGUACCGCCAUCUGCUGGUCAGCGAUUCUUGAUCCCUCCUGCAGACACUCCUCGGCACGCUGGCGGUUGCCUGUGAUGGUGAUAACGCCUUUUGGACCGGGCAUCUUCAGCUUCAAGUACACAUAGCAUGGACGUGCCAUGAAACUCAUGUACGCCGGGCGGCCCAAAAUUGCAUGGUAAGCACUCUGGAAAUCUACCACCUCAAAUGUGAGCUUCUCCUUGCGAAAGUUCUUGUCAGAGCCGAAGAUGACUUCCAACGCCAUCUGGCCGAGUGACUUGGCCUUCCGUCCAGGGACGACUCCGUGGAACUGCAUAUUGCUCUUGCUGAGUCAGGGCAUCGGAAUGCCCAUUCCCUUGAGAGUGUCUGCGUACCUGAUGUUCAGUCCGCUACCGCCGUCCAUGAGGACUUUGCGCAGUCGGACUCCUUCCACCACCGGGUCGACGACCAGAGCCUGUCUUCCUGGGGUGGGGACAUGCGUUGGAUGAUCCGACUGAUCAAAGGUGAUCGCAGUCUGAGACCAUUUAAGGAACUUGGGAGCAGUCGGAACGGCCAUGUUGACCUCUCUGUUCACCAACUUCAGUCGACUCUUGCUUUCGACGUCAGCAAAAAUCAUGAGGGUUGCAUGGACUUGGGGGAACGGAUCCUCCUUGUCCUCCUCAUCCUGUUCGGGAUUCUUCUCACUCGGUUGCCCUUCGCUGAAUCCCUGGAUCAGGAGACGACACUGCCGAGUGGUGUGCUUCGCGUAUAUGGGGUUGCCUUCUUCGUCCAUCUUCGUGUGAACCGGGCAAUGCUGGUCCAGGAUGGGAUUGUUGAACGACUUCUUCUUGGGGGUAAACUGCGCUUUCCCUUUGCCCUUGAACUUGGCGCUGGUCACAGCUGCAGCUUCUGCUUGCGGCCUGGGCAGAACUUUUUGUUUCUGCUUCCGAGUGUUACCUCCGUCGACAUCACCGACUGUCUUGUGUUUGCCGCUCCGGAUGCGGUCCCCUUCUUCGCCAUUUGCAUAGCGAACCGCUAUCUCCAUCAUCUUGCUCAUGGAGAUGUCGCCCGUUCGACCGAACUUCAAGUACAGCUCUCUGUACCGUACGCCUGCCUUGAAUGCACAGACCGCUUGAUGCUCGGUGACGUUCUCCACCGUGUGGUAGAGAGUUGUCCAUCGCUGGAUGAAGUCGCGCAAGGGCUCAUUCGGCUUCUGGACACAGUGCUGAAGCUCCACGAGGCCUGCAGGGCGUUUGCACGUCCCUUUGAAGGUUCUGAUGAACACUCGGGCCAGAUCUGCCCAACUGUAAAUGCUUGAGGGGGCCAACUGGUUCAGCCAAGCUCGAGCCGAGCCGUCGAGUAUCAGAGGGAGGUGCUUCAUAGCGACAUGGUCGUCCCCUCCUCCGAUCUAGACUGCCACUCGAUAGUCGUCUAGCCAUGUUUCAGGCUUGGACUCGGGAUGUCAGCCGAGCGGAUGGCUCGACUAAAACAAUCGGGGCCGGACACGAUGGUCCUGCUUCCACUCGGACGGUCCAUAUCGGGACCAUCGCGGUGGGCUCGACCCCGGUCGACUCUUCGCUGGGCGAUUCGCCCUCUCGCGUCGGGUCUUGGGUCGUAAGUGUCAUCGACCGAACGCCGAUCAUCAUGAUGUCGGGACCCAUAGGGCCCACCCCGCGGAGGGGUGCGUGAGCGGCUACGAUAUUCACGGAUCAUGGAACGGCUGCCCCCCCUGUGAUGCUGAUGGGAACCAGGGCUGUGAACCGAUCGGUGCGUGUUUGCAUGGACGGAACUAUUGUAGAUCCGAUUGUGUGUCUGGGAGACUGCCGAAUUCUGCUGGUGCGCCGUGCGCAACAGAGCUCGGAUCUGCUCGAUUCCCCUUCCUGCCUAUGAAUCAGUCGGUUAGAAGGAAUCGGCAAUCUGGGCAGCCACAGCCAAGUUGAGGAGAGGUGUGCGGAACAACUCCACGUUGCUCCGCCGAGUGUGCCGACUGGCAGAACGACGAGGUGGACGACGUGCACCGGAUGCUUCGCCGAUAUCGUGCUCGCCCCGGCCGGCUUGACGGGGAUCUUCAUGGGAGUUGGCCAUGUGUACUUCUGCUGCAAGCCCACGACCCGCGUACUCGGAAGGGAGCUCAGUCGGAACCGAGCCCGAGCACAGGGAACGCGGGGCAACCACAACAGACUCCAGAACUGCCACCUGAGAGGACGCGAUCUGGCGUGCUCGGGGAUGCUGCACCCAACGUUGGAGACGCGGACUGCGAGACCGCUUGUUGCGGCGCAUGACGGCGGUGCAAGCCGAUAAUGGGGUCGAUUGUUGGAGAAGAAGAACGCCGCGAACGUCAGCACGAAAGUGUGUGGCCCCGCGAUAGGGAAGCGCCUCGACGUCGAGAGGCGCCUCCCGAAGCCACGCCGAGUCGUCGAUGGUGAAGGAGAGAGCGCCGAAGAGGAUCUGGUGAUCCAUGCUCGAACCUCCACCAGACGACAUGACGAAAGGAAGUAGUCGCAAACUCGCCGGAAGUAGUCGCAAACGCUUAUAUAGAGUGCGCUGCCCUCCACAACGGUUCCGACUCAGGGGUGGAGUAGUGGCGAUUGAAUGCAUACGUUACAGGUAACGUAUGCUCUAAAUGCAAAUAAACGCACCCGGAAACGUACGGCAGUUUCCCUCCACAGAGGUUAUGAUGUACCGAGUGUAUCCAGUCGAUUGGCCUGGUGCCCUCCGAAUGCUAGUCUCCGACUGGAUAAUUCUGGGCCUGUUACCGACUGGAUGAUGGGGACUCCUUAAUUCAGUCGGGGCAGACUUAAGGUCCUGUCCUUUGUGUGGGGUAGUCCUUGGGUAGGACAUGUAGGGCAGGCCUAUGACCCUACCCUAGGACUAUGACCCCAUCAUAUAUCGUUGCCAAAUAUAUACCACCUAGUUUCACAUACCAGCGAAAGAAGAAAUUCUUCUUUGACUUGAGACAUUACUGUUGUGAUGAGCCUCACCUUUAUAAGGAAGGAGUAGUUGGUGUUAUUACACGUUGUGUACCUGAACAUGAACAGGGACAUAUCCUACAGAAGUGUCACUCCGAGGCCUACGGAGGACACCAUGCGGCAGAUAGAACUACACACAAGGUAUUGCAAUCAGGUUUCUAUUGGCCCACUCUCUUCAAGGAUGCCCGUAAGUUUGUCUUGUCUUGUGACGAAUGUCAAAGAGUAGGUAACAUCGGUAAACGACAGGAAAUGCCUAUGAACUAUUCACUUGUCAUUGAACCAUUUGAUGUCUGGGGCGUUGAUUAUAUGGGACCUUUUCCAAAAUCCAACCGGUAUACUCACAUCCUGGUUGCUGUUGACUACGUCACUAAGUGGGUAGAAGCUAUCCCCACUAGUAGUGCUGAUCACAACACUUCUAUCAGGAUGCUUAAAGAAGUUAUUUUCCCUAGAUAUCUAAUGACCGACGGUGGUUCACAUUUCAUUCAUGGUGCUUCCCGUUAAACGCUUGCUAAGUACGAUGUCAAUGAGAGAAUUGCGUCCCCCUAUCGCCCUCGGUCCAGUGGUCAAGUAGAGCUAAGCAAUAGAGAGAUUAAACUAAUUCUACAAAAGACUGUCAACACGUCUAGAAAGAAUUGGUCUAAGAAACUAGAUGAUGCACUGUGGGCUUAUAGAACUGCCUAUAAGAAUCCCACGGGCAUGUCUCCGUACAAAAUGGUGUACGGUAAAGCAUGUUAUUUACCUCUUGAGCUAGAGCAUAAAGCUUAUUGGGCAAUCAAAGAGCUCAACUUUGAUUUCAAACUUGCUGGUGAGAAGAGGUUAUUUGACAUUAGCUCGCUUGAUGAAUGGAGGACUCAGGCAUAUGAGAAUGCCAAGUUGUUCAAAGAAAAGGUUAAGAGGUGGCAUGAUAAGAGGAUACAAAAGUGUGAGUUCAAUGUAGGUGAUUAUGUCUUGCUAUAUAAUUCUCGUUUAAGAUUUUUUGCAGGCAAGCUUCUCUUUAAAUGGGAAGUGAUACGUCUCCAACGUAUCUAUAAUUUUUGAUGGUUUCAUGCUAUUAUCUUGUCAAACUUUGGAUGUUUUGCAUGCCUUAUAUAUAAUUUUUGGAACUAACUUAUUAACUGACUUUCAAGUGCCAGUUCCUGUUUUUUCCAUGUUUUUGACCCCUUUGAAAGGAGAUUUUCAAGCGGAGUCCAAACGGAAUAAAAUCCCCGAAAAGAAUUUUUCCGUAACGGAAGAAGAUCAGGAGACUUGAGAGCCAAGGUAGGGGCCAGGGGGGAGGCCGCGGCCCACAGGCUUGUGGGCCCCCUGGACGCCCUCUGCCCUAGGGGUUGCGCCUAUAUAUUCCCUAAAAAUACCAAAAAAUCAGGAGAUCAUCGAAAGUACUUUUCCGCCGCCGCAAGCUUCUGUCUCCGCAAGAUCCCAUCUAGGGCACCUUCUGGUGCCCUGUCGGAGGGGGAUUCGGAUACGGAGGGCUUCUUCAUCAACACCAUGACCUGUCCUAUGAUGCGUGAGUAGUUCACCAUAGACCUACGGAUCCAUAGCUACUACCUAGAUGGCUUCUUCUCUCUCUUGGAUCUUCAAUACAAAGUUCUCCAUGAUCUUCAUGUAGAUCUAUCCGAUGAAUCUUCUUUUGCGGUGUNUUGUGGGUUUUGUUUGGCUAACUAGAUCUAUGAUUCUUGCAAUGGAGAAGUGCUUGGUUUUGGGUUCAUACUGUGCGAUGACCUCACCCAGUGACAGAAGGGGUAGCAAGGCACGGAUCGUGUUGUUGCCAUCAAGGGUAAAAAGAUGGGGUUUUCAUCAUUGGUUUGAGAUUAUCCCUCUACAUCAUGUCAUCUUGCUUAAAGCAUUACUCUGUUCGUCAUGAACUCAAUACACUAGAUGCUUGCUAGAUAGCGGUCGAUGUGUGGAAUAAUAGUAGUAGAUGCAGAAAGUAUCGGUCUACUUGUCUCGGAGGUGAUGCCUAUAUGUAUGAUCAUUGCCUUAGAUAUCGUCAUGACUUUGCGCGGUUCUAUCAAUUGCUCAACAGUAAUUUGUUUACCCACCGUGAUACUUGCUAUUUUGAGAAAAGCCUCUAGUGAACACUAUGGCCCCCGGGUCUACUCCACACCAUAUUUUCAGCCUUACACUUUUAACUUCGUUGCACUUUCCGCCUUUAGAUCUCACUUUGCAAACAAACUUGAAGGGAUUAACAAACCCUUUGAAGCGUUGGGUGCAAGCUUGUUUGUGUUUGCGCAGGUACUCUGGACUUGAUGAGACUCUCCUACUGGAUCGAUACCUUAGUUCUCAAACUGAAGGAAAUACUUACUGCUCCUGUGCUGCAUCACCCUUUCCUCUUCAAGGGAAAAACCAACGCGAGCUCAAGAGACGACAGAAGGAUCUCUGGCACCACUGCCGGGGAACGACUUUUGUUGACGUAGCAGCAGGAUUUAUGGCGCUGUUGCCGGGGAGGAAAAUCAAGUCAAGAACUCAUCCAAGUAGGUGUUGCAAACUCAUCUCUUGCAUUUCCUUUGUUAGCCAGUUGCCUCUCAUUUUCCUCUCCCCCACUUCACCAAUUUGCCUUUUUCGUUUGCCUUUUCGUUCGCCCCUUUCUCUCGCUUGCUUUCUGUUCGUCUGUGUGGGAUAGUCUACCUGUCCUCAUGGCUAGAUCCACCACUUUGAACGAUACUCCCGAGAGCAAAGUCCUAAAUUUCAAACAAAUUGAGGAAGAAAACUUAAAGGAUGCUUGGUAUAGGAUUUGCAAUGCUCAGAGUAGAUCUACUCAUAAGCAAUCCACUACCGUCCUGCUUCGUAGUUUUUAUGUGGGUGUUUCUCCUUGGAAUAGGUAUAUUCUUGACACCAUCGUAGGUGGAAAUUUCUUGGGUAGCCAUACCGUUCAUUCUUACAGAGCUGUCAUAAAUUUGGUAGGCUCACCCCCACUCAUGGUUAAUGGAACUACCUUAAGUCUGGAACAUGUGAUGCGUAGGAUGGACGUCAUUGAAAAUAAAGUUGCUACGAUAGAACUCAUUGAGAAUUUGGAUAAAAAUAUCCACAAUCAAAUCACUCAGUACGGAUCCAAGGUGGGAAUGGUUUUGAAAAAUUUGAAGGAGAAGGAACCCACAGUUAACGAAAAACUAGGUCAUGAUUCCGCUAGGAUUGGCAAACUAGAGGAUGUUAUAACCAACUUGGGUUCCGCUUUUGCCGCUGUGCAGAAUACUCCAAACUUUGCCCACAAUAAGGUCACCAAGUUUGUAUUUGUUCCCAAAAAUAGUGGUGAAUCAUCUAUCAAGAAAGAUGAAAACCUUAAGAUGAUAAGUGAUCACACUACUUAUGGUUUGAGCACCAAAGCCGACGAUACGUGAUUCUAUCGCUUUUAAGCCUAGCUAAGGGCGUUAAACAAUAGCGCUUGUUGGGAGACAACCCAAUGAAUUUAUCUUUUUCUUUCUGUUUGUUGUGUCCACACCAUCACAAUUCUGUUGUGAUUGUGUUUUUUUGUGUUUCUUUUUGUGUUUCAGCCAAGCAAAACCUUUAUGACUAAUCUUGGUAAUGGUUGUUUGAUCCUACUGGAAACACAGAGAAACUUUUCACUCACGAGAUGAUAUUUCAUUUUUAUUCACAAAGAGCUUUUGAGUUGAUUCGUUUUGCUUCUGGUUGAUAUGCCUUUUUCCUAGGCAGUCAUAAAUGUUCAGAUUUUUUGAGGUACCACAAGUAUACGAAGUAUACAGAUUGCUACAGACUGGUCUGUUUUUGACAGAUUUUGUUUUUGUUGAGUUGGUUGCUUGUUUUUAUGAAACUAUGGUUAGUAUAUGGGGGUACUAGCCAUGGAAAAGUGAGAAUACAGUAGCCCAACACAAUUAUAGAUGGAAUUCAAGUUUUAUACAGUACCAAAAGAAGUUGUAGUUUGCUUUCUUGUGCUAAUGUUAUCACGAGUUUCUGUUUAAGUUUUGUGUUGUGAAGUUUUCAAGUUUUGGGUGAUGUUCUCAUGGACAAUGAGAUAAGGAGUGCAAAGAGCUCAAGCUUGGGGAUGCCCAAGGCAUCCCAAGCCAAAUUCAAGGACACCAAAAAGCCUAAGCUUGGGGAUGCCUGAUACGUCUCAAACGUAUCUAUAAUUUUUGAUUGUUUCACGCUAUUAUCUUGCCUUCUUUGUAUGUUUUAUGUACCUUUUUAUAUCUUUUUUGGGACUAACUUAUUGAUUCAGUGCCAAGUGCUAGUUCCUGUUUUUCUCUGUUUUUGACUCUUUUCAGAUCUGAUUUUGGAACGCAGUCCAAAUGGAAGAAAAACCCCGAAAUGAUUUUUUCCCGAACGAAAGAAGUCUAGGGAGCCUUUGGGCCAGGCCAGGUGGGCCCCAAGGAGCCCACAAGCUCCCACCCCGCCACCAGCGGGAGGCGGCGGUGGGAAAGCUUGUGGCUUCCCUGGCAGCCUCCUGACCUAGGUCUUGCGCCUAUAUAUUCCCAAAUAUUCCGCAAAACAUCAGGGGAGCCUCGAAAAUACUUUUCAGCCGCCGCAAGCUUCCGUUUCCGCGAGAUCUCAUCGGGAGACCCUUCCCGGCGCCCUGCCAGAGGGGACUUUGGACGUGGACGGCUUCUUCAUCAUCAUCAUCGCCCCUCCAAUGACUCGUGNUUGAGUCUUUGCUGAUUUAUUAUAUGCAUGAUUUGAUAUCCUUGUAAGUCUCUCCGAGUCUUGGGUUUUUUUGGCCAACUUGAUCUAUGAUUCUUGCAAUGGGAGAAGUGCUUGGUUUUGGGUUCUGCCAUGUGGUGACCUUUCCUAGUGACAGUAGGGGCAGCAAGGCACACAUCAAGCAGUUGCCAUCAAGGGUAAAAAGAUGGGGUUUUAUCAUUGGUUUGAUAUUAUCCCUCUACAUCAUGUCAUCUUGCUUAAGGCGUUACUCUGUUCUUAUGGACUUAAUACACUAGAUGCAUGCUGGAUAGCGGUCGACGUGUGGAGUAAUAGUAAUAGAUGCAGACAAUAUCGGUCUACUUGUUUCGGACGUGAUGCCUAUAGAAAUAAUCAUUGCAUGGAUAUCGUCACGACUCUGCACAAUUCUAUCAAUUGCUCGACAGUAAUUUGUUCACCCACCGUCUACUUGCUUUCACUAGAGAAGCCACUAGUAAACACUACGGCCCCCGGGUCUAUUCACAUCCAUCGUUUACAACUCCGCUUUUACUUUGCUUUGUUACUUUGUUGCUUUCAGUUCUCACUUGGCAAACAAUCUAUAAGGGAUUGACAACCCCUUCAUAGCGUUGGGUGCAAGCUUUUGUGUUUGUGCAGGAUCUUGAGAUACUCUUCCGCCGGAUUGAUACCUUGGUUCUCAAAUUGAGGGAAAUACUUACCAUCGUUGUGCUACAUCACCCUUUCCGCUUUGAGGGAACACCAACGCAAAGCUCCAAGGCCACGGGGGAAAUCCUUCGCAUACUUGCCUAGGAAGUCCCUUAAGGCGUAGCCACAACAUAAAGAUCAAGCCAAGUAUUCUCCCGUCGACGUGCCUAUGUCUGGCGUUGUUGGAAGGUCUUUUGUGCAGUAGCAGAAGUAUUUCUGGCAACAUUGCCAGGGGUACACAGCAAACAUCAGAAGUAUCUAUGGCGCUAUUGCCGGUGAGGAGAAAUCAAGAUCUAUCCCAGUAGGUCUCACAAACUCUUCUCUUGCAUUUACUUUUGUUGCCAGUUGCCUCUCGUUUUCCUCUCCCCCAUUUCACAUUUGCCAUUUUCAUUUGCCUUUCUCCUUUGCCUUUUUUGUUUACCCUUUUCUCUCGCUUGCUUUCUGUUCGCUUGUGUGCCAUGUGCCCUCAAUAUGCUUGCAUCUUCGCUUGCUGAAAAUCUAGUGAUAUCGAUCAUCAUCCGCUAGCUAGUCUCUUUAUGAGACCCACUUGAUGCGUGAAUCUGAAAAUUGUGAAUCUGAAAAUGCGUAAGAUGAAAAGCAUGAUUGCAAUUGUGAAUCUGAAAAUGCGUAAGAUGCGUGAAUCUGAAAGUUGAGGGCAAUUGACUAUUUCUUUGGAGUUUUGCGUAAGAUGCGUGAAUCUGAAAAUUGUGAGGAAGAAAUUCAUGAAGUGAUUCACGAGGGCUCCUAGGAUGAAAAGCAUGAUUGCAAUGAUUUCACUAUAAAUCCUAUUAGUGACAAUCAUGCCGAAAUUAUGCAAAACCCUAAGCUUGGGGAUGCUAGUUUUGCUUUGUCUACUACUUGUUGCAAUAAUCAUGAUUGGGGUGAUGAUCUUUCUUAUGAUCUUGAAAAUUUGUUCCAACCUCAUGAUGAAUAUGAUAUUUGCAACAAUACUGAAAGUGGGAUUGGAGAAGUCAUGAAUUUAUUUGAAGAUAAUCCCACUAUUUUUGAAGAGCGUUAACUUUGCAUGCAUGUGGAUCAUGAAAAGAAUAUCCUUUGUGAUAGUUACAUUGUUGAAUUCGAAUAUGAUCCCACAUGUAAUUACUAUGAGAGAGGAAAAUAAGUUGGUAGAAACUUUCAUAUUACCAAAUCACCUCUCGUGAUGUUGAGAUUGCUCUUGUCUCUUUCUUCUUCCUUGCAUAUGGCCGCUAUUGGUUGUCUUGACAAUUUGUUUUCCUAUAAAAUGCCUAUGCAUAGGAAGUAUGUUAGAAUUAGAUGUGAUUUUCACAUGCUUUAGGAUGCUCUCGUUGUGCUUCAAUUCUUGUCUUUUGUGAGAGCAUUAGGGAAUGCCUAGCUAAGGGCGUUAAACAAAAGCGCUUGUUGGGAGGCAACCCAACGAAUCUAUCCUUUUUCUUUCUGUUUUGUGUUUUCCACACUUUCAUAAUUCUGUUAUGAUUGUGUUUUUAUGUUUCUUUUUGUGUUUGUGCCAAGCAAAACCAUUAUGAUUAGUCUUGAGGAUGAUUCUUUUUUCUGCUGAUUGCUACACAAAUUAUUCAGAGUGUCGUAAGUUUUCAGAAUUUUUGAAGUACCAGAGGAAUACGAAACAUACAGAUUGCUACAGACUGGUCUGCUGUUAACAGAUUCUGUUUUUGUUCUGUGGGUUGCUUAUUUUGAUGAAACUAUGGAUAGUACCGGGGGGGUAUUAGCCAUGGAAGAUUGAAAGUACAGUAACCCAACAUCAGCACAAGUAGAAUUUAAGUUUUCUACAGUACCUAAGGAAGUGGUUGUUUGCUUUCUUGUACUAAUGUUAUCACGAGUUUAUGUUUAAGUUUCGUGUUGUGAAGUUUUCAAGUUUUGGGUGAAGUUCUUAUGGACGAAAAGAUAAAGAGUGGCAAGAGAUCAAGCUUGGGGAUGACCAAGGCACCCCAAAAGAUUCAAGGAUGCCGUAAAAGCCUAAGCUUGGGGAUGCCCCGGGAAGGCAUCCCCUCUCUCGUCUUCAAUCCAUCGGUAACGUUAGUUGGGGCUAUAUUUUUAUUCACCACAUGUUAUGUGUUUUUUCUUGGAGCGUCUUGUAUCGUGGGAGUCCAUUAUUUUUAUUGUGUCAUAAUCAUCCUUGCUGCACACCUAGAGAGAGACAUGCACACACCGUGAUUUUGUCGAGCUUCACUUAUAUCUUUUGGUAGACAAUUCAGCUCACAUGUCACUAAUAGGAAAAGGAAUAUUGAUGAUACAGAUACUAAUGGCGCACCAGACAAGUAGUGCGCCACUACUAUAUAGCAGUGGCGCACCAUGUGCAGGUGUGCCAUUACUGUGAUGGACACUAAUGGCACACCACACACUCGGUGCGCCACUACUAUUUUUUUUUGCAAAAGUACUAAUGGCGCACCGGAGCAGAGUGGCGCACAACUCACCGAGUGCGCCACUGCUAUAUUUUUUUUUGCAAAACUACUAAUGGCGCACAACCAGCUGGUGCGCCAUUAGUAACCAGGGUUACAAAUGGCGCACCCCCUGGGGAUGCGCCAUCGCAAUCACCCCCGCUAAAAUCCCAUGCCAGUCCCCGCGCUCUAUGGAGAGGACCUGGCCGCCACUCUCUUCUUCCUGCAGCCUCGUCUCCCUCCUCACGCCGCACGCCGCCGGCCGCGCUGCUCCACCUCCUCCUCUCCUCCACUUCUCUCCUCCCUCCUUUCCUCGGUUUGUUUCCUCUCCUUGCCCAUGCCGCCUCCUCCCGCACGGAUAAGACCCGUCCGUCCCCCCAUCCCACCCCGCCCGCCGCCGUCCGGUCCGUCGUUAGGGUUUCGUCGGCCAUCCAGCCAUGGCGAUCCUCGGGGAGCUCGGGACGGAGAUCCUCAUCCCCGUCUACGGGGUCAUCGGCAUCGUCUUCGCCGUCGCGUAGUGCUUCAUCGUCUCCAAGGUCAAGGUCACCCCCGGCGCCGCCUCCACCGCUGCCGACGCCAAGAACGGCUACGACGACUACCUGAUCGAGGAGGAGGAGGGCCUCAACGAACACAACGUCGUCGUCAAGUGCGCCGAGAUCCAGACCGCCAUCUCUGAAGGUGAGCUCACCCGUCCCCUCCAUCGACAACGGUGGUGGUCCCCCCUCUCCCUCUCACCCGCUCCCUCCCCAGAUCUGGGGCCGUAGUUGCUCGGCACGCACAGAUCCGGUCGUUUCGCCGUAUAGGUAGAAACGGCCCCUCCCCUCCCCUCGACGCGCGCUGCGCCGUGUGCUGCGGCGUCGACAUCUCCCUCCCACACCAGGCCAACUGCUCCCACUAGUUCUGCGGUAAGCACCAGCUCCCUCGCCGCCUCCCGCCUUCGCCUGCUAGGUCCGGGCCUAGGCUGCCUCGUGCGCCGCCGCGCCCGCGCACGCUCGAUUUGGUUCCUCGAUUCCAUUUUCCUGAGUAAUCUCUUCCUUCGGCAUUCUCAUUGUGCUGCAACCUAUAACAUCAUGGGAGAUAGUUGUAGCGGCCAGAAAGUAGAUCCUGUAAGAGUAGAACAAUUGCUCUAGGAACAGUUAGUUCCCCUUUCUCACCCAGUACAGCCCUGUGCUAUUAUUGUUUAGCUUACCCUGUGUAUUUUGAUCGGAUGCCUAUACAUUUUUGUGUUUAACCCUGUGCGUGCUGUGUAAAAUUUGUGCUGUUCAAAUCUUGUGUCUUGUCUAGCGGUAGUGUUUUUGUUGCUUCAACUUGUUCACGGUGACGCCUGUUGCUAAGAGCUAUUUGACUGUUGGCAUUCUUGACGUGGCGAUGAUUUUGAGGAUACCACCAGUUGUUUUAUUACGGUGCCCGGGACAGUUAUGUCAUUUUAAGUUUUUUGUCGCAAAGUGUAGGUUGUUAUCUUAUCUGUAGCAAGAUUUGUACAUUUGAUGUUUCAGAAUUUUGUGCAUUCACUUGUGAGCUCGACACUUCAGACGGUUGCUGUGAUCUCUGCACAUUGUAAAUUUUAUAUUUUUUUGACAAGAAAGAACAAAAACUAGCACAUCCUCUGAUUCAUAUUACUUGUUGCAGCUUUGUAGCACGAUCAUAGGAAGUGCAGUAACACAGGCAGGCUCUGCUGCGUGUGUUAUUUCCUUGGUUUUGGAGAGAAUUUGAUGCCACUUUGUUCGGGCCGUGCAUUUGGCAUCAACAAAUGUAUUAUGAUGCAGGGUUUGCAGCUCGGAUCAUGUUCGAUCAUUCAUAGACACUAUGUUAUAUGUACAUAUGGACCAUGUGCGCUUGUGGGACUUAAUUAAUUCCUGCAAUGUUUGAGUCCAUUGCAAUGCCAAUUGCUGGUACUGGAAUGUUGAAUUAUGCUCCUUUGCUUACUUCGGUUUGAUGCUUAACUUGGCCUUGUGUUUUCGGCUACUGGCGAACAUUUUGGUCCUGGACCAUUGAUAAACAAAAUUUCUCACAGCUGUCAUUGUCAUUUGUUUGUGUACAGGGCAUUGCAUUGUGGGGGUGUGGCUACAUGGAUCUGUCCUUCGCCCAUCCAGUUGCCCUGUUUGCCGUCGCCCCAUAACGCUGCUGGUACCUUCUCAAGUUGCUUCCCUGCUGCGUGAUGUGCCAAAAAUUGCUCCUAUCAUGAACCGAAUUGAGCAGUACAAUGGCCGUUUUGCUGGAGUAUCUCACAGUAUGGUUCGGUACACCUGCCAUGUAAAACGGCAAUGGUGUUAGAUAUUUGUUUGGCAAUGUGUCAGUCUCUAGGUUGAUGUGCUGAAGAAAAAAAGAUAAAACAUCUACAAAUUUCAUCACUUGCUGCUGUAUGAUAAAAUAUUUUCUUGUGUCACUCGUUCACAUUGCUAUCUAACUUAGGGCAUCUAGAAUGGUUGAUAAGGCAACCUUAUCUUAAAUUCUUAAUCCUGCCAUGUAAUUUAGAUAUGUCAAAAAAUAUGGUGUACAAUGGGUUGUCUCAUAAUCUUAUCUCUAUUAACUUGAUAUGCCUGAAAAUGUGGUGAGAAAUUUGUUAAUAAGAGAUCAUCUCUUAUAUCUAUUUUAGCUUGCAGUCCAAGCUGAUAGCCAUGUGAGGCCAUUGCUACUCGUUUUUGUUGGCAUCUUGUGUUACAAAGAGUUUCCACAUGAUUGCCACUAUUUUUGUUCUUCUUAUCCGCAGAUGCAACACAAUAAAAUGACACAUCUGUGUGCAGCACGUACAUUACAUUACUUCUAUUUCCACUCCUGCCCAAGCGCUUAUCUUCCUUUCCACAAGAGUAUCCGUUUCAUUUAUUGACCUUUAUUUUUUCUACAACAGACUUUAGGGCCAAGAAUUGGGUAUUUUCCAUUGUUGGUGUCGACUAUAAAGGCUCAUUUCAGCAGCUCACUCUCACCAGGUGUUGAUACUGUUUGGUUUGAAUAUAAAGGGAUGCCACUGAAAUGGUAACAUAUGUUAUCUCCUACUAAUAUCAAUGAUGGUCUAUUCACAUUAUUAAAUCUUGAGAACCCAUGUUAUUGCUGUCGCUUUUAUUUGCUGACAGUCCUUUUUAUGUUCGCAUUGUUAGGUGUAUUCCCAUUGGUGUUCUUUUCGACCUUCUCCGUGGAGAUACCGAAAGGCCUUGGAAUCUAAAAGUAAGCACUUUUGUUUAGACAUAUUUUCUUUUAUGAUUUUUUUAAUUUGCGAGGUGUUUUUCUCGUGUUGAAGGUUCAUUUAUGCCUUAAUGGGACGCUGGAUCAGUAGAAACCUUUUGAUUAACCAUGUGCGUUUUCUCUUAACGUUUAACUUUGCUAGAAAUACUGUUAGAGAUUUAUGCCAUAAUGUUCGCAGGAUCUAGUUAGUUACUUAACUCAGCAAUUAAGUUCAAUAAAUUACCAAUUAGACUGCAUAAAUAUUUAUGUGCUUGCCACACUUUUUGUAAUCCUUGCUUAAUUGCAAUCAGCCAGCCAUCAGUGCACGAAUAGUAGAAACCAAGUUUUGAAACAUUUAGUCUUAGCGGUACAUUUUCGAUUGUAUUUUUUGAAAAAUUAGUCUUUCUGAAUAAACUUUUGUUGGUUGACCUGAGGAUCCUUUCCCUGUGCAAACUUUUGUUGGUUGACGUGAGGAUCCUUUUAAAUUGCAAUCUUUCUCCUGCAGAUUGAUUGACUCGAGUGACCCAUAAAGAAAAUUACUUUUGUAAUUGCAGACAAGUGAAGCUACACCUGGAACAGAAGAUUGGGAGCUCCCUGCUGUGGUAAACCCCCCUCCAUCCCCACCACCCCCUGCCCCCGACGGCCUGUAGAUCCUAUACGACCCAGGCAUGCCUCUUCCCCUUCCUGCCAUGUACAUAGCUUACUUGUUAUGUUGUCGCGAUUAGAUAAAUUUCAAUGAACAUCGUCAUUCUAUUUGAGCGUAUUGGUUGGUGAUUAGUCGAAAAACGGCAUAAAUUGGAGAAGAAAAAUUGUAGCUUUAUUCUACUAUAAAAAUCUAGGGGGCUCCAAAUCCGCACUAGCUUACUCAUUGGCUUAGGAACAUGAACAUAUACUGCUAUGCUUUAUAUGCCUAAUUUUUUUUAAGUUUUCUUUAACUUUUGCAUAGUAUUUUGUUACCAAGUAGAACAAUCAGGACAUACAUAACCCCUCUCUCUCUCUCUCACACACACACACAAUCUCAAUCGGGACAUACAUAACGGCUGGUAAUCGAGCCGUUGGCAAUUUAUUGUUUGGAUGUGUGGUGGCGGUCUUGUGUUAUUGUGACUGAUAAUCAUCUUGCUUGAGGAUGUGAUUGCAAUUCUGUGUUGGGCUCCUUUUUGCAGUGCAUGCACCAUUUAUUUGUGCAAUCCAUAUUCUGAUGUCUACACCCCAUUGCAUGUCUGUCCACAAGGCUUGUCUUGUUGUCCCUAUGGUCCGGUGUCGACAAACCCUAAAUUAUAAAACCUUGGCUUUUAGGGUGCCUCGGUGUCGAUAAAAACCUAAAUGAUGAAAGCUUAGGCUUUUAGGGUGCCUCGGCGUUGACAAACCCUAAAUGAUAAAAACUUAGCUUUUAGGAUGCGUCGGUGUCGACAAACCCUAAAUGAUGAGAUCAUGAUCUUGUUCCUUGACAAUAACCAACUUCUUUACCAAACUUUUUUCCUAUUUAGAGCGAAACAUGGCCCACAACGAUGAGGCUGGCGGUUCGGGCAAGGCAUUUUGGGAGCUGUCCUAGGAGAUGGAGGAAGAACUUCACCGCUAUGAGGAUGCCGCGGAAGACACCGAUCCNNNNNNNNNNNNNNNNNNNNNNNNNNNNNNNNNNNNNNNNNNNNNNNNNNNNNNNNNNNNNNNNNNNNNNNNNNNNNNNNNNNNNNNNNNNNNNNNNNNNNNNNNNNNNNNNNNNNNNNNNNNNNNNNNNNNNNNNNNNNNNNNNNNNNNNNNNNNNNNNNNNNNNNNNNNNNNNNNNNNNNNNNNNNNNNNNNNNNNNNNNNNNNNNNNNNNNNNNNNNNNNNNNNNNNNNNNNNNNNNNNNNNNNNNNNNNNNNNNNNNNNNNNNNNNNNNNNNNNNNNNNNNNNNNNNNNNNNNNNNNNNNNNNNNNNNNNNNNNNNNNNNNNNNNNNNNNNNACUGAUGAUGGCAGCGCACGCACAGAUGGUAGUGAUGCCUGCAGCUCUCUUCUAUGUGAUGGUAGUUUAGAUGAUCGAUAUCGACUUGUAAUGUGAAGAAAAACUCGCUACUCGCGGUCUCGAGACUUAUAAUGUUCUAACUUUGUUCGGUAUUUUAAAUUCGGAGACUAAUAUGAUGAAUUGUAUUCGGAGACUAAUCUUCUAUUGUAUUCAAUAAAUCUGUUGUUUAUAUGUUGUGCUCUCUAUAUUCCGUGCAAUAAUAUGUUUUGUAAUUUGUGCAAAUAUCAUAAAAAAACCUAAUAUUCAUACUAGUGGCGCACCACUCAGCACUUUAGUGGCGCACUGCAAAAGCACACUAGUGGUGCAUCGUCAACUAGUGCGCCAUUAGUAAGCCAGAGCACAUGGGUAGAUAUGGCCCCUGGGAGGCAUACUAAUGGCGCACCAUGAGCUAUACUAAUGGAGCCCUUAGUGGUGAGCCAUUAGUAUACCAUAUAGUAAUGGCGCACCAUGAGCNNNNNNNNNNNNNNNNNNNNNNNNNNNNNNNNNNNNNNNNNNNNNNNNNNNNNNNNNNNNNNNNNNNNNNNNNNNNNNNNNNNNNNNNNNNNNNNNNNNNNNNNNNNNNNNNNNNNNNNNNNNNNNNNNNNNNNNNNNNNNNNNNNNNNNNNNNNNNNNNNNNNNNNNNNNNNNNNNNNNNNNNNNNNNNNNNNNNNNNNNNNNNNNNNNNNNNNNNNNNNNNNNNNNNNNNNNNNNNNNNNNNNNNNNNNNNNNNNNNNNNNNNNNNNNNNNNNNNNNNNNNNNNNNNNNNNNNNNNNNNNNNNNNNNNNNNNNNNNNNNNNNNNNNNNNNNNNNNNNNNNNNNNNNNNNNNNNNUGGCGCACUGCCUGGUGCACCAUUAGUAUAUCAGAUACUAAUGGCGCACCUAUGGUGCGCCAUUUUAGUAAAAAAUUCUAAUGGCGUGAUGCUAGUGGCGCACCUAUAGUGCGCCAUUAGUAGCCAAAACAGGUGCGCCACUAGCAUGCCUUUUCCUAGUAGUGUGUGCUUCACUUAUAUCUUUUGAGCUAGAUACUUUUGCUCUAUGUGCUUCACUUAUAUCUUUUAGAGCGCAGCGGUGCGUGGCUUGGUAGUUGAUCUAUGCUUUGAAAGUAGUCUGAAAAGGGGUAGUUAUGCAAAGGGAUACGAAAACUUCCACCUUCAUGUGCAUUGAUUUGAGUUAUGGUUAUGGUAAUAUUGAAAUCAUGCUAGUAAGGUGUUNCAUGCACGUAUGGUAAACCGCUAUGUGAUGAAAUCUUAGCCUGAUUAGUCUAUUGAUUGUCAUCCUUUGCGUGGCGGUCGGGAUUGCGCGAUGGUUUAUACCUACCAACCCUUCCCCUAGGAGUAUGCGUUGAAUGCUUUGUUUCGAUUACUAAUAAAACUUUUGCAACAAGUAUAUGAGUUCUUCAUGACUAAUGUUGAGUCCAUGGUUUAGAUGCACUUUCACCUUCCACCAUCACUAUGUUGUUAGUGUCGUGCAACUUUCGCUGGUGCACAAAACCCACCAUUAGCCUCCCUCAAAACAGCCACCCUACCUACCUACUAUGGCUUUUUCAAAGUCAUUCCGAUAUAUAUUGCCAUGCAACUACCACCAUGAUAUGUGCCACCACGCCUACAUUGCCUUUGCACGAUCGUAAGAUAACUAGCAUGAUGUUUCCAUUGAUCUCUAUGCCAUGCUAGAUCAUUGCCAUGGUACACUACCAAAGGCAUUCCAUAUAGAGUCAUAAUUGCUCUAAGUUUUGAGUUGAAAGUGUGAUGAUCAUCAUUAUUCGAGCAUUGUCCCAUGUGAGGAAAUAAAAGAGGCCAAAGAAGCCCAUAAAAAAAGAGGCCAAAGAGCGCACCAAAAAAAAUAUGAGAGAAAAAGAGAGAAGGGCAAUGCUACCACUUUUUCCACACUUGUGCAUGUUGAGCACCAUGAUCUUCAUGAUUGAGAGUCUCUCGUUUUGUCACCACCAUAUAGCUAGUGGUAAAUUCUCAUUAUAUAACUUGGCUUGUAUAUUCCAAUGAUAGGCUUCCUUGAAUUUGCCUUAGGUCUUCGUGAGCAAGCAAGUUGGAUGCACACCCACUAGUUUUCUUUAAGAGCUUUCACAUACUUGUAGCUCUAGUGCAUCGUUUGUAUGGCAAUCCCUACUCAUUCACAUUGAUAUCUAUUGAUGAGAAUCUCCACAGCUCAUUAAUAUGCCUAGUUAAUGUGACUUUCUUCUCCUUUUUGUCUUGCAAACUCCACCACAUUCCACAACAUCUAUAGUGCUAUAACCAUGUCUCACGCUCAUUUAUUGCGUGAGAGUUGAAAAUGUUUGAGAAAGUAAAGGUGUGAAACAAUUACUUGACCAAUACCGGGGUUGUGCAUGAUUUAAAUUCGUUGUGCAAUGAUGAUAGAGCAUAGCCAGACUAUAUGCUUUUGUAGGGAUAACUUUCUUUUGGCCUUGUUAUUUUGAAAGUUCAUGAUUACUUUGCUAGUUUGCUUGAAUUAUUAUUGUCUCCACGUCAAUAGCAAACUAUUGUUUUGAAUCUAAUGGAUCUGAACAUUCACGUCACAUAAGAGGAAUUACAAAGGACACUUAUGCUAGGUAGCAUGAAAGCAUCAAAAAUUCAUUCUUAUCACUUCCCUACUCGAGGAUAAGCAGGAGUUAAGCUUGGGGAUGCUUCAUACGUCUCAAACGUAUCUAUAAUUUUUGAUGGUUUCAUGCUGUUAUCUUGCCUUCUUUGUAUGUUUUAUGUACCUUUUUAUAUCUUUUUUGGGACUAACUUAUUGAUUCAGUGCCAAGUGCCAGUUCCUGUUUUUCUGUGUUUUGGACUCUUUUCUGAUCUGAUUUUGGAACGGAGUCCAAAUGGAAGAAAAACCCCGAAAUGAUUUUUUCCCGAACGGAAGAAGUCCAGGGAGCCUUUGGGCCAGGCCAGGUGGGCCCCAGGGAGCCCACAAGCUCCCACCCCGCCACCAGGGGGGAGGUGGCGGUGGGCAAGCUUGUGGCUUCCCUGGCCGCCUCCUGAGCUAGGUCUUGCGCCUAUAUAUUCCCAAAUAUUCCGCAAAAAAUCAGGGGAGACACGAAAAUACUUUUCCGCCGUCGCAAGCUUCCGUUUCCGCAAGAUCUCAUCUGGAGACCCUUCCCGGCGCCGUGCCGGAGGGGACUUUGGAGGUGGAGGGCUUCUUCAUCAUCAUCAUCGCCCCUCCAAUGACUCGUGAGUAGUUUACUUCAGACCUACGGGUCCGUAGUUAGUAGGUAGAUGGAUUCUUCUCUCUCUUGGAUCUUCAAUACAAAGUUCUGCAUGAUCUUCACGGAGAUCUAUCCGAUGUAAUCUUCUUUGGCGGUGUGUUUGUCGAGAUCCGAUGAAUUGUGGACUUGUGAUCAGAUUAUCUAUGAUAUAUAUUUGAGUCUUUACUGAUUUCUUAUAUGCAUGAUUUGAUAUCCUUGUAAGUCUCUCCGAGUCUUGGGUUUUGUUUGGCCAACUAGAUCUAUGAUUCUUGCAAUGGGAGAAGUGCUUGGUUUUGGGUUCUGCCAUGUGGUGACCUUUCCCAGUGACAGUAGGGGCAGCAAGGCACACAUCAAGCAGUUGCCAUCAAGUGUAAAAAGAUGGGGGUUUUAUCAUUGGUUUGAGAUUAUCCAUCUACAUCAUGUCAUCUUGCUUAAGGCAUUACUCUGUUCUUAUGGACUUAAUACACUAGAUGCAUGUUGGAUAGCGGUCGACGUAUGGAGUAAUAGUAGUAGAUGUAGACAAUAUCGGUCUACUUGUUUCAGACGUGAUGCCUAUAGAAAUAAUCAUUGCAUAGAUAUCGUCAUGACUCUGCACAGUUCUAUCAAUUGCUCGACAGUAAUUUGUUCACCCACCGUCUACUUGCUUUCAUGAGAGAAGCCACUAGUAAACACUACGGCCCCCGGGUCUAUUCGCAUCCAUCGUUUACAACUCCGCUUUUACUUUGCUUUGUUACUUUGUUGCUUUCAGUUCUCACUUGGCAAACAAUCUAUAAGGGAUUGACAACCCCUUCAUAGCGUUGGGUGCAAGCUUUUGCGUUUGUGCCGGAUCUUGAGAUACUCUUCCGCCGGAUUGAUACCUUGGUUCUCAAACUGAGGGAAAUACUUACCGUAGCUGUGCUACAUCACCCUUUCCACUCCGAGGGAACACCAACGCAAAGCUCCAAGGCCACAGGGGAAAUCCUUCGCAUACUUGCCUAGGAAGUCCCUUAAGGCGUAGCCACAACAUAAAGAUCAAGCCAAGUAUUCUCCCGUCGACGUGCCUAUCUUUGGCGCCAUUGGAAGGUAUUUUGUGCAGUAGCAGAAGUAUUUCUGGCACCAUUGCCAGGGGUACACAGCAAACAUCAAUGCCCCGGGAAGGCAUCCCCUAUUUCGUCUUCUAUCCAUCGGUAACAUUACUUGGAGCUAUAUUUUUAUUCACCACAUGAUAUGUGUUUUUGCUUGGAGCGUCUUGUAUCGUAGGAGUCUUUUCUUUUUGUUGUGUCACAAUCAUCCUUGCUGCACACCUUUUUGAGAGAGAGAGAGACAUGCACUCAUCGUGAUUUUGCUAGAAUGCUCAUAGUGCUUCACUUAUAUCUUUUGAGCUAGAUACUUUUGCUCUAUGUGCUUCACUUAUAUCUUUUAGAGCACGGCGGUGCGUGAUUUGGUAGUUGGCUUAUUCUAUGAAAGUAGUCCCAAAUGUGAUAGGUACCCAAAGAGGAUGCAAAAACCUCCAUCUUCAUGUGCAUUGAGUAGAAAGAGAAGUCUUGAUUCCUCUCAAUUAGUUUUGAGGCGUGGAUUUGGUAAUAUUAAGAGCUAUGUUAGUAGGGUGUUGUUAAUCUAGAAAUACUUGUGUUGAAGUUAGUGAUUCCCGUAGCAUGCACGUAUGGUGAACCACUAUCUUAGGAAAUCAGAGCAUAAUUGAUCUAUUGAUUGUCAUCCUUUGUGUUGAGGUCGGGAUCGCGCGAUUGUUAACACCUACCAACCCUUCCCCUCGGAGUAUGCGUUUAGCACUUCGUUUCGAUUACUAAUAAAAACUUUCGCGACAAGUAUGUGAGUUCUUCAUGACUAAUGUGAGUCCAUGGUAUAGAUGCACUAUCCCCUUCCACCAUUGCUAGCCUCUUUAGUGCCGCGCAAUUCUCGUCGGUGCACAAUCCCACCAUAUGCUUUCCUCAAAACAGCCACCAUACCUACCUACUAUGGCAUUUUCAUAGCCAUUCCGAGAUAUAUUGCCAUGCAACUCCCACCGUUCCGUCUCAUGACUUGUACCAUCACUCUCAUAUUGCCAUUGCAUGAUCAUAAGAUAGCUAGCGAGAUGUUUUCAACGUCAUACGCCAUGCUAGAUCGUUGCACAUCCCGGUACACUGCCGGAGGCAUUUCCUAUAGAGUCAUCAUCAUUGUGAGCUUUGAGCUGUGAGUAAAUAAAAGUGUGAUGAUCAUCAUUAUUAGAGCAUUGUCCCAUGUGAGGAAAUAAAAAAAGAGAGGCCAAAGAGCCCAAAAACAAAACAAAAAGGGGAGAAAAAAAGAGGCCUAAGAGACCAAAUGAAAAAAAGAGAAAAAGAGAGAAGGGACAAUGCUACUAUCUUUUUCCACACUUGUGCUUCAUAAUAGCACCAUGUUCUUCAUGAUUGAGAGCUUCUUUCUUUGUCACUACCAUAUGCUAGUGGGAAUCUUCAUUAUAUAACUUGGCUUGUAUAUUCCAAUGAUUUGCUUCCUCAAAAUUGCCAUUGGUCUUCGUGAGCAACCAAGUUGGAUGCACACCCCUAGUUUUCCUUUCGAGCUUUCACAUACUUAUAGCUCUAGUGCAUCUCUUGUAUGGCAAUCCCUACUCGUUCACAUUGAUAUCUAUUAAUGGGCAUCUCCAUAGCCCUUUGAUACGCCGAGUCAAUGUGACCAUCUCCUCCUUUUUGUCUCACAACCACCACCACACUCUAUUCCACUUAUAGUGCUAUAUCCAUGGCUAACGCUCAUGUAUUGCGUGAUAGUUAUAAAAAGUUUGAGAAAGUAAGAGUGCGAAAACAAUUACUUGGACAAUACCGGGGUUGUGCAUGAUUUACAUUAGUUGUGUGAGGAUGAUGGAGCAUAGCCAGACUAUAUGAUUUUGUAGGGAUAACUUUCCUUGGCCUUGUGAUUUUGAAAGUACAUGAUUACCUUGCUAGUUUUCUUGAAGUAUUAUUGUUUUCAUGUCAAUAGAAAACUAUUGUUUUGAAUCUUACGGAUCUGAACAUUCAUGACACGAAAGAAGUUGCAAAGGGUAACUACGCUAGGUAGCAUUCUACAUCAAAAAUUCAGUCUUUAUCACUUCCCUACUCGAGGACGAGCAGGAGUUAUGCUUGGGGAUGCUUGAUACGUCUCCAACGUAUCUACAAUUUUUGAUGGUUUCAUGCUAUUAUCUUGUCAAACUUUGGAUUUUUUGUAUGGCUUUAAUAUCUUUUUUGAGACUAACUUAUUAACUCUGUGCCAAGUGCGAGUUCCUGUUUUCUUCCAUGUUUUUGACCCCUUUCAGAGGAGGAUUUUAAACGGAGUCCAAAGGGAACGAAACUGCCAAAAAGAUUUUUCCGAAACAGAAGAAGAUCGGGGAGCCUGAGAAUCAGGGCAGGGGGCCAGCAGGGACCCCAGAGGCCUCCUAGCCGCGGCCAGGGGGGCCCGCGCCUCCAAGACUUAUGGGCUCCCUGGGCCACCUCUACCCUUGGUCUUUCGCCUAUAGAUUCCCUAAAAUCCCAGAAAAAAUCAGGAGAUCAUCGAAAGUACUUUUCCGCCACCGUAAUCUUCUAUCUUCGCAAGAUCCCAUCUGGGGCACGUUCUGGUGCCCUGUCGGAGGGGGGAUUCGGAUACGGAGGGCUUCUUCAUCAACACCAUGACAUCUUCGAUGAUGCGUGAGUAGUUCACCAUAGACCUACGGGUCCAUAGCUAGUAGCUAGAUGGCUUCUUCUCUCUCUUGGAUCUUCAAUACAAAGUUCUCCAUGAUCUUCAUGGAGAUCUAUCNUUGCGGUGUGUUUGUCGAAAUCUGAUGAAUUGUGGAUUUAUGAUCAGAUUAUCUAUGAAUCUUAUUUGAGUUUCUUCUGAUCUCCCUUAUGCAUGAUUUCAUAUCCUUGUAAUUCUCUUCUAGUUGUGGGUUUUGUUUGGCCAACUAGAUCUAUGAUUCUUGCAAUGGGAGAAGUGCUUGGUUUUGGGUUCAUACCGUGCGGUGACCUCACCCAGUGAUAGAAGGGGUAGCGAGGCACGCAUCGUGAUGUUGCCAUCAAGGGUAAAAAGAUGGGGUUUUCAUCAUUAGUUUGAGAUAAUCCCUGUACAUCAUGUCAUCUUGCGUAAAGUGUUACUCUGUUCGUCAUGAACUCAAUACACUAGAUGCAUGCUGGAUAGCGGUCGAUGUGUGGAGUAAUAGUAGUAGAUGCAGAAAGUAUCGAUAUACUUUUCUUGGAUGUGAUGCCUAUAUGUAUGAUCAUUGCCUUAGAUAUCGUCAUGACUUUGCGUAGUUCUAUCAAUUGCUCGACAGUAAUUUGUUUACCCACCGUGAUACUUGCUAUUUUGAGAGAAGCCUCUAGUGAACACUAUGGCCCCCGGUUCUACUCCACACCAUAUUUUUAGCCUUACACUUUUAACUUCAUUGCACUUUCCGCCUUCAGAUCUCACUUUGCAAACAAUCUUGAAGGGAUUGACAACCCCUUUGAAGCGUUGGGUGCAAGCUUGUUCGUGUUUGCGUAGGUAUUGUGGACUUGACGAGACCCUCCUACUGGAUCGAUACCUUGGUUCUCAAACUGAGGGAAAUACUUACUGCUCUUGUGUUGCAUCAUCCUUUCCUCUUCAAGGGAAAAACCAACACGAGCUCAAGAGAUGACAGAAGGAUCUCUGGCACCACUGCCGGGGAACGACUUUUGUUGACGUAGCAGGAAGGUCCCAAUAUUGUUGAGGAAGUAUAUCGUUCCGGUGCUAUCAAGAUCAACAACAUGGAAGGUAAUUGUCCGAGAGUGGUAAAUGGGCAGAGAAUCAAGCAUUAUAUCUAAGGGAUAUCAUCAAUACCAUAACUCCGGAAGAAUACCUAAGGGAUAUUUACCAGCCUAUUUCAGACUCCAAAAACGAAGAGGUAUGUGAUUCGGUAAGAAAACAGAGUCCAAAACUUUUCCAGUAGGAAUUUUUCUCCGUUUUGGAAUAUUUGAAAAAAUAGAAAAAUUGGAAGUAGUCCGGAAAGCGCGCGAGGAGGCGACAAGCUUGCCAGGCGCGGGCCCACCCCCUGGCCACGCCUGGGGGGCUUGUGGCCACCUCGUGUGCCUCCCGGACUCCGUUUUCGUGCGGAGUACUCCUUCCGGUCUGAAAAAAUCAUUGUAUAUUCUCCCGUAAGGUCUGACCCUCGUAUCACGCAGAUUUCCUCUUUUUUCGUUUCGAGCCUGUUUUCUGCCGCAGAUUUAGAGCAAGAUGUGAAGUUGAAGAAGUGGAUGCUGAUCUGAAACGAAUGGAGGCUAGGGAAAGGCUACCUAAAGAGGCCAAGGGCAAAACUAAGGAGAAGAAUCAGGCAUGGGACAAAGUGCAAUCUGUGCUUAACAAGGAAGAAGUUGAAGAAGUGGGUUUCCUCCAACCCUACCUCUAGCUACUGUCUCCAUCCUUGAUUGAACUCUUGAGGUUUUGUGAAACAACUCGAGCUCGCAAUACUUAUCUCACUCAUGAAGUUGUUUUGCUGGAGAAACAUAUCACAGAUCUCCAAGGUAUAAAUCAAAGAUUAAUGGCCCUCUUGGAAUGAAAGGACAAAGCAACUCCACCACCAUCACCUCCAAAGGAAGACAACUAAGCAUGGGUAUGGGCAAUCCCCUUGGCUUGUGCCAAGCUUGGGGGAGUUGCCCCGGUAUCGUAUCACCAUCACUUCUUUUGCCUUUACCUUUGUUUUAGUUUGUUCCUUUUCAGUUUUCUUUUUCUCUAGUAGAUUAAAAGUCUUAGUGUUUUAGUCUUGAGUUUUGUUUUGUGUCACCCCUGAUGUAUUCGAGCUCGUGAGCCAUAUACUAAAGAGUGUCUUAGUUGAAGGGAUUUGCCUCUUGCCAUGAUCAAAAGAGUGAGAAAAGAACAAAAGCAUGAAAGUUCAUGUAAUGAUCUUAUGGGAAGUGAUGGCUUCACAUAUAAAAAUAAUGUUGAUUGAAACUUGUUGAGGGUAGACAAACGUAGACCUUGGUCAUUGUUGCAACUAAUAGGAAGUGAUAAAGAAGGAGAGGUUCACAUAUAAAUACAUCAUCUUUGACACCAUCUAUGAUUGUGAACACUCACUAAGCUAUUGCAUGCCUAGAAGUAGAUGUUGGACAAGGAAGACAACAUAAUCAAUUGUGUUUUCUUGGUUCUCAACAAUGUUAUAUGAUUAGAGAUCCCUUAGCAUGUGACGAUUGCUUCCACCUCAUUUUAGCCAAAAAUCCCGCACCAAUUAGAAAUACUACUUGUGCAUCCACAAACCUUCAACCUAGUUUUGCAAUGAGAGUCCACCAUACCUACCUAUGGAUUGAAUAAGAUCCCUCAAGUAAGUUGUCAUCGGUGCAAGCAAUAAAAAAUUCUCCCUAAUAUGUAUGAUCUUUUAGUGUGUGGAAAAUAAGCUUUGUACGAACCUGUGGUGAGGAAGACAUAAAAGUGACAGACGGCAUAAUAAAGUUCUUUAUCACAGGAGGAAAUAUAAAGUGACGUUCCUCCGCACUAAGAGGACACGCAUCCAAACCUCAAAAGCGCAUGACAACCUAUGCUUCCCUCUACGGAGGGCCUAUCUUGUACCUUUACUUUUUGCCCUUGAAAGAGUCAAGGUGAUCUUCACCAAUUCCUUUUUCGCCUUUAUCUUGGCUAACGUCAUAUGCUAGGGAAAGAUCUAUAUUCAUAAGUCAACUUGGAGGUAAGCAUUCAUGAAUUAUUGUUGUUGACAUUACCCUUGAGGUAAGUAGUUAGGAGGCAAAACUAUAAGCCCCUAUCUUUCUCCGUUUCCAGCUGAAACUUUGACCAAAUGAGUACCACGUGAGUUGUAGCAAUUGUAGAGAAUGAAAAGAUGAUUGAGUAAGUUGAUUUGCUUUACAAGCUCUUAUUUGACUCUUUCUGAUGUUGUGAUAAAUUGCAAUUGCUUCAAUGACUGCAGGCUAUAGGUUGUUACUUCUGGGUAAGGUUCUUGAUCCAUACUUUACUUUGUGAAGGAAUUGUCACUUUAGCAUGAGAGAUUACAUGUUGGUAUUGUUGUUCUGAUCAUGAUCAUGAUGCAUGCAUGUUCGCAUUUUGUUUUGUCGACACCUCUCUCCCUUAACAUGUGGUCAUAUUUAUUGAGCUCGGCUUUCACAUGAGGACAAGCGAGACCUAAGCUUGGGGGAGUUGAUACGUCCAUUUUGCAUCAUGGUUUCAUGUUGAUAUUUAUCGCUUCUUGGGCUGUUAUUUCACUUCACGGUACAAUACUUAUGCCCUUUCUCUCUUAUUUUGCAAGGUUUACAUGCAGAGGGAGAAUGCCGGUAGCUGGAAUUCUGUCCUGAAAAUGGAGCAAGUUUGAGAUACCUGUUCUGCGCAACUGCAAACGCCGUAAAAAUAAACAAGGAUUUUUUUCGGGAUUUAUAAAAAAUAUUGGGCCGAAGAAGUGGCAGAGGGGCGCUAGUAGGAGGCCACAAGCCUGCUAGGUGCGGCCACACCCCUGGCCGUGCCUAGGGGGCUUGUGGGCACCCAGCUGGCCCUCUGGCCCCCCUCUUCUGCUAUAUGAAGGGUUUCGUUCUGAAAAAAAUCAAGAGGAGGCUUUUUCGAGGAUUCGCCGCUGCCACGAGGCGGAACUUGAGCAGAACCAAUCUAGAGCUCCAGCAGGACGAUCCUGUUGGGGAAUUAAUUACUCUUUGUAAGGUUGCUAGUAGUGUUGAUUACUCUUUGUAGUUUAUGCUAGUUGGAUUACUUGGUGGAAGAGUUUAUGUUCAGAUCCUUGAUGCUACUCGUUACCUCUCUGGUCAUGAAUAUGAUUAUGCUUUGUGAGUAGUUACUUUUGUUCCUGAGGACAUGGGACAAGUGAUGCUAAUAGUAGUCAUGUGAAUUUGGUAUUCGUUCAAUAUUUUGAUGUGUUGUAUGUUGCUUUUCCUCUAGUGGUGUUAUGUGAAAAUCGACUACAUAACACUUCACCAUUAUUUGGGCCUACAGGAAGGCAUUGGGAAGUAGUAAGUAGAUGAUUGGUUGCUAGAGUUACAGAAGCUUAAACCCUAGUUUAUGCGUUGCUUCGUAAGGGGCUGAUUUGGCUCCACUAGUUUAAUGCUAUGGUUAGACUUUGUCUUAAUUAUUCUUUCGUAGUUGUGGAUGCUUGCGAGAGGGGUUAAUCAUAAGUGUGAUGCUUGUCCAAGUAAGGGCAGUACCCAAGUGCCGGUCCACCCACAUAUCAAACUAUCAAAGUAACGAACAUGAAUCAUGUGAACAUGAUGCAAACUAGCAAGACAAAAAUUCCCGUGUGUCCUCGUGAGUGUUUUUCCUCCUAUAGGACUUUGUCCAGGCUUGUCCCUUGCUACAAAAGGAUUGGGCCACUUUUCUGCACCGUUGCUACUUUUUUUACUUGUUGCUUGCUACGAAUCAUCUCACCACACAAUCACUUGUUACCGAUAAUUUCCGUGCUUGCAGAUAUUUCCUUGCUGAAAACCACUUGUCAGAUCCUUCUGCUCCUUGUUGGGUUCAACACUCUUACUUAUCGAAAGUACUAUGAUAGAUCCGCUAUACUUUUGGGUCAUCACUCCACCUUCCACUUGAGGUAACCAACGAGGGGCGAGAUGUAUAUCCAUUAACUCGUCAUCAAGCAAAUUUUUGGCGCCGUUGCCGGGCACUCCAGUUUUCAAGAUAGGGGAGUUGCACGCUAUCUUUUACCUUUGCUUUUUAGUCUUGUUAGUUUGCUUUCUAGUUUUUUCUUUAGAGUCGUAUACCAAAAACCAAAAAAAUAGUUGAUUUGCUUCUAGUUGUCCUUUCUGCUUAGUACAACAUGUUAAGGUUUGAUGCUUUGAGGGAAUUUGAGGUCCUAGAUUUCCAUCAAAGGAAUGGAGAAAAUAUUAAGGAGGCUUGUGAUAGAAUUUCUGAAGAACAUAAAAUAAUUAUGCCUUGGAUACCUAUAAUAAUUGUACUUAAAAAAUUUUAUCAUUGGUCUUUUAUAUGGUGUAAACACUCUCUUGAUAUUAUAGCUAAAGGAGAUUUUUUUAGAGUGUGAUCAGGCUAGAGAUCUUGAUAUUAUACAAGGUAUAUCUAAAUACCUUGAUUAUGGUCGUGGAUUUGACACUAUUAUAGAUAGACUUGCUGCCAUGGAAAGGAAAAUAGAUGCUCUAGAAUUAAGAGAAAGAGAGAAACCCAUGGUUGAUAAGAAAAAGAUUUUGAAACUAGAUGAUGACUCGGAGCCUUUUGUUAGAAUUAGCAUCUCUAUCCAAGAUUUCCCUACUUAUUGUGAUAUUGGAUCCCUGGUUUCCACAAUGCCAAAAGUUGUUUAUGAUUAUCUAAGCUUUUUAAACAUAGACAAUUUUUCAUCUUAUCAUGAACAUGCUAAUUGGGAUAUUUGUGAGAUCCAGGGAAAUGAAAAAGAUGUCGAGGUUACAUUCUCUAAAAGGAAUGCAAUAGUUGAUUUCUUCAUCAUGNNNNNNNNNNNNNNNNNNNNNNNNNNNNNNNNNNNNNNNNNNNNNNNNNNNNNNNNNNNNNNNNNNNNNNNNNNNNNNNNNNNNNNNNNNNNNNNNNNNNNNNNNNNNNNNNNNNNNNNNNNNNNNNNNNNNNNNNNNNNNNNNNNNNNNNNNNNNNNNNNNNNNNNNNNNNNNNNNNNNNNNNNNNNNNNNNNNNNNNNNNNNNNNNNNNNNNNNNNNNNNNNNNNNNNNGUUGAUUUCUUCAUCAUGAAGCCAAACCAAGGAAACAUAGUGCUUGAAAGGGACUUCCUCCGAGCCAUGAAAUGCUUCAUUGAUAUAGGUAAAGGACAAAUACGCUUACGUGGGAAUGCGAAAGGGACGUACCCGUUCCCUAGGAAAAAUAAGGAUGAACUUGUUGAGGAUCCGUUUGAAGGUUUCGAUGACUCCAAUGACUUUGGUGAAUUUUGAUCCUCCUUUUUGCAUCAUGCCUAGCUCAAAGGCAUAAAAGAAAGCGCUUGUUGAGAGGAAACCCAAUUUCCUUUUAAUUUUAGUUUUAGUGGUCUUGAUGCUUGUUACUACUGUAGCAACAUCAUUGUAUCUUUAUUUUCAAGCUUUGUGCCAAGUUAUACCCUCCGAUCGCAAGAAAGUUCAAAAGUUGUGACAUGCCGUCCAGAAAGAGAUUAUGUCGGCUUGACAAAAAAUACGCCAAAAGUCACCAGAUCAUCUUUUUGAUCUGAUUUCUUUUACAGUAUGCUCCAUAUAAUUGUCUUUCUGACGUCUAUUGAUUUGAGUUGCAGAAGUGCCCCAAAAAAAUAUUUACUACCUGUUGUUCUGUUUUUCACAUAUUCUGCCACGUUUUGCGUUUUCAUGAUUUUGCAAAAUUUAAACUUUCUUUUCCUUUGCAAAAACCUUUUGGAAAUCAUGAGAAACAAUAGCUUUUAAGCAGGGAAUAAAUUGUUUUAUUAUGGGUGCUAACCACUCUAAUCAGCUUAUGAUGAGUUUCGUAUGAAGGGAGUUUUCAAGUAUGUGAUGCAAGAUGAUGAAAGAAGAUCGAGCAAUGUCAAGCGUUCAAGCUUGGGGAUGCCCCCAUACACCCCCAAGAAUAAUUCAACGAGACUCAAGCAUCUAAGAUUGGGGAUGCCCCAGUGCAUCCCCUUCUCUAUCAACAAUCAUCAGUUCGUCCAUCCCCAUGUUGUAGUUUUAUCACCUCAUAUGUUAUGUGCUAUGCUUCAAGCGUCUCGUUCUUUACUUUUUAGUUUGUUUUAGUUUUGUCUGCUGUUCAUAACAAGUCGAAACCUAGCCUUCUUUGCUUGGGAGAGAAACACGCUCCACUCCACCCUAGAACACAACAUGAGUUUUCAUGCUUAUCUUUUUGGUGUGUUCUUUAUCGUUUCAUAGCUGCUGUCAUGCUUAGCUCUUAGUUUUCAUGCUAUAUCUUUUUAAUAGCUUUUAUUUAGGUUGCUUUUGGAACUCUCUUGAGUUAUCAUGCUUAUUUUGUUUAGAGAGUUUGCUUGUUGCACUGAGUUGUGUGUCUUGCAUGAGUAGGUAAUUGAAGUUGCUAAUUAAUUAUAGUAGUAACUUGCAAUAGUUUUCCGGUAUUGAUUUGAGUAAUGCUUGGAAUAUUGGUGCCAAGAGCUUGAGCCUAUCAGUGAUAGGUGUCGUAUUUUUGGAAAUCUGUGGGUAUUUUCAAAAACUAAAAAAGAAAUUAGUUGAGAACUCUAGCUACUAGAUUGAUCGCUAACCUGUGGAGGGUUUGGAAUAUAUAGAGUAACCUCACAUUACCAUGGGUCGAGGAUGCGCGAGGAUAACCAAACCCCCAAACACUCCUCCUCGGGGUACUUGUCUCUUUGUGAAUCUCCUAACUAGAUAGAGAGUUACUGAUAAUAAGUCUAUGAGUCCUUCGGACUAAUGCGAGUAUUCGAUUGUUGGCACUUCCACCAUCCAUAUUUUGCUAGCCUCUUAGGUACCGUGCAUUGCCAUUUCUCAUCUUGAGAGUUGGUGCAAAAUUCAUCGGUGCAUCCAAACCCUUGGCAUGAUACGCUCUAUCAUCAUAAGUGUCAUUAUAUCUUUCCUCAAAACAACCACCAUACCUACCUAUUAAGGCAUUUCCAUAGCCUUUCCAAGAUACAUUGCCAUGCAANNNNNNNNNNNNNNNNNNNNNNNNNNNNNNNNNNNNNNNNNNNNNNNNNNNNNNNNNNNNNNNNNNNNNNNNNNNNNNNNNNNNNNNNNNNNNNNNNNNNNNNNNNNNNNNNNNNNNNNNNNNNNNNNNNNNNNNNNNNNNNNNNNNNNNNNNNNNNNNNNNNNNNNNNNNNNNNNNNNNNNNNNNNNNNNNNNNNNNNNNNNNNNNNNNNNNNNNNNNNNNNNNNNNNNNNNNNNNNNNNNNNNNNNNNNNNNNNNNNNNNNNNNNNNNNNNNNNNNNNNNNNNNNNNNNNNNNNNNNNNNNNNNNNNNNNNNNNNNNNNNNNNNNNNNNNNNNNNNNNNNNNNNNNNNNNNNNNNNNNNNNNNNNNNNNNNNNNNNNNNNNNNNNNNNNNNNNNNNNNNNNNNNNNNNNNNNNNNNNNNNNNNNNNNNNNNNNNNNNNNNNNNNNNNNNNNNNNNNNNNNNNNNNNNNNNNNNNNNNNNNNNNNUAAAGAGGACACAUGAAAAGAUCCCAAAGAGGACAAAUGAGAGAUAAAUAGAAAGAGCCAAAGGGCCACAAAAAAAUAAAAACAAUAAAAAGAAACAAAAAAUAAAUAAAAAAUAGGGAAGGGGCAACACUACUAUUCCCUUUGAAAGAUCCACACUCGUACUCCAUUGUUAUACUUGUACUCCAUAGAGAUUAUCAUUCAUGCAUAACUUUGUGGGGACCCUUAUACUAUAGAACUUGGCUUGUAUAUUCCAAUGAUGAGCAUCCUAAAAUGAGCUCUAGGUCUUCAUGAGCAAGCAAUUUGGAUACACCCCACUAGUUCCAUUGGAGUGCUUACCUUAGCUCAUAUGUGCAUCCGUUGCAUGGCAAUCCCUACUCCUCACAUCAUAUCUAUCAUUUGGCUUCCUCUCGCCUAUGGUUGUCCUCAUUGAUGAGCCUUUCACACCCUUUUUAUCUUCCUUCCCCAUCAUUAUUCUAUUUGCCAUCCUAAGUGCCAACCUAUCUUGCUUGCGCUCAUCCAUUGCAUGAGUGCUCAAAGUAGAAAGGGAGAGGAUCAUUUUGACUUGUGCCUGACUAGUGGUCUGGGGAUGCGUCAGAAUAAGAUUCUGAAGGAGACCAAGUGUGAAGUUUAGUAGAUUGAGUUCUCAAUUAAAAAAUAUAUUUUAUGCUCUAAACCCAUCUCCCAUUUCUUGCACGCAAACACCAUUUGGAGACAUUCGAGUCACGGACAGCGAGAGCUCUUGCACCUUUAUGUUUUUACUUUGCUAUUUUCAAUACUAGAUAUAGACUCUUGCUUGUUAUUGUAUUGACUUGAAUUGCAUAUUUACUUUCUUUACUUUGAAGUUCUUAUAUGUGUAUUAGUAUGUCACCACAGAAAUUAUUUGUGUUAUCAUUUACCUACUCGGGGACGAGCAAGAAUUAAGCUUGGGGAUGUUGUAAGUCCCAAAUGUAUCUAUAACUUCUUCUUGUUCCAUGAUCUUUUUGGUGACAUUUUUAUAUGUUUUGCUACACUUUCAUAUCUUUUUACUCAUAUUUGGACUAACCUACUAACUUAGUGCACCCAGUACAAGUUUCUAUCUGCUGAUGUCUUUUUUGCAGGGGCUUUUACCCAAAUUUCCACAGCCUCAAAAAUCCCGAGAAAAAUAUAUAAAAAUCAGCGUGACGGAAGCUUCACGAAGCACGAAGAUGGCCCAGAAGGGAGCCAGGGGCUGCCCAGGUGGCCUCCCUGCAUGGCCUCGCCCCUGGACGCGCCCACAGGUCUCCUGGGUGGGUCACACCUCCUGUGGUGCCCUCCUUCGUGUUGGAAAUAUUCCCUAGAGGCAAUAAUAAUUAGUUAUUAUUAUAUUUCUUUGUUCAUGAUAAUCGUUUAUUAUCCAUGCUAUAAUUGUAUUGAUUGGAAACACAGUGCAUGUGUGGAUACAUAGACAAAACACUGUCCCUAGUAAGCCUCUAGUUGACUAGCUCGUUGAUCAAAGAUGGUCAAGGUUUCCAGGCCAUAGGAAAGUGUUGUUACUUGAUAACGGGAUCACAUCAUUAGGAGAAUCAUGUGAUGGACUAGACCCAAACUAAUAAAUGUAGCAUGUUGAUCGUGUCAUUUUGUUGCUACUGUUUUCUGCAUGUCAAGUAUUUGUUCCUAUGACCAUGAGAUCAUAUAACUCACUGACACCGGAGGAAUGCUUUGUGUGUAUCAAACGUCGCAACGUAACUGGGUGACUAUAAAGAUGCUCUACAGGUAUAUCCGAAGGUGUUCGUUGAGUUAGUAUGGAUCGAGACUGUGAUUUGUCACUCCGUGUGACGGAGAGGUAUCUCGGGGCCCACUCGGUAAUACAACAUCACACACAAGCCUUGCAAGCAAUGUGACUUAGUGUAAGUUGCGGGAUCUUGUAUUACGGAACGUGUAAAGAGACUUGCCGGUAAACGAGAUUGAAAUAGGUAUGCGGAUACUGACGAUCGAAUCUCGGGCAAGUAACAUACUGAAGGACAAAGGGAAUGACAUACGGUAUUAUAUGAAUCCUUGGCACUAAGGUUCAAACGAUAAGAUCUUCGUAGAAUAUGUGGGAUCCAAUAUGGGCAUCCAGGUCCCGCUAUUGGAUAUUGACCGAGGAGUCACUCGGGUCAUGUCUGCGUAGUUCUCGAACCCGCAGGGUCUGCACACUUAAGGUUCGACGUUGUUUUAUGCAUAUUUGAGUUAUAUGGUUGGUUAACGAAUGUUGUUCGGAGUCCCGGAUGAGAUCACGGACGUCACGAGGGUUUCCGGAAUGGUCCGGAAACGAAGAUUGAUAUAUAGGAUGACCUCAUUUGAUUACCGGAAGGUUUGCGGAGUUACCGGGAAUGACGAAUGGGUUCCGGGUGUUCACCGGGGGAGGGGGGGCAACCCACCCCGGGGAAGCCCAUAGGCCUUGGGGGUGGUGCACCAGCCCUUGGUGGGCUGGUGGGACAGCCCAAGAAGGCCCUAUGCGCCAAAGGAUAAGAAAUCAAAGAGAAAGGAAAAAAAGGGAGGUGGGAAAGGAGAGAAGGACUCCACCUUCCAAACCAAGUUGGACUCGGUUCGGAAGGGGAGGACUUCCCCCCCUUGGCUCGGCCGACCCCCUUGGGGCUCCUUGAGCCUCAAGGCAAGGCCCCUCCCCUCCCUCCUAUAUAUAGUGGGGUUUUUGGGCUGAUUUGAGACAACAUUGCCAUGGCAGCCCGACCACAUACCUCCACGGUUUUUCCUCUAGGUCGCCUUUCUACGGAGCUCGGGCGGAGCCCUGCCGAGAUCAGAUCACCACCAACCUCCGGAGCGCCGUCACGCUGCCGGAGAACUCAUCUACCUCUCCGUCUCUCUUGCUGGAUCAGGAAGGCCGAGACCAUCGUCGAGCUGUACGUGUGUUGAACGUGGAGGUGCCGUCCAUUCGGCACUAGAUCGUGGGACGGAUCGCGGGACGGUUCGCGGGGCAGAUCGAGGGACGUGAGGACAUUCCACUACAUCAACCGCGUUCACUAACGCUUCUGCUGUGCGAUCUACAAGGAUACGUAGAUCGGAAAUCCCCUCUCGUAGAUGGACAUUACCAUGAUAGGUCUUCGUGCGCAUAUGAAACUUUUUUUUUCCCAUGCGACGUUCCCCAACAGUGGCAUCAUGAGCUAGGUUCAUGCAUAGAUGUCUUCUCGAGUAGAACAGAAAAGUUUUUGUGGGCGGUGAUGUGCGUUUUGCUGCCCUCCGUAGUCUUUUCUUGAUUCCGCGGUCUUGUUGGAUUGAAGCGGCUUGGACCGACAUUACUCGUACGCUUACGAGAGACUGGUUUCAUCGCUACGAGUAACUCCAUUCCUCAAAGAUGACCGGCGAGUGUCGGUUUCUCCAACUUUAGUUGAAUCGGAUUUGACCGAGGAGGUCCUUGGAUGAGGUUAAAUAGCAAUUCAUAUAUCUCCAUUGUGGUGUUUACGUAAGUAAGAUACGAUCCUACUAGAUACCCAUGGUCACCACGUAAAACAUGCAACAACAAUUAGAGGAUGUCUAACUUGUUUUUGCAGGGUAUGCUUGUGAUGUGAUAUGGCCAACGAUGUGAUGUGAUAUAUUGGAUGUAUGAGAUUAUCAUGUUGUAAUAGUUAAUAUCGACUUGCACGUCGAUGGUACGGCAACCGGCAGGAGCCAUAGGGUUGUCUUUAAACUAACGUUUCUGCUUGCAGAUGCGUUUACUAUAUUGCUAGGACGUAGCUUUAGUAGUAGUAGCAUGAGUAGCACGACAACCCCGAUGGCGACACGUUGAUGGAGAUCUUGAUGAUGGAGAUCAUGGUGUGACGCCGGUGACAAGAAGAUCAUGCCGGUGCUUUGGUGAUGGAGAUCAAGAAGCACGUGAUGAUGGCCAUAUCAUGUCACUUAUGAAUUGCAUGUGAUGUUAAUCCUUUAUGCACCUUAUCUUGCUUGGAACGACGGUAGCAUUAUGAGGUGAUCUCUCACUAAAAUUUCAAGACGAAAUUGUGUUCUCCCCGACUGUGCACCGUUGUGACAGUUCUUCGUUUCGAGACACCACGUGAUGAUCGGGUGUGAUAGACUCAACGUUCACAUACAACGGGUGCAAAACAGUUGCACACGCGGAACACUCGGGUUAAGCUUGACGAGGCUAGCAUGUGCAGACAUGGCCUCGGAACACAUGAGACCGAAAGGUUGAGCAUGAAUCAUAUAGUUGAUAUGAUUAGCAUAGAGAUGCUUACCACUGAAACUAUUCUCGACUCACAUGAUGAUCGGACUUGAGAUAGUGGAUUUGGAUCAUGUACCACUCAAAUGACUAGAGAGAUGUACUCACUACAAGGAAUAUGCUAAUACACGACGCUAUAUUUUCGUCGCUACAUCGUCAUGGUUUUUAGUUUACGACGAUCUCACGACGAAAAACCAAGCGUCGAAAACGGAGCGUCAGAAAUGAACAACAGCGAUGUUUUGAUCAAAAUCGUCGUAACCUUUACGACGGUUCUUGGAUUGCCGUAACCUUUACGACUAUCCUAAAUCAUCGUUGGCAAUCUAACCCAGUCCUACAUGGCAAAAUUACGACGAAAUCAAAACAUCAUGGUUGAAAUCAGCCCAACCCAUUUCAAUUGAUCACAUGGGCUGAUUUUAUUUUUUUGGGCUUUUUCUUAUUGGGCUUCUUUUUGGACCUUAGCCCAUUUAUAGCCACUUUUAGUUUUUCUUUUUCGAAUUUUUUUUUGCGCCCUGACCUUUUAGUGCCCAAAUACAUUUGGUCCAGUUUCAGUUUUGGCCUUUUUUCAUUUUUGAAUUCAGCAAUUUUUUUUCCAGAACUUGGUUUCUUUUCUAUUUAUUGGGCAUUUUCAACCAAUUAUUUGUCCAAUAUUAAAUGCAGCACUAUUUAAUAUUCAAAUCAAGAAAACUCCAAGUCGAAUUAAAAUCAUCCAUCAUAUAACAUCACAUAAUACAUCUCCGAGGUUUACAUAACACAAUAACUUAUCUCAUUCACAGUUGACAAUCAGAUACCGGUUUUCACAGCUAAAGCAUCAACCCAGAAGAAUCUCAAAAGAAAAUACAGAAAUUAGCACUCGCUGUGCAGAAGUCAUCCUGCUCUUGCUUCCCCACUCCUAGUUUUGCAUCCCUGAUACCAGCUUUUAUGGGCUCUAGUAUACCUGCAUUCAAACAAAGUAAUGUAUUAUUGAGGCGCAUGACCUAGAUGGCAAUGCUAAAUUGUAAAACGUCUUUCAAAGAACAAAAUAUCAUCUCAGGUGAAACUGUAGCGUAAGUUUAAACAAAAUAUGAGGCAGAAAGAGUUUGUGACUAGUAGUACCAUCCAGACUCUAACAAAGGGAUACAUACACAGGAUCCAAGAUAAUAGAAGGACAAAUCAGAGAGUUAACAAAAUGUCGUGGCGAAAUACCGAACUACACUAAGUUGCAUAAUACCACAUACUUCUAUGCAUUAAUGCAGAAUAUAAAGCUCACAUAUUGAUUACUGAAAUUAUUUCCCUUCUGCUUCAGUACAAUAGGUAAAUUAGAUUUUAAAUUCAUAGGAUAAUCUGAUCCUACUGGAAGGAAGAGGCAGUUUAGAAAUUGAUGAACUGCAUUUUACUUUACUGUGUCAAUCAUAUCAAAGAGAGUAAUAUACUAAUAUGUAGACUGCUUGUUGCAAAAGAAGAGAUCGACUGCUUCUGGAAUAUAUAUUCAUGUUUUAAAAGGAUAAAAAUGUUAGGAAGGAAUGAUAAAUCCUGUAUGGUGGAACCAAACUCAUAGAAUAGCUCAGGAGGUGUAAAGGACUGAGAUCAACAAAUAAAAACUCCUGGAAUUAUCGAACUACACUAAAUUCAAGCAUGUCAUCAUGCCUUCUCAAAAAUGUCACCAUGCCUUUAGGAAUUUAGUUGACAUGAAAUUUUCCAUGCACGAAAAGGAUAAAUGUAGAAUCAACAAAACCAGCAAUGCAGGACAAAAAAAUCUACUUACAACAGUGACUCAAUCAUGACCUUAAGUUCAAUUUGAUAUGCUCAAUAAAUAGUAAAUAACACAUACAAGAAAGCAUGUAUUCCUCAGGAGAAGGGAAUGUAUCAUUGGUCUAGUAAGUAUAAUAUCACCUGCGUCAAUGAAGUAGCCGCAUGCAUGUUUUUUUAAUGAUCAAGCAUUGAAAUGUGUCUCAUUGUGUAUUACAAAAGCUGCAUGCAUGUGGGAAACUCUUGACACAAGAUAGAUGUGAUAACUGAGAGCAUGAUAGGUUAUUACAGAGAGGUAGGUAAGCACAAAUGUAAAGAUCUGAGUGGACUUGUGGAUAAUGCAUCCGAAAUGGGUUUUCUUUUUGUAUGAUUCACACUUAUAUGAUGCAGGAUAGGUGAUAGUUCAGUUUAUAAUUGCAUCCUGCAUGCUACUAAUAGAAUUUUACAAUGUUGAUUAGAUAGAACAAGCAUAGCUGUGCAGACUAUACAUUCUUUCUAUUAUUUUGGGAGAGAGUAUAAAUUUGAAUCGUUGGCUGCAGCAAUUUUGCUGUGUUAAAUAAUACAUCUGAAUAUACAGCACUGAACAAGCAUAAUUAGAAUCAAGCACACCAAGAAAGAUGACUUAUUUUUUGUGCUACAAAAGCAUGUACACCAGCAGGAGUUUUACAACAAAACAAAGCUCUGUCAUUGUAGUGCAGAAAUGGUAGAGGUUGAUCUGUGCAGCAAAGUGCAGAGACCCACAGAAGGAUACUCCAUAGUCCUAACAAUCAGGUAGAUCAAGGCCAGAUAUACGACAAUGCACAGACAAUACUAGCAUCUAACGGUUUUAUAUAGAUAGACAGAAUCGAAAUCGCGUACAGGAUGCAGAGCAGCAGAGCAGAGGACACCGGCCGGAGGGACGGGUAUAAAAAAAUGGUUGAUUUAUUUGGGGGUUAGCAGCAACUAGCUAGUACCAUCAGGGCUGUAUUCAUCUUUGAAAUAGGACAUGUGUAGCAUCUGGCCGCUAGAUCUUCCGUUACUGAUGAGCUCGUCACGGAAAGAAGGGUCGACCUCGCGAAGGGCAAAGGGCACGAUGUAUCACAAUUAGCGUCUUGAGCGCAACCUAACGAAUCAGAAACGAAAGUUUAUCAAUCAUAAGCACCAUUUUCUUUUUCUAAAGUAAGCAUCAAGAAAGAAAGUAAGCAUCUUCUAUAUAUCCAUGAUUGACUUGAACGACAUCUCACCGUUUCCAUCUUCUAUAUAUCCAUGAUUUUCUUUUUCUAAAGUAAGCAUCAAGAAAGAAGAAUGACAAUCAAAUUUCACACAAAAACUGCAGCAAUACUUGUUGUUAUGUUGUGUCCAUAACAAUCGCAAUUGAUGUCCACUUCAGAUCAGAUUUGGAAGGGGUAGAAAGAUAGGUUGGAGCUCACCAUGUGUGGAGUAGGAGGUGGAUGCAGGGGAGGGGUGGAUGACGUCCUGUAGCAGAACCUUCUCCUCAUCAGAGCAACCUGCACAUAACAUAGGUAGGGGAGAUGAAUAAAUGAUGGUGAGAAAAGGGCCUUCAACAUGUUCAUAUUGUGAAGAGAAAUAACAACAAAAAUACAAAACAGAAAAAGAACCUUCCGUGACAUGCUGUACUAGGAGCAAAUCCUCUCUCUCCGCUAGGGUUUGGGGCGCUCAGAGGCUCCAUGGGGCCGCUGCAUGGUGGGGGGAAUGGGACUCCAUAUCCAUGGCGGCAUCCCGUCCCACAGAGGUGUGCCCCUCCUGUCAUCGUUUUUGGCACGCCAAUGACGACCUACAGAGAAGGAAGAGAACAUGAGGUGAGCCGAGGAGGAGAUGGUGGGCGAUGGAGGGGAGAGGCUUACCGGUGCUGUAUUCGGGCACCUCUGACCUCACCGUGGCCUUCCGUGGUGGAUCCCGACGAACAAAAGGGGGAGCCGCGGAUCUGCACGGAGGUAAGGGGGGCGCGGACCAAAGGGAUCUCGCCGGUGUGCUGCGUGCGGAUGGAGCUCACCGGAACCGGGUGGUGUGGGUGGCGGCGGUGCGGGCGGCGGCGCGGGCGGCGGCGAGGGAGAGGAGUUCAUGCGGAGAGACGAGGCGACUUGGGUUGGGUGGGUUAGAGCGAGAGAGAGCUCGUGGGCCGCUGGAGGACGCACCGCCGGAUCUCACCGGAUAGGAGCCAUCGAUUCACGAUGGAGAUUGUCGGGAUUGUGCACGGGAGUGGUGGCGGCGUUAAGGGAGGAGUAAAGCUCUAGGGUUCCUGCGAGAUACAGAGAUAGAAAGGUUAGGAGGGGAGGGAGGGCCGGCGCGGUCGGCGGUGGCGCUGUGCGUGAGGGGAGGGAACGUGGGAGAGAGAGUUUUCCUCUCUAUGCGUGGGAGGGAUGGGGUGGCGGCGUGGGGUGGCGGCGUGGGGUGGACUGGGAGGCUGUGGGUGGAUUUAGGGUUAGACGGGGGUUAAAUACCCCCGGUUAGGUGGGCUGGAUGGGGCCGGCCCAGUUUGGGCCGAGGGGGUUUCUUUUCCCUUUUUAUUAGUUGUUUCUGUUUUUAUUUCAUUAUUUAACAGAUUUUCUUAUUUUAGCGCAAUAAAACCCCUUAAAAUUAACAAUUUCUAAAGUUAAAUUCUCUUAGGUAAUAUUCGACACACCCGAACAUUUUUAUUUUGACAUUCGAAAACUUUUAUCGCCUGACUUUAUUUUUAAAUUUUAACAUGGUUGGAAACAUCUACGGUUUUAAAUAUUAGUUUCAAAGUGCUAAAAAGAAGUAGAUUUUUUGAAUCGGCUAUAAAAAAUAUUGUGCAAAAGGGCGUCACUAAAAUAUUCACCCAAUUAUAUCACAUUUUAUGUAUGAUCACCGAGUUGUAUGCAUUUCCGACCUUUCUAGCUAUUUUUGAUCAUUUAUACAUAGACAUAGUUUGACUUUUAAAAAAACUAAUACACCUUAUAUUUUGGAAUGGAGGGAGUAGUUUCUAAGUGCUAAAAAUAAGUAGAUUUUUUGAAUCAUCUAUAAAAAAUAUUGUGCAAAAGGGCAUCACUGAAAUAUUCACUCAACUUAGACCACAUUUUAUGUAUUCACUCAACUUAAAAUUCAAAAAAAAAUCAAAAAAAUAGAAAACCUUCACAUUGUGUCAUUAUAUGUGACAAAGUUACUAGGUAAAAUAAUAACCUUGUAAUAUGGCAAGUAUUUUUAAAAAAUGUUCUCGAAAAUGAGCUAUCAUGUGUGAAGAUUAAUGGCUUUCAAGCCAAAUGAUCAAUCUUAUGGUCACAUUCAUGGCAUAGUUUGUUCAAAAGAUCUAAUAUUUUGCACAAGGGUGCAUAUUGAAAUGGCAAACAAUGCUACUUAAGGAAGUUUUCAUUUUCCUUGCAUGAAAAAUUCAUUUUCCAUUUUUAAGUGCCCAAAAUGAGUUUUUUUGUGAAGGGCCUACCAUAUAUUUGUAACAAAAUUGUACCAAAUCAUUUUUCUAACAUACUAGGACAUAUUUAAUGUACAAUUGACCAAAUGGUUGGGUGUUAAUGGAUUUUAUGGACCUCUCGUGAAAAAGACAAAUUUUCGUUGAAUCAGCUGAAAGCGGGUCAAAUUUGAACUGCAUCUACAUUAUAGUUUGCUCUUUAUUUUUCUUAAAAAUCAUUUUAGGUACACAAGUAUCUAUUUAAUCGUAGAAACACCAAAAUAUUGUCAAGGUUCAACCCUAGGUAGGAACGGUCAUACCCGAUGUUUUGACCGCGUUUUGAAAUGACCAUGAAAAAUUCAAAACAAAUUCAAAAAAAAUGGAAAACCAUUGCAUUGUGUCAUUAUAUGUGACAACGUUACCAGGAAAAAUAAUAAUCAAGUAAUGCGACAAUUAUUUUAAAUAAGUGUUCUUAAAAAUGGGCUAUCAUGUGUGAAGAUUCAUGGCUUUCAAGCCAAAUGAUCAAUCUUAUGACCACAUUCAUGACAUAGUUUGUUGAAAUGAUAUAAUAUUAUGCACAAGGGUGCACAUUGGAAUGGCAAACAAUGUUGAUUAAGGAAGUUUUCAUUUUCCUUGUAUGAAAACUUCAUUUUCCAUUUUUCAAGUGACCAAAAUGAGAAGGACCUACCAUAUAUUUGUUUCAAAAUUGGACCAAAUUAUUUUUAUAAAAUACUAGUCCAUAUUUAAUGUACAAUUGACAAAAUGGUUGGGUGUUAAAAUCUUUUAUCCACCUCUUGUGAAAAAGACAAAUUUAUGUUGAUUCAGCUGGAAGCGGGUUAAAUUUGAACUGCAGUUGCAUUAUAGUUUGCUCUUUAUUUUUCCCAAAAAUCAUUUAUAGGUAUAUAAGUAUCUAUUUAAUUAUAAAUACAUGGUGUGGUGCCUUGACGUCGAGGUUUGGAUGGUGGUCGAGGGCCCCAACUCCAAAGCGCGUGAACUUGGAUGUCAGCCGCAUGGUCACCGCCUGACCGUUGCGUUGCCAUGCGUUCUAGGUGGAAUAGGCAUGUCUGGUGGGUUGGACAAUCCCUCGGUAGGUGUUAGCAAUAAGAAUACAAUAGAAGAAUCUCACGAGGAGACCGAACUAAGCUCAAACAUAAAUUAGCAGCCAAGUGAUUGAUUAGCGGUGCGGGUAAUUCACAUAGACAAUGGGACUAAAUUUUGGCUCAGUAUGAUCAUCUACUAAGGAGACUCUCUUGGCAAAUUUUUAGCUCAAAUGGAUGAAUAUAGGUGGCACUUGCUUGGCAAACUAACACAUUGUGCAGAAAUAUGGAUGUUGAAGAUGGGAUCAAAUGAAUGAAUGGAUUGAGCUGAAAUUUGGUGUAUGAUGUUAAUUUGGGCGUACGAAGGCACUGUAUAAAAAUUAUAACAUUUGGAUAUGCAAAAGUGACACUUCCUUUACAAUGUGCCAAUCUGGACAAAAAAUGGCAAUUGAAACUGGGUUCACAUAGAUGAUUGGAUUAAGCUGAAAAUUGGAGGAGGAUGAUAAUUUGGGCACAUUAAGGUACUGUAAAAAUUUCAUAAAAUUUGGAUAAAGAAAAAUUAUACUUCCUUCACAAUGCUCUCUACUGAACAGAAUAUUGGGAAAAAUAUUGAGGGAAACUGGCGGAAUUAAAUGAGUUAAAAUUUGGUGGAGUGAGGUUAUAUGGUCAGUGUCAUCCCAUGGUAAAUUUUCAUCAACUAUAAAGCAAUAUAAAGUCUAGUUGCUUCACAAAAUGAAAAUAUUACCAGAAACAAAGAUUGGAUGAUGAGCUCACAUGGAUUGUUAUAUGUGGCUAAAAUUUUAUGGAGAGCUAUGUUUUGGGCACAUAGAUGAUGUGGAAAUUUUUUAACUCAUCAAGAUAUUCUUAUCUAGUACUUCCUUCACAAAGCUGUUAGCUGAACACAAACUUUGGAAAUUUGCUGAGAAAGAUUUACUAGGCAAAUCGUUACGAAAGUUUUCAUGAGGCAAUGAUUUGGAUAGGAAAGAGUGCCCAAACAAUAUGAGGGUAAUCAAAGAAAUAGAAAUAGAACUUCCUUCACAAAGUGCUAUUCUGAACAGAAUAGGAAAAUGAAUAUUUUUGAAUUAUUUUUGAACUAUGGAAGGGAGGUUUUUCACAUAUUUGAGAAAUAUAUAGUCCAAAGUAUUUAUGAGAUUUUUUCGAGAAUUUUCGAAAUGAUAGAAUAGUAGGUUGCUUCACAAACUAGGAUUAGAUGGGAUAGAAUGGACCCACGAGUGACAUGUCAACAUAGUUAGAACAUGUUACGACAUUUCUACAAUCGUCGUAAAAGUUAUGACGAUCUCAUCUUAUGCGGUUACGAUGUUUUGACUCACAUCGUCGUAAUUUAUAUGUAGAUUUGAUCCCCUCAAACGGUUUACGAUGAUCUCGGAUGAAAUCAUCAUAGAUUUAUGACAAAUUUGUCAACGACAUUUUAAAAAACAUCACAUAUGAGCAUAUUUCUUGUAGUGACUUUUUGAGUGGGAGUUCUUAAGUAAUAUGAUUAAUUGAACUAAUUGUCAUGAACAUAGUCUAAUGGUCUUUGCGAAUUACGAUGUAGCUUGCGCUAUAGCUCUGCUGUUUUUAUAUGUUCCUAAAGAAAAUUUAGUUGAAAGUUGAUAGUAGCAAACUUUGCAGACUGAGUCUGUGAAACCGAGGAUUGUCCUCGUUGUUGCGCAGAAGGCUUAUGUCCUUAAUGCACCACUCGGUGUGCUGCACCUCGGGCAUCGUCUGUAGAUGUUGUGAACAUCCGACAUACACGUUUCUGAUAACUACACGAUAGUUCAGCACAAAAUACUUAAUGGCUUAGAAGCAAGGCGCCGAAGACGUUUUGAAACGUCACAGAACAUGAGAGAUGUUCUAAAGAGAUGAAAUUGUGAUUUCAUGCUUGUGCCCUUGUUAAGAGGUAUGAGACCUCCGACAAGAUUCUUUGUCCAUGAAGUAAAGGAGAAAAGCUCAAUCAUUGAGCGUGUGCUCAGAUUAUCUGAGUACGACAAUCGCUUGAAUCACGUGGGAGUUGAUCUUCCAGAUAAGAUAGUGAUGGUUCUCCAAAGUCACUGCCACCAAGCUAUGAGAGCUUCGUGAUGAACUAUAACAUGUCCAGGAUAGAUACAAUGAUCCUUGAGCGAUUCGCGAUGUUUGACACUGCGAAAGUAGAAAUCAAGAAGGAGCAUCAAUAGUUGAUGGUUAGUAAAACCACCGAGUUUCAAGAAAGGCAAGGGCUAGAAGGGAUACUUCGUGAAACGGCAAAAUAGUAGCUGCACUAAUGAAGAGACCCAAGAUUAAACCCAAACCUAAGACUAAGUGCUUCUAUAAUGAGGGGAACAGUCACUAAGGCGGAGCAACUCUAGAUACUUGGUAGAUAAAAAGGCUGGCAAAAGUCGAAAGAAGUAUAUUUGUUAUAUAUGAUGUGUACUUUACUAGUACUCCUAGUAGCAUGAGGGUAUUGGAUACCGGUUCGGUUGCUAAGUGAUUAGUAACAUGAAACGAUUGCUACGGCGUAAACGGAGACUAGCUAAAGGCAAGGUGACGAUACGUGUUGGAAGUGUUUCCAAGGUUGAUAUGAUCAAACGUCGCACACUCUCCCUCUACCAUCGGGAUUGGUGUUAAACCUGAAUAAUUGUUAUUUGGUUCUUGCGUUAAGCAUGAACAUGAUUGGAUCGUGUUUAUUGCAAUACGAUUAUUCAUUUAAAGAGAAUAAUGGUUACUCUAUUUGCUUGAAUAAUCACCUUCAAUGGUUUAUUGAAUCUCGAUCGUAGUGUUACACAUGUUCAUGAUAUUGGUGCCAAAAGAUACGAGGUAAUGAUGAUACUACCACUUACUUGUGGCACUGCCGCUUGAGUCAUGUUGGUAUAAAUUGCAUGAAGAUGCUCCAUGAUGAUGGAUCUUUAUACUCACCUGAUUUUAAAUCACUAGUGACAUGCAAAUCAUACCAGAUGAGCAAGGCCUUGUUUUCAUUGAGAUGAAACAAGAUAGUAACUUGUUGGAAGUGAUACAUUUUGAUGUAUGCAGUCCAAUGGGUGCUGGGCACGCAAUGGAUAUCAUUAUGUUCUUACUUCAAUGACGAUUUGAGUGGAUACACGAGUAUUUACUUAAUGAAUCACAAGUCUGAAAUAUUGAAAAGUUCAAUUCUGUUUCGGAGUGAAGUUCGUCGUAACAAGAGGAUAAACUGUCCACGAUAUGAUCAUGGAAAUGAAUAUCUGAGUUACAUGUUUUGGUACGCAGUUAAGACAAUGUGGAAAUUGUUUCGCAGUUCAGGCCACCUGGAAAAUCAUAGUGUGAUGAUGUGUCUGAAUGUCAUAGCCAUGUACUAUUUGGUAUGGUGCAUGCUAUGAUGUCUCUUAUCGAAUUACCACUAUCGUUUAUGGGUUAUGCAUUAGAGACAACCACAUUCACUUUAAAUAGGGCACCGCGUAUUUCCGUUGAGAUGACACAGUAUAGACUGAGGUUUAGAGAAAUCUAAACUGUCGUUUCUUGAAAGUUUGGGGCUUCGACACUUAUGUGAAAAAGUUUCAGUCUGAUAAGCUCGAACCCAAAGCGGAUAAAUGCAUCUUCAUAGGAUAUCCAAAACAGUUGGGUACAUCUCCUAUCUCAGAUCCAAAAGCAAAGUGUUUGUUUGUAGAAACGGAUGCUUUCUCGAGGAAAGGUUUCUCUCGAAAGAAUUCAGUGGGAGGGUGGUAGAACCUGAUGAGGUUACUAAACCAUCACUUCAACCAGUGUGUAGUAGGGCGCAGGAACUUGUUCCUGUGGCGCCCACACCAAUUGAAGUGAAAGCUGAUGACGGUGAUCAUCGAGCAUCAGAUCAAGUUACUACAAACCUCGUACGUCGACAAGGUCUCAUACUACUAUAGAGUGGUAUGGUAACCCUGUCUUGGAGGUCAUGUUGUUGAACAAUAAUGAACCUACGAGCUGUGGAGAAGCGAUGGUGGGCCCGGAUUCCGACAAAUGGCUGGAGGCCAUGAAAUCCGAGAGAGGAUCCAUGUAUGAAAACAAAGUGUAGACUUUGGAAGAACUACUUGAUGGUCGUAGGACUAUUGAGUAAAGUUGGAUCUUUAAAAGGAAGGCAGACGAUGAUGGUGAUAAGUCACUAUUAAGAAAAGCUCGACUUGUCGCAAAGAUGUUUCCGACAAGAUCAAACAGUUGACUAUGAUGAGACUUUCUCACUCGUAGCGAUGCUAAAAGUCUGUUAGAACUAUGUUAGUAGUUGCUGCAUUAUUUAUGAAAUAUUGCACAUAGGAUGUCAAAACAUUGUUUCCUCGACGGUUUCCUUGAACAAACAUUGUAUGUGAUACAACCAGAAGGUUUUGUCGAUCCUAAAUAUACUAGCAAGUAUCCAAGCACCAGCGAUCCUUCAAUGGACUGGUGCAAGCAUCUCGGAGUUGGAAUAUACACUCUGAUGAGAUGAUCAAAGAUUUGGGUUUGCACAAGGUUUAUGAGAAACUUGUAUUUCCAAAGAAGUGAGUGGGAGCACUAUAGAAUUUCUGAUAAGUAUAUGUGGUUGACAUAUUGUGGAUCAGAAGUAAUGUAGAAUUUCUGUAAAGCAUACAAGGUUGUUUGAAAGGAGUUUUUCAAAGGAAUACCUGGAUUGUGCUACUUGAACGUUGAGCAUCAAAGAUCUAUGGAGAUAGAUCGAAAGCGCUUAAUAGAAGUUUCAACAAGAUGCAUGCCUUGACAAGUGUUUGAAGGAGUUCAAAAUAGAUCAGCAAAGAAGGAGUUCUUGGUUGCGUUGUAAGGUGUGAAUUUGAGUAAGACUCAAAACCCGACCAUGGCAGAAUAAAGAGAAUAGACGAAGGUCGUCUUCUAUGCCUUAGCCGUAGACUCUAAUGUAUGCCAUGCUGGGUACCGCACCUUAUGUGUGCCUUGACUCAAAGUCUGUUGAGAGGUACGGAGAGUGAUCCAUGAUUGAAUCACUAGCAGCGGUCAAAGUUAUCCUUAGUAACUAAAUAGACUAAGGAUUUUUUGUCGAUUAUGGAGGUGGUUAAAGAGUUCGUCGUAAAGGGUUACGUCGAUGCAAGCAUUGACACUAAUCCGAAUAACUAUGAGUAGUGAAACGGAUUCGUAUAGUAGAGUAGAUAUUUGGAGCAUUUCCGAAUAGCACGUAGUAGCAGCAUCUAUAAGAUGACAUAAAGAUUUGUAAAGAACGCACGGAUCUGAAAGUUUCAGAACCGUUGACUAAAACCUCUCUCAUGAGCAAGACGUGAUCAGACCCCAGAACUAUAUGGGUGUUGGAUUCGUUGAAAUCACAUGGUGAUGUGAACUAGAUUAUUGACUCUAGUGCAAGUGGGAGACUGUUGGAAAUAUGCCCUAGAGGCAAUAAUAAUUAGUUAUUACUAUAUUUCUUUGUUCAUGAUAAUCGUUUAUUAUCCAUGCUAUAAUUGUAUUGAUUGGAAACACAGUGCAUGUGUGGAUACAUAGACAAAACACUGUCCCUAGUAAGCCGCUAGUUGACUAGCUCGUUGAUCAAAGAUGGUCAAGGUUUCCCGGCCAUAGGCAAGUGUUGUUACUUGAUAACGGGAUCACAUCAUUAGGAGAAUGUAACAUCCCAAUUUUACUAAUUGGGAGUGUUUCCUGGCCAUAGGCAAGUUCGCAUGUGAAUUCCUUCGACUAUUGCUUCUGCAUUUCUAUUUUUUCUUUCUUCACACGAGAAGUGUCGGGAAAUGAUCUCUUGCACGCAAGAGAGAGCGGAGGAAAAUGACCCUCCAAAGUGCGAGACAUUUUUGAAAUAUUUGGAGCCAAGAAAUCCAAAGUUUUAUCGUAAAAAUAAUUGCCAAAAAGAAAUAAAGCAUUUAUGGGAAUUUCUGAAAAACAUUUUUAAAAAAAAGUUUUUAUUUUUGCCUUGGAAAAAUGUUAAUCGAGUAGAGGAUAUUUUUCUGAAAUUUUUGGUAUAUAAUACCCUAUAUUAAUUAUUAUUUUUCGUUGCGUUUUUAUUUGUUUUAGUUUCUGUUUGUGAAAAAAUACUAAAACAGGAAACGUUUUUUUAAAGGAAACCGCCGCGUGCGGCAUUUAAGAGUUGGGCCGAAUCCCACUGUAGCCGGGAUCCUGAUCCCCUUCGGAUCGGUCGACCGCCCCGAGCAUCCCAGUCACCUCUCUCUCUCCCUCACUGCCAGCGGGCUGCACCGCCCGAACCCACCCCGAGUCGGUCAUCUCCUUCCUCUCGUCCCUCUCUUUCCUUAUAGCGCCCCGAUCCCCUUCCAAACUCAUCGGAGCCGAUCCCCUCUCCCCGGAUCUUCCUGCCCCUUCCCUCCCGAGGCCCCCUCUCCCCCUAUAAAUACCCCCCAGUCCCCGCACUCCGUUCCCCACCUCGCCACGCCGUCCCGCCGCCUCUAGACGCCCCUUGCUGCACCUCGCCGGAGCACCAGCACAGCCGAAGCUCCGGGCACUCCACUGCUCGCCCCCGGCCACGCCGCACCUCCGCGACGCCACCAGAAGAACGCCGGAGAUCGCCUCCGCCGCCCGGACGUCUCCCCCACCUCGGCCGACCACCGGAAUUGCCACACCGGCACCACCUCUUCUCCUUGGACCCUGCCGGAGUUCAUCUCCACCACGGUGAGCACCCCACCCCUCCUCCACCGUUAGAUCAGGAACCAACGCGCUAGAUUAGGAGUUAGGUACCCCUUCGGUUUUCAAGUAAAAACCCGAACGGUUUUCUGCCUCACUUACUUUUAGCCGUAGAUUUUCUUAAGUUUCGGCCAUUUGCCCAUUAUACCCGCAGCACACACCCCGCAGCAAUUCAGGGAUUGCCACGUGUCUGUUAGUAUUUGAUUUCUUUUUCUGUUUAGUUCCAAAAACAGAAAAGUUUCAAUUUUGUUUUGAGCAUAGCUUUUGAUCCCGAAGUCCAAUGAGGUUGAUUAUUUUUCCAGUAUAUCCCAAUUUUUCUGUAGUUUUGAAAAACAUAUAAGUUGUCUAUGUUUGAAAUUUUCAAAUUUGAAUUAGAUCAGAUUUAGUUUAAACCUUGUUUUGCUUAUUCCAGGAGUUUAAAAAAUGAUUUUGAGUUGAUUCUUUUUGCUACUGCUUCGUAGUGAUUAUAUCUUACAGUGGUAGAAGUUUCAAAGUUUUGUAAAUAUUUUUACUUGGGUUUUUGACAGAAACAAGUUUCUGCCUUAGUGACGUGUAGUGAAUUCUUUCACUUAGGCCGUAGCAACUCUUUACUUGUGAUGUUAUUUUACUUGUUGUUUGAUUGUAGUGCUUAUGGUGUGUAUUUGUUUGUAUCGGUAUAUCACCCGGAGUGCGAAGCUUGUUACUUAGAAGCGCUCGAUCAAGACAACUAUCAUCAAGGCAAGUCAUUUUGAUCAUACUAUUUCCUAUGUUUUUCGACGCAUGGUAGUUUCACCUUUCUUUGCCCAAUUGCAUGCUGCUUAGGUACUUGGAAAUUUUAGUAUAGGUUGUACUAUCAUGUGGUAGGCACACAACAACCCCGAUACUUGGCCCCGGGACGACAAAUUUCAUAUUGCUAUGCUUGAGUAGACGGGAUUUCGGUUGAGUGUAUAACACGAGUGAUGCGAGGUUGAUUAAAUAAUCAAGACAGGUUAAGACAAGAUUUUCAAGAACUCGGAUGCAAUGCAACUCUGGGUGAAGGACGGUUGAUCGGCUCCCUGGAGAAACCAGUGGAUGACCCGGGAUGCUGGAGACGGCCAUGACACCUUGCGGAAAGCUUCACCCAGGCUCGAAGAGACGGAUGGAGACUUCAAGACCCAAGGCUUACCUGCACAGCCACAAGUCAUUAUGGGCUCUGGCUUGGUUGGACAACGCGGCGACUCUGGACAGGCGGUGCUAGUAGAUGUAGAAGAACGAUAGGAAUGGAUGGGCACCAACAGGGAUUUAGAGGGACCCGUUGAAAGAUCAUGUUUUGAUCAUCCGGUCUUCAAACACCCUAAAGUGCAAGGACAUACACGGAGGGGAUCAAAAUCUUGUGGGGAACGUGUGCAAAAACUCUGCAGAGUGCCCAACCUAAUCGAUUAGCCGUGUCCACGGUCAUGGACAACUUGAGCCGAAGGCAUUGAAAUUCCCCUGAACUCUCGACACAACUUAAUAAUGAUGUGGGUGUUAACAACAACUCGGGUACGAGAAUUGGUUGGCGGAACCAUCUCGUUAACAACAAACAAUGUAGUAAUAUUUUGCUUCCAGCCCCUCUUGUUGUAGGAUAACAUUGGCUUUAUGCAAAACUUAUAGCCCACCUGCCAAAUAUGAUGUAGACAUAGUUGAUUAUUAUUUUUACCCCUCUCUCUGAUGACUUGCCGGCAUAUUCCAUAUGCUGACCUACACGGCUGCAAUGUAUCAUGUUGCAGAGUACUUUUCCGACCAGGAGUGAGACUAGGAUCUACGCUCAGCGACAUGCCCUGGAGUCAGAUGGACUCGUCUACCUGAUGCUUCCGCUAGUCUUCGUUAGAUAUCUCAUGAGAUGGCCUUCAGCCACUUUAUUGUAAUCCAUUAUUGUAAUAAAGUACGCGUUAUGAGAUUUCGAUUAAUAAAGCUGUGUGAUUGAACUCUUGAUAUAUACAUUGAUGUACUGAGUGUGUACCAGCAUGAUCUUGGGAUGGUACGGAAACACCAGAGGCUUGACUCGUCUUGAGUCGGGUUGCUACAGAAAUGGUAUCAGAGCACACGCUGACCGUAGGACGUAACCUCUAGGAAUGGAAAAGCCUUAGGAAGAAAACUAUUUUCUUAUGUCUAUAAAUCUUCUAUUUCCUCUUCUGAUCAUUUCUGACUUCUCUCCGAUUUUCCAAUGUUUUAGAUGGCCACCUUCAUCCCCGUUAAGUUCACGGAGAUUUGCCAGCCCGACGCCACUAUGCCUUUCGGAAAGGAGAUGGUACAAAUCACCAAGGACUUGAGGAUUGCUCUACCGACUAUCACAAGGAAGCCGACUUCGUCUUACCCGAAGGAUUCGCGCUACAGGAUCGAGGUGCACGUUCCCGGAAGGACAUUCGAGCAGCGCACUGAGCCGGUGGAUUUCAAGUUCAUUGCACCCAACUGGAUUCUCGGAAGGGACAUGGCGGUCCAUUGUGCACUCGGACGUAUCAAGGAAGUGUACAGAGGCUGCCCUAUUUCAUCGGACCUAUUCAUGGUUUCCCGGAGAAGAGAAGAUGGAGAAAUCAUCUCAAGCAAGACCAAGGAUGCUCUCAUGUCCUAUGCCGAGACCUUGGAGAAGCACAGCGGGACUCUGGAGCAUCGUGUGAUCAAGGACGCCAGGAAGAUCAAGCAACCGUCGCUCCGCGAACUCGAACUCGAAGAAGCAGCCCGGGAAGCCCACUAUGAGCAUGAACUGGAGGUGAAGGACUUUCUGGAGAGGAUCGAGAAGCUGAAGACUCGAGUUGCAUACCUGGAGGAGGAACUGGACAUGGGCGAGAACCUUCAUCCCGAAGGAGACGUAGCCCCCUUGAUCAGCAAUGAUGAGGACUAUGAAGAAAGCUCCACCGAAGGACCCACCACCAUGCUUUUUUGAGGAGGACACUUAGACUAGACCACCAAAUUUAUUUUAUCGUUUAACGCUUAGGCCGAUGUUUAGGUUAUCGAAUUUUGUAUCCCCGUGUGAACCUUUGUGAUGGUAUUGAAUAAAAUGUGUGGUGUGAUACUUGUUUGUUGCAUUUCAUAUGGGUAGUGUAAUUACUCUUAGACCAUUGUUCUAUGCUAAUCUCACCCCUCUACAAACAUCAGGUGCCUCCGAGACGUGCCCCUACUUCCAACUUUCCGCCGGAACUCACCCAGUUGAUUCAGCAACAGAAUACCCUGAUGCAGCUGAUCAUCCAGAACCAGAACAAUAACAACAACCAUCAUCCACCCCGGGCCGACAAUCUCACCCGUUUCCUGAGGUUGAACCCUCCGACUUUCUCCAGCAGCAUUGAGCCCAUUGUGGCAGUUGAUUGGCUCCGCAAGAUGGAGCGGGAACUUAUCACUGCUGGUUGUACUGAAGCUGAGAAGGCGCGCUUUGCCGCGCAUCAACUUGAAGGCCCUGCAGCUGCAUGGUGUGAGAACUACACCACCACAUACCCCAUUGCUGGAGUCACUUGGGAGCAGUUCAAGCAAGCCUUCCGUACCGCACAUGUCUCAGCUGGUGCAAUGAGUCUGAAGAAGCGUGACUUUCGCAACUUACGCCAGAGAAAUCGCUCUGUGGCUCAGUAUGUCGAUGAAUUCAGCAUGCUCGCCCGUUAUGCACCUGGAGAUGUGGCCGAUGAUGCGGCCAAGCAGGAAAAGUUCUUGGAGGGACUCAAUGAUGAGCUGAGCAUUCAACUGACUGUAGCCACCUUCAACAACUACCAGGAGUUGGUAGAUAAGGCCCUCAUCUUGGAGGGGAAACACCAGCAGAUGGAGAACCGCAAGCGUAAGUAUGGAAUGGAAAGUUCAACUCCGGCACUCAGCAGAAUCCUCGCUACACCCCCUAUUCAGGGAAUACCGGGACUGGAUCCGGUAAGUUUGGAGGACACGUCCACCAUAACCACCCAGUGCACAACCAUGGAGGCCACAACCAUGGAGGAAAUGGGAACCACCGCAACAACAGCAACUUCAAGAAUGGCGGUACUGGCACUCAGCAGCAUUCAGCUCCAGCUCAGAAGGAUCUGAAUCACAUCACCUUCUUCAAGUGUCAGAAGACGGGACACUAUGCCACUGAAUGUCCCCAGAACAAGCAGGGAAAUGGAAAUGGUGUUGGAAAUAUGCCCUANNNNNNNNNNNNNNNNNNNNNNNNNNNNNNNNNNNNNNNNNNNNNNNNNNNNNNNNNNNNNNNNNNNNNNNNNNNNNNNNNNNNNNNNNNNNNNNNNNNNNNNNNNNNNNNNNNNNNNNNNNNNNNNNNNNNNNNNNNNNNNNNNNNNNNNNNNNNNNNNNNNNNNNNNNNNNNNNNNNNNNNNNNNNNNNNNNNNNNNNNNNNNNNNNNNNNNNNNNNNNNNNNNNNNNNNNNNNNNNNNNNNNNNNNNNNNNNNNNNNNNNNNNNNNNNNNNNNNNNNNNNNNNNNNNNNNNNNNNNNNNNNNNNNNNNNNNNNNNNNNNNNNNNNNNNNNNNNNNNNNNNNNNNNNNNNNNNNNNNNNNNNNNNNNNNNNNNNNNNNNNNNNNNNNNNNNNNNNNNNNNNNNNNNNNNNNNNNNNNNNNNNNNNNNNNNNNNNNNNNNNNNNNNNNNNNNNNNNNNNNNNNNNNNGUAUCUUUUCCUUCGACCGUGAGAUUGUGCAACUCCCGGAUACCGUAGGAGUGCUUUGGGUGUAUCAACCGUCACAACGUAACUGGGUGACUAUAAAGGUUCACAACGGGUACCUCCGAAAGUNNNNNNNNNNNNNNNNNNNNNNNNNNNNNNNNNNNNNNNNNNNNNNNNNNNNNNNNNNNNNNNNNNNNNNNNNNNNNNNNNNNNNNNNNNNNNNNNNNNNAUUAGAUUCAAAGCCAUAGUUUUCUAUUGACGUGGAGACAAUAAUAAUUCAAGCAAACUAGCAAAGUAAUCAUGAACUUUCAAAAUAACAAGGACAAAAGAAAUUUAUCCCUACAAAACCAUAUAGUCUGGCUAUGCUCUAUCAUCAUUGCACAACGAAUUUAAAUCAUGCACAACCCCGGUAUUGGCCAAGUAAUGGUUUCACACCUUUACUUUCUCAAACAUUUUCAACUCUCACGCAAUACAUGCGCGUGAGCCAUGGUUAUAGCACUAUAGAUGGUGUGGAAUGUGGUGGAGUUUGCAAGACAAAAAGGAGAAGAAAGUCACAUUAACUAGGCAUAUUAAUGAGCUAUGGAGAUGCUCAUCAAUAGAUAUCAAUGUGAAUGAGUAGCGAUUGCCAUACAAACGAUGCGCUAGAGCUACAAGUAUGUGAAAGCUCUUAAAGAAAACUAGUGGGUGUGCAUCCAACUUGCUUGCUCACGAAGACCUAAGGCAAUUUUGAGGAAGCCUAUGAUUGGAAUAUACAAGCCAAGUUAUAUAAUGAGAAUUUCACACUAGCUAUAUGGUGGUGACAAAACGAGAGACUCUCAAUCAUGAAGAUCAUGGUGCUCAAAAUGCACAGUGUGGAAAAAGUGGUAGCAUUGUCCCUUCUCUCUUUUUCUCUCAUAUUUUUUAUAUCUUUUUUUAUUUUGGUGGGCUCUUUGGCCUAUUUUUUUAUGGGCUUCUUUGGCCUAUUUUAUUUCCUCACAUGGGACAAUGCUCCAAUAAUGAUGAUCAUCACACUUUCAACUCAAAAGUUAGAGCAAUUAUGACUCUAUAUGGAAUGACUUUGGUAGUGUACCGUGGCAAUGAUCUAGCACGGCAUAGACAUCAAUGGAAACAUCAUGCUAGCUAUCUUACGAUCGUACAAAGGCAAAGUAGGCGUGGUGGCACAUAUCAUGGUGGUAGUUGCAUGGCGAUAUAUCUCGGAAUGACUUUGAAAAAGCCAUAGUAGGUAGGUAUGGUGGCUGUUUUGGGGGAGGCUAAUGGUGGGUUUUGUGCACCGGCAAAAGUUGCACGACACUAAGAAGAUAGUGAUGGUGGAAGGUGAAAGUGCAUCUAAACCAUGGAGUCAAUAUUAGUCAUGAAGAACUCAUAUACUUGUUGCAGAAGUUUUAUUAGUAAUCCAAACAAAGCAUUGAACGCAUACUCCUAGGGGAAGGGUUGGUAGGUAUAAACCAUCGUGCGAUCCCGACCGCCAUGCAAAGGAUGACAAUCAAUAGACUAAUCAUGCUCAGAUUUCAUCACAUAGCGGUUCACCAUACGUGCAUGCUACGGGAAUCACUAACUUCAACACAAGUAUUUCAAGAUCCAUAACACCUUACUAGCACGAUUUCAAUAUUACCAUAACCACAACUCAAAAAUAAUUGAGAUGAAUCAAACUUCUCUAACUAUUCAAUGCACAUGAAGGUGGAAGUUUUCGUAUCCCUUUGGAUAACUACCCCUUUUGAGACUACUUUCAAAGCAUAGAUCAACUACCAAGCCACGCACCACUGCGCUCUAAAAGAUAUAAGUGAAGAACAUAGAGCAAAAGUAUCUAGCUCAAAAGAUAUAAGUGAAGCACACACUACUAGGAAAAGGCCUGCUAGUGGCGCACCUGUUUUGGCUACUAAUGGCGCACUAUAGGUGCGCAACUAGCAUCACGCCAUUAGAAUUUUUUACUAAUGGCGCACCACAGGUGCGCCAUUAGUAUCNNNNNNNNNNNNNNNNNNNNNNNNNNNNNNNNNNNNNNNNNNNNNNNNNNNNNNNNNNNNNNNNNNNNNNNNNNNNNNNNNNNNNNNNNNNNNNNNNNNNNNNNNNNNNNNNNNNNNNNNNNNNNNNNNNNNNNNNNNNNNNNNNNNNNNNNNNNNNNNNNNNNNNNNNNNNNNNNNNNNNNNNNNNNNNNNNNNNNNNNNNNNNNNNNNNNNNNNNNNNNNNNNNNNNNNNNNNNNNNNNNNNNNNNNNNNNNNNNNNNNNNNNNNNNNNNNNNNNNNNNNNNNGGUGCGCCAUUAGUAUGUGGUAUACUAAUGGCGCACCAGGAAGUGCUCCAUUAGUAUAGCUCAUGGUGCGCCAUUAGUAUGCCUCCCAGGGGCCAUAUCUACGCAUGUGCUCUGGCUUACUAAUGGUGCACUAGUUGACGGCGCGCCACUAGUGUGCUUUUGCAGUGCGCCACUAGUAUGAAUAUUAGGUUUUUUUUUCUGAUAUUUGCACAGAUUACAAAACAUAUUAUUGCACAGAAUAUAGAGAGCACAACAUAUAAACAGCAGAUUUAUCGAAUACAAUAGAAGAUUAGUCUUCGAAUAUAAUUCAUCAUAUUAGUCUCCGAAUUUAAAAUACCGAACAAAGUUAGAACAUUACAAGUCUCGAGACCGCGAGUAGCGAGUUUGUCUUCACAUUACAAGUCGAUAUCGAUCAUCUAAACUACCAUCACAUAGAAGAGAGCUGCGGGCAUCACUACCAUAUGUGCAUGCGCUGCCAUCAUCAGUGGUGGCAUCCUCGGCGGCACCAUCAGUGGUGUCAUCCCCGACGUCACUAGGGGUUGUGUAGUCGGGAUCGGUGUCUUCCGCGACGUCCUCAUAGCGGUGAGGUUCUUCCUCCUUCUCCUGGGACGGCUCCCAAAAUGCCUUGCCCGAACCGCCGGCCACAUCGUUGUGGGCCAUGUUUUUCUCUAAAUAGGAAAAAAGUUUGGUCAAAAAGUUGGUUAUGGUCAAGGAACAAGAUCAUGGUCUCGUCAUUUAGGGUUUGUCGACACCGAGGCAUCCUAAAAGCUAAGUUUUUAUCAUUUAGGGUUUGUCAACGCCGAGGCACCCCAAAAGCCUAAGCUUUCAUCAUUUAGGUUUUUAUCGACACCGAGGCACCCUAAAAGCCAAGGUUUUAUAAUUUAGGGUUUGUCGACACCGGACCAUAGGGACAACAAGACAAGCCUUGUGGACGGACAUGCAAUGGGGUGUAGAAUUAGAAUAUGGAUUGCACAAAUAAAUGGUGCAUGCACUACAAAAAGGAGCCCAACACAGAAUUGCAAUCACAUCCUCAAGCAAGAUGAUGAUCAGUCACAAUAACACAAGACCACCACCACACAUCCAAACAAUAAAUCGCCAAUGGCUCGAUUACCAGCCGUUAUGUAUGUCCUGAUUGUGAGUGUGUGUGUGUGUCUGUGUGUGUGUGUGAGAGAGAGAGAGAGAGGUUAUGUAUGUCCUGAUUGUUCUACUUGGUAACAAAAGACUAUGCAAAAGUUAAAGAAAACUUAAAAAAGUAGGCAUAUAAAGCAUAGCAGUAUAUGUUCAUGUUCCUGAGCCAAUGAGUAAGCUAUUGCAGAUUAGGAGCCCCCUGGAUUUUUUAUAGUAGAAUAAAGCUACAAUUUUUCUUCUCCAAUUUAUUCCUUUUUCGACUAAUCACCAACCAAUACGCUCAAAUAGAAUGACGAUGUUCAUAGAAAUUUAUCUAAUCGCGACAACAUAACAAGUAAGCUAUGUACAUGGCAGGAAGGGGAAGAGGCAUGCCUGGAACGUCUAGGAUCUACAGGCCGUCGGGGGCAGGGGGUGGUGGGGAUGGAGGGGGGUUUACCACAGCAGGGAGCUCCCAAUCUUCUGUUCCAGGUGUAGCUUCACUUGUCUGCAAUUACAAAAGUAAUUUUCUUUAUCGGUCACUCGAGUCAAUUAAGCAUCAGGAGAAAGAUUGCAAUUGAAAAGGACCCUUAGGUCAACCAACAAAAGUUUGCACAGGGAAAGGAUCCUCAGGUCAACCAACAAAAGUUUAUUCAGAAAGACUAAUUUUUCAAAAAAAACAAUCGAAAAUGUACCUCUAAGACUAAAUGGUUAAAAACUUGGUUUCUACUGUUCGUGCACUGAUGGAUGGCUGAUUGCAAUUAAGCAAGGAUUACAAAAAGUGUGGCAAGCACAUAAAUAUUUAUGCAGUCUAAUUGGUAAUUUAUUGAUAUUAAUUGGUGAGUUAAGUAACUAACUAGAUCCUGCGAACAUUAUGGCAUAAAUCUCUAACAUUAUUUCCAGCAAAGUUAAACAUUAAGAGAAAAUGCACAUGGUUAAUCAAAAGGUUUCUACUGAUCCAGCGUCCCAUUAAGGCAUAAAUGAACCUUCAACACGAGAAAAACACCUUGCAAAUUAAAAAAAUCAUAAAAGAAAAUAUGUGUAAACAAAAGUGCUUAUUGUUAGAUUCCAUGGCAUUUCGGUAUCUGCACAGAGAAGGUCGAAAAGAACACCAAUGGGUAUACACGUAACAAUGCGAAUAUAAAAAGGACUGUCAGCAAAUAAAAGCGACAUCAAUAACAUGGGUUCUCAAGAUUUAAUAAGCUGAAUAGACCAUCAUUGAUAUUAGUAGGAGAUAACAUAUGUUACCAUUUCAGUUGCAGCCCUUUAUACUCAAACCAAACAGUAUCAACACCUGGUGGGAGUGAGCUGCUGAAAUGAGCCUUUAUAGUCGACACCAACAAUGGAAAAUACCCAAUUCUUGGCCCUAAAGUCGGUUGUAGAAAAAAUAAAGGUCAAUAAAUGAAACAAAUACUCUUGUGGAAAGGAAGAUAAGCGCUUGGGUAGGAGUGGAAAUAGGAGUAAUGUAAUGUACGUGCUGCACACAGAUGUGUCAUUUUAUUGUGUUGCAUCUGCGGAUAAGAAGAACAGAAAUAGUGGCAAUCAUGUGGAAACUCUUUGUAACACAAGAUGCCAACAAAAACGAGCAGCAAUGGCCUCACAUGGCUAUCAGCUUGGACUGCAAGCUAAAAUAGAUAUAAGAGAUGAUCUCUUAGUAACAAAUCUCUCACCACAUUUUUAGGGAUAUCAAGUUAAUAGAUAUAAGAUUAUGAGACAACCCAUUGUACACCAUAAUUUUUUGACAUAUCUAAAUUACAUGGCACGAUUAAGAAUUUAAGAUAAGGCUGAGUUAUCAACCAUUCUACAUGCCCUAAGUUAGAUAGCAAUGUGAACGAGUGACACAAGAAAAUAUUUUAUCAUACAACAGCAAGUGAUGAAAUUUGUAGAUGUUUUAUCUUUUUUUCUUCAGCACAUCAACCUAGAGACUGACACAUUGCCAAACAAAUAUCUACCACCACUGCCGUUUUACAUGGCAGGUAUACCUGAAUCAUACUCUGAGGUACUCCAGCAAAAUGGCCAUUGUACUGCUCAAUUCGGUUCAUGACAGGAGCAAUUUCUGGCUCAUCGCACAGAAGGGAAGCAACUUGAGAAGGUACCAACAGCGUUAUGGGGCGACGACAAACAGGGCAACUGGAUGGGCGAAGGCCAGAUCCAUGUAGCCACACCCCCACAAUGCAAUGCCCUGUACACAAACAAAUGACAAUGACAGCAGUGAGAUAUUCUGUUUAUCAAUGGUCCAGGACCAAAACGUUCGCUAGAAGCCGAAAACACAAGGCCAAGUUAAGCAUCAAACCAAAGUAAGCAAAGGAGCAUAAUCCAGCAUUCCAGUACCAGCAAUUGGCAUUGCAGUGGACUCAAACAUUGCAUGAAUUAAUUAAGUUCCACAAGCGCACAUGGUCCAUAUAUACAUAUAACAUAAUGUCUAUGAAUGAUCGAACAUGAUCCGAGCUGCAAACCCUGCAUCAUAAUACAUUUGUUGAUGCCAAAUGCAUGGCCCUUACAAAGUGGCAUCAAAUUCUCCCCAAAACCAAGGAAAUAACACAGGCAGCAGAGCCUGCCUGUGUUACUGCACUUCCUAUGAUCGUGCUACAAAGCUGCAACAAGUAAUAUGAAUCAGAGGGUGUGCUAGUUUUUGUUCUUUCUUGUCAAAAAAAUCUAAAAUUUACAAUCUGCAGAGAUUACAGCAACCGUCUGAAGUGUCGAGCUCACAAGUGAAUGCGCAAAAUUCUGAAACAUCAAAUUUACAAAUCUUGCUACAGAUAAGAUAACAACCUGCACUUUCCCACAAAAAACUUAAAAUGACAUAACCGCCCCGGGCACCGUAAUAACACAACUGGUGGUAUCCUCAAAAUCAUCGACACGUCGAGAAUGCCAACAGUCGAAUAGCUCUUGGCAACAGGCGUCACCGUUAACAAGUUGAAGCAACAAAAACACAACCGCUAGACAACACACAAGAUUUGAACAGCACAAAUUUUACACAGCAUGCACAGGGUUAAACACGAAAAUGUAUAGGCAUCCGAUCAAAAUACACAGGGUAAGCUAAAUAAUAAUAGCACAGGGCUGUACUGGGUGAGAAAGGGGAACAAACUAUUCCUAGAGCAAUUGUUCUGCUCUUACAGGAUCUACCUUCUGGCUGCUAUAACUAUCUCCCAUGAUGUUACAGGUUGCAGCACAAUGAGAAUGCCGAAGGAAGAGAUUACUCACGAAAAUGGAAUCGAGGAACCAAAUCGAGCGCGCGCGGGCGCGGCGGCGCACGGGGCAGCCCAGUCCCGGACCUAGCGGGCGAAUGCGGGAGGCGGCGAGGGAGCUGGUGCUUACCGCAGAACCAGUGGGAGCUGUUGGCCUGGUGGGGGAGGGAGAUGUCGACGCUGCGGCACACGGCGCAGCGCGUGUCGAGGGGAGGGCAGGGGCUGUUUCUACCUAUACGGCAAAACGGCCGCGAAACGGCUGGUUCUGCACGUGCCGAGCAACUGCAGCCCCAGAUCUGGGGGAGGGAGUGGGUGAGAGGGAGAGGGGGGACCACCACCAUUGUCGGCGGCGGGGACGGGUGAGCUCACCUUCAGAGAUUGUGGUCUGGAUCUCGACGCACUUGACGACGACGUUGUGGUCGUUGAGGCCCUCCUCCUCCUCGAUGAGGUAGUCGUUGUAGCCGUUCUUGGCGCCGGCGGCGGCGGAGGCGGCGCCAGGGGUGACCUUGACCUUGGAGACGAUGAACCACUAUGCGAAGGCGAAGACGAUGCCGAUGACCCCACAGACGGGGAUGAGGAUCUCCGUCCCGAGCUCCCCGAGGAUCGCCAUGGCUGGCUGGCUGACGAAACCCUAACGACGGACCGGACGACGGUGGGAGGGGUGGGAUGGGGGGACGGACGAGUCUUAUCCGUGCCGAAGGAGGCGGCGCGGGCAAGGAGAGGAAACAGAUCGAGGGAGGGAGGGAGGAGAGAAGUGGAGGAGAGGAGGAGGCGGAGCAGCGCGGCCGGUGGCUUGCGGGGCUAGGGUUUGGAGGGAGACGAGGCUGCAGGAAGAUGAGAGUGACGGCCAGGUCCUCUCCACAGAGCGCGGGGACUAGUAUGGGAUUUAAGAGGGGGCGAUAGCAAUGGCGCAUCCCCAGGGGGUGCGUCAUUAGUAACCCUGGGUACUAAUGGCGCAUCAGCUGGUGGUGCCCCAUUAGUAGUUUUGAAAAAAAAUAUAGUAGUGGCGCACCACCUACAUAUGCGCCAUCAGUAACCACUAAUGGCGCACCAGCUUGUGGUGCGCCAUUAGUAGUUUUGCAACAACAAAAAAUAUAGUAGUGCCGCACUCGGUGAGUGGUGCGCCAUUACUAGUUAAACUAGUAAUGGCGCACUCUGCUCCGGUGCGCCAUUAGUACUUUUGCAACAAAAAGAAAAUUGUAGUGGCGCACCGAGUGUGUGGUGCGCCAUUAGUGUCCAUCACACUAAUGGCACACCUGCACAUGGUGCGCCACUGCUAUAUAGUAGUGGCGCAGUACUUGUCUGGUGCGUCAUUAGUAUCUAUAUCAUCUAUAGCCCUUUUCCUAGUAGUGACAUGUGAGCUGAAUUGUCUACCAAAAGAUAUAAGUGAAGCUCGACAAAAUCACGUUGUGUGCAGGUCUCUCUCUCUAGGUGUGCAGCAAGGAUGAUUGUGACCCAACAAAAAUAAAAGAAUCCUACGAUACAAGACGCUCCAAGCAAAAACACAUAACAUGUGGUGAAUAAAAAUAUAGCCCCACGUAACGUUACCGAUGGAUUGAAGACGAGAGAGGGGAUGCCUUCCCGGGGCAUCGUCAAGCUUAGGCUUUUACGGCAUUCUUGAAUCUCUUGGGGUGCCUUGGGCAUCCCCAAGCUUGAGCUCUUGCCACUCUUUAUCUUUUCGUCCAUAAGAACUUCACUCAAAACUUGAAAACUUCACAACACGAAACUUAAACACAAACUCGUGAUAACAUUACUACAAGAAAACAAACCACCACUUCCUUAGGUACUGUAGCAAACUUAAAUUCUACUUGUGCUGAUGUUGGGUUACUGUACUUUCAAUCUUCCAUGGCUAGUACCCCCCGAUACUAUCCAUAGUUUCAUCAAAAUAAGCAACCAACACAACAAAAACAGAAUCUGUUAAAAGCAUACCAGUCUGUAGCAAUCUGUAUGUUUCGUAUACCUCUGGUACUUCAAAAAUUCUGAAAACUUACGACAGUUUGAAGAAUUUGCGUAGCAAUGAGAAGAAAAAAGAAUCAACUCCAAAUCUCUUACAGAAAAAAAAAUAUUUUCGUGAGCAGAAAGUUUCUGUCUUUCCCAGCAUGACCAAACGAUCAUCCUCAAGACUAAUCAUAACGGUUUUGCUUGGCACAAUCGCAAAAAGAAACACAAAAAACACAAUCAUAACAGAAUUACGAAAGUGUGGAAAACAAAAAGCAGAAAGAAAAAGGAUAGAUUCGUUGGGUUGCCUCCCAACAAGCGCUUUUGUUUAACGCCCUUAGCUAGGCAUUCCCUGAUGCUCUCACAAAAGACAAGAAUUGAAGCACAACGAGAGCAUCCUAACGCAUGCCAAAAUCAUAUCUAAGUCUAACAUACUUCCUAUGCAUAGGCAUUUUAUAGGAAAACAAAUUGUCAAGACAACCAAUAGCGGCCAUAUGCAAGGAAGAAGAAAGAGACAAGAGCAAUCUCAACAUCACGAGAGGUGAUGUGGUAAAAUGAAAGUUUCUACCAACAUAUUUUCCUCUCUCAUAGCAAUUACAUGUGGAUCAUAUUCGAAUUCAACAAUGUAACUAUCACAAAGGAUAUUCUUUUCAUGAUCCACAUGCAUGCAAAGUUGACGCUCUUCAAAAAUAGUGGGAUUAUCAUCAAAGAAAGUCAUGACUUCUCCAAUCCCACUUUUAGUAUUGUUGCAAAUAUCAUAUUCAUCAUGAGGUUGGAACAAAUUUUUAAGAUCAUAAGAAAGAUCAUCACCCCAAUCAUGAUUAUUGCAGAAAGUAGUGGACAAAGCAAAACUAGCAUCCCCAAGCUUAGGGUUUUGCAUAAUUUCAGCAUGAUUGUCACUAAAAGGAUUUAUGGUGAAAUCAUUGCAAUCAUGCUUUUCAUCCAAGGAGCCCUCGUGAAUCACUUUAUGAAUUUCUUCCACAUAAUUUUCAGAUUCACGCAUCUUAUGCAAAACUCCAAAGAAAUAGUCAAUUGCCCUCAACUCAAUAGCAAUUUGUUCCACACGAGUGGGUCUCAUAAAGAGACUAGCUAGUGGAUGAUGAUCCAAAUCACUAGAUUUUCAGCAAGCGAAGAUGCAAGCAUAUUGAGGGCACAUGGCACACAAGCGAACAGAAAGCAAGCGAUAGAAAAGGGUGAACAAAAAAGGCAAAGGAGAAAGGCAACUGAAAAGGCAAAUGUGAAGUGGGGGAGAGGAAAACAAGAGGAAACUGGCAACAAAAAUAAAUGCAAGAGAAGAGUUUGUGAGACCUAAUUGGAUAGAUCUUGAUUUCUCCUCCCCGGCAACGGCGCCAGAAAUACUUCUGAUGUUUGCUGUGUACCCCUAGCAAUGGUGCCAGAAAUACUUCUGCUACUGCACAAAAGACCUUCCAACGGCGCCAGAGAUAGGCACGUCGACAGGAGAAUACUUGGCUUGAUCUUUAUGUUGUGGCUACGCCUUAAGGGACUUCCUAGGAAAGUAUGCGAAGGAUUUCCCCCGUGGCCUUGGAGCUUUGCAUUGGUGUUCCCUCGAAGCGGAAAGGGUGAUGUAGCACAACGACAGUAAGUAUAUCCCUCAAUUUGAGAACCAAGGUAUCAAUGUGGCGGAAGAGUAUCUUAAGAUCCUGCACAAUCACAAAAUCUUGCACCCAACGCUAUGAAGGAGUUGUCAAUCCCUUAUAGAUUGUUUGCCAUGUGAGAAUUGAAAGCAACAAAGUAACAAAGCAAAGUAAAAGUGGAGUUGUAAACGAUGGAUGUGAAUAGACCUGUGGGACGUAGUGUUUACUAGUGGCUUCUCUCAUGAAAGCAAGUGGAUGGUGGGUGAACAAAUUACUGUCGAGCAAUUGAUAGAACUGUGCAGAGUCGCGACGAUAUCUAUGCAAUGAUUAUUUCAAUAGGCAUCAUGUCCGAGACAAGUAGACCAAUACUGUCUGCAUCUACUACUAUUACUCCACACGUCUACCACUAUCCAGCAUGCAUCUAGUGUAUUAAGUCCAUAAGAACAGAGUAACUCCUUAAGCAAGAUGACAUGAUGUAGAGGGAUAAUCUCAAACCAAUGAUAAAACCCCAUCUUUUUCACCCUUGAUGGCAACUGCUUGAUGUGUGCCUUGCUACCCCUACUGUCACUGGGAAAGGUCACCACAUGGCAGAACCCAAAACCAAGCACUUCUCCCAUUGCAAGAAUCAUAGAUCUAUUUGGCCAAACAAAACCCAAGAUUCGGAGAGACUUACAAGGAUAUAAAAUCAUGCAUAUAUGAAAUCAGCAAAGACUCAAAUAGAUAAUCUGAUCACAAGUCCACAAUUCAUCAGAUCUCGACAAACACACCGCCAAAGAAGAUUACAUUGGAUAGAUCUCCAUGAAGAUCAUGGAGAACUUUGUAUUGAAGAUCCAAGAGAGAGAAGAAGCCAUCUAGAUACUAACUACGGACCCAUAGGUCUGAAGUGAACUACUCACGAGUCAUUGGAGGGGCGAUGAUGAUGAUGAAGAAGCCAUCCACCUCCAAAGUCCCCUCCAGCAGGGCACCGGGAAGGGUCUCCUGAUGAGAUCUCGCGGAAACGGAAGCUUGCGGCGGCGGAAAAGUAUUUUCGAGGCUCCCCUGAUUUUUUGCGGAAUAUUUGGGAAUAUAUAGGCGCAAGACCUAGGUCUGGAGGCGGCUAGGGAAGCCACAAGCUUGGACAACUCCGCCUCCCCCCUGGUCGUGGGGUGGGAGCUUGUGGGCUCUCUGGUGCCCACUUGACUUGGCCCAAAGGCUCCCUAGACUUCUUUCGUUCGGGAAAAAAAAUCAUUUUGGGGUUUUUCUUCCAUUUGGACUACGUUCCAAAAUCAGAUCUGAAAAGAGUCAAAAACACGGAAAAAUAGGAACUGGCACUUGGCACUGAAUCAAUAAGUUAGUCCCAAAUAAUAUAUAAAAAGGUACAUAAAACAUACAAAGAAGGCAAGAUAAUAGCGUGAAACCAUCAAAAACUAUAGAUACGUUUCAGACAUAUCAGGCAUCCCCAAGCUUAGGCUUUUUGGUGUCCUUCAAUUUGGCUUGGGAUGCCUUGGGCAUCCCCAAGCUUGAGCUCUUUCCACUCCUUAUCUCAUCGUCCAUGAGAACAUCACCCAAAACUUGAAAACUUCACAACACAAAACUUAAACAGAAACUCGUGAUAACAUUAGCACAAGAAAACAAACUACCACUUCUUUUGGUACUGUAUAAAACUUGAAUUCCAUCUAUAUUGGUGUUGGGCUACUGUAUUCUCACUUUUCCAUGGCUAGUACCCCCAGAUACUAACCAUAGUUUCAUCAAAACAAGCAAUAAACUCAACAAAAACAGAAUCUGUCAAAAAUAGACCAAUCUGUAGCAAUCUAUAUACUUCGUAUGCUUAUGGUACCUCAAAAAAUCUGAAAAUUUACGACUGCCUGGGCAAAAGGCAUAUCAACUAGCAGAAAAACGAAUAAACUCAAAAGCACUUUCUGAAUAAAAAUGAAAAAUCAUCUCAUGAGCGAAAAGUUUCUGUCUGUUUCUAGCAGGAUCAAACAACCAUUACCAAGACUAGUCAUAAAGGUUUUUCUAGGCUGAAACACAAAAAGAAACACAAACAAACACUAUCAGAACAGAAUUGUGAUGGUGUGGACGCAACAAACAGAAAGAAAAAGAUAAAUUCAUUGGUUUGCCUCCCAACAAGCGCUAUUGUUUAACGCCCUUAGCUAGGCAUAAAAGCGAUAGAAUCACGUAUCGUCGUCUUUGGUGCUCAAACUAUUAGUAGCGUGAUCACUUAUCAUCUUAAGGUUUUCAUCUUUCUUGAUAGAUGAUUCACCACUAUUUUUGGGAACCAAAACAAACUUGGUGACCUUAUUGUGGGCAAAGUUUGGAGUAUUCUGCACAGCGCCAAAAGCGGAACCCAAGUUGGUUAUAACAUCCUCUAGUUUGCCAAUCCUAGCGGAAUCAUGACCUAGUUUUUCGUUAACUGUGGGUUCCUUCUCCUUUAAAUUUUUCAAAACCAUUCCCACCUUGGAUCCGUACUGAGUGAUUUGAUUGUGGAUCUUUUUAUCCAAAUUCUCAAUGAGUUCUAUCGUAGCAACUUUAUUUUCAAUGACGUCCCGCCUACGCAUCACAUGUUCCAGAGUUAAGGUAGUUCCAUUAACCAUGAGUGGGGGUGAGCCUACCAAAUUUAUGAUAGAUCCGUAAGAAUCAACGGUAUGGCUACCCAUGAAAUUUCCACCUACGAUGGUGUCAAGAAUAUACCUAUUCCAAGGAGAAACAACCACGUAAAAACUACGAAGUAGGACGGUAGUGGAUUGCUUAUGAGUAGAUCUACUCUAAGCAUUGCAAAUCCUAUACCAAGCGUCCUUUAAGUUUUCUUCCUCAAUUUGUUUGAAAUUUAGGACUUCGCUCUCGGGAGUAUCAUUCGAAGUGGUGGAUCUAGCCAUGAGGACAUGUAGACUAUCCCACACAGACGAACAGAAAGCAAGCGAGAGAAAGGGGCACACGAAAAGGCAAACGAAAAAGGCAAAUUGGUGAAGUGGGGGAGAGGAAAUGAGAGGCAACUGGCAAACAAAGUAAAUGCAAGAGAUGAGUUUGCAACACCUACUUGGAUGAGUUCUUUACUUGAUCUUCCUCCCCGGCAACAACGCCAUAAAUCCUUCUGCUACGUCAACAAAAGUCGUUCCCCGAGAGUGGUGCCAGAGAUCCUUUCGUCGUCUCUUGAGCUCGCGUUAGUUUUCCCUUGAAGAGGAAAGGGUGAUGCAGCACAGGAGCAGUAAGUAUUUCCCUCAGUUUCAGAACCAAGGUAUCGAUCCAGUAGGAGGGUCUCGUCAAGUCCAGAGUACCUGCGCAAACACAAACAAGCUUGCACCCAACGCUUCAAAGGGGUUGUCAAUCCCUUCAAGUUUGUUUGCAAAGUGAGAUCUGAAGGUGGAAAGUGCAACGAAGUAAAAAGUGUAAGGCUGAAAAUAUGGUGUGGAGUAGACCCGGGGCCAUAGUGUUCACUAGAGGCUUCUCUCAAAAUAGCAAGUAUCACGGUGGGUAAACAAAUUACUGUCGAGCAAUUGAUAGAACUGCGCAAAGUCAUGACGAUAUCUAAGGCCAUGAUCAUACAUAUAGGCAUCAUGUCCGCGACAAGUAGACUGAUACUUUCUGCAUCUACUACUAUUACUCCACACAUCGACCGCUAUCCAGCAUGCAUCUAGUGUAUUGAGUUCAUGACGAACAGAGUAAUGCUUUAAGCAAGAUGACAUGAUGUAGAGGGAUAAUAUCAAACCAAUGACGAAAACCCCAUCUUUUUACCCUUGAUGGCAACAACAUGAUGCGUGCCUUGCUACCCCUUCUGUCACUCGGUGAGGUCACCACACAGUAUGAACCCAAAACCAAGCACUUCUCCCAUUGCAAGAAUCAUAGAUCUAAUUGGCCAAACGGAACCCACAACGCGAAGAGAAUUACAAGGAUAUGAAAUCAUGCAUAAGAGAGAUUAGAAGAAACUCAGUUAAGAUACAUAGAUAAUCUGAUCAUNNNNNNNNNNNNNNNNNNNNNNNNNNNNNNNNNNNNNNNNNNNNNNNNNNNNNNNNNNNNNNNNNNNNNNNNNNNNNNNNNNNNNNNNNNNNNNNNNNNNNNNNNNNNNNNNNNNNNNNNNNNNNNNNNNNNNNNNNNNNNNNNNNNNNNNNNNNNNNNNNNNNNNNNNNNNNNNNNNNNNNNNNNNNNNNNNNNNNNNNNNNNNNNNNNNNNNNNNNNNNNNNNNNNNNNNNNNNNNNNNNNNNNNNNNNNNNNNNNNNNNNNNNNNNNNNNNNNNNNNNNNNNNNNNNNNNNNNNNNNNNNNNNNNNNNNNCAUCGGAUAGAUCUACAUGAAAAUCAUGGAGAACUUUGUAUUGAAGAUCCAAGAGAGUGAAGAAGCCAUCUAGUUACUAGCUAUGGACCCGUAGGUCUAUGGUGAACUACUCACGCAUGAUAGGAGAGGUCAUGGUGUUGAUGAACAAGCCCUCCGUAUCCGAAUCCCCCCUCCGGCAGAGCACCAGAACGUGCCCCAGAUGGGAUCUUGUGGAGACAGAAGCUUGCGGCGGCGGAAAAGUACUUUCGGUGAUCUCCUGAUUUUUUGGUAUUUUUAGGGAAUAUAUAGGCGCAACCCCUAGGGCAGAGGGCGUCCAGGGGGCCCACAAGCCUAUGGGCCACGGCCUCCCCCUGGCCGCGGGGUGAGGGCUUGUGGGGCCCCUGGGCCCUCCUGCCUUGGCUCUCAAGUCUCCUGAUCUUCUUCCGUUAUGGAAAAAUUCUUUUUGGGGAUUUUAUUCCGUUUGGACUCCGUUUCAAAAUGUCCUCUGAAAGGGGUCAAAAACAUGGAAAAAACAGGAACUGGCACUUGGAACUGAGUUAAUAAGUUAGUCCCAAAAAAUAUAUAAAAGGCAUGCAAAACAUCCAAAGUUUGACAAGAUAAUAGCAUGAAACCAUCAAAAAUUAUAGAUACGUUGGAGACGUAUCACUUCCCAUUUAGAGAGAAGCUUGCCUGCAAAAAAUCUUAAAUGAGAAUUAUAUAGCAAGACAUAAUCACCUACAUUGAACUCACGCUUUUGUAUCCUCUUAUCCUGCCACCUCUUAACCUUUUCUUUGAACAACUUGGCAUUCUCGUAUGCCUGAGUCGUCCAUUCAUCAAGCGAGCUAAUGUCAAAUAACCUCUUUUCACUAGCAAGUUUGAAAUCAAAGUUGAGCUCUUUGAUUGCCCAAUAAGCUUUAUGCUCUAGCUCAAGAGGUAAAUGACAUGCUUUACCGUACACCAUUUUGUACGGAUACAUGCCCAUGGGAUUCUUAUAGGCAGUUCUAUAAGCCCACAGUGCAUCAUCUAGCUUCUUAGACCAAUUCUUUCUAGACGUGUUGACAGUCUUUUGUAGAAUUAGUUUAAUCUCUCUAUUGCUUAGCUCUACUUGAUCACUGGACUAAGGGUGAUAGGGGACGCAAUUCUAUGGUUGACAUCAUACUUAGCAAGCGUUUUACGGAAAGAACCAUGAAUGAAAUGUGAACCACCGUCGGUCAUUAGAUAUCUAGGGAAAAUAACUUCUUUAAGCAUCCUGAUAGAAGUGGUGUGAUCAAAACUAAUAGUGGGGAUAGCUUCUACCUACUUAGUGAUGUAGUCAACAGCAACCAGGAUGUGAGUAUACCCGUUGGAUUUUGGAAAAGGUCCCAUAUAAUCAAAGCCCCGGACAUCAAAUGGUUCAAUGACAAGUGAAAAGUUCAUAGGCAUUUCCUAACGUUUACCGAUGUUACCUACUCUUUGACAUUCGUCACAAGACAAGACAAACUUACGGGCAUCCUUGAAGAGAGUGGGUCAAUAGAAACCUGAUUGCAAUACCUUGUGUGCAGUUCUAUCUCCCGCAUGGUGUCCUCCAUAGGCCUCGGAGUGACACUUCUGUAGGAUAUGUCCCUGUUCAUGUUCAGGUACACAACGUCUAAUAACACCAUCUACUCCUUCCUUAUAAAGGUGAGGAUCAUCCCAAAAGUAAUGUCUCAAGUCAAAGAAGAAUUUCUUCUUUUGCUGGUAUGUGAAACUAGGUGGUAUAUAUUUGGCGACGACAUAGUUUGCAUAAUCAGCAUAGCAUGGUGCACUAUGUGAAGUAUUGAUGACAUUCAAUUGCUCAUCGGAAAAGCUAUCAUCAGGUUGUGGGUCAUCAAGAACGUUCUCUAACCUAGACAAGUUAUCUGCUAUGGGAUUAUCAACACCCUUCCUGUCGACAACGUGCAAAUGAAAUUCUUGUAGCAAGAGAACCCAUAUGAUAAGUCUAGGUUUAGCGUCCUUCUUCUCCAUGAGGUACUUAAUAGCAACAUGAUUAGUGUGAAUAGUGACUUUUGAAUCAACUAUGUAAGACCUGAACUUUUCCCAUGCAAACACGACUGCUAAGAACUCCUUUUCCGUAGUGGAAUAGUUUCUCUGGGCAUUGUCUAGAGUUUUACUAGCAUAGUGAAUAACAGUCAACUUCUUGUCAACUCUUUGCCCUAGGACAACACCAACAACACAAUGCUAGCAUCACACAUGAUCUCAAAAGGUAGGUUCCAAUCAGGUGGUUGAACAAUAGGUGCAGUUAUCAAAGCCUUCUUAAGUAUUUCGAAGGCUUCCUCACAAUCAUCGUCAAAAACAAAAGGAAUAUCCUUUUGCAAGAGAUUGGUAAGAGGCCUAGAAAUCUUAAAGAAGUCUUUAAUGAACCUUCUAUAGAAACCAACAUGACCAAGGAAACUUCUUCUACCUUUGAUAUCUAUGGGGUAUGGCAUUUUAUCGAUUGCAUCAACCUUAGCCUUAUCGACUUCAAUACCUCUUUCAGAAAUCUUAUGUCCUAAGACGAUGCCUUCAUUAACCAUAAAGUGGCACUUCUCCCAGUUCAAGACAAGAUUGGUGUCUUUACAUCUCUGCAAGACUCGAUCAAGGUUGCUGAAGCAAUCAUCAAAGGAAGACCCGUAAAUGGAGAAGUCAUCCAUGAAAACCUCAACAAUCUUUUUACAAAAGUUAGAGAAUAUAGCCAUCAUACAUCUUUGAAAGGUGGCAGGUGCAUUACAUAAGCCAAAAGGCAUACGUCUAUAAGCAAAGGUACCGAAAGGGCAGGUGAAAGUGGUUUUGUCCUGAUCAGAUUGUGCAACUGGUAUUUGGGAGAAACCAGAAUAACCGUUUAGAAAGCAGAAGUGUGUGUGUUUAGACAGUCUUUCUAGCAUUUGGUCGAUAAAAGGCAAAGGGUAAUGAUCUUCAUAGUGGCUUUAUUCAAUUUCCUAAAAUCGAUCACCAUCCUAUAGCUCGUAAUAAUCCUCUCUAGGAUCAAUUCAUCCUUAUCAUUAGGGACAACGGUAAUGACUCCCUUCUUAGGGACGCAAUGCACCGGACUCACCCAAUGGCUUUGAGCAACAGGAUAGAUAAUACCUGCUUCUAGGAGCUUUAGUAUUUCUUUUCUUACUACCUCUUUCAACUUAGGAUUUAAUCUCCGUUGAUGAUCAACAACUGGUUUGAAAUCAGGAUCAGUUUUAAUCUUGUGCUGGCAUAGAGUGGGACUAAUGCCCUUAAGAUCAUCAAGAGUAUAUCCAAUAGCAGCACGGUGCUUUCUCAGAGAUUUACUAACUUCUUUUCUUCAUGCUCUGAGAGGCUAGCAUGAAUUAUAACAUGAUAUAUCUCUUUUUCAUCAAGAUAGGCAUACUUAAGAGUAUCAGGCAACUGUUUAAGCUCGAACACAUGAUCACCCUUUAGUGGGGGCGGAUCCCCAAGCAGUUCAACAGGCAAGUUAUUCUUAAGGAUAGGAUAUUGUUCUAAGACAACUCUAUCUAUCUCAUCCCUUUCAUCCAUAUGCAUAUCAUUUUCAUGCUCAAGCAAGUAUUGCUCUAAUGGAUCAGUAGAAGGCAUGACAAUAGAAGCUAAGGUAACAGUUUCAUCCUUACUAGGUAACUCCUUUUCACGAGGUUGUCAACCAAACUUGGAGAAAUUGAACUCAUGUGACACACCUUCAAAGCCAACAGUAACAGUUUGCUUCUCACAAUCAAUAUGAGCAUUGACAGUAUUGAGAAAAGGUCUUCCAAAUAUGAUGGGACAAAAAGCUAUCUUGUGCGGUAGCAAGAACGAGGAAAUUAGCAGGAUACUUCGUUUUACCACACAAGACUUCAACAUCCCAAACAAUUCCCACAGGGCAGAUAGUAUCUCUAUUGGCAAGCUGAAUAGUGACAUCAAUAGGCUCUAUGUCAACAGGUGCAAUCUCGUCUUAAUUUCACCGUAUAAGGAUUGAGGUAUUGCACUAACACUGGCACCCACGUCACAUAAACCAUGAUAACAAUGAUCUCCUAUCUUAACAAAAACAACAAGCCAACAAUAGGCCUAUGUUUGUCUCUAGCGUGAGGUUUAGCAAUUCUAGCAGCAUCUUCACAGAAGUGAAUAUUAUGUCCCACAACAUCGUCGGACAGGAGAUCUUUGAUAAUAGCGAUGCUAGGUUCAACUCUAAUUUGCUCUGGGGGUGUAGGUGCUCUAAUGUAGCCUCUACGUAUCACAGUUGAAGCUUUAGAAUGAUCCUUAUCCUAACAGGGAAAGGUGGUUUCUCAAUGUAAGCACUGGGAACAAUAGGAUCACUAUAGGCAAUGACUUUCUCUUCAACUGGAUUGGGUUUAACUACAUUGACUUCUAAAGGAGGAUGAUAUUUAAACCACUUCUCUUUGGGGAGAUCAAUAUGAGCAGCAAAUGAUUCACACAAUGAAGCUACUAUCUCAGAGUCAAGUCCAUACUUAGCGCUAAAGUCACAAAAAGUAUUUGUUUCAACAAAGGAUUUAACGCAAUCAAACUGGAAAUUCAUACGUGACUCCUUACCUUCUUCAAGCUCCCAAUCUUCAGAGUUGUGUUUAAUUCUCUCCAAUAAAUUCCAUCUGAAGUCAAUAUCUCUCUUCAUAAAAGAACUGGUAAAAGAAGUGUCAAGCAUGGUGCGAUCAUCAUGAGAAAGCCGAGCAUAGAAGUUCUGAAUGAUAAUUUCUCUCGAGAGCUCAUGGUUGUGGCAUGAAUAUAACAUUGAUUUAUGCCUCCCCCAAGCUUGAGCGAUGCUUUCUCUAUCACGAGGCCAAAAAAUAUAAAUAUAAUUCUGAUCACGAUGUACUAAAUGCAUAGGAUAAAACUUUUGAUGAAAUUCCAAUUUCAACUGAUUGUAGUUCCAUGAUCCAGUAUCAUCACAUAGCCUAUACCAUGUCAACGCCUUAUCCUGCAAAGAUAAAGGAAAGACCUUCUUCUUGACCUCAUCCUCGGGCAAACCUGCAAGCUUAAAUAAACCACAAACUUCAUCUACACAGAUUAGAUGCAAGUGUGGAUGUGAUGUUCCAUCUCGUGUAAAAGGAUUAGCCAACAGUUUUUCAAGCAUACCCGAAGGAAAUUCAAAGAAAAUAUUUUCAGUAGGUGCAGCAGGUUGAGGAGCAAAUAUUUGUGCUUCUGUUCGAGGUGCAUAUACCCCGAACAAGCCUUUCAAAGGAUUAGUUCCCAUAGUGACAAGUGACAAUAAAUUUCAGCACACUAUAUGAAUGCUUCCCUACCAAGUUCCACUUACCAAAGGCGCUUCACUCCCCGGCAACGGCGCCAGAAAAGAGUCUUGAUGACCCACAAGUAUAGGGGAUCUAUCAUAGUCCUUUCGAUAAGUAAGAGUGUCGAACCCAACGAGGAGCAGAAGGAUCUGACAAGUGGUUUUCAGCAAGGAAAUAUCUGCAAGCACUGAAAUUAUCGGUAACAAGUGAUUGUGUGGUGAGAUAAUUCGUAGAAAGAAACAAGUAACAAAUGUUGCAACGGUGCACCAAAGUGCCCAAUCCUUUUGUAGCAAGGGACCAGCCUGGACAAAGUCUUAUAGGAGGAAAACGCUCCCGGGGACAGAGGGAAUUUCUGUCAUGCUAGUUUUCAUCAUGUUCACAUGAUUCACGUUUGUUACUUUGAUAGUUUGAUAUGUGGGUGGACCGACGCUUGGGUACUGCCCUUAGUUGCACAAGAAUCCCACUUAUGAUUAACCCCUCUCGCAAGCAUCCGCAACUACGAAAGAAGAAUUAAGACAAAGUCUAACCAUAUCAUUAAAGUAGUGGAUCCAAAUCAGCCCCUUACGAAGCAACGCAUAAACUAGGGUUUAAGCUUAUGUCACUCUAGCAACCCACCAUCUACUUACUACUUCCCAAUGACUUCCUCUAGGCCCAAAUAAUGGUGAAGUGUUAUGUAGUCGAUGUUCACAUAACACCACUAGAGGAAAAACAACAUACAACACAUCAAAAUAUCGAACGAAUACCAAAUUCACAUGACUACUAUUAGCAUGACUUAUCCCAUGUCCUCAGGAACAAAAGUAACUACUCACAAAGCAUUAUCAUAUUCAUGAACAGAGAGGUAAUGAGUAGCAUCAAGGAUCUGAAAAUAAACUCUUCCACCAAGUAAUGCAACUAGCAUCAACUACAAAGAGUAAUUAACACAAUUAGCAACGUUACAAGUGCCAAUCGGAGUCGCGAGACGGAGAUUGGUUACAAGAGAUGAACUAGGGUUUGGAGAUGAGAUGGUGCUGAUGAAGAUGUUGAUGGUGACGAGUCCCCUCCGAUGAGAGGAGUCUUGGUGAUGACGAUGGCGACGAUUUCCCCCUCCGGGAGGGAAGUUUCCCCGGCAGGAUCGUCCUGCUGGAGCUCUAGAUUGGUUAUGCUCAAGUUCCGCCUCGUGGCGGCAGCAAAUCCUCAAAAAAGCCUCCUCCUGAUUUUUUUCGGAACGAAACCCUUCAUAUAGCAGAAGAGGGGGGGGGGCAGAGGGCCAGCUGGGUGCCCACAAGCGCCCUAGGCGCGGCCAGGGGGUGGCCGCGCCUAGCACGCUUGUGGCCACCUGCUAGCGCCCCUCUCACACUUCUCCGGUCCAGUAUUUUUUAUAAAUCCCGAAAAAAUACUCGUUUAUUUUUACGGCGUUUGGAGUUGCGCACAAUAGGUAUCUCAAACUUGCUCCAUUUUCAGGCCAGAAUUCCAGGUGCCAGCAUUCUUCCUCUUCAUGUAAACCUCGCAAAAUAAGAGAGAAAAGGCAUAAGUAUUGUACCGUGAGGUGAAAUGACAGCCCAGGAAGCGAUAAAUAUUAACAUGAAAGCCUGAUGUAAAAUGGACGUAUCAUGGAGAUGUAGCCCACAUGACUGUUAUCAGGAUAAAUUUACAAAUGGUUUUAUAUUUAUAUAAAAAGCCAAAAAAAUAUCUGAAAUUAGAAAAUAAAUGAAAUAGAAAAAAGGAAAAAGAACAAACCUCGCCACUUACCUGGCUAGCCCAGCCCCCAGGGGCAACCCCGUCUUCUACCUCCAGCCAGUAGGCAGAGGAGAGGCGUGGCGUGCACCCGAGAGCCUCGGCCACUUCCUGCUUCGUCGUGGCUCAGUCCCCCUUCUAGCGAGUCCACGGAGGCCCCGAUGCCCUAUCCCUUAUCCCCUCUGGUCUCUCCCUCUUGCUUUCUUCCUAUCCCUCUUCUCCCUCUCGCUCGGACCAGAGCGCGCUGCCGUCACCAUCGGGCACCACCACAGCCAUCGUCACUUCUACGCCCCCCUGAGCUGCUCAUCGCCUCCGCCACCACGAGUGCUCUUCCUCGCUGGAAUAAUUGAGCUCAGUCGCCCCUGCAUCGCUGCCAGCCAUGUCGUCUUCAACCUCCGGUCGUCGACAACCGCGUCGCCGAUUCGCCAGCUAGAAGGCCUCCCUGAGGUCGUCGUUGGCUCUAUCCUCCUCGUGAUGAGCCGCACAACCCAUUCCCCUAUCCCCGUGGUCCUCCCGUGCCCCUAGCUGCAGCUGCCGCCGAGCCCGCGCCGCUGACGCCGCCCAACUUAUCAUCGGCGCCAAAUCCGGCCGCCCUAGCUCCUCGUGUUGGGCGUGUUGGGUGAGGCCGAGCCUGGGCUUAAUCCUAGAGCUCUCGGCGCCUGGAUCCAUGCUCUGUAGCGCCAAUUAGGGCAACUCCGGUGAGCCCCCGCUACGUAUUCGGUCGCUGUCGGCCAGACUCCGGUGGGCGCCCACGUGGCGUGGCCAUUAGUCCUAAUCGCCCCCAUCAGCCACUAACCAGCGUGCCCGCAGGUGGUCAAACCCCCAAUUAGGGCGGGUCAGCACGGGGAUUAGCCCCGGGUCACUGAACAGUGGCCCCUACUGGUCAGGUUUGACCUGGCACUUGGUCGGUUGACUUGCUCAUGCAGUAAACCAUUUCUGGAUUUAUUUAAUUCCAGAAAAUGUUCAAAACUUCAAAAGUUCAUAGAAAUUCAACCAUAGCUCCAAAUGAAGUAUAUUAUUUAUGAAAAGUUAUCAAAAAUGCAAGGAAUCAGAUGGUACCAUUUUCAUGACUGUUUGAACAACUUAAACUUGUUGAAUAUGAAAAUUUCAAUAAAUACAUAUGAAUGGUUAUAAAUGGGUUUGAAAUUGAUCUAUAAUGAUCAAAUAACUUCCAUUUAACUUAUGACCACCUGCAUUAGACAAAACCAAAAUCAUGUUAACAUGCCAUACUCAUGCAUCAUUGUGAAGAAUUUGUCGUGCCUAAAUUCUUACUUGUUUGAUCUUGUUGAUAGACCUGCGAGAUGUAUUUAUCACUGACAUCAAAGAAUAGCUGAGUUCUUCUGACCAAUGAAAUCGCACUCUAUCGCUCUUGCUCUCGUUUCAAUGCAUUAGGACAAGAUGAUUCAAGUGCUACUUGUGUUACGUAGAUGAACCCAUUCCUUUGCAUGACCUAUCAUUGUUACAGUAAAUAGCUAAACCAAGAUACCUAGCAUACCUAGUAGAUGCAUGAGACAUGUUGUGCCAUUACCCUGUUAUGCUUGCUAUGCUUAGAGUUGAGCUGGUUUGAUCAUCUGGGUGAUGAAUUGGAAUGAUCAUGUCCUACCGAUGAGGGUUAAGUAUGUGAACCUCUUUCGGUAAACGUAGCAAUGAGAGGACAUGUAGGAGUACGUGGUGGGUUGUCUCAUUUAUUUCGCACUCACCACCCGAGAUCUUGUGUUGGUGUGCCAAGACUAGCUACUACCGCACAUUGAGUUCCGGUAACUCAACCCCUGUCGGCCUAUUUGUUGGGUAAUGUAGCAAAAUUCAAAAAAAUUUCUAUGCCAUAUUAAGAUCUUCCUAUGGAGAAACCAACAACGAGAGAGGGGUGAGAGCAUCUUCAUACCUUUGAAGAUCGCUAAGCGGAAGCGUUUCUAGAACGCGGUUGAUGGAGUCGUACUCGCUGCGAUUCAAAUCAUGGUGUGAUUCCGAUCUAGUGUUGAACCACUCCACCUCCACGUUCAACACACGUGCAUUCCGGUGACAUCUCCCGCACCUUGAUCCGGCAAGGAGGAGGGAGAGGUUGGGGAAGAGCUCCGACAACACGACGGCGUGGUGGCGAUGGAGCGACAAGGUCUCCCGCAGGGCUUUGCCAAGCACCGUGGGACACGAGGAAGAAGAGAAGCAGGGCUGCGCUGAGAGAGAUAGAAAUUUUCGUGUCUCCAAUGGCCAAAACCCACUAUAUAUAGGGGGAAGGGCAGGGUGGCGCCCCCUUAGGGUUCCCACCCCUAAGGGGUGCGGCAGCCCUAGAUGGGGCAGGAGGUGGCGGCCAGGAGGGGAGGAGGGGGUGGAGCACCCCCUGGUGGGCCUUAGGCCCACCUGACUUAGGGUUGCCCCAUUCCCUCUCUUGGCGCCUUGGGCUGGGUGUGGGGGGCGCACGAGCCCACCCAGGGGCUGGUUCCCUCUCACACUUGGCCCAUGUAGCCUCCCGGGGCUGGUGGCCCCUCCCAGUGGGCCUCCGGAGCCUUUCCGGUGGUCCCGACACAUUGCCGGUGGUGCCCGAAACAUUUCCGGCGUCCAAACCCAUCCAUCCUAUAUAUCAAUCUUUACCUCCGGACCAUUCCGGAGCUCCUCGUGAUGUCCGGGAUCUCAUCUGGGACUCCAAACAACUUUCGGUAACCUCGCAUAACAAUUCCCUACUACCCUAGCGUCAUCGAACCUUAAGUGUGUAGACCCUACGGGUUCGGGAGGCAUGCAGACAUGACCGAGACACCUCCCUGGCCAAUAAACACCAGCGGGAUCUGUAUACCCAUGGUGGCUCCCAUAUGUCCCACGAUGAUCUCAUCGGAUGAACGACGAUGUCAAGGAUUCAAUCAAUCCCUUAUACAAUUCCCUUUGUUUGUCGGUAUAGAACUUGCCCGAGAUUCGAUCGUCGGUAUCCCUAUACCUUGUUCAAUCUCAUUACCAGUAAGUCUCUUUACUCGUUCCGUAGCACAUCAUCCCGUGACUAACUAUUUAGUCACAUUGAGCUCAUUAUGAUGAUGUUCUACCGAGUGGGCCCAGAGAAACCUCUCCGUCACACGGAGUGAUAAAUCCCGAUCUCGAUUCGUGCCAACCCAACAGAUACUUUCGGAGAUACCCGUAGUGCACCUUUAUAGUCACCCAGUUACGUUGUGACGUUUGAUACACCCAAAGCACUCCUACGGUAUCUGUGAGUUGCACAAUCUCACGGUUGAAGGAAAAGAUACUUGACAUUAGAAAAGCUUUAGCAUACGAAAUACACGAUCUAGUGCUAUGCUUAGCAUUGGGUAUUGUCCAUCACAUCAUUCUCCUAAUGAUGUGAUCCCGUUAGCAAUGACAUCCAAUGUCCAUGAUCAAGAAACCACAACCAUCUAUUGAUCAACGAGCUAGCCAACUAGAGGCUUGCUAGGGACACAUUGUGAUCUAUUUAUUCACACAUCUAUUAUUGUUUCCUGUUAAUACAAUUAUAUCAUGAAAAAUAGACAAUUAUCAUGAACAAGAAAAUAUGAUAAUAACCAUUUUAUUAUUGCCUCUCCGUUGUUGACCGACACUUGCUUUGUUGGGUUAUGUAUGCAUGUUCCUGUACGGAUGUGCCACUUGGGUUUAAAGCUAGUCAUGUCUAUCCGGGUUCUCUGACAUAUGAUUGUUGGUGACAUAGUCAUAUACGUGAGCCAAAAGACGCAAACGGUCCCCGCCAAGCUAAGGUGGCAGCCAUGGUGAUUAUCAUGCGUGAGGCCACAAAGUGAUAUAAUGUGUUACAAGCUGGAAUUGUAUGACUUAGGAUCGGGGUCCCGACACACAUACUCUUUUUUCACACCUAUUUUUUCUUAGAUUAGUUUUUUACCUACUUUUUUUAUCUAGGUCAGUUUUUAAGUCAGAACAAUGUCGAGAAAUUGAAAUGAACAUUCUUGAAUCCAAAUAAAUGGUUAUGAAUUCAGAAAAAAAUCAUGAAUUAAAAAAUUAUGAUGAAUUCAUAAAAAUGUGCAUUAAUUCAUGAAAAUGUUCGCACAUUUGAAAAAGAACAUUAACUCAAAAUUUAUUAAAUGUUUAUUUUCUAGUAAUUUGUGAAUGUUAUUCGAUUUUUCUGAAACAUGUGUGCUUCUUGGAAAAGGACAAAAACAGUGCUUCCAAGGAAAGCAAAGAUUUGUUUUUAAGAGAAACACAACUAUUUUUUUUAAAUGGAAAAAAUAGUACGUCCACAAGAAACACUAUUCGCCUCUUGUGGAAGAACAUACUUCUUUUGCUUCUUCGAAAAAAUGAAAAAAAUUGCGUCUAUGAAAAGCAAAAUUUCAUUUCUUGCGGAAGCACAUAUUUGGUUGCACGAGAAUCACAACUCGGGAUAAAAAUGUGAUCCUUGAAAAGAGAAAAAAAGUGAAAACCACAAUCCUGUUUCCGGGUUUAGUUUUUUUCAAACUUUUUUGUUGUUAUUUUUUCCCAUUAUUUUUGUUUUUAGGUUUCUGUUUUUUCAGGUUUUGUUGAUUUUUUAGUCAAAAUCUAUUAACUUUAGAUGCAUGGUUCAAGAGAUAAACAUUUUAAACAAACAAAUCUAUGAAAAAAGAAGGACAUCUCGGUGCGACAAGUGGCGCACAUGCAAUGCACAACAUGUAAGAGCCUAACAAGAUGAUGGUGACCUUUAGAAAGGAUAUCCCUUAACAAGUGAUUUUAGAGUUUCUAGCAGGUAGGUCACUAUAUAGGGUCUCCCAUCGAGUAAGCCAUCCGAUUGUAAGAAUUCUAUUCCGCUCAUACUGCACAUAAUAGUUAUUUUGCGCACUUAGCAGUUGUGAGCGAACGAUGUGCGCUAGUUCUUUUUUUGCUCCCUUUAUUUUUUCUGCUUCUCUGUUUGUGAUGUUUUUGUUUUAUUUUCUCUCUUCAUCCUCCUACUUAUUUCUUGUAUUUUAAUUUUACCCUUAGUUUUUUCUUCCUUAGUUUUGACCAUGUUGCCUUUUAUCAUAUUAUCUUUUAGUACCAGAUGACCAUGUUUUCAUUUCCAGCUUUUCAUUUCUUAGAUAUUUUUCCUUUUCGACGUUUUAAUAACUUGAUGAAUUUCUUACCUAAUGAACAAUUUUAAUUAAACUAUUAGAAUAUUAAAAUAUGUGAUGACCAUAUUUUGUUACACAAUUUCCAUACCUCUAAUAGGAAAUUCACAUAUUGUCAACUAUGUGAUGAUUCUUUCCAAAUUUCGACCACAGUUCUUUAAUAUAGAAUACAUAUUUUUUCUUUGAAAUAGGUGACACAUAGUUUUCAUAUGCACCAUAUCCCAUUAGAAGUUUGAGUUGCUAAAUUUUUAAUUGGCGAGUGCCUAGGCACGAGACAGGAGGUAUCAUCGAAGAGAGGAGCAGUGUCACAUCACUUCACGACCAAGGGACGGUCUCAUUCAGGAAAGGAGGACUAGCAAGCAGAAUUUAGCAACAACACAUGCAUACCACACCUAAUUUCCGUCUACCAAAAAUUUGAGGAUUUUUCUUAAAAGACAUAAGUAGAAAAUACACACCUCACACAUAUAUGAAUGCCUUUAGUACUAAAGUAGAUCUUGCUCCCUAAAUAGAAACUGGACCUCGGUCGGGUGGAUGUUUUGGCCGGUUUUGUAUGCAUUCACCAGAUUUAGCGUCUAUGGAGCUCCAAUGGCUGAUGGCCUCACUAUCAUACCACUUGCCCCGACCCUGGGUCAUCGCCUAUAUAAAUGUAAUGCAAUGCAAGUAUCUCGAUCAACACUAGUGUUGGUGGUCCAACUAUCAAAGAGAAAUCGACAACAAGAUGGAUGCCAAGCGCAAGGCCGAGUCGCUGCUCGUCAUCACCCUUGUGGUGGCGGAGGCCACAUCACCUUUGUUGGUGGCCUCGGGGCAUGAGAAGGCUACUCCCACUUGCCUCACCGAGUACUCCAAGCUCUGUGGCAAGGGCGAAAAAAGGACGCCACGUGCACCGCCAUGGUCGACAAGGCAUGCAGCACUGAGGCAACUAGUGUCACCUUCAUCGAGCGCUUGUUCACAGAGCUCGCCAAGGUCGGGGAAAAGAAGGAAGAAGUCUUUAAUCUAGAAACUUCUGGAGGACAGGAUGCCCUGAAAGAAUCCGUCGACAAGCAUGGUGGCUGCCCUGGCGACAAGACUGUCAAGGACUAUUCUACCCAAUGUGGCGCCGACUGCGACAAGGCAUGCAUUGAUCCUACUUGCACCGACCACUGCUACGUCGACUGCCCAUACAUGGCUGCAAGAUUUUCCUACAUCAUGGCCACCCCCGCCAAUAAUAAAGCCAUAGAGAAAGACAUGGAUUUCUUCAAGCAUUGCGCAAAGGGAAAGGAUAGCUCAGAUAACAAGUGUCGCGAUACAUGCAAGCUGAUUUCUUCUACCCCUACACCCGCCCCGGCCAAAGCCGCUUGAAAAUGCAUCUAUUUAUUCCUUCUUUUGGCGAAUUGAAAAUGCUUCUAUUCUAUCAUGGUAAUUUAUUCAUGUUCGGCAUGUAUUCAUCUUUUUGUUUUGUUUUUGCUAUUCUAAAUCAAUAAAUAAAAGGACGGUACUCGGAAUAUUUUUCUCUAUAAGUCUCAAAUGUCAUGUUUGAAUGGCACUAGAACAUCGCCCUCGCAUAAUAAAAUUAGAGGAUUUGUAAAUUCCCAUUACCCUAUAUAUAUAGGGUAAUGUCUUACACAGUUUAUAUUUGGUAAAAUGGUGAUGAGAUAAAUCCAAAUAAUGUGUUGGCAACCCAGUGCACUAGUUCACUCAAUCAAGCUCAAAUUACAACCUUAGGUGGUUGGAUCAAGGAACUAGAGAAUUUGGGGAUCCUAGGGAAGGAACUAGAGGAGGAGGAAUAAGAAUUGUAGCCAGUCGGACAAGUCAACCAAGAAGAGGAAGACGCCUUCAAGUGUUGUUGUAUAUCGCUCAAUGCGAGUGCUAACGCCAGAUCGACCAUUAAUGGUAUUAGGGUAUCGUCAUAGCUAUCAAUUAAUCAUCUGGCACACGAUCACAUACUCUUUUUUCACACCUAUUUCUUCUUAGUCUAGUUUUUACCUACUUUUUCUAUCAAAGUCGGUUUUUAAGUCAAAAAUGUCGUGGAAUUCAAAUAAAUGUUUUUGGAUCCAAAUAAAUAGUUAUGAAUUCAAAAAAAGUUAAUGAAUUCAAAAAUGUUGGUGAAUUCAUGAAAAUGUUCACCCGUUCGAAAUAAGAACAUUAACUCACAAAUUAUUUUUGAAAAUUGCAAACAAUAUUUAUUAAAUGUUCAUUUUCUUGUAAUUUCUUAACGUUAUUCAAUUUUUUUGAAACAUGUGUGCUUGUUGGAAAAGGACAAAAACAAUGCUUCCAAGGGAAGCAAUGUUUUGUUUUUGCAAGAAACACAACUAUUUUUUAAAAGGAAAAAAUAGUGCUUGCACAAGAAACACUAUUUGCCUCUUGUGGAAACACUUAAUUCUUUUGUUUCUUCAAAAAUUGAAAAAACAUGCUUCCAUGAAAAGCACAAUUUUAUUUCUCGCGGAAGCACAUAUUUGCAUGCACGAGAAUCACAACUCGGUAUAAAAUAUGUGAUUAUCGAAAAGAGAAAAAAAAUUGGAGCGAAUAUCGUACGAAAAUGUUUACAAAAUUUGAAAAACACAAUCGUGCGUUUCGCUAAAUUUGAAACUGCUCUUGAACCAUAAGGAAAUAGAAAGUGUGUUCUACAUUAAAAAGUUGCGCCUCGAUGAUAUCUUUCCAGCACUGUAUCAUUUGCUUCAUUCUGGCACAGCGGUCUAGAAAAAACACAAAAAUACGCUCGCUGCCAGUCGUUGGGUGCCCAACAUUUUUGAAAGUGCACUUAACCCGUUAGGAAUCUCGAAAAGUGUUCAACAUGGCGAAGUUGCGCAUUUUCUAUAGCUAUCCAACGAUGUAAUGAACCAAUAUGCAUGUUACUAUUUGUAUUGAAAAUGAAAUUCAUUUAUGAAACAAUCGUAAAAUUAUCUCUGAUGAAGAAUUACUUAUUCUCCACUCUCGAUGAUGAAUAGUAUUGCUAUAUAUAUUUGACCUACAAGAGUUGGUUAUGUAGUUAUAUCUACUUUUUAAAUAGUACUAUUAUCGAACUUCUUUGAUUUAGAGUUAAUUUAGUUUAUUGGCUGGCUGUAUAGUUUAUUGCCCAUAUCUAUUAUUUUAUUUAUAAAGUGAUUUCUAAAUAUCUGCAAAUCUUGAAGGCAACUGAUAACCUUUUCCUCCUUAUCUUUAGUCUUUAGAGUCAUGCCAUAAGAGUAAUACAUAUCAUACUUUUAUAUCGCUAUAUUGCUUGCAACAUAUAAAAUGACGCUUUUCUACUUUAGAGCUCUUUGAUUGCAUCCCCUUUUACUUAUAAGUUUCUGGAGCGUGCUCAGCUAUGCUAAAUCGUCAUAUUUUUUGGUGUGCAACCAUGUUUUCAUCAAUAAGUUCGAGGGCGAGGAUAUAUGCAUCUGGAUUCUCGUGGAUAUCCUUGAACUUCUUAUGAAUGUACCUAAGGAAAGGUCAUUACUUCGAAGGCAUCAUUGGUUUUCCCUAAACCAUAUCGUUCUCCUCAAAUGCGAUGACGAGUGACUUACCUAUGUCUGACAUAUGUAUUAUUAAAUUCAAAGUGCCGAGGAGUCGUUUAGAUUUUCUUAUUACUCCCUCCAUCCCAAAAUUCUUGUUUUAGGUUUGUCUAGAAAAUUCAUAUCUAGACAAAUCUAAGAAAAGAAUUUUGGGACGAAGGGAGUACUUACCACGGGAUGCAUAUGAGGAGAUGUUGUGUUCUUAAAACUGAGUCACUAAUCAGAUGUGUCAUAAUAAUAUAUUUCACGGCGGCCGUGGAGGUAAUUUUCAAUUCUCAACAUUAUUAUUCUACAAACCAAGGUUAUGAAACAACAUAGAAAACUUAAUACAUUAGUGUUUAGCUGGAUAUAAUCCUAAGAAAGGACAAUUUUGCACUGGAAACAACUUGAUAAGUAUGAGGUUUUUUGGCACAACCAUUGAACAAUAGACUCACAAAUUUAUAUUUCCAAUAGCUUCUGUUUUUAGAUUCAGGUUACAUGCAUGACAUGUUUUAGAGUAGGAUCUUCUUUCCAUUCUACUUGAACUAUUUUUUUCUAUGUUGACAUGUGAGAGGUGAGUUGAUUUUAGUUUAUGUGUAUGCUUUCUAAUUUUGUCACACGCUUAGGGUUUACAUUACCGACACUAGAUAAGUAGCUAACACAUAUUCCUUAUUUUGGGUGUUUUAGGUCCCAACCCACGCCAAUAGGAGGAAUGUUGUGGCGACCGUUUUUUCGAAAAUAAUUUCUAGAAAACAGGUCUUUGUGUUAACCAUCUCCAAGACUACAGAUAGUUGGUAGACACUCACUUGAUACAUAAUAUCCAAGCAAAAUACAAAAUCUGGUUUACAAGACCAUAAAGGUCUACUAGUUUGGACAAAAGUCUAAGGUUGACUGUGGAAGCGACUCGAGGAAUCUCCAGUGUCCAUGGGACUCCAUUACCAGAGGAACAACUGACCUGAAUAAAUUCCUACCUCACAAGGCUGCUAUGCUGGACUCCUAGGUUCCGGGGUCGACAACAUCAUGCUCCUCUCCAUGCAAUCUGGCCAAGACAAUAGCCAGGGACAAGCCAAUGAGUACUUUGAAUGUACUCGCAAACAUCAAGAAAACUGAUAAAUUAAAGCAGGUGAGAUGCAUGCAUAGUCCACUAAAAUAACUCUAUCAUGCCAUAAGAAUUUAUUCACGGAUGCAUUCGUGCAUAUAAACUUCCUCCACCAAUGUUAUAUAAACAAGCAAGGAAGGAUAACAUUGAAAAAUUAUCGCAUGUGUGUCGCAGUCGGGCGUCAGAGCGACUACGCCUAAAGGAUUCACAUGCAAGUAAUAACAGUUGCGAGAGUCGGGCGUCUCAGCGACGCCAUAGAAAGUGCUUUUAUGAAAGAAAUAAUAGUUGUCACACUCGGGCGUCUGAGCAACACCACAGAAAGGGCUUAUAAGAAAUAAUACGAGCAUGCCACCGUCGAGCGUCUAAGCGACACCAUAGAAAGGGCUUAUAAGAAAUAAUAACGAGCAUGCCACUAUCGGGCGUCUAAGCGACACCACAAAAAGAGCUUAUAAGAAAUAAUAAUAAAUAUUGAAUAUCCAGGAGGUAGAACCUUCCCACGGAUAUUCAACCAAGAAAAUCAUAGGGAUUAGUCCACAAUAAAAACAAUAGUUAUGAUCAUCCACCAUAUUUCGUGAUUUGUCUCACGAUGUCAUUAACUUCCUUCGAAGAUCGACACUCGAACCGACACUUGACUAGUCAACCAGUCGUCCUUGACCGUGGACCCGACUACUCGAAUAGUUUUGACUCUGCAGAGGGUGUACUCUUUACCCACAUCCCACGGGUUUCAAGAGUCACUCGGACUAAUCCUACGCACGGUAUUUUAGAAGUAAACACUCAUAACUAGUACAAACCCAUUUUUCUCCCACGAAUACCGAUAUCACUCGAACUACGCUGCGAGAGAAAACCAUAAGACGGGGGAGGCUCCAACCUCGACUAGCAUGGGAUCAAAUUUAUACCGCGCGCUAAAAGGGAAUGGCCAUUCCCUCUCGGUCCCAGACCGGAGACACCCAUACCCCCUGACUGGAUGACUGGAUUUAGUCCAGGGCCAUGGAUACCUUCAUCUCGUCCUCUCUACUUGGUGUCUACCUGGUAAUAGAUUUACGACCUACUAGACCGUAUUCCCUUUCGAGAAGACCCGCGGUAGCACGAAAGUUAAGGUGACACAUAGGCAAGACUCGAACUACAGUCGACUUAGGAGGUUUAAUAUUUUCCUGCAAGGGUUAGUACCACACAAUCUUGCUAAAGGUAUUAUUUGAGGGUUACUGCCAUCAAACACCAACAAGCUAUCACUGACCACUCUCUUCCCACGAGAUGUCAGCCCAUGGUCUUAUUUCCACCACGACACACCUUACUCCGAGGUUGUCCAGACCAACAUAGCAUACGAGGUAUGAGGCAGUACCCACUCACCACUCGCCAUCCACAAACUUAGCAACAAAAAAUAUCCAUCACAUGUUGUCAUGCAAGGUAUGAUUUCAUGCGAUAUUUUUAUCAACAUAAACUAAAAUCAUGCAAUAGAUGUACCACAAAAAACAUCACACAACUUUAUGUAAAUAAGAGUUCAAGAUGCUUGCCUUUGGAGUUGAGGAGUGUGAUGUGCACAACAAAUUCUUGAAGUGAGUCCCCUCUCCGCAAAUCCUAUUUUGACAAAUAUCUAAAUUAACACACAAAUUUAAAACAGCACAUAAAAGUUGUUUGAAGUUUUUUGAAAUAAAUUUGUAAAUAAACUAGAGGAGAUUUUCGAGAGGUAGGAAAAAGAAUCAGUUAUUUUGGAGUUUUCUUUAAAAAGUUAGAGCCAUUUAAAGAUCCUGGUCAAAUCUAUUUUUGAAGGAAAGGAAUAGAAAACACUUUGGACCAAAUACGCUUUCCAGAGAGGCAGACGUACCAAGGGAAAAUGCUUCGGCCAAAAUACGCGUUACCGAGAAGAAAGCGCACCAGGGGAGACUAUGCCACUCGGAGGCAACGGAUGGCUCACCGACAGGCGGGGCCAUGAUGACGAGUUGAUGGAUAUACUUCUCGCCCCUCGUUGGUUACCCCAAGUGGAAGGUGGAGAUGUAUUCAGCAACAGAUUUCCCUUACACGGGGACUAUAAGGUUUAUCGAACCAGGAGGACUCCGAGGAUCAAAAAGUAGGUGUCCGUUGCUCUAGCGCUAGCAGAAGACGUGGACCCGCACACACAACAAAUAACUUUGCUCCCAACGAGUACAGAGAGGUUAUCAAUCUCUCCGGCCUUGUAGUUUGCAAACGAUCAAAACAUAAGCGGGAAUAGUGAUAGUGAUUGCAACGAAAAAGUAAAUGAAAGAAGUAAAUGGUGGAGGUGUAAGCACUGGUGGUGAUAUGGACCUGAGUCACAUGAUGUUCACUAGUGACGUCUGAUACGUCUCCAACGUAUCUAUAAUUUUUGAUGGUUUCAGGCUAUUAUCUUGUCACACUUUGGAUGUUUUGUAUGCCUUUUAUAUCUUUUUUGAGACUAACUUAUUAACUCAGUGCCAAGUGCCAGUUCCUGUUUUUUUCCAUGUUUUUGACCCCUUUCAGAGGAGGAUUUUAAACGGAGUCCAAAUGGAACGAAACUGCCAAAAAGAUUUUUUCCAAAACAGAAGAAGAUCGGGAAGCCUGAGAAUCAGGGCAGGGGGCCAGCAGGGACCCCACAAGCCCCCUAGCCGCGGCCAGGGCAGCCCGCGCCUCCCAGGCUUGUGGGCUCCCUGGGCCACCUCUGCCCUAGGUCUUUCGCUUAUAAAUUCCCUAAAAUCCCAGAAAAAAUCAGGACAUCAUCCAAAGUACUUUUCCGCCGCCGCAAGCUUCUAUCUCCGCAAGAUCCCAUCUGGGCACGUUCUGGUGCCCUGCCGGAGGGGGAUUCGGAUACGGAGGGUUUCUUCAUCAACACCAUGACCUCUCCGAUGAUGCGUGAGUAGUUCACCAUAGACCUACGGGUCCAUAGCUAGUAGCUAGAUGGCUUCUUCUCUCUCUUGGAUCUUCAAUACAAAGUUCUCCAUGAUCUUCAUGGAGAUCUAUCCGAUGUAAUCUUCUUUUGUGGUGUGUUUGUCGAGAUCCGAUGAAUUGUGGAUUUAUUAUCACAUUAUCUACGAAUCUUAUUUGAGUUUCUUCUGAUCUCUCUUAUGCAUGAUUUCAUAUCCUUGUAAUUCUCUUUGAGUUGUGGGUUUCGUUCGGCUAGCUAGUUCUAUGAUGCGUUACUCUGUUCGUCAUGAACUCAAUACACUAGAUGCAUGCUGGAUAGCGGUCGAUGUGUGGAGUAAUAGUAGUAGAUACGGAAAGAAUCGGUCUACUUGUCUCGGACGUGAUGCCUAUAUGUAUGUUCAUUGCCUUAGAUAUCGUCAUGACUUUGCGUGGUUCUAGCAAUUGCUCGACAGUAAUUUGUUCACCCACCGUAAUAUUUGCUAUUUUGAGAGAAGCCUCUAGUGAACACUAUGGCCCCCGGGUCUACUCCACACCAUAUUUUCAGACUUACGCUUUUUCUUCGUUGCACUUUCCGCCUUCAGAUCUCACUUUGCAAUCAAUAUUGAAGGGAUUGACAACCCCUUUAUAGCGUUGGGUGCAAGCUCUUUUGUGUUUGCGCAAGUACUCUGGACUUGACGAGAUUCUCCUACUGAAUUGAUACCUUGGUUCUCAAACUAAGGGAAAUAUUUACUGCUCCUGUGCUGCAUCGCCCUUUCCUCCUCAAGGGAAAAACGAACGCAAGCUCAAGAGACGUCAGAACAUUUCUGUCGGUGUAGCAGAAGAAUUUCUGCCGCCGUUGCCGGGGAGGAUCAAGUCAAGAACUCAUCCAAGUAAGUGUUGCAAACUCAUCUCUUGCAUUUACUUUUUUGCCUCUCGUUUUCCUCUCCCCCACUUCAGAAAAACAAAAAUUUACAAAAAAAUCUUUGCCUUUUUCGUUUGCCCUUUUCUCUCGCUUGCUUUCUGUUCGUGUGUGUGGGAUAGUCUACCUGUCGACUUGCCUAGAUCCACCACUUCGAAUGAUACUCUCGAGAGCGAAGUUCUCAAUUUCAAACAAAUUGAGGAAGAAAACUUAAAGGACGCUUGGUAUAGUAUUUGCAAUGCUCAGAGUAGAUCUACUCAUAAGCAAUCCACUACCGUCCUGAUUCGCAGUUUUUAUGAGGGUGUUUCUCCUUGGAACAUAUAUAUUCUUGACACCAUCGUAGGUGGACAUUUCUUGGGUAGCCAUAUCGUUGAUUCUUACGGAGCUGUAAUAAAUUUGGUAGCCUCACCCCCACUCAUGGUUAAUGGAACUACCAUAACUCUGGAACAUGUGAUGCGUAGGCUGGACGUCAUUGAAAAUAAAGUUGCUACGAUCAAACUCAUUGAGAAUUUGGGUAAAAAGAUCCACAAUCAAAUAACUCAGUAUAGAUCCAAGGUGAGAAUGGUUUUGAAAAAUUUAAAGGAGAAGGAACCCACAGUUAAUGAAAAACUAGGUCAUGAUUCCGCUAGGAUUGGCAAACUAGAGGACGUUAUAACCAACUUGGGUUCCACUUUUGCCGCUGUGCAGAAUACUCGAAACUUUGCCCACAAUAAGGUCACCAAGUUUGUUUUUGUUCCCAAAAAUAGUGGUGAAUCAUCUGGAAAGUAAGAUGAAAACCUUAACAUGAUAAGUGAUCACGCUAUUUAUGGUUUGAGCACCAAAGCCGACGAUACGUGAUUCUAUCGCCUUAUGCCUAGCUAAGGGCGUUAAACAAUAGAGCUUGUUGGGAGGCAAACCAAUGAAUUUAUUUCUUUUUCUUUCUAUUUUUUUGCGUCCACACCAUCAUAAAUCUGUUAUGAUUGUGUUUUUUGUGUUUCUUUUUGUGUUUGAGCCAAGCAAAACCUUUCUGACUAGUCUUCGUGAUGGUUGUUUGAUCCUGCUCGAAAAAGACAGAAACUUUUCGCUCACUAGAUGAUUUUUAAUUUUUAUUCAGGAAGAGCUUUUGAGUUGAUUCUUUUGCUUCUGGUUGAUAUGCCUUUUGCCCAGGCAGUCGUAAUGUUUCAUAAUUUUUUAGGUACCACAAUUAUACAAAGUAUACAUAUUGCUACAAACUGGUCUGUUUUGACAGAUUCUUUUUUUGUUGAGUUGGUUGCUUGUUUUGAUGAAACUAUGGAUAGUAUUGGUGGGUACUAGCCAUGGAAAAGUGAGAAUACAUUAGCCUAACACCAAUAUAAAUAGAAACCAAGAUUGCUACAGUACCUAAAGUGGUGGUAGUUUGUUUUCUUGUGCUAAUGUUAUCACGAGUUUGUGUUUAAGUUUUGUGUUGUGAAGUUUUCAAGUUUUGGGUGAUGUUCUCAUGGACAAAGAGAUAAGGAGUGGAAAGAGCUCAAACUUGGGGAUGCCCAAGGAAUCCCAAGCCAAAUUCAAGGACACCAAAAAGCCUAAGCUUGGGGAUGCCCCGGGAAGGCAUCCCCUCUUUCGUCUUCAAUCCAUCGGUAACGUUACUUGGAGCUAUAUUUUUAUUCACCACGUGAUAUGUGUUUUGCUUGGAGCGUCUUGUAUCUUAGGAGUUUUUUUCUUUUUGUUGUGUCACAAUUAUCCUUGUUGCACACCUUUAGAGAGAGACAUGCACUCAUCAUGAUUUUGCUAGAAUGCUCAUAGUGCUUCACUUAUAUCUUUUGAGCUAGAUAAUUUUGCUCUUUGUGCUUCACUUAGAUCUUUUAGAGCACGGCGGUGCGUGACUUGGUAGUUGGCUUAUGCUAUGAAAGUAGUCCCAAAGGUGAUAGGUACCCAAAGAGGAUACAAAAAGCUCCAUCUUCAUGUGCAUUGAGUAGAAAGAGAAGUCUUGAUUCCUCUGAGUUACUUUUCAGACGUGGAUUUGGUAAUAUUAAGAGUUAUGUUAGUGGGGUGUUGUGAAUCUAGAAAUACUUGUGUUGAAGUUAGUGAUUCCCGUAUCAUGCACGUAUGGUAAACCGCUAUGUUAGGAAGUCAGAGCAUAAUUGAUCUAUUGAUUGUCAUCCUUUGUGUUGAGGUUGGGAUCGCGCGACGGUUAACACCUACAAACCCUUCCCCUCGGAGUAUGCAUUUAGCACUUUGUUUCGAUUACUAAUAAAAACUUUCGCAACAAGUAUGUGAGUUCUUCAUGACUAAUGUGAGUCCAUGGUAUAGAUGCACUUUCACCUUCCACCAUUGCUAACCUCUCUAGUGCCAAGCAAUUUUCGCCGGUACAUAAACCCACCAUAUGCCUUCCUCAAAACAGCCACCAUACCUACCUACUAUGGCAUUUUCAUAGCCAUUCCGAGAUAUAUUGCAAUGCAACUCCCACCGUUCCAUCUCAUGACUUGUGCCGUCACUCUCAUAUUGCCAUUGCAUGAUCGUAAGAUAGCUAGCGAGAUGUUUCAACAUCAUACGUCAAGCUAGAUCGUUGCACAUCCCGGUACACUGCCGGAGGCAUCUCCUAUAGACUCAUUUCUAAGCUUUGAGCUGUGAGUAAAUAAAAGUGUGAUGAUCAUCAUUAUUAGAGCACUGUCCCAUGUGAGGAAAUAAAAAAAAUAUUCCAAAGAGCCCAAUUAUAAAAAAUAGAAAAAAGAGAGGCCCAAGAGCCCAAAUAAAAAAUAUAAAAAAUAUAAAGAUAGAAGGGACAAUGCUUCAUAAUAGCACCAUGUUGUUCAUGUUUGAGAGCCUCUCGUUUCGUCACUACCAUAUGCUAGUGGGAAUCAUCAUUAUAUAACUUGGCUUGUAUAUUCCAAUGAUGGGCUUCCUCAAAUUGCCCUAGGUCUUCGUGAGCAAGCAAGUGGGAUGCACACCCACUAGUUCUCCUUUUGAGCGUUCACAUACUUAUAGCUCUAGUGCAUCCUUUGUAUGGCAAUCCCUACUCAUUCACAUUGGUAUCUAUUAAUGGGCAUCUCCAUAGCCCUUUGAUACGCCGAGUCAAUGUGACCAUCUCCUCCUUUUUGUCUCACAACCACUGAUGUCAGCUGUGCUACUGCAACAAAGGACCUUCCAAUGGCGCAAGAAAUAGGUGUGUCGAUGGCACCAGGAAUCCUUCUGCUAUGGUUACGCCUUAAGGGACUUCCUGGACAAAUAUGCAAAGGAUUUCCCCCGUGGCCUUGGAGCCUUGCGUUGGUGUUCCCUCGAAGCGGAAAGGGUGAUGUAGCAGAGCGAUGGUAAGUAUUUCCCUCAGUUUGAGAACCAAGGUAUCGAUCCAGUGAAGCAGUAUCACAAUUGCCUGCACAAACACAAAGAACCUUCUCCCAACGGUAUGAAGGGGUUGUGAAUCCCUUAUAGAUUGUUCGCCCAGUUAGAACUGAACGCAACAAAGUAACAUAGCAAAGUAAAAGCGGAGGUGUGAACGAUAGAUGUCAAUAGACCCGGGGGCCGUAGGGUUUACUAGUGGCUUCUCUCAUGAAAGCAAGUAGACGGUGGGUGAACAAAUUACUGCCGAGAAAUUGAUAAAACCGCGCAAAGUCGUGACAUCAUCUAUGGCAAUGAUUAUAUCUAUAGGCAUCACGUCAAAAACAAGUAGACCGAUACUGUCUGCAUCUACUACUAUUACUCCACACUCGACCGAUAUCCAGCAUGCAUCUAGUGUAUUAAGUCUAAAAUAAUAGAGUAACGCCUUAAGCAAGAUGACAUGAUGUAGAUGGACAAUCUCAUAUCAACGAAAGAGCCCAUCUUCUUACCCUUGAUGGCAACUACUCAAUGUGUGCCUUCCUACCCCUACUGUCACUGGGAAAGGUCACCACAUGGUAAGAACCCAAAACCAAGUACUUCUCCCAUUGCAAGAAUCAUAGAUCUAGUUGGCCAAACAAAACCCAAGACUCUGAGAGACUUACAAGGAUAUCAAAUCAUGCAUAUAAAAAUCAGCAAAGACUCAANNNNNNNNNNNNNNNNNNNNNNNNNNNNNNNNNNNNNNNNNNNNNNNNNNNNNNNNNNNNNNNNNNNNNNNNNNNNNNNNNNNNNNNNNNNNNNNNNNNNNNNNNNNNNNNNNNNNNNNNNNNNNNNNNNNNNNNNNNNNNNNNNNNNNNNNNNNNNNNNNNNNNNNNNNNNNNNNNNNNNNNNNNNNNNNNNNNNNNNNNNNNNNNNNNNNNNNNNNNNNNNNNNNNNNNNNNNNNNNNNNNNNNNNNNNNNNNNNNNNNNNNNNNNNNNNNNNNNNNNNNNNNNNNNNNNNNNNNNNNNNNNNNNNNNNNNNNNNNNNNNNNNNNNNNNNNNNNNNNNNNNNNNNNNNNNNNNNNNNNNNNNNNNNNNNNNNNNNNNNNNNNNNNNNNNNNNNNNNNNNNNNNNNNNNNNNNNNNNNNNNNNNNNNNNNNNNNNNNNNNNNNNNNNNNNNNNNNNNNNNNNNNNNNNNNNNNNNNNNNNNNNNNNNNNNNNNNNNNNNNNNNNNNNNNNNNNNNNNNNNNNNNNNNNNNNNNNNNNNNNNNNNNNNNNNNNNNNNNNNNNNNNNNNNNNNNNNNNNNNNNNNNNNNNNNNNNNNNNNNNNNNNNNNNNNNNNNNNNNNNNNNNNNNNNNNNNNNNNNNNNNNNNNNNNNNNNNNNNNNNNNNNNNNNNNNNNNNNNNNNNNNNNNNNNNNNNNNNNNNNNNNNNNNNNNNNNNNNNNNNNNNNNNNNNNNNNNNNNNNNNNNNNNNNNNNNNNNNNNNNNNNNNNNNNNNNNNNNNNNNNNNNNNNNNNNNNNNNNNNNNNNNNNNNNNNNNNNNNNNNNNNNNNNNNNNNNNNNNNNNNNNNNNNNNNNAACACCUUACUAGCAUGACUUCAAUAUUACCAUAACCACAACUCAAAACUAAUUGAGAUGAAUCAAACUUCUGCUAACUAUUCAAUGCACAUGAAGGUCGAAGUUUUCGUAUCCCUUCGGAUAACUACCCCUUUUGAGACUACUUUCAAAGCAUAGAUCAACUACCAAGCCACCCACCGCUGCGCUCUAAAAGAUAUAAGUGAAGCACAUAGAGCAAAAGUAUCUAGCUCAAAAUAUAUAAGUGAAGCACAUGUGAGCUGAAUUGUCUACCAAAAGAUAUAAGUGAAGCUCGAAAAAAUCACGGUGAGUGCAUGUCUCUCUCUCUAGGUGUGCAGCAAGGAUGAUUGUGACACAACAAAAAUAAAAGACUCCUACGAUACAAGACACUCCAAGCAAAAAAACAUAACAUGUGGUGAAUAAAAAUAUAGCCCCAAGUAACGUUACCGAUGGAUUGAAGACAAGAGAGGGGAUGCCUUCCCGGGGCAUCCCCAAGAUUAGGCUUUUACGGCAUCCUUGAAUCUGUUGGGGUGCCUUGGGCAUCCCCAAUCUUGAGCUCUUGCCACUCUUUAUCUCUUUGUCCAUAAGAACUUCACCCAAAACUUGAAAACUUCACAACACGAAACUUAAACAGAAACUCGUGAUAACAUUAGUAUGAGAAAGCAAACCACCACUUCCUUUGGUGCGGUAGCAAACUUAAAUUCUACUUAUGCUGAUGUUGGGUUACUAUAUUUUAAAUCUUCCAUGGCUAAUACCCCCCGAUACUAUCCAUAGUUUCAUCAAAAUAAGCAACCAACACAACAAAAACAGAAUCUGUUAACAGUAGACCAGUCUGUAGCAAUCUGUAUAUUUAGUAUACCUCUGGUACUUAAACAAUUCUUAACAAUUAAGAAAUUCUGAAGAAUUUGCAGAGAAAUCAACAGCAAAAAUAAUCAACUCAAAAGCUCUUACAUAAAAAAAUGAAAAUUCUUUCCGUGAGUAGAAAGUUUCUGUCUUUUCCAGCAUGACCAAACGAUCAUCCCCAAGACUAAUCAUAACGGUUUUGCUUGGCACAAACGCAAAAAGAAACACAAAAAACACAAUCAUAACAGAAGUAUGAAAGUGUGGAAAACACAAAACAUAAAGAAAAAGGAUAGAUUCGUUGGGUUGCCUCCCAACAAGCGCUUUUGUUUAACGCCCUUAGCUAGGCAUUCAAUGAUGCUCUCACAAAAGAAAAGAAUUGAAGCACAACGAGAGCAUCAUAAAGCAUGUGAAAAUCACAUCUAAGUCUAACAUACUUACUAUGUAUAGGCAUUUUAUGGGAAAACAAAUUGUCAAGACAACCAAUAGCUGCCAUAUGCAAGGAAGAAGAAAAAGACAAGGGCAAUCUCAACAUCGCGAGAGGUGAUUUGGUAACAUGAAGGUUUCUAGAACAAUAUUGUCCUCUCUCAUAGCAAUUACAUGUGGGAUCAUAUUCAAAUUCAACAAUAUAGCUAUCCCAUAGGAUAUUCUUUUCAUGAUCCACAUGCAUGCAAAGUUGACGCUCUUCAAAAAUAGUGGGAUCAUCAUCAACUAAAGUCAUGACUUCUCCAAACCAACUUUCAGUAUUGUUGCAAAUAUCAUAUUCACCCCAAUCAUGACUUCUCCACAUGAGGUUUGAACAAAUUUUUAAGAUCAUAAGAAAGAUCAUCACCCCAAUCAUGAUUAUUGCAACAAGUAGUGCACAAAGCAAAACUAGCAUCCCCAAGCUUAGGGUUUUGCAUAAUUUUAGCAUGAUUAUCACUAAUAGAAUUUAUAGUGAAACCAUUGCAAUCUUGCUUUUCAUCCAAGGAGACCUCGUGAAUCACUUCAUAAAUUUCUUCCUCACAAUUUUCAGAUUCACGUAUAUCAAGCAAAACUCCAUAAAGAUAGUCAAGUGCACUCAACUCACUAGCAAUUCGUUCCACAUAAGUGGGUCUCUUAAAGAGAUUAGCUAGUGGAUGAGGAUCCAUAUCAAUAGAUUGUCAGCAAACGAAGAUGCAAGCAUAUUGAAGGCACAUAGCACACGAGCGAACAGAAAUCAAGAGAGAGAAAAGGGUGAACGAAAAAGGAAAACUAAAAAGGCAAAUGUGAAGUGGGGGAGAGGAAAACGAGAGGCAACUGGCCAAGACAAGUAAAUGAGCUUGUGAGACCUACUUGGAUAGAUCUUGAUCUCUCCUCCACGGCAACGGCGCCAGAAAUACUUCUUGAUGUCAGCUGUGCUACUGUAACAAAAGACCUUCCAAUGGCGCCAGAAAUAGGUGUGUCGAUGGCACCAGGUAUCCUUCUGCUACGGCUACGCCUUAAGGAACUUCCUAAGCAAAUAUACAAAGGAUUUCCCCCGUGGCCUUGGAGCCUUGCGUUGGUGUUCCCUCGAAGCGGAAAGGGUGAUGUAGCACAGCGAUGGUAGGUAUUUCCCUCAGUUUGAGAACCAAGGUAUCGAUCUAGUGAAGGAGUAUCACAAGAGCCUACACAAACACAAAUAACCUGCUCCCAACACAAUGAAGGGGUCGUCAAUCCCUUAUAGAUUGUUUGCCAAGUGAGAACUGAAAGCAACAAAGUAACAAAGCAAAGUAAAAGCGGAGGUGUAAACGAUAGAUGUGAAUAGACCCGGGGGCCAUAGUGUUUACUAGUGGCUUCUCUCAUGAAAGCAAGUAGACGGUGGGUGAACAAAUUACUGUCGUGCAAUUGAUAGAACCGCGCAAAGUCGUGACGUCAUCUAUAGCAAUGAUUAUAUCUAUAGGCAUCACGUCGAAAACAAGUAGACCGAUACUGUGUGCAUCUACUACUAUUACUCCACACGUCGACCGCUAUCCAGCAUGCAUCUAGUGUAUGAAGUCCAAAAGAACAGAGUAACGCCUUAAGCAAGAUGACAUGAUGUAGAUGGACAAUCUCAUAUCAACGACACAGCCCAUCUUGUUACCCUUGAUGGCAACUACUCAAUGUGUGUCGUACUGCCCCUACUGUCACUGGGAACGGUCACCACAUGGUAAGAACCCAAAACCAAGGACUUCUCCCAUUGCAAGAAUCAUAGAUCUAGUUGACCAAACAAAACCCAAGACUCGGAGAGACUUACAAGGAUAUCAAAUCAUGCAUAUAAAAAAUCAGCAAAGACUCAAAUAUAUAUCAUAGAUAAUCUGAUUACAAAUCCACAAUUCAUCNNNNNNNNNNNNNNNNNNNNNNNNNNNNNNNNNNNNNNNNNNNNNNNNNNNNNNNNNNNNNNNNNNNNNNNNNNNNNNNNNNNNNNNNNNNNNNNNNNNNNNNNNNNNNNNNNNNNNNNNNNNNNNNNNNNNNNNNNNNNNNNNNNNNNNNNNNNNNNNNNNNNNNNNNNNNNNNNNNNNNNNNNNNNNNNNNNNNNNNNNNNNNNNNNNNNNNNNNNNNNNNNNNNNNNNNNNNNNNNNNNNNNNNNNNNNNNNNNNNNNNNNNNNNNNNNNNNNNNNNNNNNNNNNNNNNNNNNNNNNNNNNNNNNNNNNNNNNNNNNNNNNNNNNNNNNNNNNNNNNNNNNNNNNNNNNNNNNNNNNNNNNNNNNNNNNNNNNNNNNNNNNNNNNNNNNNNNNNNNNNNNNNNNNNNNNNNNNNNNNNNNNNNNNNNNNNNNNNNNNNNNNNNNNNNNNNNNNNNNNNNNNNNNNNNNNNNNNNNNNNNNNNNNNNNNNNNNNNNNNNNNNNNNNNNNNNNNNNNNNNNNNNNNNNNNNNNNNNNNNNNNNNNNNNNNNNNNNNNNNNNNNNNNNNNNNNNNNNNNNNNNNNNNNNNNNNNNNNNNNNNNNNNNNNNNNNNNNNNNNNNNNNNNNNNNNNNNNNNNNNNNNNNNNNNNNNNNNNNNNNNNNNNNNNNNNNNNNNNNNNNNNNNNNNNNNNNNNNNNNNNNNNNNNNNNNNNNNNNNNNNNNNNNNNNNNNNNNNNNNNNNNNNNNNNNNNNNNNNNNNNNNNNNNNNNNNNNNNNNNNNNNGUUGUGGGUUUUGUUUGGAAAACUAGAUCUAUGAUUCUUGCAAUGGGAGAAGUGCAUGGUUUUGGGUUCAUACCUUGCGGUGACCUCACCCAGUGAUAGAAGGGGUAGCGAGGCACGCAUCGUGUUGUUGCCAUCAAGGGUAAAAAGAUGGGGUUUUCAUCAUUGCUUUGAGUUUAUCCCUCUACAUCAUGUCAUCUUGCUUAAGGCGUUACUCUGUUCGUCAUGAACUCAAUACACUAGAUGCAUGCUGGAUAGCGGUCGAUGUAUGGAGUAAUAGUAGUAGAUGCGGAAAGUAUCGGUCUACUUGUCUCGGACGUGAUGCCUAUAUGUAUGAUCAUUGCCUCAGAUAUCGUCAUGACUUUGCGCGGUUCUAUCAAUUGCUCGUCAGUAAUUUGUUCACCCACCAUAAUAUUUGCUAUUUUGAGAGAAGCCUCUAGUGAACACUAUGGCCCCCGGGUCUACUCAACACCAUAUUUUCAGCCUUACUCUUUUUCUUCGUUGCACUUUCCGCCUUCAAAUCUCACUUUGCAAUCAAUCUUGAAGGGAUUGAUAACCCCUUUAUAGCGUUGGGUGCAAGCUCACUACAAGAAAUAAGGUCAAUUAUGACUCCCUAUAUUGGUCAUUGAUUCGUCAUUGUUGUUGUUUAUUGACCUUUUUUUCACCAAAUUUACAAGGUCAAGAGUUGGCCGUCAAGAAUGAACAAACUUGACCUUUCUAAAAUUUUGGUCAUAGAUCUCUAUUGACCAAAAUAUUGGUUUGGUCAUUACCCAUUUGUCUGAGCCAAGUAGGAUCUGACGUGGCUGUGCUGACAUGGCAUUGCUAGUGACCAAAUGAAAUCAUCAUAAAUUUCACAACCCAAUUCAAUAAUCUAGUCUACAUGGGCCUCCACCAAUACUAUUUUAUUAUUAAAAAUGUGUAAAUUGUUUAGGCUGAUGCUUUAUUUUACCAAAAGCAUGUAUAUCUUAGGAUAGACCCAUUAAAAAGAUGUACACAAGACUAAAGGAAGCAAAAUAGUUGUAUAUAUUUCAUUUCACUUACACAUCACAUGAAUUACAAUACAUCAUCCAUCGACUCCUCUACACAUAAAGGUUCAAGGCCCAACAAAUGCAUAACAAAAUAGUUCUAUAAGUGCAGGUGCAGAGAAAAAGGGCCUAACAAGUGCAUAAUCACACAUCAACAUAGUUCGACAAAGAUUGGAUGAGAAGCACAAGUUUUGUUGAUCACACAUAAUAUCAAUGAUAAACGAAGUUUCUUGUUUCCUCCUCCCGUCCUGUCCUCUACUUCUUCUAGGUGCUUCAGAUCAUCCUGAUAAUUCAAAUAAUCAAACAUAAGAAAGCAUACAACUUCUCUCAAUGAAGGUACGGAUAAAAUACAUGCGAAUCUUUUUUUAUUCUAAUCUUUACGUCUCUGAAUAAUUGUCUAUCCUGCUUCUAAUCACCAUGAUGUCAAAAAUGCACGCAAAGUGUGCAUGCACCUAGUACAGAAUAUUAUAAUGUGGCAUAUAUGUUUGCACUUAUUGUUUGCAUUUAUUGCACAAGAAAGAAGACAUACGGAGAUACAACCUGAUGGUAUGGAAUAUGCAUUAAAGAUAACAGGGCAUGUCAUACAUGCUACACCAGAUUAUGUAUGCUUACAAACAAGAGGUGAAAUUAAUGCUAGGUUUGAAUUUCAGACCUUUCAAUAAUAACAGUAAAAUUCAGGUUUUGGUGAGAAGAAAGGUGAACCUAAAGGGUUGAGUUGUAUUUUAGGAUGCAUGCCAUGUUGCUUCCAGACCAUGGAUAUGACUGUUUCAGUCAUCGAAGUGAUUGUUGGGCACAUGAAAUUGAUGGGAAAUCUUUGGUCACAGGCAAAUUAAGCAGCUUCAAGACCAAGUUUAAACGUGUAUGAUGGCAGUGAAAUUGCAGCUAGUCUCUUUGCAUCCUGAUGUAAAUUAGUCUGGUAGUAUUAAGUUUUGUAAUAAUUCUGAAUUUUUCCUAUUGCUGCUUACCAAGUGCGAAGUGAGACACAAUGUUCUUCCAACGUAUUUUAAUUGUACUCAUACGGAUGAUAUUUAUUUGCUGAGAUAUUUCCUGUAACCAUCAGUUACAUGGUAUCUAUUUAGUACAUGACUUGGUUGUUCUUGUAUAUUUUCUGUAGAAUUCUCUACAUGAAUGCAUGUGUCGGGGCUGAUUUUAACCAUUUAGAUUGGUUGUCCAAAUGUCUCCUUGAUGCUUUUAUACAUGGGUCAUCAAAUUUAUUAAGUUGGUUCUCAAAUUUCUUAGGCCGGCGCUUAGCAAAAGUGUGCACGGAAAGAAUUACAGGACCAUUUCCUUAUAGUUACCAAAAAUGACUUAUACAGAACUAUUAGUACACUAGUGGAGAAUGAUUAUUAAUAUACUAUAUAAAUAGAAAAAAUACCUACAAUAUAAUAAUGCAGUCUUAUCCCAUAAAAAAGUCAGGAACGCCUCGGGGAAUCAUUUUUAAUAUAGAUAGCCAAAAUUAUAAAUAGCAAAAAUACCUACAAUAUAAUAAAGCAGUCUUAUCCUAUAAAAUCCUGUCGGGGGCGACGGAUGGUUGGUUAAUUAAUUUGAUCACGACUAGCGCAUGCUGAGGCAAGGAUUAUUAUAACGCUUGCUGCGCAAAGCGGGGACAAUCGAUAUUAUAAUGUCUUCUAGCAGUCGCAGAUCCACCCCUACCCUAAAGCGCAAGACCGAUGCUGGGAUAACAGUCGAUGCAGGUACAUGAACAAGCACAGAAUAAAUUCAGAAACGACAGUAAGACUCGGUGAAACAAUAGUCCAGAAUUAUGAAUCCAUGCAUCAAAGUACGAAAUUGCUGAUGCACAACGCAUGAAAAUAUGAAAUUGCUGCUAGACAAGACACCAUCUUGUAUGCUGGAUUAGGAUGCUACCUCACACGUUACGCGCCGCGGCGGGUUCGAACGGGCAAAGUAUGUUUCUGACGGGUUCAAUCACGCCGCAAGCGAACAAAGCAGCCAAACCGGCAGAGAAGCUACUCCUAGCGCCCUGUUCCUGCGCGCUCGCAAGGCCGGAGCCCGCGCCGACAUGGCCGAGAUCUACCUACCAACCCAACCUCGGAUCGAUUCGAUCCACGCCCGGCCCGCCGGCAAGCGGAGCGCGAACCAGUAGCUACGACCGCCGAGAAAGAACCAUGUGUGUGUGUGGGGGGUGCGUGUCUCACCUUCGGAGAUGGAAGUAUGGAUCUGGGCGCACUUGAGGACGACGUUGUAGUCGUUGAGGCCCUCCUCCUCCUUGAUGAGGUACUCGGUAGCGCCGUCCUUGCCGCCGCCGGAGGAGACCGAGCCUCCUUCGGCGUGCGGCUCGGGGCGACCUUGACCUUGGAGACGAGCACCCGCUGCAGCACCGCGAAGGCGAUGCCGAUCGCCGCCGCCACCGGCACCAACAGCUGUGUGGCCAGCUCCGGCAGGAUCACCGCUGCCACCAUCUCCGCCCCGCUGGGAUCAGUACGCCGGCUUGGUCACGGUGGUUCAUUCCUUUCCCCCGCCUUCCACGGAGGACUAGGUGGUAUACGAGAGAGGGGAGGGAUGGGAUGGGGAGGGAAGUUGCGGCGGCGAUCUGGAAGGGGAGGAGGCGACGAGCGGGUAGGGUAGGGUUCGCGAGGACGAGUAGUGGGUCUGCUAGUUUUUUUACUCCUUUUCUUCAGAUGAAUGAAUGGAUGGAUGGACGUGGGAUUGCUAGCAAUGGACGGUAGGAUUUGUGCCAUGUCAUCGAUCCGUGGUAUAAAUGGUUCCACCAAUCAGAAUGCAGCUUAUGUAAUUGUAUUUUUUUCUUUUGUUUCUUUUAUAUUUUUUAUCCUCUUAUUUCGGGUAAACACCCAACAUAUUAGCCUCAUUUGGUAUGUUUAAAUGACCCAAUAAUUAUGAAACCAUACUGAAUUUAGAUAUUAGUCCUUAUAGAUAUUGGUUUUAGCAAAUAUGGACCCAUAUUGUUGUCUCUAGUAGUAUUUUUUGAUUGCCUAAAAAGAGUUGUACAAUAUUUAUUAUUUCCCUCAAAAGAAAGCUAUAUUUUUUGGUUGAGUGUUGUGGGUCGAAACACUUUUCAUUUAGUUAUGAUAGUAUUUGGCAUUACUGAAAAAUUCACCCACAUAAUUUUUAUUGUUAUGUUUAAGUCUUUAUUGUGUGAAACACCAAGUUAAGGUACCCUAUACCACCUUUCAAAAAUAUUUAUCUAAAUAAGGUCUACACAUUAUGAGAUUAUCAUGGGCUCAUAUAUUUCAUUUUGGUAAUUAUAUUGUAUUUUAUAAAAUAUUUAGGAUAUUAAAAUGAAUAAUUAUGAUUUAUUGGUAUUUAUCUAAUAUAAUUUACUUCAUCCAUAUAUGUAUAAAACAAAAUUUUGCUCUCUAUACAUGACACAUAGGCAAAAUUGAUGAGGUGUCGUCGAGUCACCUCCACACAUAUGUUUAUGGUCUUAUAGUUGGUCAUGGUAGCAUUGAAAUUUGAUCAUAAAUAAUUCUGCACAUCUUGAUGACCAUUUUGUGCAAUAGGAACAUGACCUAAUUGACGCAAAAGGUCAUAACGUUAUGGGCUUUGGACCCUCUUAGACUUGCCAUGACUAAUUUCAUAAUUUUGGUCAUGGAUCAAUGACCAAUUAAACCACCGUCAUUAUUUUUGUUCAUAAUUGAGCGUUUUUCUUAUAGUGUCUUUUGUGUUUGCACAGGUACUGUGGACUUGACGAAAUUCUCCUACUGGAUUGAUACCUUGGUUCUCAAACUGAGGGCAAUACUUACUGCUCCUGUGAUCCAUCGCCCUUUCCUCUUCAAGGGAAAAACCAACGCAAGCUCAAGAGACGAAAGAAGAUUUCUGUCACCGUAGCAAUGUCUCUCUCCCAAAAGACGAUAAACAACUAUGCAUGGGUAAACAACUUACAGCUCGGGAAUUGACGUAAUUAUGAACGCACCGCAAUGCUAAUCAUCCUACAAGAAACUUAGAUGCUCAAAAGUAAUGGCCAGUACGCCAAGACAAGUAGACCAUUUAUUCAUCAGCAUGUACUUACUAAUCAUCCACCUUGAGAUAUCUAUCCAGAACAUCUCGCUGGUAUUCAGUUGCGAGCCCCACCCAAAGUGUAAACUCAAAGCAACGAACAACUUCAUUAAUGAACUUUGUGUAAGGUAAACUAGCCUUGCAACCGUGGUCACAAGAACUAUUGUUUUCUCCCUGGUGGCAACAUCACAUCCCCUAGUCUCAUGUUUCUGUCACUCAAGCUAGACAUCAGGGGGCAUGAACCCACAAUCAUGCAAAACGUUCCCUCUUGGAGUUAUAAUCUACUACUCAGCCAAUGCAAUACAAAGCAACGGAGAACAUGCAUGAAUCAGUAAAGACAUAAUAUAAAAGGAUAAUCAAAUAUAUAACUCAACACAAUCUGAAGAUAAUCUCAUAAUCCAUCGGAUCCCAGCAAACCGAGCAUAGCAAUAGCACGAAAAUUACAUAGUUGCCUUGAUCAUGUAGGGCAGCUCACAAGGGCUAAACAUUGAAGCACAAGAUUGGAGAGAAGAUAUCACACAACUACUAGUCAUGGAUUCAUGGUCCAAGGAGGACUACUCAUAGCACGACCGGGAAGUGUCCAUGGCGGUGGAGAAGCUCCAGGAGGUUAGUCCUCCCUCCGGCAGGAUGUCAGGAAGAGAUCUCCUGACGCUCCCGAUCUCGAAAGCGCUGCGACGGCAGAACGGUGGAGAAAUUCAUGAUUUUGGAUAUGAUGGAAGGGUUUUCGAUCGGAGAGGUAAAAUAGGCUGAAGUGUUGGGGAACGUCGCAUGGGAAACAAAAAUUUUCCUACGCGCACGAAGACCUAUCAUGGUGAUGUCCAUCUACGAGAGGGGAUUUCCGAUCUACGUACCCUUGUAGAUCGCACAUCAGAAGCGUUAGUGAAUGCGGUUGAUGUAGUGGAACAUCCUCACGUCCCUCGAUCCGCCCCGCGAACCGUCCCGCAAUCCGUCCCACGAUCUAGUGCCGAACGGACGGCACAUCCGCGUUCAGCACACUUACAGCUCGACGAUGAUCUCGGCCUUCUUGAUCCAGCAAGAGAGACAGAGAGGUAGAUGAGUUCUCCGACAGCGUGACGGCGCUCCGGAGGUUGGUGGUGAUCAGAUCUCGGCAGGGCUCCGCCCGAGCUCCACAGAAACGCGAUCUAGAGGAACAACCGUGGAGGUAUGUGGUCGGGCUGCCGUGGCAAAGUUUUCUCAAAUCAGCCCUAAAACCCCACUAUAUAUAGGAGGGAGGGGAGGGGCCUUGCCUUGAGGCUCAAGGAGCCCCAAGGGGAUCGGCCGAGCCAAGGGGGGGGGAAGUCCUCCCCUUCCAACCCGAGCCCAACUUGGUUUGGAAGGUGGAGUCCUUCUCUCCUUUCCCACCUCCCUUUUUUUUCGUUUCUCUUUGAUUUCUUAUCCUUUGGCGCAUAGGGCCUUCUUGGGUUAUGCCACCAGCCCACCAAGGGCUGGUGCGCCACCCCCAAGGCCUAUGGGCUUCCCCGGGGUGGGUGGCCCCCCCCCACCCCGGUGAACACCCGGAACCCAUUCGUCAUUCCCAGUACAUUCCCGGUAACUCCGAAAACCUUCCGGUAAUCAAAUGAGGUCAUCCUAUAUAUCAAUCUUCGUUUCCGGACCAUUCCGGAAACCCUCGUGACGUCCGUGAUCUCAUCUGGGACUCCGAACAACAUUCGGUAAGCAACCAUAUAACUCAAAUAUGCAUAAAACAACGUCGAACCUUAAGUGUGCGGACCCUGCGGGUUCGAGAACUAUGCAGACAUGACCCGAGUGACUCCUCGGUUAAUAUACAAUAGCGGGACCUGGAUGCCCAUAUUGGAUCCCACAUAUUCUAUGAAGAUCUUAUCGUUUGAACCUCAGUGCCAAGGAUUCAUGUAAUCCCCUAUGUCAUUCCCUUUGUCCUUCGGUAUGUUACUUGCCCGAGAUUCGAUCGUCAGUAUCCGCAUACCUAUUUCAAUCUCGUUUACCGGUAAGUCUCUUUACUCGUUCCGGAAUACAAGAUCCCGCAACUUACACUAAGUCACAUUGCUUGCAAGGCUUGUGUGUGAUGUUGUAUUACCCAGUGGGCCCCGAGAUACCUCUCCAUCACACGGAGUGACAAAUCCCAGUCUCGAUCCAUACUAACACGACGAACACCUUCAGAUAUACCUGUAGAGCAUCUUUAUAGUCACCCAGUUACGUUGCGACGUUUGAUACCCACAAAGCAUUCCUCCGGUGUCAGUGAGUUAUAUGAUCUCUUGGUCAAAGGAACAAAUACUUGACACGCAGAAAACAGUAGCAACAAAAUGACACGAUCAACAUGCUACAUCUAUUAGUUUGGGUCUAGUCCAUCACAUGAUUCUCUAUAGCGACCCGACUCAAGAUGAGUCAAGCCUCUGGUGUUUCCGUACCAUCCCAAGAUCAUGCUGGUACGCACUCAGUACAUCAAUGUAUAUAUCAAGAGUUCAAUGACACAACUUUAUUAAUCGAAAUCUCAUAACGCGUACUUUAUUACAAUAAAGUGGCUGAAGGCCAUCUCAUGAGAUAUCUAACGAAGACUAGCGGAAGCAUCAGGUAGACGAGUCCAUCCGACUCUAGGGCAUGUCGCUGAGCGUAGACCGUAGCCUCACUCCUGGUCGGAAAAGUACUUUGCAACAUGAUACGUUGCAGCCGUGUAGGUCAGCAUAUGGAAUAUGCCAGCAAGUCAUCAGAGAGAGGGGUAAAAAUAAUAAUCAACUAUCUCUACAUGCAUAUUUGGCAGGUGGGGCUAUAAGUUUUUCAUAAAGCCAAUUUUAUCCUACAACAAGAGGGGCUGGAAGCAAAAUAUUAGUACAUUGUUUGUUGUUAACGAGAUGGUUCGGCGAACCUAUUCUCGUACCCGAGUUGUUCUUAACACCCACAUCAUUANNNNNNNNNNNNNNNNNNNNNNNNNNNNNNNNNNNNNNNNNNNNNNNNNNNNNNNNNNNNNNNNNNNNNNNNNNNNNNNNNAUCUAACGGUGGAGGAGGGGUGGGGUGCUCACCGCGGUGGAGAUGAACUCCGGCAGGGUCCGAGGAGAAGAGGUGGUGCCGGUGCGGCAAUUCCGACCGUCGGCCGAGGUGGGGGAGACGUCCGGGCGACGGAGGGGAUAUCCGGCGUUCUUCUAGUGGCGUCGGGGAGGUGCGGCGUGGCCGGGGGCGAGCACUGGAGUGGCCGGAGCUUCGGCCGUGCUGGUGCUCUGGCGAGGUGCAGCAAGGGGCGGCUAGAGGCGGCGGGACGGCGUGGCGAGGUGGAGAACGGAGUGCGGGGACAGGGGGUAUUUAUAGGGGGAGAGGGGGCCUCGGGAGGGAAGGGGCAGGGAGAUCCGGCGAGAGGGGAUCGGCUCCGGUGAGUUUGGAAGGGGAUCGGGGCGUUGUAAGGAAAGAGAGGGACGAGAGGAAGGAGAUAACCGACUCGGGGUGGGUUCGGGCGGUGGGGCCCGCUGGCAGUGAGGGAGAGAGAGAGGUGACUGGGGGGCUCGGGGCGGUCGGCCGAUCCGAAGGGGAUCAGGAUCCCCGCUAUAGUGGUAUUCGGCCCAACUCUUAAAUGCCGCCCGCGGCGGUUUCCUUUCAAAAAAAACGUUUCCUGUUUUAGUCAUUUUCAGAAACAGAAACUAAAACAAAUAAAAAGGCAACAAACAAAAAUAAUUAAUAUAGGGUAUUAUAUACCAAAAAUUUCAGAAAAAUAUCCACUACUCGAUUAACAUUUUUCCAAGGCAAAAAUAAAAAAAAUUAAUUUUUUUUCUUCAGAAAUUCCCCUAAAUGCUUUAUUUCUUUUUGGCAAUUAUUUUUACGAUAAAACUUUGGAUUUCUUGGCUCCAAAUAUUUCAAAAAUGUCUCACACUUUGGAAGGUCAUUUUCCUCCGCUCUCUCUUGCGUGCAAGAGAUCAUUUCCCGGCACUUCUCGUGUGAAGAAAGAAAAAAUAGAAAUGCAGAAGCAAUAGUCGAAGAAAUUCAAAUGCAAACUUUAUUUCAAUCAAUAUGCAUAGAUGCUUAGCUAAAAUGUAAAACACUCCCAAUUAGGAAAAUUGGGAUGUUACAAACCUACCCACCUUAAGAUGAAUCUCGCCCUCGAGAUUCGGGUUGGCUAGAAAAUAGGUGCGGGUGGUCUCGACGAAGAUCCUCUUCUCGUUCCCAGGUGGCUUCUUCCUCGGUGUGGUGGCUCCACAACACCUUGCAGAACUUGAUGAUCUUGCUGCGGGUAACUCUGUUGGCAGUCUCGAGAAUCCUGACGGGUUUCUCCUCAUACGUCAGAUCACUGUCAAGCUGUAUGGCCUCUAGGGGCACUGUAUCUCUCAACGGAACAUCGGCCAUCUCAGCGUGGCAUUUCUUCAACUGGGAAACAUGGAAGACAUCAUGAACUCCGGACAAUCCUUCUGGUAGUUCCAGUUUAUAUGCAACUUCGCCUCUACGUUCAAGAAUUUUGUAGGCGCCAAUGAAUCGGGGUGCUAACUUUCCUUUCACACCAAAUAUUUUGAUUCCUCGAAGUGGAGACACCCGAAGAUAUGCUCGGUCUCCCACUUCGUAUGUUACUUCCUUGCGUUUGCUGUCAGCAUAACUCUUCUGCCUGGACUGAGCUAUCUUGAGUCGGUCACGAAUAAUCUUGACCUUCUCCUCAGAAUCUCGGAUAAGGUCGGGACCAAAAAGUUGUCGGUCUCCAACUCCAUCCCACAUCAACGGUGUUCUGCACCUCCUUCCAUAUAGAGCUUCGAAAGGGGCCAUCUUCAGACUCGUCUGGUAGCUGUUGUUGUAUGAGAACUCGGCAUAAGGUAAAUUGUCAUCCCAACUAGACCCAUAAUCUAGUGCGCAAGCUCUCAACAUGUCCUCCAGAAUCUGAUUGACUCUCUCGGUCUGUCCAUCUGUCUGUGGGUGAAAAGCUGUACUGAACUCCAAUCUCAUUCCCAAGGUUUCAUGCAGUUGGUGCCAAAAUUUUGAUGUGAACUGAGUCCCUCUAUCUGACACAAUGCUCCUGGGUACUCCGUGCAGACAUACGAUCCUGGUCAUAUAUAUCUUGGCCAGCUUGGCACUCGUGUAAGUAGUCUUCACAGGAAUGAAGUGAGCUACCUUGGUCAAACGAUCGACCACAACCCAAAUGGAAUCAUAGCCAGAACGGGUCCUGGGUAAUCCUGUGAUGAAGUCCAUACCAAGUUUUUCCAUUUCCACUCGGGUAUUGGCAGAGGUUGGAGCAAACCUGCUGGCUUCUGAUCCUCGGCUUUUACUCGCUGACAAACAUCGCAUAUUGCUACAAACUCGGCAAUGUCUUUCGUCAUUCCUGUCCACCAGAAACUUUCUUUCAGAUCCACAUACAUCUUGGUGUUGCCGGGGUGUAUUGAGUACGGGGAAUCAUGGGCCUCCUGAAGUAUCAAAUUCCUGAGUUCGGGAUCAUUGGGCACAUAAAUGCAAUCCUCAAACCAUAAAAUUCCGUGUUCAUCCUCACGAAAACCAUUAGCUUUCCCGUCUUUCAUUUUCUGCUUAAUCUCAGCUACCUCCUUGUCUGAUUUCUGUGCUUCGCGGAUCUUUCCUAUCAAAGUGGACUGAAUUUCUAGUGUGGCAACAAAUCCUCUUGGAACUAUUUCCAUUUUGAGCUCUCGGAGGUCAUCGGCUAACUCCUGGGGUAAUCCUCCUGCUAUGAGUGUGUUCACAUAACUCUUGCGGCUCAACGCAUCGGCUACAACAUUUGCCUUGCCUGGGUGAUAAUGCAAUCUCAUGUCAUAGUCCUUGAUCAAUUCUAGCCAUCGCCUCUGUCUGAGGUUCAACUCCUUCUGCGUGAAGAUAUAUUUCAGGCUUUUCUGAUCAGUGUAAACAUCACAACUAUUUCCGAUCAGGAAAUGUCUCCAGGUCUUAAGAGCGUGCACUAUGGCUGCUAGUUCCAAGUCAUGUAUGGCGUAAUUCAACUCAUGGGGUCUGAGCUAUCUGGAUGCAUAGGCUACAACUUUACCUUCUUGCAUGAGCACUCCUCCGAGACCUUGACGAGAAGCGUCACAGUAAACCUGGAAAUCCUUCCGAAUGUUCGGCAAUAUCAGCACUGGGGCUGUAACCAGACGUUUCUUCAACUCUUGAAAACUGGUUUCACAUUCCUCAGUCCAAACAUAAUUGGAUUCCUUCUUCAACAACUCUGUCAUGGGCUUGGCGAUCUUUGAGAAAUUCUCAAUGAACCUCCGGUAAUAUCCGGCAAGUCCGAGGAAACUGCAGAUCUCCUUGACUGAAGUGGGUGCUACCCAUUCGGUGACUGAUGUGACCUUGGCAGGGUCCACAGCUAUUCCUUCUCCUGAGAUGACGUGUCCGAGGAAUCCGACUUCCUUCAACCAGAACUCACAUUUGCUAAACUUUGCAUACAGCUUAUGCUCUCGAAGUUUCUCCAGAACUAGACGCAGAUGUUCCUUGUGUUCCUCCUCGUUUUUGGAGAAUAUCAGUAUGUCAUCAAUGAACACCACGACAAACUUGUCCAAGUAUUCCAUAAAUACCUUGUUCAUCAGAUUCAUAAAAUAUGCCGGAGCAUUAGUCAGUCCAAAUGACAUGACCAUGUACUCAUACAAGCCGUACCGAGUGGUGAAGGUUGUCUUGGGUAUAUCAUGUUCACGAAUCUUCAACUGAUGAUACCCGGAUCGAAGAUCGAUCUUUGAGAAUGUGCGAGCUCCAACUAACUGGUCAAACAGAUCAUUGAUCAUCGGCAAGGGGUACUUGUUCUUGAUGGUCACCUCGUUCAAGGCACGAUAAUCGACAACCAUUCUCAAGGACUUAUCCUUCUUUUCAACCAAGAGCACUGGGGCUCCCCAAGGCGAAGAACUUGGGCGCAUAUACCCUCUGUCCAACAACUCCUUAAUUUGCUUCUUGAUUUCUACCAAGUCAUUUGCGGGCAUCCGAUAGGGUCUCUUGGAUAUCGGGGUUGUUCCGUGUAAUAGCUCAAUCAAGAACUCAAUCUCUCUAUCAGGUGGCAUGCCCGGCAAUUCCUCCGGAAAUACAUCUGGGUACUCCUGUACAAUCGGUACUUCCUCUUGGACUACUCCCGUGAGAGAGUUUACUCGUUUACUCCGUGUCGGGCACUGAGACACGCACUUAAUCCUCUUUUGCUCGGGGGUGGUGAGCAAAAUAGACUUAAGGGCACAAUCAAUAUUCCCUUCAUACUUGGCCAACCAAUCCAUGCCUAGGAUUACAUCCAAUCCCUGGGACUCUAAUACGAUGAGGUCGGUGGGAAAAUUAUGGUUCCCGAUGUUGAGACUCAAGGCAUGGCAUCCUAUCCCGGCUAUCCUCAUGCCUCCUCGGGAACUGACCUUAAUAGGCUGGCUGAGGGUUCAAGUUGGCAAACUAUACUUUUCCACAACUACCCUUGAUAUGAAUGAAUGCGUUGCACCAGAAUCAAAAAGUACCAAUACUGGACGUGAAUUUAGCAAAAACUUACCAAUCACAGUAUCGGAGUGAUCAUAAACCUCUUCAACAUCAAUGUGAUUCACCUGAGCUCGAGGACAAGGAUUGGGCUUCUUUGCUGCAGAGUUGCCGUUGUCGUUUGUUGGGGAACGUAGCAUAAAUUCAAAAUUUUCCUACGCUUAUUCAGAUCUUCCUAUGGAGAGNNNNNNNNNNNNNNNNNNNNNNNNNNNNNNNNNNNNNNNNNNNNNNNNNNNNNNNNNNNNNNNNNNNNNNNNNNNNNNNNNNNNNNNNNNNNNNNNNNNNCUCCUCCUCCUCCUCGUCUCCUUUUCUCCUCCUGCUCUCCUCUUCUUCUCCUUUCACGGGAAAUUUUGGCAUGACAUGUCCCAAUUCAAAAUAUCACGUGUCCAAAUCACAUGUCCACAUAUGACAUGUCCACUUCAAAUUUUCAUAUAAUACGAAGAACAAUAUAGAACUUGAAGCAAAAUGCAAGAGUCUUUUUUCUUCUCAAUAUUUGGAACUAGUGGUAAUCAAUUCUGUUUUUUUCUUUAAAUAGCCUAUAUGAAACUUGAAGAAAAAUUUGCAACCUUAUAAGAAUUAACCUAAGUAAGUUAACCUAAGAACCUAAUAAAAAUUAACCUAAGUAAAUUAACCUAAGUAACAUAACUAAAUUAACCUAAACAACUUAAAGUAAGAACCUAAUAGCAACAAGAACCUAAUAACAAUAACCUAAAUAAAUUAACCUAAUUCACUAAACUUAACUAAAUUACCCUUAGCAAAGAGGCAAAGAGAGGAAAGGAGGGACGAAGGACUUACAAGUGGCUAGGGGAGACAUCAGCGAUGAGGUGGACCUCGGGGGAAAUGUCGGCGACAAGGUGGACCAGGGGCACGGAGAGGAGGGGGCGGUGGUGGAGCAGGGGGUCGCAGGGAAGAGGAGGCGCUGGUGGAGCACGAGAACGGAGAGGAGGGGCGGUGGUGGAGCAGGGGCACGAUGGUGGAGGAGGGGGUCGCAGGGAGGAGGAGGGGCGAGCUCAAGAGGCUGGUCGUUGGGGAGGAGGGAGGAGGGAGGACGAGCUCCGGCUGCGGUGCAGGGAGAGAGUCAGGGGCGAUGGUGAAGCAGGGGAACGGAGAGGAGGGGGCGGUGGUGGAGCAGGGGCACGAUGGUGCAGGAGGGGGUCGUAGGGAGGAGGAAUGGCGAGCUCCAGCGGCGGGUCGCGGGGAGGAGGGAGGAGGGAGGACGAGCUCCGGCGGCAAUGCAGGGAGAGAGUCAGCGGCUGUGGUGAGCCGUUACGGGGGGGAGAGAGGGGGUGGGGUGGGGGUUGAGGACGUUAGGUCUAGUGGGCGCUUUGCCGUCUGCCCCCGACGGCAAAGGGGUAAGAGGCUGACGGCAAAGAAGUGGACCGUUAUGGGUUAGAGGGCGGUGUGGGGUGGGUUCUUUGCCGUCUACGUGCAUGUGCUUUGCCGUCAGCUAGCAGACGACAAAGAGGCAGCAGAUGGCAAAGACACUCUUUGCCAUCAGCCUGCUCUUUGCCGUCAGGUUUUGGGUAGCUGAUGGCAAAGAGUGUCUUUGCCAUUAGGCAUCAGACGGCAAAGAAGCAGUAGAUGGAAAAUUCUAUGAUUCCAGUAGUGCUAGGAGUAUGCGUUGAAUGCUUUGUUUUGAUUACUAAUAAAACUUUUGGAACAAGUAUAUGAGUUCUUCAUGACUAAUGUUGAGUCCAUGGUUUAGAUGCAUUUUCACCCUCCACCAUCACUAUCUUCUUAGUGUCGUGCAACUUUCGCCGGUGCACAAAACCCACCAUUAGCCUCCCUCAAAACAACCACCAUACCUACCUACUAUGGUUUUUUCCAAGUCAUUCCGAGAUAUAUUGCCAUGAAACUACCACCAUGACAUGUGCCACCACUUCUACAUUGCCAUUGCAUCAUCGUAAGAUAGCUAGCAUGAUGUUUCCAUUAAUGUCUAUGCCAUGCUAGAUCAUUGCCACGGUACACUACUUAAGGCAUUCCAUAUAGAGUCAUUGUUGCUCUAAGUUUUUAGUUGAAAGUGUGAUGAUCAUCAUUAGUGGAGCAUUGUCCCAUGUGAGGAAAUAAAAUAGGCCAAAGAAGCCCACCAAAAAAAAAGAGGCCAAAGAGCCCACCAAAAAAAAUGAGAGAAAAAGAGAGAAGGGACAAUGCAACCACUUUUUCCACACUUGUGCAUAUUAAGCACCAUGAUCUUCAUGAUUGAGAGUCUCUCGUUUUGUCACCACCAUAUAGCUAGUGGGAAAUUUUCAUUAUAUAACUUGGCUUGUAUAUUCCAACGAUAGGCUUCCUACAAAUUGCCUUAGGUCUUCGUGAGCAAGCAAGUUGGAUGACACCCACUAGUUUUCUUUAAGAGCUUUCACAUACUCGUAGCUCUAGUGCAUCAUUUGUAUGGCAAUCCCUACUCAUUCACAUUGAUAUCUAUUGAUGAGCAUCUCAACAGCUCAUUCAUAUGCCUAGUUAAUGUGACCAUCUUCUCCUUGUUAUGUCUUGCAACCUCCACCACACUCCACACCAUCUAUAGUGCUAAAACCAUGGCUCAUGCUCAUGUAUUGCGUGAGAGUUGAAAAAGUUUGAGAAAGUAAAGGUGUGAAACAAUUACUUGGCCAAUACCGGGGUUGUUCAUGAUUUAAAUUCGUUGUGCAAUGAUGAUAGAGCAUAGCUAGACUAUAUGCUUUUGUAGGGAUAACUUUCUUUUGGCCUUGUUAUUUUGAAAGUUCAUGAUUACCUUGCUAGUUUGCUUGAUUUAUUAUUGUUUCUACGUCAAUAGCGAACUAUUGUUUUGAAUCUAAUGGAUCUGAACAUUCACGUCACAAAAGAGGAGUUACAAAGGACAUCUAUGCUAGGUAGCAUGAAAGCAUCAAAAAUUCAUUCUUUAUCACUUCCCUACUCGAGGACGAGAAGGAGUUAAGCUUGGGGAUGCUUGAUACGUCUCAAACGUAUCUAUAAUUUUUGAUGGUUCACACUGUUAUCUUCUCAUCUUUGGAUGUUUUUGGUAACUUUAUAUCUUUUUUGGGACUAACUUAUUAAUUUAGUGCCAAGUGCCAGUUCCUGUUUUUUGUGUGUUUUUGUCUCUUUUCGGAUCUGAUUUUGGAACGGAGUCCAAACGGAAUAAAAUCGCCGAAAUGAUUUUUUCCCGAAUGAAAGAAGAUCAGGGGGCAUGUGGGCCAAGCCAGUAGGGCUCCUAGGAGCCCACAAGCCCCCACUCCGCCACUAGGGGGAGGCAGCGGUGGCAGGGCUUGUGGCCUCCCUGAGCGCCCCUUGACAUGGAUCUUUGGCCUAUAUAUUCCCUAAAAUACAGCAAAAAAUCAGGGGAUCCACGAAAAUACUUUUCCGCCGCUGCAAGCUUCCGUUUCCUCGAGAUCUCAUUUGGAGACCCUUCCCGGUGCCCUGCCGGAGGGGACUUUGGAGUUGGAGGGCUUCUUCAUCAUCAUCAUCACCCCUCCAAUGACUCGUGAGUAGUUCACUUCACACCUACGGGUCCGUAGUUAGUAGCUAGAUGGCUUCUUCUCUCUCUUGGAUCUUCAAUACAAAGUUCUCCAUGAUCUUCAUGGAGAUCUAUCCGAUGUAAUCUUCUUUGGCGGUGUGUUUGUCGAGAUCCGAUGAAUUGUGGAUUUGUGAUAAGAUUAUCUAUGAUAUAUAUUUGAGUCUUUUCUGAUUUCUUAUAUGCAUGAUUUGAUAUCCUUGUAAGUCUCUCCGAGUCUUGGGUUUUGUUUGGCCAACUAGAUCUAUGAUUCUUGCAAUGGGAGAAGUGCUUGGUUUUGGGUUCUUACCAUGUGGUGACCUUUCCUAGUGACAGUAGGGGAAGCAAGGCACACAUUGAGUAGUUGCCAUCAAGGGUAACAAGAUGGGCUCUUUCAUUGAUAUGAGAUUGUCCAUCUACAUCAUGUCAUCUUGCUUAAGGUUUUACUCUCUUCUUUUGGACUUAAUACACUAGAUGCAUGCUGGAUAGCGGUCGACGUGCGGAGUAAUAGUAGUAGAUGCAGACAGUAUCGGUCUACUUGUUUUGGACGUGAUGCCUAUAGAUAUAAUCAUUGCCAUAGAUGACAUCACGACUUUGCGCGGUUCUAUCAAUUGCUCGAGAGUAAUUUGUUCACCCACCGUCUACUUGCUUUCAUGUGAGAAGCCACUAGUAAACCUUACGGCCCCUGGGUCUAUUCACAUCUAUCGUUUACACCUCCGCUUUUACUUUGCUUUGUUACUUUGUUGCUUUCAGUUCUAACUUGGCGAACAAUCUAUAAGGGAUUGACAACCCCUUCAUAGCGUUGGGAGAAGGUUCUUUGUGUUUGUGCAGGCUCUUGUGAUACUCCUUCACUGGAUCGAUACCUUGGUUCUCAAACUGAGGGAAAUACUUACCAUCGCUCCGCUACAUCACCCUUUCCGCUUCGAGGGAACACCAACGCAAGGCCCCAAUGCCACAGGGGAAAUCCUUUGCAUAUUUGCCGAGGAAGUCCCGUAAGGUGUAGCCGUAGGAGAAGGAUUCCUGGUGCCGUCGACACACCUAUUUUUGGCGCCAUUGAAAGGUCUUUUGUUGCAGUAGCACAACUGACAUAAGUGGUUGUGAGACAAAAAGGAGGAGAUGGUCACAUUGAGUCGGCGUAUCAAAGGGCUAUGGAGAUUCCCAUUAAUAGAUUUCAAUGUGAAUGAGUAGGGAUUGCCAUACAAAGGAUGCACUAGAGCUAUAAGUAUGUGAAUGCUCAAAAGGAGAACUAGUGGGUGUGCAUCCCACUUGCUUGCUCACGAAGACCUAGGGCAAUUUGAGGAAGCCCAUCAUUGGAAUAUACAAGCCAAGUUAUAUAAUGAUGAUUCCCACAAGCAUAUGGUAGUGACGAAACAAGAGGCUCUCAAACGUGAACACCAUGGUGCUAUUACGAAGCAUUGUCCCUCCUCUCUUUUUCUCUCUUUUUUUCUAUUUUUUUUAUUUGGGCUCUUGGGCCUCUUUUUUUCUAUUUUUUAUAAUUGGGCUAUUUGGCCCAGUUUUUUUUAUUUCCUCACAUGGGACAGUGCUUUAAUAAUGAUGAUCAUCACACUUUUAUUUACUCACAGCUCAAAGCUUAGAAAUGACUCUAUAGGAAAUGCCUCCGGUAGUGUACCGGGAUGUGCAACGAUCUAGCUUGGCGUAUGACGUUGAAACAUGUCGCUAGCUAUCUUAUGAUAAUGAAAUGGCAAUAUGAGAGUGACGGCACAAGUCAUGAGACGGAACGGUGGGAGUUGCAUGACAAUAUAUCUCGGAAUGGCUAUGAAAAUGCCAUAGUAGGUAGGUAGGGUGGCUGUUUUGAGCAAGGCAUAUGGUGGGUUUAUGUACCGGCGAAAAUUGCUCGGCACUAGAGAGGUUAGCAAUGGUGGAAGGUGAUAGUGCAUCUAUACCAUGGACUCACAUUAGUCAUGAAGAACUCACAUACUUGUUGUGAAAGUUUUUAUUAGUAAUCGAAACAAAGUGCUAAACGCAUACUCCGAGGGGAAGGGUUGGUAGGUGUUAACCAUCGCGCGAUCCCAACCUCAACACAAAGGACGACAAUUAAUAGAUCAAUUAUCCUCCGACUUCUUAACAUAGCGGUUCACCAUACGUGCAUGCUACGGGAAUCACUAACUUCAGCACAAGUAUUUCUAGAUUCACAACACCCUACUAACAUAACUCUUAAUAUUACCAAAUCCACAUCUCAAAACUAAUUGAGAGGAAUCAAGACUUCUCUUUCUACUCAAUGCACAUGAAGAUGGAGGUUUUUGUAUCCUCUUUGGGUACCUAUCACCUUUGGGACUACUUUCAUAGCAUAAGCCAACUACCAAGUCACGCACCGCCGUGCUCUAAAAGAUCUAAAUGACGCACAAAGAGCAAAAUUAUCUAGCUCAAAAGAUAUAAGUGAAGCACUAUGAGCAUUCUAGCAAAAUCACGAUGAGUGCAUGUCCCUCUCUAAAGGUGUGCAGAAAGGAUGAUUGUGACACAACAAAAAGAAAAAAACUCCUAAGAUACAAGACGCUCCAAGCAAAACACAUAUGAUGUGGUGAAUAAAAACAUAGCUCCAAGUAACAUUACCGAUGGAUUGAAGACGAAAGAGGGGAUGCCUUCCCGGGGCAUCCCCAAGAUUAGGCUUUUUGGUGUCCUUGAAUUUGCCUUGGGAUUCCUUGGGCAUCCCCAAGCUUGAGCUCUUUACACUCCUUAUCUCUUUGUCGAUGAGAACAUCAGCCAAAACUUGGAACUUCACAACACAAGACUUAAACAGAAACUCGUGAUAACAUUAGCACAAGAAAACAAACUACCACCACUUUAGGUACUGUAGCUAUCUUGGUUUCUAUUUAUAUUGGUGUUGGGCUACUGUAUUCUCACUUUUCCAUGGCUAGUACCCCCUGAUACUAUCCAUAGUUUCAUCAAAACAAGCAACCAACUCAACAAAAACAGACGAGUCUGUCGCAAUCCGUAUACUUCGUAUACUUGUGGUACCUCAAAAAUUCUGAAACAUUACGACUGCCUGGGAAAAAGGCAUCUCAACCAGAAGAAAAAGAAUCAACUCAAAAUCUCUUUCUGAAUAAAAUUUAAAAAUCAUCUAGUGAGCGAAAAGUUUCUGUCUUUUUCCAGCAGGAUCAAACAACCAUCACCAAGACUAGUCAGAAAGGUUUUGCUUGGCUCAAACACAAAAAGAAACACAAAAAACACAAUCAUAAUAGAAUUAUGAUGGUGUGGACGCAAGAAAACAGAAAGAAAAAGAAAUAAAUUCAUUGGGUUGCCUCCCAACAAGUGCUAUUGUUUAACGCCCUUAGCUAGGCAUAAGGCGAUAGAAUCACGUAUCGUCAUCUUUGGUGCUCAAACCAUAAAUAGCGUGAUCACUUAUCAUCUUAAGGUUUUCAUCUUUCUUUCUAGAUGCUCCAGACUUGGUGACCUUAUUGUGGGCAAAGUUUGGAGUAUUCUGCAUAGCGGCAAAAGUGGAACCCAAGUUGGUUAUAACAUCCUCUAGUUUGCCAAUCCUAGCAGAAUCAUGACCUAGUUUUUCGUUAACUGUGGCUUCCUUCUCCUUUAAAUUUUUCAAAACCAUUGUCACCUUGGAUCUGUACUGAGUUAUUUGAUUGUGGAUCUUUUUAUCCAAAUUCUCAAUGAGUUUGAUCGUAGCAACUUUAUUUUCAAUGACGUCCAGCCUACGCAUCACAUGUUCUAGAGUUAAGGUAGUUCCAUUAACCAUGAGUGGGGGUGAUCCUACCAACUUUAUUACAGCUCCGUAAGAAUCAACGGUAUGGCUACCCAAGAAAUGUCCACCUAUGAUGGUGUCAAGAAUAUAUCUAUUCCAAGGAGAAACACCCACAUUAAAACUGCGAAGCAGGACGGUAGUGGAUUGCUUAUGAGUAGAUCUACUCUGAGCAUUGCAAAUCCUAUACCAAGCGUCCUUUAAGUUUUCUUCCUUAAUUUGUUUGAAAUUGAGAACUUCGCUCUCGGGAGUAUCGUUCGAAGUGGUGGAUCUAGCCAUGAGGACAGGUAGACUAUCCCACACAGACGAACAGAAAGCAAGCAAGAGAAAAGGGCAAACGAAAAGGCAAACGAAAAAGGCAAAUAUUUUUUUGUAAAUUUUUGUUUUUCUGAAGUGGGGGAGAGGAAAACGAGAGGCAAAAAAGUAAAUGCAAGAGAUGAGUUUGCAACACUUACUUGGAUGAGUUCUUGACUUGAUCCUCCCCGUCAACGGCGCUAGAAAUUCUUAUGCUACGGCAACAGAAAUCUUCUACCGUCUCUUGAGCUUGUGUUGUUUUUUCCUUUGAAGAGGAAAGGGCGAUGUAGCACAUGAGCAGUAAAUAUUUCCCUCAGUUUGAGAACCAAGGUAUCAAUCCAGUAGGAGAAUCUCGUCAAGUCCAGAGUACCUACGCAAACACAAAAGAGCUUGCACCCAACGCUAUAAAGGGGUUGUCAAUCCCUUCAAUAUUGAUUACAAAGUGAGAUCGGAAGUCGGAAAGUGCAACGAAGAAAAAGAGUAAGGCUAAAAAUAUGGUGUGGAGUAGACCCGGGGGCCAUAGUGUUCACUAGAGGCUUCUCUCAAAAUAGCAAAUAUUAUGGUGGGUGAACAAAUUACUGUCAAGCAAUUGAUAGAACCGCGCAAAGUCAUGACGAUAUCUAAGGCAAUGAACAUACAUAUAGGCAUCUCGUCCGAGACAAGUAGACCGAUUCUUUCUGCAUCUACUACUAUUACUCCACACAUCGACCGCUAUCCAGCAUGCAUCUAGUGUAUUGAGUUCAUGACGAACAGAGUAAUGCCUUAAGCAAGAUGACAUGAUGUAGAGGGAUAAACUCAAACCAAUGAUGAAAACCCAUCUUUUUACCCUUGAUGGCAACAACACCAUGCGUGCCUCGCUACCCCUUCUGUCACUGGGUGAGGUCACCGCACGGUAUGAACCCAAAACCAUGCACUUCUCCCAUUGCAAGAAUCAUAGAUCUAGUUGGCCAAACAAAACCCACAACUCGAAGAGAAUUACAAGGAUAUGAAAUCAUGCAUAAGAGAGAUCAGAAGAAACUCAAAUGAGAUUCAUAGAUAAUCUGAUCAUAAAUCCACAAUUCAUCGGAUCUCGACAAACACACCACAAAAUAAGAUUACAUCGGAUAGAUCUCCAUGAAGAUCAUGGAUAACUUUGUAUUGAAGAUCCAAGAGAGAGAAGAAGCCAUCUAGCUACUAGCUAUGGACCCGUAGGUCUAUGGUGAACUACUCAUGCAUCAUCGGAGAGGUCAUGGUGUUGAUGAAGAAGCCCUCCGUAUCCGAAUCCCCCCUCUGGUAGGGCACCAUAACGUGCCCCAGAUGGGAUCUUGCGGAGAUAGAAGCUUGCGGCGGCGGAAAAGUACUUUCGAUGAUCUCCUGAUUUUUCUAGGAUUUUUCGGAAUUUAUAGGCGAAACACCUAGGGCAGAGGUGGCCCAGGGAGCCUACAAGCCUGGGAGGCGCGGGCCCCCCUGGCCGUGGCUAGGGGGCUUGUGGGGUCCCUACUGGCCCCCUGCCCUGAUUCUCAGGCUUCCCGAUCUUCUUCUGUUUCGGAAAAAAUCUUUUGGCAGUUUCGUUCCGUUUGGACUCCAUUUAAAAUCCUUCUCUGAAAGGGGUCAAAAACAUGGAAAAAACAGGAACUGGCAGUUGGCACUGAGUUAAUAAGUUAGUCUCGAAAAAGAUAUAAAAGGCAUACAAAACAUCCAAAGUUUCACAACAUAAUAGCAUGAAACCAUCAAAAAUUAUAGAUACGUUGGAGACGUAUCAGACAUCACUUGUGAACAUCAUGUGACUCAGGUCCAUAUCACCACCAUUGCUUACACCUCCACCAUUUACUGCUUUCAUUUACUUUUCCGUUGCAAUCACUAUCACUAUUCCCGCUUAUGUUUUGAUUCUUAGCAAACUACAAGGCCGGAGAGAUUGAUAACCUCUCUGUACUCGUUGGAGCAAAGUUACUUGUUGUGUGUGCAGGUCCACGUCUUCUACUAGCGCCAGAGCAACGGACACCUACUUUUUGAUCCUCGGAGUCCUCCUGGUUCGAUAAACCUUACAGUCCCCAUCUAAGGGAAAUCUGUUUCUGAAUACAUCUCCACCUUCCACUUGGGGUAACCAACGAGGGGCGAGAAGUAUAGCCAUCAACUCGUCAUCACGGCCCCGCCUGUCGGUGAGCCAUCCGUUGCCUCCGACUGGCGUAGUCUCCCCUAGUGCGCUUUCUUCUUGGUAACGCGUAUUUUGGCCGAAGAAUUUUCCCUUGGUACGUCUGCCUCUCUGGAAAGCGUAUUUGGUCCAAAGUGUUUUCUAUUCCUUUCCUAAAAAAACAGAUUUGACCAGGAUCUUGAAAUGGCUCUAACUUUUUAAAGAAAACUCCAAAACAACUGAUUCUUUUUCCUACCUCUCAAAAAUCUCCUCUAGUUUAUUUACAAAUUUAUUUCAAAAAACUUCAAACAACUUUUAUGUGCUGUUUUAAAUUUGUGUGUUAAUUUAGAUAUUUGUCAAAAUAGGAUUUUCGGAGAGGGGACUCACUUCAAGAAUUUGUUGUGCACAUCACACUCCUCAACUCCAAAGGCAAGCAUCUUGAACUCUUAUUUACAUAAAGUUGUGUGAUGUUUGUUGUGGUACAUCUAUUGCGUGAUUUUAGUUUAUGUUGAUAAAAAUAUCGCAUGAAAUCAUACCUUGCAUGACAACAUGUGAUGGAUAUUUUUUAUUGCUAAGUUUGUGGAUGGCGAGUCAUGAGUGGGUACUGCCUCAUACCUCGUAUGCUAUGUUGGUCUGGACAACCUCGGAGUAAGGUGUGUCAUGGUGGAAAUAAGACCAUGGGCUGACAUCUCGUGGGCAGAGAGUGGUUAGUGAAAGCUUGUUGGUGUUUGAUGGUAGUAACCCUCAAAUAAUACCUUCAGCAAGAUUGUGUGGUACUAACCCUUGCAGGAAAAUAUUAAACCUCCUAAGUCGAGUGUAGUUCGAGUCUUGUCUAUGUGUCACCUUAACUUUCGUGCUACCAUGGGUCUUCUCGAAAGGGAAUACGGUCUAGUAGGUCGUAAAUCUAUUACCAGGUACACACCAAGUAGAGAAGACGAGAUGAAGGUAUCCAUGGCCCUAGACUAAAUCCAGUCAUCCAGUCAGGGGGUAUGGGUGUCUCCGGUCUGGGACUGAGAGGGAAUGGCCAUUCCCUUGUAGCACGUGGUAUAAAUUUGAUCCCAUGCUAGUCGAGGUUGGAGCCUCCCCGUCUUAUGGUUUUCUCUCGCAGCGUAUUCCGAGUGAUGUCGGUAUUCGUGGGAGAAAAACAGGUUUGUACUAGUUAUGAGUGUUUACUUCUAAAAUACCGUGCGUAGGAUUAGUCCGAGUGACUCUUGAAACCCGUGGGAUGUGGGUAAAGAGUACACCCUCUGCAGAGUCAAAACUAUUCGAGUAGUCAUGUCCAAUGUCAAGGACGAUUCGUUGACUAGUCAAGUGUCGGUUCGAGUGUCGAUCUUCGAAGGAAGUUAAUGACAUCGUGAGACAAAUCACGAAAUAUGGUGGAUGAUCAUAACUAUUGUUUUUAUUGUGGACUAAUCCCUAUGAUUAUGUUGGGUGAAUAUCUGUGGGAAGGUUCUACCUCCUGGAUAUUCAUUAUUUAUUAUUAUUUCUUAUAAGCCCUUUUUGUGGUGUCGCUUAGCGGCAUGCUCGUUAUUAUUUCUUAUAAGCCCUUUCUAUGGUCUCGCUUAAACGCUCGAUUGUGGCAUGCUCGUACUAUUUCUUAUAAGCCCUUUCUGUGGUGUUGCUCAGACGCCUGAGUGUGGCAACUAUUAUUUCUUUCAUACAAGCACUUUCUGUGGCGUCGCUGAGAUGCCCGACUCUGGCAACUGUUAUUACUUGCAUGUGAAUCCUUUAGGCGUUGACGCUCUAACGCCCGACCGCGACACACAUGCGAUUACUUGUUCAUUGUUAUACUUCCUUGCUUGUUUAUAUAACAUUGGAGGAGGAAGUUUAUAUGCACGAAUGCAUCCGUGAAGAAAUUCUUAUGGCAUGAUAGAGUUAUUUUAGUGGACUAUGCAUGCAUCUCACCUGCUUUAACUUAUUAGUUUUCUUGAUGUUUGCGAGUACAUUCAAAGUACUCAUUGGCUUGUCCCUGGCUAUUGUCCUGGCCAGAUUGCACGGAGAGGAGCAUGAUGUUGUUGACACCGGGACCUAGGAGUCCAGGAUAGCAGCCUUGUGAGGUAGGAAUUUAUCCAGGUCAGUUGUUCCUUUGGGAAUGGAGUCCCAUGGACACUGGAGAUUCCUCGAGUCGCUUCCACAGUCAACCUUAGACUUUUGUCCAAACUAGUAGACCUUUAUGGUCUAGAAUAAUGAUGUUGAUAAUUGAAAAUUACCUCCACGGCUACCGUGAAUAAUAUUAUUAUGACACAUCUGAUUAGUGACUCAGUUUUAAGAACACAACAUCUCCUCAUAUUCAUCCCGUGGUAAGUACUCCCUUCGUCCCAAAAUUCUUGUCUUAGAUUUUUCUAGAUAUGAAUUUUCUAGACAAACCUAAGACAAGAAUUUUGGGACGGAGGGAGUAAUAAGAAAAUCUGAACGACUCCUCGGCACUUUGAAUGGAAUAAUACAUAUGUCAGACAUAGGUAAGUCACUCGUCAUCGGAUGUGAGGAGAACCAUAUGGUUUAGGGAAAACCAAUGAUGCCUUCGAAGUAAUGACCUUUCCUUGGGUACAUUCAUAAGAAGUUCAAGGAUCUCCACGAGAAUCCAUAUGCGUAUAUCCUCGCCCUCGAACUUACUGAUGAAAACAUGGUUCCACACCAACAAAUAUGACGAUUUAGCAUAGCUGAGCACGCUCCAGAAACUUAUGAGUAAAAGGAAUGCUAACAAAGAGCUCUAAAGUAGAAAAGCGUCAUUUUAUAUGUUGCAAGCAAUAUAGCGAUAUAAAAGUAUGAUAUGUAUUACUCUUAUGGCAUGACUCUCAAGACUAAAGAUAAGGAGGAAAAGAUAAUCAGUUGCCUUCAAGAUUUGCAAAUAUUUACAAAUCACUUUAUAAAUAAAAUAAUAGAUAUGUGCAAUAAACAAUACAGCCAGUCAAUAAACUAAAUUAACUCUAAAUCAAAGAAGUUCUAAAAUAGUACUAUUUAAAAAGUAUAUAUAAGUACAUAACCAACUCUUGUAGGUCAAAUAUAUAUAGUAAUACUAUUCAUCAUCGAGAGUGCAGAAUAAGUAAUUCUUCAUCAGAGAUAAUUUUACGAUUGUUUCAUAAAUGAAUUUCAUUUUCUAUACAAAUAGUAACAUGCAUAUUGGUUCAUUAUAUCGUUGGAUAUCUAUAGAAAAUGCGCAACUUCGCCAUGUUGAACACUUUUCGAGAUUCCUAACGGAUUAAGUGCACUUUAAAAAAUGUUGGGCACCCAACGACUGGCAGCGAGCGUAUUUUUGUGGUUUUUCUAAACCACUAUGCCAGAAUGAAGCAAAUGAUACAGUGCUGGAAAGAUAUCAUCGAGGCGCAACUUUUUCAUGUAGAACACACUUUCUAUUUCCUUAUGUUUCAAGAGCAGUUUCAAAUUUAGCGAAACGCACGAUUGUGUUUUUCAUAUUUUGUAAACAUUUUCGUACGGUAUUCGCUCCAGGUUUUUUUUCUCUUUUCGAGAAUCACAUAUUUUAUACCGAGUUGUGAUUCUCGUGCAUGCAAAUAUGUGCUUCCGCGAGAAAUAAAAUUGUGCUUUUCAUGGAAGCAUGUUUUUUCAUUUUUUGAAGAAACAAAAGAAUUAAGUGCUUCCACAAGAGGCAAAUAGUGUUUCUUGGGCAAGCACUAUUUUUUACUUUAAAAAAAUAGUUGUGUUUCUUGCAAAAAAAAAUCAUUGCUUCCCUUGGAAGCAUUUUUUUUGUCCUUUUCCAAGAAGCACACAUGUUUCCAAAAAAAUUGAAUAACGUUUAGAAAUUACAAGAAAAUGAACAUUUAAUAAAUAUUGUUUGCAAUUUUCAAAAAUAAUUAGAGUCUAAGGAGAAAUUUUUUAUUUACAAAUAAUUUUUGAGUUAAUGUUCUUAUUUCGAACGGGUGCACAUUUUCAUGAAUUCAUGCACAUUUUUCUGAAUUCACCAACAUUUUUGAAUUCAUUAACCUUUUUUGAAUUCAUAACCAUUUAUUUGGAUCCAAGAACAUUUAUUUGAAUUCCACGACAUUGUUUUGACUUAAAAACCAACCUCGAUAGAAAAAGUAGGUAAAAACUAGACUAAGAAUAAAUAGGUGUGAAAAAAGACGAUACCCUAAUACCAUUAAUGGUCGAUCUGGCGUUAGAACUCGCAUUGAGCGAUAUACCACAACACUUGAAGACGUCUUCCUCUUCUUGGUUGACUUGUCCGACUGGCUACAGUUCUUAUUCCUCCUCCUCUAGUUCCUUCCCUAGGAUCCCCAAAUUCUCUAGUUCCUUGAUCCAACCACCUAAGGUUGUAAUUUGAAAUUGAUUGAGUGAACUAGUGCACUGGGUUGCCAACGCAUUAUUUGGAUUUAUCUCAUCACCAUUUUACCAAAUAUAAACCGUGUAAGACAUUACCCUAUAUAUAUAGGGUAAUGGGAAGUUACAAAUUCUCUAAUUUUAUUAUGCGAGGGCGAUGUUCUAGUGCCAUUCAAACAUGACAUUUGAGACUUACAGAGAAAAGUAUUCUGAGUACCGUCCUUUUAUUUAUUGAUUUAGAAUAGCAAAACAAAACAAAAAGAUGAAUACAUCCGGAACAUGAAUAAAUUACCAUGAUAGAAUAGAAGCAUUUUCAAUUCGCCAAAAGAAGGAAUAAAUAGAUGCAUUUUCAAGCGGAUUUGCCCGGGACGGGAGUAGGGGUAGAAGAAAUAAGCUUGCAUGUAUUGCGACACUUGUUAUCUGAGCUAUCCUUUUCCUUUGCGCAAUGCUUGAAGCAAUCCAUGUCUUGCUCUAUGGCUUUCUUAUUGGCGGGGGUGGCCAUGAUGUAGCCAAAUCUCGCAGCCAUGUAUGGGCAGUCGACGUAGCAGUGGUCGGUGCAAGUAGGAUCCAUGCAUGCCUUGUCGCAGUCGGCACCACAUUGGGUAGAAUAGUCCUUGACAGUCUUGUCGCCUGGGCAGCCACCAUGCUUGUCGACGGAUUCUUUCAGGGCAUCCUGCCCUCCAGAAGUUUCUAGAUUAAAGACUUCUUCCUUCUUUUCCCCGACCUCGGCGAGCUCCGUGAACAAGCGCUCAAUGAAGGUGACGCUGGUUGCCUCAGUGCUGCAUGCCUUGUCGACCAUGGCGGUGCACGUGGCGUUCUUUUUUUCGCCCUUGCCACAGAGCUUGGAGUACUCGGUGAGGCAGGUGGGAGUAGCCUUCUCAUGCCCUGAGGCCACCAACACAGGUGAUGUGGCCGCUGCCACCACAAGGGCGAUGACGAGCAGCGACUCGGCCUUGCGCUUGGCAUCCAUCUUGUUGUCGAUUUCUCUUUGAUAGUUGGACCACCAACACUAGUGUUGAUCGAGAUGAUUGCGUUACAUUACAUUUAUAUAGGCGAUGACCCAGGGUCGGGGCAAGUGGUAUGAUAGUGAGGCCAUCAGCCAUUGGAGCUCCAUAGACCCUAAAUUUGGUGAAUGCAUUUCUACAAAACCGGCCAAAACAUCCACCCGACCGAGGUCCAAUUUCUAUUUAGGGAGCAAGAUCUAAUUUUAGUACUAAAGGCAUUCAUAUAUGUGUGAGGUGUGUAUUUUCUACUUAUGUUUUUUAAGAAAAAUCCUCGAAUUUUCUAUAGACGGAAAUUAGGUGUGGUAUGCAUGUGUUGAUGCUAAAUUCAGCUUGCUAGUCCUCCUUUCCUGACUGAGACUGUCCCCUGGUCGUGAAGUGAUGUGACACUCCUCCUCUCUUGGAUGAUACCUCCUAUUUCGUGCCUAGGAACUUGCGAAUUAAAAAUUGAGCAACUGAAACUUCUAAUGGGAUAUCAUGCAUAUGAAAACUAUUUGUCACCUAUUUCAAAGAAAAAAUAUGUAUUCUAUAUUAAAGAACUGUGGUCGAAAUUUGGAAAGAAUCGUCGCAUAUUUGACAAUAUGUGAAUUUCCUAUUAGAGGUAUGGAAAUUGUGUAACAAAAUAUGUUCAUCACAUAUUUAAUAUUCGCAUAGUUUAAUUAAAAUUGUUCAUUGGGUAAGAAACUCAUCAAGUUAUUAAAACAUCGAAAAGGAAAAAAAAUCUAAGAAAUGAAAAGCUGGAAAUGAAAACAUGGUCAUCUGGUACUAAAGAAUAAUAAGAGAAAAGGCAUCAUCGUCAAAAAUAAGGAAGAAAAAACUAAGGGUAAAAGAAAAAUACAAGAAAUAAGUAGGAGGAUCAAGAUAGAAAAUAAAACAAAAACAUCACACAGAGAAGCACAGAAAAUAAAGGGAGCAAAAAAGAACUAGCGCACAUCGUUCACUCGCAACUGCUAAGUGCGCAGAAUAACUAUUAUGUGCAUUAUGAGCGAAAUAGAAUUCUUACAAUUGGAUGGCUUACUCGAUGGGAGACCCUAUACAGUGACCUACCUGCUAGAAACUCUAAAAUCACUUGUUAAGGGAUAUCCUUUGUAAAGGUCACCGUCAUCUUGUUAGGCUCUUACAUGUUGUGCACCACUUGUCGCACCGAGAUGUCCUUCUUUUUUCGUAUAUUUAUUUGUUUAAAAUGUUUAUCUCUUGAACCAUGCAUCUAAAGCCAUAGCUGGUUUCACUAUUGGAUUUGUCGCGUCGAGAUUUUCAACACAAGAUCACAUGUUAAUAGAUUUUGACUAAAAAGUCACAAAAACUUGAAAAAAACAGAAACCUAUAACCAAAAAAAUUGGGAAAAAAUAACAACAAAAAAGUUUGAAAAAAACUGAACUCGGAAACAUGAUUGUGGUUUUCACUUUUUUUCUCUUUUCGAGGAUCACAUUUUUAUCCCGAGUUGUGAUUCUCGUGCAACCAAAUAUGUGCUUUCGCGAGAAAUAAAAUUGUGCUGUUCAUAGAGGUAAUUUUUUUCAUUUUUUCAAAGAAGCAGAAGAAGUAUGUUCUUCCACAAGAGGUGAAUAGUGUUUCUUGUGGACGUAUUAUUUUUUCCAUUUAAAAAAAAUUUGUUGUGUUUCUCUUAAAAACAAAUCAUUGCUUCCCUUGGAAGCACUGUUUUUGUCCUUUUCCAAGAAGUACACAUGUUUCAAAAAAAAUCGAAUAGCAUUCACAAAUUACUAGAAAGCAAACAUUUAAUAAAUAUUGUUUGCAAUUUUCAAAAAAUAAUUAGAGUCCAAGAACAUUUUUUUAUUUGGGAAUAAAUUUUGAGUUAAUGUUCUUUUUCAAACGUGCGAACAUUUUCAUGAAUUAAUGCACACUUUUAUGAAUUCAUCAUAAUUUUUGAAUUCAUGAUUUUUUCUGAAUUCAUAACCAUUUAUUUGGAUUCAAGAAUGUUCAUUUCAAUUUCUCGACAUUGUUCUGACUUAAAAACCGACCUAGAUAAAAAAAUUAGGUAAAAAACUAAUCUAAGAAAAAAUAGGUGUGAAAAAAGAGUAUGUGUGUCGGGACCCCGAUCCUAAGUCAUACAAUUCCAGCUUGUAACACAUUAUAUCAAUUUUGUGGGCUCACGCAUGAUAAUCACCACGGCUGCCACCUUACCUUGGCCGGGACCGUUUGCGUCAUUUGGCUCACGUAUAUGACUAUGUCGCCAACAAUCAUAUGUCAGAGAACCCGGAUAGACAUGGCUAGCUUUAAACCCAAGUGGCACAUCCGUACACGAACAUGCAUACAUAACCCAACAAAGCAAGUGUCGGUCAACAACGUAGAGGCAAUAAUAAAAUGGUUAUUAUCAUAUUUCCUUGUUCAUGAUAAUUGUCUAUUGUUUAUGAUAUAAUUGUAUUAACAGGAAACAUUAAUACAUAUGUGAAUAAAUAGAUCACAGUGUGUCCCUAGCAAGCCUCUAGUUAGCUAGCUCGUUGAUCAUCAAUAGAUGGUUGUGGUUUCCUUAUCAUGGACAUUGGAUGUCAUUGUUAACGGGAUCACAUCAUUAGGAGAAUGAUGUGAUGGACAAGACCCAAUCCUAAGCAUAGCAAUAGAUCGUGUUGUUUGUAUGCUGUAGCUUUUCUAAUGUCAAGUAUCUUUUCCUUCGACUAUGAGAUUGUGCAAGUCACAGAUAUCGUAGGAGUGCUUUGGGUGUAUCAAACGUCACAACGUAACUGGGUGACUAUAAAGGUGCACUACGGGUAUCUCCGAAAGUAUCUGUUGGGUUGGCACGAAUCGAGAUCGGGAUUUGUCACUCCGUGUGACGGAGAGGUUUCUGUGGGCCCACUCGGUAGAACAUCAUCAUAAUGAGCUCAAUGUGACUAAGUAGUUAGUCACGGGAUGAUGUGCUACAGAACGAGUAAAGACACUUACCGGUAACGAGAUUGAACAAGGUAUAGGGAUACCGACGAUCGAAUCUCGGGCAAGUUCUAUACCGACAGACAAAGGGAAUUGUAUACGGGAUUGAUUGAAUCCUUGACAUCGUAGUUCAUCCGACGAGAUCAUCGUGGAACAUAUGGGAGCCACCAUGGGUAUCCAGAUCUCGCUGGUGUUUAUUGGCCGGGGAGGUGUCUCGGUCAUGUCUGCAUGCCUCCCGAACCCGUAGGGUCUACACACUUAAGGUUCGAUGACGCUAGGGUAGUAGGGAAUUGUUAUACGAGGUUACCGAAGGUUGUUCGGAGUCCCGGAUGAGAUCUCGGAUGUCACGAGGAGGUCCGGAAUGGUUCGGAGGUAAAGAUUGAUAUAUAGGAUGGAUGGGUUUGGACGCCAGAAAUGUUUCGAGCACCACCGACAACGUGCCGGGACCACCGGAAAGGUUCCGGAGGCCCACCGGGAGGGGCCACCAGCCCCGGGAGGCUACAUGGGACAAGUGUGAGAGGGAACCAGCCCCUGGGUGGGCUCGUGCUCCCCCACACCCACCCAAGGCGCCAAGAGAGGGAAGGGGGGAACCCUAAGUCAGCUGGGCCUUAGGCCCACCAGGGGGUGAGCCACCCCCUCCUCCCCUCCUGGCCGCCACCUCCUGCCCCAUCUAGGGCUGCCGCACCCCUUAGGGGUGGGAACCCUAAGGUGGGCGCCACCCUGCCCUUCCCCCUAUGUAUAGUGGGGGUUUUGGCCAUUGUAGAGACGAAAAUUUCUCUCUCUCUCGGCGCAGCCAUGCUUCUCUUCUUCCUCGUGUCCCACGGUGCUUGCCGAAGCCCUGCGGGAGACCUUGUCGCUCCAUCGCCACCACGCCGUCAUGCUGCUGGAGCUCUUCCCCAACCUCUCCCUCCUCCUUGCUGGAUCAAGGUGCGGGAGACGUCAACGGGCUGCACGUGUGUUGAACGCGGAGGUGUAGUGGUUCAACACUAGAUCAGAAUCACACCACGAUUUGAAUCGCAGCGAGUACGACUCCAUCAACCACGUUCUAGCAAUGCUUACGCUUAGCAAUCUUCAAAGGUAUGAAGAUUAUCUCACCUCUCUCUCGUUGCUGGUUUCUCCAUAGGAAGAUCUUAAUAUGGCGUAGGAAAAGUUUUGAAUUUUGCUACAUUACCCAACAAAUAGGCCGAGAGGGGUUGAGUUACCGGAACUCAAUGUGCGGUAGUAGCUAGUCUUGGCACACCAACACAAGAUCUCGGGUUGUGAGUGUGAUAUAAAUGAGACAACCCACCAUGUACUCCUACAUGGACUCUCAUCGCUAGCUUUACCGAAAGAGGUUCACAUACUUAACCCUCAUCAGUAGGACAUGAUCAUUCCAAUUUGUCACCCAAGAUGAUCAAACCAGCUCAACUCUAAGCAUCGCUACCUUUGAUGUUAGUGAUAAAUACAUCUCGCAAGUCUAUCAACAAGAUCAAACAAGGAUGAAUUUAGGCACGACAAAUGCUUCACAAUGAUGCAUGAGUAUGGCAUGUUAACAUGAUUCUGGUUUUGUCUAAUGCAGGUGGUCAUAAGUUAAAUGGAAGUUAUUUGAUCAUUAUAGAUCAAUUUCAAAGCCAUUUAUAAGCAUUCAUAUGUCUUUAUUGAAAUUUUCAUAUUCAACAACUUUAAGUUGUUCAAACAGUCAUGAAAAUGGUACCAUCCGAUUCCUUGCAUUUUUUGAUAACUUUUCCUAACUAAUUUACUUCAUUUGGAGCUAUGGUUGAAUUUCUAUGAACUUUUGAAGUUUUGAACAUUUUCUAGAAUUAAAUAAAUCCAGAAAUGGUUUACUGCAUCAGCAAGUCAACCGACCAAGUUCUAGGUCAAACCUCACCAGUAGGGGCCACUCGUCAGUGACACGGGGCUAAUCCCCGCGCUGACCCGCCCUAAUUGGGGGUUUGACCACCUACGGGCACGCUGGUUAGUGGCUAAUGGCCACGCCACAUGGGCGCCCACCGGAGUCUGGCCGACGGCGACCGAAUACGUAGCGGGGGCUCACCGGAGUUGCCCUAAUAGGCGCUACCGAGCACGGAUCCACGCGCCGAGAGCACUAGGAUGAAGCCCAGGCUCGGCCUCACCCAGCACGCCCAACACGAGGAGCUAGGGCGGCCGGAUUUGGCGUCGACGAUAAGUUGGGCGGCGUCAGUGGCGCGGGCUCGGCGACAGCUGCAGCUAGGGGCACGGGAGGACCACGGGGAUAGGGGAAUGGGUUGUGCGGCUCACCACGAGGGGGAUAGAGCCAACGACGACCUCAGGGAGGCCUUCUAGCUGGCGAAUCGGCGACGAGGUUGUCGGUGACCGGAGGUUGAAGACGACGUCGCUGGCGGAGAUGCAGGGGCGUCUGAGCUCAAUUAUUCCAGCGAGGAAGAGUACUCGUGGUGGCGGAGGCGAUGAGCAGCUCAGGGGGGCGUAGAAGUGACGAUGGCCGUGGUGGUGCCCGAUGGUGAUGGCAGCGCACUCUGGUCCGAGGGAGAGGGGGCAGAGGGAUAGGAAGAAAGUGAGAGGGAGAGACCAGAGGGGAUAAGGGAGAGGGCAUCGGGGCCUCUGUGGCGUCGCUAGAAGGAGGACUGAGCCACGACAAAAUAGGAGGUGGCCGAGGCUCUCGGGUGCACGCCACGCCUCUCCUCUGCCUACUGGCUGGAGGUAGAAGACGGGGCUGCCCCUAGGGGCUGGGCUAGCCAGGUAAGUGGCGAGGUUUCUUCCUUUUCCUUUUUUCUAUUUCAUUUCAUUUCUAAUUUAUGAUAUAUUUUUUGGCUUUUUAUAUAAAUAUAAAACCAUUUGUAAAUUUAUCUUGAUAACAGUCAUGUGGGCUACUUCUCCAUGAUACAUCCAUUUUGCAUCAUGCUUUCAUGUUGAUAUUUAUCGCUUCUUGGGCUGUUAUUUCACUUCACGGUACAAUACUUAUGCCUUUUCUCUCUUAUUUUGCAAAGUUUACAUGAAGAGGAAGAAUGCUGGCAGCUGGAAUUCUAGCCUGAAAAUGGAGCAAGUUUGAGAUACCUAUUCUGCACAACUCCAAACGCCGAAAAAUAAACUAGGAUUUUUUUCGGGAUUUCUAAAAAAUACUGGGCCGAAGAAGUGUGAGAGGGGCGCUAGUAGGUGGCCACAAGCCUGCUAGGCGCGGCCACCCUCCCGGCAGCGCCUACGGGGCUUGUGGGCACCCAGCUGGCCCUCUGGCCCCCCUCUUCUGCUAUAUGAAGGGUUUCGUUCCAAAAAAAUCAGGAGGAGGCUUUUUUGAGGAUUCGCCGCCGCCAUGAGGCGGAACUUGAGGAGAACCAAUCUAGAGCUCCAGCAGGACGAUCCUGCCGGGGAAACUUCCCUCCUGCAGGGGGAAAUCGUCGCCAUCGUCAUCACCAACACUCCUCUCAUCGGAGGGGACUCUUCACCAUCAACAUCUUCAUCAGCACCAUCUCAUCUCCAAACCCUAGUUCAUCUCUUGUAACCAAUCUCCGUCUCGCGACUCCGGUUGGUACUUGUAAGGUUGCUAGUAGUGUUAAUUACUCUUUGUAGUUGAUGCUAGUUGGAUUACUUGGUGGAAGAGUUUAUUUUCAGAUCCUUGAUGCUACUCAUUACCUCUCUGGUCAUGAAUAUGAUAAUGCUUCGUGAGUAGUUACUUUUGUUCCCGAGGACAUAGGAUAAGUCAUGCUAAUAGUAGUCAUCUGAAUUUGGUAUUCGUUCGAUAUUUUGAUUUGUUGUAUGUUGUUUUUCCUCUAGUGGUGUUAUGUGAACGUCGACUACAUAACACUUCACCAUUAUUUGGGCCUAGAGGAUGUCAUUGGGAAGUAGUAAGUAGAUGAUGGGUUGCUAGAGUGACAUAAGCUUAAACCCUAGUUUAUGCGUUGUUUCGUAAGGGGCUGAUUUGGAUCCACUAGUUUAAUGCUAUGGUUAGACUUUGUCUUAAUUCUUCUUUCAUGGUUCCGGAUGCUUGCGAGAGGGGUUAAUCAUAAGUGACAUUCUUGUCCAGCUAAGGGCAGUACCCAAGCGCUGGUCCACCCACUUAUCAAACUAUCAAAGUAACAAACGUGAAUCAUGUGAACAUGAUGAAAACUAGCAUGACAAAAAUUCCCGUGUGUCCUCGGGAGCGUUUUUCCUUCUCUAAGACUUUGUCCAGGCUGGUUCGUUGCUACAAAAGGAUUGGGCCACUUUGCUGCACCGUUGCAACUUUUGUUACUUGUUGCUUUCUACGAAUCAUCUCACCACACAAUCCCUUGUUACCGAUAAUUUCAGUGCUUGCAGAUUUAGUUUAAACACUGUUUUGCCUAUCCCAGGAGUUUGAGAAAUGAUAUUGAGUUGAUUCUUUUUGCUACUGUUUUCUAGUGAUGAAAUCUUACUGCGGUAGAAGUUUCAGAAUUUUUAAAGUAUUUUUACUGGUGAUUUCAACAUAAACAAGUUUCUUCCAUACCGGCGCGCGAUAAAUUCUUUUGCGUAGUCUUUUGCAAAUCAUUGCAUGUGAUGUUAUUUUUACUUGUGGCAUGAUGGAAUUGCUUAUGGUGUGCUUUGUGUUUGUAUCGGUAGAUCAUCCGGUGUGCGAAGCGUGUUACUUAGAGACGCUCGAGCAGGACAACUAUCGUCAAGGCAAGUCAUCUUUGAUCAUGUUAUUUUACCUAUGUUUUCGACGCAUAGUAGAUCACCUUCUUUGCCCAAUUUGCAUGCUGCCUAGGUACUUGGAAACUUUAGCAUAAGAUGUAGUAUCAUGUGGUAGGAAUACAACAACCCCGACACUUGGCCCCGGGACGACAAUGUUAUAUUUGCUAUGCUUGAGUAGACGGGUUAUUGGUUGAGUGUAUACCACGAGUGAUGCAAGGUUGAUAUAAUAAUCAAGACCGGACUAAGACAAGAUUUUGGAGAGGCCAUGUCAUCCUGCGGAAAGCUUCACCCAGGCUCAAAGGGACGAACGGAGACUUCAAGACUCAAGGCUUACCUGCACAGCCACAAGUCAUUAUGGGCUCUGGCUUGGUUGGACAACGCGGCGACUCUGGACAGGCGGUGCUAGCAGAUGUAGACAAACGGUAGGAAUGGACGGGCACCGACAGGGAUUCAGAGGGACCCGUUGAAAGACCAUGUUUUGAUCAUCCGGUCUUCAAACACCCUGAAGUGCGAGGACAAACCCGGAGGCGAUCAAAUCUUGUGGGGAACGUGUGCAAAACUCUGCAGAGUACUCAACCUAAUCGAUUAGCCGUGUCCACGGUCAUGGACAACUUGAGCCGAAGGCAUUGAAUUUCCCCUGAACUCUCGACACAACUUAAUAAUGAUGUGGGUGUUAACAACUAUUCGGGUACGAGAACUGGUUGGCGGAACCAUCUCGUUAACAACAAACUAUGUAGUAAUAUUUUUCUUUCAACCCCUCUUGUAGUAGGAUAAAACUGGCUUUAUGCAAAACUUAGCUCCACCGGCCAAAUAUGCAUGUAGAGAUAGUUGAUUAUUAUUUUACUCCCUCUCUUUGAUGAUUUGCCAGCAUAUUCAAUAUGCUGACCUACACGGCUGCCACGUAUCAUGUUGCAGAGUACUUUUCCGACCAGGAGUGAGGCUACGAUUCUACGCUCAGCGACAUGCCCUUGGAGUCGGAUGGACUCGUCUACCUGAUGCUUCCGCUUAGUCUUCGUUAGAUAAUCUCAUGAGUUGGCCUUCAGCCACUUUAUUGUAAUCCUUAUUGUAAUAAAGUACUCUUUAUGAGAUUUCGAUUAAUAAACAUGUGUGAUUGCACUCUUGAAUAUAUACAUUAUGUACUAUGUGUGUACCAGCAUGAUCUUGGGAUGGUACAGAAACACCAGAGGCUUGACUCUCCUUGAGUCGGGUCGCUACAGUUAAGAAAAGCGGUUGAUGUAGUGGAACGUCCUCACGUCCCUCGAUCCGCCCCGCGAACCGUCCCACGAACUGUCCCGCGAUCCACCCCACGAUCUGCUCCGAUCUAGUGCCAAACGGACGGCACCUCCGCGUUCAGCACACGUAUAGCUCGACGAUGAUCUCGGCCUUCUUGAUCCAGCAAGAGAGACGGAGAGGUAGAUGAGUUCUCCGGUAGCGUUACAGCGCUCCGGAGGUUGGUGGUGAUCUAAUCUCAGCAGGGCUCCGCCCGAGCUCCGCAGAAACGCGAUCUAGAGGAAAAACCGUGGAGGUAUGUGGUCGGGCUGCCGUGGCAAAAGUUGUCUCAAAUCAGCCCUAAUAGCUCCAUAUAUAUAGGAGGAGGGGAGGGGAGGCUUGCCUUGAGGCUCAAGGAUCCCCAAGGGCUGCGCCACCAAGGGGAGGAGGAGUCCUCCUCCAAUCCUAGUCCAACUAGGAUUGGAAGGUGGAGUCCUUCUCUUCCUUCCCACCUCCUGUUUUUCUUUUCUCUUUGAUUUUCUAUCUAUGGCGCAUAGGGCCUUCUUGGGCUGUCCACCAGCCCACCAAGGGCUGGUGAACCACCCCCAAGGCCUAUGGGCUUCCCCGGGGUGGGCUGCCCCCCCCGGUGAACAUCCGGAACCCAUUCGUCAUUCCCGGUAACUCCGAAAACCUUCCGGUAAUCAAAUGAGGUCAUCCUAUAUAUCAAUCUUCGUUUUCAGACCAUUUCGGAAACCCUCGUGACAUAUGUGAUCUCAUCCGGGACUCCAAACAACAUUCGGUAACUAACCAUAUAACUCAAAUACGCAUAAAACAACGUCGAACCUUAAGUGUGCAGACCCUGCGGGUUCGAGAACUAUGUAGACAUGACCCAGUGACUCCUCGGUGAAUAUCCAAUAGCGGGACCUGGAUGUCCAUAUUGGAUCCUACAUAUUCUACGAAGAUCUUAUCGUUUGAACCUCAGUGCCAAGGAUUCAUAUAAUCCCGUAUGUCAUUCCCUUUGUCCUUCGGUAUGUUACUUGCCCGAGAUUCGAUCGUCAGUAUCCGCAUACCUAUUUCAAUCUCGUUUACCGGCAAGUCUCUUUACUCGUUCCGUAAUACAAGAUCCCGCAACUUACACUAAGUCACAUUGCUUGCAAGGCUUGUGUGUGAUGUUGUAUUACCGAGUGGGCCCCGAGACACCUCUCCGUCACACGGAGUGACAAAUCCCAGUCUCGAUCCAUACUAACUCAACGAACACCUUCGAAGAUACCUGUAGAGCAUCUUUAUAGUCACCCAAUUACGUUGCGACGUUUGAUACACACAAAGCAUUCCUCCGGUGUCAGUGAGUUAUAUGAUCUCAUGGUCAUAGGAACAAAUACUUGACACGCAGAAAACAGUAGCAAGAAAAUGACACGAUCAACAUGCUACGUCUAUUAGUUUGGUUCUAGUCCAUCACAUGAUUCUCCUAAUGAUGUGAUCCCGUUAUCAAGUGACAACACUUGCCUAUGGUCAGGAAACCUUGACCAUCUUUGAUCAACGAGCUAGUCAACUAGAGGCUUACUAGGGACAGUGUUUUGUCUAUGUAUCCACACAUGCACUAUGUUUCCAAUCAAUACAAUUAUAGCAUGGAUAAUAAACGAUUAUCAUGAACAAAGAAAUAUUAUAAUAACUAAUUUAUUAUUGCCUCUAGGGCAUAUUUCCAACACUUUGCUUAUAGAGUAUGCCUUUUGGCUUAUGUAAUGCACCUGCCACCUUUCAAAGAUGUAUGAUGGCUAUAUUCUCUGACUUCUGUAAAUAGAUUGUUGAGGUUUUCAUGGAUGACUUCUCCAUUUACGGGUCUUCUUUUGAUGAUUGCUUCAGCAACCUUGAUCGAGUCUUGCAGAGAUGUAAAGACACCAAUCUUGUCUUCAACUGGGAGAAGUGGCACUUUAUGGUUAAUGAAGGCAUCGUCUUAGGACAUAAUACUUCUGGAAGAGGUAUUGAAGUCGAUAAGGCUAAGGUUGAUGCAAUCGAGAAAAUGCCAUACCCCACAGAUAUCAAAGCUAUAAGAAGUUUCCUUGGUCAUGUUGGUUUCUAUAGAAGGUUCAUUAAAGACUUCUCUAAGAUUUCUAGGCCUCUUACCAAUCUCUUGCAAAAGGAUAUUCAUUUUGUUUUUGACGAUGAUUGUGAGGAAGCCUUCGAAAUACUUAAGAAGGCUUUGAUAACUGCACCUAUUGUUCAACCACCUGAUUGGAACCUACCUUUUGAGAUCAUGUGUGAUGCUAGCGAUUAUGCUGUUGGUGUUGUCUUAGGGCAAAGAGUUGACAAGAAGUUUAAUGUUAUUCACGAUGCUAGUAAAACUCUAGACAGUGCCUGGAGAAACGAUGCCACUACGGAAAAGGAGUUCUUAGCAUCGUGUUUGCAUGGGAAAAGUUCAGGUCUUACAUAGUUGAUUCCAAAGUCACUAUUCACACUAAUCACGUUGCUAUUAAGUACCUCAUGGAGAAAAAGGACGCUAAACCUAGACUUAUCAGAUGGGUUCUCUUGCUACAAGAAUUUCAUUUGCACGUUGUCGAUAGGAAGGGUGCUGAUAACCCCGUAGAAGAUAACUUGUCUAGGUUAGAGAACGUUCUUGAUGACCCACAACCUGAUGAUAGCUUUCCCGAUGAGCAAUUGAAUGUCAUCAAUACUUCACGUAGUGCACCAUGCUAUGCUGAUUAUGCAAACUAUAUCGUUGCCAAAUAUAUACCACCUAGUUUCACAUACCAGCAAAAGAAGAAAUUCUUCUUUGACUUGAGACAUUACUUUUGGGAUGAUCCUCACCUUUAUAAGGAAGGAGUAGAUGGUGUUAUUAGACGUUGUGUACCUAAACAUGAACAGGGACAUAUCCUAUAGAAGUGUCACUCCGAGGCCUACGGAGGACACCAUGCGGGAGAUAGAACUGCACACAAGGUAUUGCAAUCAGGUUUCUAUUGGCCCACUCUCUUCAAGGAUGCCCGUAAGUUUGUCUUGUCUUGUGACGAAUGUCAAAGAGUAGGUAACAUCGGUAAACGUCAGGAAAUGCAUAUGAACUAUUCACUUGCCAUUGAACCAUUUGAUGUCUGGGGCUUUGAUUAUAUGGGACCUUUUCCAAAAUCCAACGGGUAUACUCACAUCCUGGUUGCUGUUGACUACGUCACUAAGUGGGUAGAAGCUAUCCCCACUAGUAGUGCUGAUCACAACACUUCUAUCAGAAUGCUUAAAGAAUUUAGUUUCCCUAGAUAUCUAAUGACCGACGGUUGUUCACAUUUUAUUCAUGGUGCUUUCCGUAAAACGCUUUCUAAGUACGAUGUCAACCAUAGAAUUGCGUCCCCCUAUCACCCUCGGUCCAGUGGUCAAGUAGAGCUAAGCAAUAGAUAGAUUAAACUAAUUCUACAAAAGACUGUCAACACGUCUAGAAAGAAUUGGUCUAAGAAGCUAGAUGAUGCACUGUGGGCUUAUAGAACUGCCUAUAGGAAGCCCAUGGGCAUGUCUCUGUACAAAGUGGUGUACGGUAAAGCAUGUCAUUUACCUCUUGAGCUAGAGCAUAAAGCUUAUUGGGCAAUCAAAGAGCUCAACUUUGAUUUCAAACUUGCUGGUGAGAAGAGGUUAUUUGACAUUAGCUCGCUUGAUGAAUGGAGGACUCAGGCAUAUGAGAAUGCCAAGUUGUUCAAAGAAAAGGUUAAGAGGUGGCAUGAUAAGAGGAUACAAAAGCGUGAGUUCAAUGUAGGUGAUUAUGUCUUGCUAUAUAAUUCUCGUUUAAGAUUUUUUGCAGGCAAGCUUCUCUCUAAAUGGGAAGUGAUACGUCUCCAACAUAUCUAUAAUUUUUUAUGGUUUCAUGCUAUUAUCUUGUCAAACUUUGGAUGUUUUACAUGCCUUUUAUAUAUUUUUUGGGACUAACUUAUUAACUCAGUUCCAAGUGCCAGUUCCUGUUUUUUCCAUGUUUUUAACCCCUUUCAGAGGAGAUUUUGAAACGGAGUCCAAACGGAAUAAAAUCCUCGAAAAGAAUUUUUUCGUAACGAAAGAAGAUCAGGAGACUUGAAAGCCAAGGCAGGGGGGCCCAGGGGCCCCACAAGCCCUCACCCCGCGGCCAGGGGAGAGGCCGCGGCCCAUAGGCUUGUGGGCCCCAUGGACGCCCCCUGCCCUAGGGGUUGCACCUAUAUAUUCCCUAAAAAUACCAAAAAAUCAGGAGAUCAUCGAAAGUACUUUUCCGCCGCCGCAAGCUUCUGUCUCCGCAAGAUCCCAUCUGGGGCACAUUCUGGUGCCCUGCCGGAGGGGGGAUUCGGAUACGGAGGGCUUCUUCAUCAACACCAUGACCUCUCCUAUGAUGCGUGUGUAUUUCACCAUAGACCUACGGGUCCAUAGCUAGUAACCAGAUGGCUUAUUCUCUCUCUUGGAUCUUCAAUACAAAGUUCUCCAUGAUCUUCAUGUAGAUCUAUCCGAUGUAAUCGUCUUUUGCGGUGUGUUUGUCGAGAUCCGAUGAAUUGUGGAUUUAUGAUCAGAUUAUCUAUGUAUCUUAACUAAGUUUCUUCCGAUCUCUCUUAUGCAUGAUUUCAUAUCCUUGUAAUUCUCUUCGAGUUAUGGGUUUUGUUUGGCCAACUAGAUCCAUGAUUCUUGCAAUGGGAGAAGUGCUUGGUUUUGGGUUCAUCCUGUACGAUGACCUCACCCAGUGAUAGAAGGGGUAGUAAGGCACGCAUCAUGUUGUUGCCAUCAAGGGUAAAAAGAUGGGGUUUUCAUCAUUGGUUUGAGAUUAUGCCUCUACAUCAUCUCAUCUUGCUUAAAGCAUUACUCUGUUCGUCAUGAACUCAAUACACUAGAUGCAUGCUUGAUAGUGGUCGAUGUGUGGAUUAAUAGUAGUAGAUGCAAAAAGUAUCGGUCUACUUGUCUCGGACGUGAUGCCUAUAUGUAUGAUCAUGGCCUUAGAUAUUGUCAUGACUUUGCGCGGUUCUAUCAAUUGCUCCACAGUAAUUUGUUUACCCACCGUGAUACUUGCUAUUUUGAGAGAAGCCUCUAGUGAACACUAUGGCCCCCGGGUCUACUCCACACCAUAAUUUCAGCAUUACACUUUUAACUUCGUUGCACUUUUAACUUCGUUGCACUUCGUUGCCUCAGCGUUGGGUGCAAGCUUGUUUGUGUUUGUGAAGGUACUCUGGACUUGACGAGACCCUCCUACUGGAUCGAUACAUUGGUUCUCAAACUGAGGGAAAUACUUACUACUAGUGUCUUACAUCACCAUUUCCUCUUCAAGGCAAAAACCAACGCGAGCUCAAGAGACGAUAGAAGGAUCUCUCGCACCACUGUCGGGGAAGGACUUUUGUUGACGUAGCAGAAGGAUUUAUGGCGCUGUUGCCGGGGAGGAAGAUAAAUUCAAAAAAUCAUCCAAGUAGGCGUUGCAAACUCAUCUCUUGCAUUUACUUUGUUUGCCAGUUGCCUCUCGUUUUCCUCUCCCCCACUUCACCAAUUUGCGUUUUUCGUUUGCCUUUUUGUUCGCCCCUUUCUCUCGCUUGCUUUCUUUUCGUCUGUGUGGGAUAGUCUACCAGUCCUCAUGGAUAGAUCCACCACUUGGAACGAUACUCCCGAGAGCGAUGUCCUAAAUUUUAAACAAAUCGAGGAAGAAAACUUAAAGGAUGCUUGGUAUAGGAUUUGCAAUGCUCAGAGUAGAUCUACUCAUAAGCAAUCCACUACCGUCCUGCUUCGUAGUUUUUAUGUGGGUGUUUCUCCUUGGAAUAGGUAUAUUCUUGACACCAUCGUAGGUGGAAAUUUCUUGGGUAGACAUACCUUUGGUUCUUACGGAGCUGUCAUAAAUUUGGUAGGCUCACCCCCACUAAUGGUUAAUGGAACUACCUUAACUCUGGAACAUGUGAUGCGUAGGAUGGGCGUCAUUAAAAAUGAAGUUGCUACGAUAGAACUCAUUGAGAAUUUGGAUAAAAAGAUCCACAAUCAAAUCACUCAGUACGGAUCCUAGGUGGGAAUGGUUUUGAAAAAUUUAAAGGAGGAGGAACCCACAGUUAACAAAAAACUAGGUCAUGAUUCCGCUAGGAUUGGCAUACUAGAGGAUGUUAUAACCAACUUGGGUUCCGCUUUUGCCGCUGUGCAGAAUACUCCAAACUUUGCCCACAAUAAGGUCACCAAGUUUGUUUUUGUUCCCAAAAAUAGUGGUGAAUCAUCUAUCAAGAAAGAUGAAAACUUUAAGAUGAUAAGUGAUCACGCUACUUAUGGUUUGAGCACCAAAGACGACGAUACGUGAUUCUAUCGCUUUUAUGCCUAGCUAAAGGCGUUAAACAAUAGCGCUUGUUGGGAGUCAACCCAAUGAAUUUAUCUUUUUCUUUUUGUUUGUUGCGUCCACACCAUCACAAUUCUGUUGUGAUUGUGUUUUCUGUGUUUCUUUUUGUGUUUCCGCCAAGCAAAACCUUUAUGACUAGUCUUGGUAAUGGUUGUUUGAUCCUGCUGGAAACAGACAGAAACUUUUCGCUCAUGAGUUGAUUUUUCAUUUUUAUUCAGAAAGAGCUUUUGAGUUGAUUCGUUUUGCUGCUGGUUGGUAUGCCUUUUUUCCAGGCAGUCGUAAAGUUUCAAAUUUUUGAGGUACCAUAAGUAUACGAAGUAUACAGAUUGCUACAGACUGGUCUGUUUUUGACAGAUUCUGUUUUUGUUGAGUUGGUUGCUUGUUUUGAUGAAACUAUGGUUAGUAUCUCGGGGUACUAGCCAUGGAAAAGUGAGAAUACAGUAUCCCAAUACCAAUAUAGAUGGAAUUCAAGUUUUAUACAGUACCGAAAGAAGUGGUAGUUUGCUUUCUUGUGCUAAUGUUAUCACGAGUUUCUGUUUAAGUUUUGUGUUUUGAAGUUUUCAUGUUUUGGGUGAUGUUCUCAUGGACGAUGAGAUAAGGAGUGGAAAGAGCUCAAGCUUGGGGAUGCCCAAGGCAUCCCAAGCCAAAUUCAAGGACACCAAAAAGCCUAAGCUUGGGGAUGCCUGAUACGUCUCAAACAUAUCUAUAAAUUUUUAUUGUUUCACGCUAUUAUCUUGCCUUCUUUCUAUGUUUUAUGUACCUUUUUAUAUCUUUUUUGGGACUAACUUAUUGAUUGAGUGCCAAGUGCCAGUUCCUGUUUUUCUGUGUUUUUGACUCUUUUCAGAUCUGAUUUUUGGAACGGAGUCCAAAUGGAAGAAAAACCCCGAAAUGAUUUUUUCCCGAACGAAAGAAGUCUAGGGAGCCUUUGGCCAGGCCAGGUGGGCCCCAGGAAGCCCACAAGCUCCCACCCCGCCACCAGGGGGAGGCGGCAGUGGGCAAGCUUGUGGCUUCCCUGGCCGCCUCCUGACCUAGGUCUUGUGCCUAUAUAUUCCCAAAUAUUCCGCAAAAAAUCACGGGAGCCUCGAAAAUACUUUUCACCCACCGCAAGCUUCCGUUUCCGCGAGAUCUCAUCGGGAGACCGUUCCCGGCGCCCUGCCGGGGGGGACGUUUGGAGGUGGAGGGCUUCUUCAUCAUCAUCAUCGCCCAUCCAAUGACUUGUGAGUAGUUCACUUCAGACCUACGGGUCCGUAGUUAGUAGCUAUAUGGCUUCUUCUCUCUCUUGGAUCUUCAAUACAAAGUUCUCCAUGAUCUUCGUGGAGAUCUAUCCGAUGUAAUCUUCUUUGGCGGUGUGUUUGUCAAGAUCCGAUGAAUUGUGGACUUGUGAUCAGAUUAUCUAUGAUAUAUAUUUGAGUCUUUGCUAAUUUCUCAUAUACAUGAUUUGAUAUCCUUGUAAGUCUCUCCGAGUCUUGGGUUUUGUUUGGCCAACUAGAUCUAUGAUUCUUGCAAUGGGAGAAGUGCUUGGUUUUGGGUAGGGGCAGCAAGGCACACAUCAAGCAGUUGCCAUCAAGGGUAAAAAGAUGGGGUUUUUAUCAUUGGUUUGAGAUUAUCCCUCUACAUCAUAUCAUCUUGCUUAACGCGUUACUAUGUUCUUAUGGACUUAAUACACUAGAUACAUGCUGGAUAGCGUUCGACGUGUGGAGUAAUAGUAGUAGAUGCAGACAGUAUCGGUCUACUAGUUUCGGACGUGAUGCCUAUAGAAAUAAUCAUUGCAUAGAUAUCGUCACGACUCUCCACAGUUCUAUCAAUUGCUCGAGAGUAAUUUGUUCACCCACCGUCUACUUGCUUUCAUGAGAGAAGCCACUAGUAAACACUACGGCCCCCGGGUCUAUUCACAUCUGUCGUUUACAACUCCGCAUUUACUUUGCUUUGUAACUUUGUUGCUUUCAGUUCUCAAUUGGCAAACAAUCUAUAAGGGAUUGACAACCCCUUCAUAGCAUUGGGUGCAAGCUUUUGUGUUUGUGCAGGAUGUUGAGAUACUCUUCCGCCGGAUUGAUACCUUGGUUCUCAAAUUGAGGGAAAUACUUACCGUCGUUGUGCUACGUCACCCUUUUCGCUUCGAGGGAACACCAACGCAAAGCUCCAAGGCCACGGGGGAAAUCCUUCGCAUACUUUCCUAGGAAGUCCCUUAAGGCGUAGCCACAACAUAAAGAUCACGCCAAGUAUUCUCCCGUCGACGUGCCUAACUCUGGCGCCGUUGGAAGGUCUUUUGUGCAGUAGCAGAAGUAUUUCUGGCACCAUUGCCAGGGGUACACAGCAAACAUCAGAAGUAUUUCUGGCACCGUUGCCGGGGAGGAGAAAUCGAGAUCUAUCCAAGUAGGUCUCACAAACUCUUCUCUUGCAUUUACUUUUGUUGCCAGUUGCCUCUCGUUUUCAUUUGCCUUUCUCCUUUGUCUUUUUUGUUUGCCCUUUUCUCUCGCUUUCUUUCUGUUCGCUUGUGUGCCAUGUGCCCUCAAUAUGCUUGCAUCUUCGCUUGCUGAAAAUCUAGUGAUACGGAUCAUCAACCACUAGCUAGUCUCUUUAUGAGACCCACUUCUGUGGAACAAAUUGCUAUUGAGUUGAGGGCAAUUGACUAUUUCUUUGGAGUUUUGCGUAAGAUGCAUGAAUCUGAAAAUUUUGAGGAAGAAAUUCAUGAAGUGAUUCACGAGGGCUCCUUGGAUGAAAAGCAUGAUUGCAAUCAUUUCACUAUAAAUCCUAUUAGUGACAACCAUGCUGAAAUUAUGCAAAACCCUAAGCUUGGGGAUGCUAGUUUUGCUUUGUCCACUACUUGUUGCAAUAAUCAUGAUUGGGGUGAUGAUCUUUCUUAUGAUCUUGAAAAUUUGUUCCAACCUCAUGAUGAAUAUGAUAUUUGCAACAAUACUGAAAGUGGGAUUGGAGAAGUCAUGACUUUAUUUGAAGAUAAUCCCACUAUUUUUGAAGAGCGUAAACUUUGCAUGCAUGUGGAUCAUGAAAAGAAUAUACUUUGUGAUAGUUACAUUGUUGAAUUUUAAUAUGAUCCCACAUGUAAUUGCUACGAGAGAGGAAAAUAUGUUGGUAGAAACUUUCAUAUUACCAAAUCACCUCUCGUGAUGUUGAGAUUGCUCUUGUCUCUUUCUUCUUCCUUGCAUAUGGUCGCUAUUGUUUGUCUUGACAAUUUGUUUUCCUAUAAAAUGCCUAUGCAUAGGAAGUAUGUUAGACAUAGAUGUGAUUUUCACAUGCUUUAGGAUGCUCUCGUUGUGCUUCAAUUCUUGUCUUUUGUGAGAGCAUCAGGGAAUGCCUAGCUAAGGGCGUUAAACAAAAGCGCUUGUUGGGAGGCAACCCAACGAAUAUAUCCUUUUUAUUUCUGUUUUGUGUGUUCCAUACUUUCAUAAUUCUGUUAUGAUUGUGUUUCUUUGUGUUUCUUUUUGCGUUUGUGCCAAGCAAAACCGUUAUGAUUAGUCUUGAGGAUGAUCGUUUGGUCAUGCUGGGAAAGACAGAAACUUUCUGCUCACGAAAAGAAAUUUCAUUUUUUUUCUAUAAGAGAGUUUGAGUUGAUUCUUUUUGCCGCUGAUUGCUAUGCAAAUUCUUCAGAUUGUCAUAAGUUUUUAGAAGUUUUUAAGUAACAGAGGUAUACGAAACAUACAGAUUGCUACGGACUAGUCUGCUGUUAACGGAUGCUAUUUUUGUUGUGUUGGUUGCUUAUUUUGAUGAAACUAUGGAUAGUAUCGGGGGGUAUUAGCCAUGGAAGAUUGAAAGUACGGUAACCCAACAUCAGAAAAAGUAGAAUUUAAGUUUGCUACAGUACCUAAGGAAGUGGUGGUUUGCUUUCUUGUACUAAUGUUAUCACGAGUUUCUGUUUAAGUUUCGUGUUGUGAAGUUUUCAAGUUUUGGGUGAAGUUCUUAUGGACGAAAUGAUAAAGAGUGGCAAGAGCUCAAGCUUGGGGAUGCCCAAGGCAUCCCAAGAGAUUCAAGGAUGCUGUAAAAUCCUAAGCUUGGGGAUGCCCCGGGAAGGCAUCCCCUCUCUCGUCUUCAAUCCAUCGGUAACGUUACUUGGGGCUAUAUUUUUAUUCACCACAUGUUAUGUGUUUUUGCUUGGAGCGUCUGGUAUCGUAGGAGUGUUUUAUUUUUGUUUGUGUCACAAUCAUCCUUUCUGCACACCUAGAGAGAGAGAGACAUGCACACACCGUGAUUAUGUCGAGCUUCACUUAUAUCUUUUGGUAGACAAUUCAGCUCACAUGUCACUACAAGGAAAAGGGCUAUAGAUGAUAUACAUACUAAUGGCGCACCAGACAAGUAGUGCGCCACUACUAUAUAGUAGUGGCACACCAUGUGCAGGUGUGCCAUUAGUGUGAUGGACACUAAUGGCGCACCACACACUCGGUGCGCCACUACUAGUUUUUUUUUGCAAAAGUACUAAUGGCGCACCGGAGCAGAGUACGCCAUUACUAGUUUAACUAGUAAUGGCGCACCACUCACCGAGAGCGCCACUACUAUAAGUUUUUUUUGCAAAACUACUAAUGGCGCACCACCAGCUCGUGCGCCAUUAGUAACCAGGGUUACUAAUGGCGCAUUUGUAGGUGGUGCGCCACUACGUUUUUUUUUUUUGCAAUGCACCAUUAGUAACUAGAGUUACUAAUGGCGCACCCCCUCGGGGAUGCGCCAUUGCUAUCACCCCCGCUAAAAUCCCAUGCCAGUCCCCGCGCUCUGUGGAGAGGACCUGGCCACCACUCUCCUCUUCCUGGAGCCUCGUCUCCCUCCAAACCCUAGCCCCGCACGCCGCCGGCCGCGCUGCUCCGCCUCCUCCUCUCCUCCACUUCUCUCCUCCCUCCCUCCCUCGAUUUGUUUCCUCUCCUUGCCCGCGCCGCCUCCCCCCCCCUCUUCUUUGAUGUUUGCCUCCCCCUUAUUCUUUGUCGUCUGCCUCCUCCUCCUACCCCCCUCCACUCUUUGUCGUCUGCCUCCUCCUCCCCCCUCCUCUGUGCCCUCUUCUUUGCCCUCUGCCCACCCUGGAGGUAGACGGCAAAGAGCCUAUAUAGACAUCCCAGGAUGCACAGCUGGGUGCCAUGUGGCACCUUUGCCAUCUGCCAGCUGAUGGCAUAGGUCUUUGCCAUCAGCUGGCAGACGGCAAAGAGCCCAUAUAGUACCUGUUUUUUUGUUUUUUAUUAUUAUUUCACAACACAUAUAUAUAUAUAUAUAUUUGACAACACAUUUAUAUCAUUAACCACACAUAUAUGAUAUAUAGUUCACCACACAUAUACUUGCCAACACAUAUAUAUAAUUCACCACACAUAUAUGAUAUACAUAUAAAUCAAUGUACAUCCCCGUAUAUCGAAAGAACCAACAUACAAAGUAUUGGACUGUUUAUCCAUAUAUACAUAUACAUAUAGUUCGACAUUGUUCAUCAACUCAAAUGAAAAUUAAAUGAUAUACAUAUAAACUUCAUCCAUCGACAUUGUUCAACUCCAUGAAUGCCAGCUUCCAUGCAUGUAGUAUAUCCAAUAUGCAAAAAUGUGAAUAAGAAAGUCAGAAGAAGAACAAAAUAUGAUGUUUUGAGCUAAUUAUGUCAUUUUAGCGGAAAACAAGCUAAGAAUACAAUACUCAUGAGCUAACCAAGGUUCUUAUGCCAUUUUUAGCUUAUUAUGGCAUUUUGGAACUAAACGGGUUAAUUAUGUCAUUGUUGGGGAAAUUAAAGCAAGGAUAAUAUGAAAGAGGAGGAGGAGGAGAAGAAGAAUAAAUCAAGCAGAAGGAGGAGAAGUAGGAGAAGGAGGAGGAGGAGAAGGACUAGAAGGUCCUUGGCCUUCUCCUCCUCCUCCUCCUCCUUCUCCUUCUUCUCUUCUUCUUCUUCUUCUUCUUUCUUUUCAUUUUUCCUAUUUCUUCUCCUCUUCUCCUCUUGUUGGAGCUAAAUUACCUAAUUAUGUCUUUUUGGAGCUAUAUGGGCUAAUUAUACCAUUUUAGAGGAAAACAAGCUAAGAAUAUAAUAUUCAUGAGCUAACCAAGGUUCUUAUGCCAUUUCGAGCUUAUUAUGGCAUUUUGGAGCUAAAUGGGCUAAUUAUGUCAUUGUUGGGGAUAAUUAAAGCAAGGAUAAUAUGAAAGAGGAGAAGAAAGAGGAGGAGAAGGAGAAGAAGAAGAAAUCAAGAAGAAGGAGGAGAAGGAGGAGAAGGAGGAGGAGGAGAAGGACUAGAAGGUCCUUGGCCUUCUCCUUCUCCUCAUCCUCCUCCUCCUUCUCCUUCUUCUCUUUUUCUUCUUCUUCUUCUUCUUCUUUCUUUUCAUCUUUCCUAUUUCUUCUCCUCUUCUCCUCUUGUUGGAGCUAAAUUACCUAAUUAUGUCUUUUUGGAGCAAAAUGGGAUAAUUAUCCCAUUUUAGAGGAAAACAAGCUAAGUAUAUAAUAUUCAUGAGCUAACCAAGCUUCUUAUGCCAUUCUGAGCUCAUUAUGGCAUUUUGGAGCUAAAUGGGCUAAUUAUGUCAUUGUUGGGGAAAUUAAAGCAAGGAUAAUAUGAAAGAUGAGAAGAAAGAGGAGGAGGAGGAGUAGGAGAAGAAGAAUAAAUCAAGAAGAAGGAGGAGAAGCAGGAGGAGGAGAAGGACUAGAAGGUCCUUGGACUUCUCCUCCUCCUCCUCCUCCUUCUCCUUCUUCUAUUCUUCUUCUUCUUCUUCUUCUUCUUCUUCUUUCUUUUCAUUUUUCCUAUUUCUUCUCCUCUUCUCCUCUUGUUGGAUCUAAAUUACCUAAUUGUGUCUUUUUGGAGCUAAAUGGGCUAAUUAUCCCAUUUUAGAGGAAAACAAGAUAAGUAUAUAAUAUUCAUGAGCUAACCAAGGUUCUUAUGCCAUUUUGAGCUUAUUAUGUCAUUUUGGAUCUAAAUGGGCUAAUUAUGUCUUUUUGGAGCUAAAUGGGCUAACUAUGUCAUUGUUGGGGAAAUUAAGUCAAGGAGAAUAUGAAAGAGGAGAAGAGAAACUUACCGUAGUGGUCAUCAAGGAGGAGAAACACCUCACAAAUAACUGUUUUCCAGUAGUGUUAGUUUUGAGUUGUGGUUAUGGUAAUAUUGAAAUCAUGCUAGUAAUGUGUUGUGGAUCUAGAAAUACUUGUGUUGAAGUUAGUGAUUCCCAUAGCAUGCACGUAUGGUGAACCGCUAUGUGAUGAAAUCUGAGCAUCAUUAGCCUAUUGAUUGUCAUCCUUUGCGUGGCGGUCGGGAUCGCGCGAUGGUUUAUACCUACCAACCCUUCCCCUAGGAGUAUGCGAUGAAUGCUUUGUUUCGAUUACUAAUAAAACUUUUGCAACAAGUAUAUGAGUUCUUCAUGACUAAUGUUGAGUCCAUGGUUUAGAUGUACUUUCACCUUCGACCAUCACUAUCUUCUUAGUGCCGUGCAAUUUUCGCCGGGCACAAAACCCACCAUUAGCCUCCCUCAAAACAGCCACCAUACCUACCUACUAUGGCUUUUUCAAAGUCAUUCCGAGAUAUAUUGCCAUUCAACUACCACCAUGAUAUGUGCCACCACGCCUACAUUGCCUUUGCACGAUCGUAAGAUAGCUAGCAUGAUGUUUCCAUUGAUGACUAUGCCAUGCUAGAUCAUUGCCACGGUACACUACCAAAGGCAUUCCAUAUAGAGUCAUAAUUGCUCUAAGUUUUGAGUUGAAAGUGUGAUGAUCAUAAUUAUUGGAGCAUUGCCCCAUGUGAGGAAAUAAAAGAGGCCAAAGAAGCCAAUAAAAAAAGUGGCCAAAGAGCCCACCAAAAUAAAAAAUAUAUAAAAAAAUAUGAGAGAAAAAGAGAGAAGGAACAAUGCUACCACUUUUUCCACACUUGUGCAUUUUGAGCACAAUGAUCUUCAUGAUUGAGAGUCUCUCAUUUUUUCACCACCAUAUAGCUAGUGGGAAAUUCUCAUUAUAUAAGUUGGCUUGUAUAUUCCAAUGACAGGCUUCCUCAAAAUUGCCUUAGGUCUUCGUGAGCAAGCAAGUUGGAUGCACACCCACUAGUUUUCUUUAAGAGCUUUCACAUACUUGUAGCUCUAGUGCAUCGUUUGUAUGGGAAUCCCUACUCAUUGACAUUGAUAUAUAUUGAUGAGCAUCUCCACAGCUCAUUAAUAUGCCUAGUUAAUGUGACUUUCUUCUCCUUUUUGUCUUGCAAACUCCACCACAUUCCACACCAUCUAUAGUGCUAUAACCAUGGCUCACGCUCAUGUAUUGCGUGAGAGUUGAAAAUGUUUGAGAAACUAAAGGUGUGAAACAAUUACUUGGCCAAUACCGGGGUUGUGCAUGAUUUAAAUUCGUUGUGCAAUGAUGAUAGAGCAUAGCCAGACUAUAUGCUUUUGUAGGGAUAACUUUCUUUUGGCCUUAUUAUUUUGAAAGUUCAUGAUUACUUUGCUAGUUUGCUUGAAUUAUUAUUGUCUCCACGUCAAUAGCAAACUAUUGUUUUGAAUCUAAUGGAUCUGAAAAUUCACGUCACAUAAGAGGAAUUACAAAGGACACUUAUGCUAGGUAGCAUGAAAGCAUCAAAAAUUUAUUCUUAUCACUUCCCUACUCGAGGACGAGCACGAGCUAAGCUUGGGGAUGCUUGGUACGUCUCAAACGUAUAUAUAAUUUUUGAUGGUUUCACGUUGUUAUCUUGCCUUCUUUGUAUGUUUUAUGUACCUUUUUAUAUCUUUUUUGGGCCUCACUUAUUGAUUCAGUGCCAAGUGCCAGUUCCUGUUUUUCCGUGUUUUUGACUCUUUUCAGAUCUGAUUUUGGAACGGAGUCCAAACGGAAGAAAAACCCCGAAAUGAUUUUUUCCCGAACGGAAGAAGUCCAGGGAGACUUUGGGCCAGGCCAGGAGGGCCCCAGGGAGCCCACAAGCUCCCACCCCGCCACCAGGGGAGGCGGCGGUGGGCAAGCUUGUGGCUUCCAUCGCCGCCUCCUGACCUAGGUCUUGUGCCUAUAUAUUCCCAAAUAUUCCGCAAAAAAUCAGGGGAGCCUCGAAAAUACUUUUCCGCCGCCGCAAGCUUCCUUUUCCGUGAGAUCUCAUCUGGACACCCUUCCCGGCGCCCUGCCGAAGGGGACUUUGGAGGUGGAGGGCUUCUUCAUCAUCAUCAUCGCCCCUCCAAUGACUCGUGAGUAGUUUACUUCAGACCUACGGGUCCGUAGUUAGUAGCUAGAUGGCUUCUUCCCUCUCUUGGAUCUUCAAUUCAAAGUUCUCCAUGAUCUUCAUGGAGAUCUAUCCGAUGUAAUCUUCUUUGGCGGUGUAUUUGUCAAGAUCCGAUGAAUUGUGGACUUGUGAUCAGAUUAUCUAUGAUAUAUAUUUGAGUCUUUGCUGAUUUCUUAUAUGCAUGAUUUGAUAUCCUUGUAAGUCUCUCCGAGUCUUCGGUUUUGUUUGGCCAACUAGAUCUAUGAUUCUUGCGAUGGGAGUAGGGGCCGCAAGGCACAUAUCAGGCAAUUGCCAUCAAGGGUGAAAAGAUGGGGGUUUUAUCAUUGGUUUGAGAUUAUCCCUCUACAUCAUGUCAUCUUGCUUAAGGCGUUACUCUGUUCUUAUGGACUUAAUACACUAGAUGCAUGCUGGAUAGCGGUCGACGUGUGGAGUAAUAGUAGUAGAUGCAGACAGUAUCGGUCUACUUGUUUCGGACGUGAUGCCUAUACAAAUAAUCAUUGCAUAGAUAUCGUCACGACUAUGCAAAGUUCUAUGAAUUGCUCGAGAGUGAUUUGUUCACCCACCGUCUACUUGCUUUCAUGAGAGAAGCCACUAGUAAACACUACGGCCCCCGGGUCUAUUCACAUCCAUCGUUUACAUCUCUGCUUUUACUUUGCUUUGUUACUUUGUUGCUUUCAGUUCACACUUGGAAAACAAUCUAUAAGGGAUUGACAACACCUUCAUAGCGUUGGGUGCAAGCUUUUGUGUUUGUGCAAUAUCUUGAGAUACUCUUCCGCCAGAUUGAUACUUUGGUUCUCAAACUGAGGGAAAUAUUUACUGUCGCUGUGCUACAUCACCCUUUCCGCUUCGAGGGAACACCAAUGCAAAGCUCCAAGGCCACGGGGGAAAUCCUUCGCAUACUUGCCUAGGAAGUCCCUUAAGGCGUAGCCACAACAUAAAGAUCAAGCCAAGUAUUCUCCCGUCGACGUGCCUAUCUCUCGCACCGUUGGAAGGUCUUUUGUGCAAUAGCAGAAGUAUUUCUGGCACCAUUGCCAAGGGUACACAACAAACAUUAAUGCCCCGGGAAGGCAUCCCCUCUUUCGUCUUCAAUCCAUCGGUGACAUUACUUGGAGCUAUAUUUUUAUUCACCACAUGAUAUGUGUUUUGCUUGGAGCGUCUUGUAUUGUAGGAGUCUUUUCUUUUUGUUGUGUCACAAUCAUCCUUGCUGCACACCUUUUUGAGAGAGAGACAUGCACUCAUCGUGAUUUUGCUAGAAUGCUCAUAGUGCUUCACUUAUAUCUUUUGAGCUAGAUACUUUUGCUCUAUGUGCUACACUUAUAUCUUUUAGAGCAUGGUGGUGCGUGAUUUGGUAGUUGGCUUAUGCUAUGAAAGUAGUCCCAAAUGUGAUAGGUACCCAAAAACCUCCAUCUUCAUGUGCAUUGAGUAGAAAGAGAAGUCUUGAUUCCUCUCAAUUAGUUUUUAGACGUGGAUUUGGUAAUAUUAAGAGCUAUGUUAGUAGGGUGUUGUGAAUCUUGAAAUACUUGUGUUGAAGUUAGCGAUUCCCGUAUCAUGCACGUAUGCUGAACCGCUAUGUUAGGAAAUCAGAGCAUAAUUGAUCUAUUGAUUGUCAUCCUUUGUGUUGAGGUCGGGAUCGCGCGAUUGUUAACACCUACCAACCCUUCCCCUCGGAGUAUGCAUUUAGCACUUUGUUUCGAUUACUAAUAAAAACUUUCGCAACAAGUAUGUGAGUUCUUCAUGACUAAUGUGAGUCCAUGGUAUAGAUGCACUUUCACCUUCCACCAUUGCUAGCCUCUUUAGUGUCGCCGGUGCACAAAACCACCAUAUGCCUUCGUCAAAACAGCCACCAUACCUACCUACUAUGGCAUUUUCAUAGCCAUUCGAGUUAUAUUGCCAUGCAACUCCCACCGUUCCGUCUCAUGACUUGUGCCGUCACCCUCAUAUUGCCAUUGCAUGAUCGUAAGAUAGCUAGCAACAUGUUUUCAAUGUAAUACGCCAUGCUAGAUCGUUGCACAUCCCGGUACACUACCGGAGGCAUUUCCUAUAGAGUCAUCAUCAUUGUGACCUUUGAGCUGUGAGUAAAUAAAAGUGUGAUGAUCAUCAUUAUUAGAGCAUUGUCCCAUGUGAGGAAAUAAAAAAAAGAGGCCAAAGAGCCCAAAACAAAAAAAAGGGGGAGAAAAAAAGAGGCCUAAGAGCUCAAAUGAAAAAGAGAAAAAGAGAGAAGGGACAACGCUACUAUCUUUUUCCACACUUGUGAUUCAUAAUAGCACCAUGUUCUUCAUGAUUGAGAGCUUCUUGCUUUGUCACUACCAUAUGCUAGUGGGAAUCUUCAUUAUAUAACUUGGCUUGUAUAUUCCAAUGACGGGAUUCCUCAAAAUUGCCAUUGGUCUUCGUGAACAAGCAAGUUGGAUGCACACCCACUAGUUUUCCUUUUGAGCUUUCACAUAGUUAUAGCUCUAGUGCAUCUCUUGUAUGGCAAUCCCUACUCGUUCACAUUGAUAUCUAUUAAUGGGCAUCUCCAUAGCCCUCUGAUACGCCGAGUCAAUGUGACCAUCUCCUCCUUUUUGUCUCACAACCACCACCACACUCUAUUCCACUUAUAGUGCUAUAUCCAUGGCUCACGCUCAUGUAUUGCGUGAAAGUUAUAAAAAGUUUGAGAAAGUAAGAGUGCGAAAACAAUAAGGAGCAUAGCCAGACUAUAUGAUUUUUUAGGGAUAACUUUCCUUGGCCUUGUUAUUUUGAAAGUUCAUGAUUACCUUGCUAGUUUGCUUGAAGUAUUAUUGUUUUCAUGUCAAUAGGAAACUAUUGUUUUGAAUCUUACGGAUCUGAACAUUCAUGACACGUGAAAGAAGUUGCAAAGGACAACUAUGCUAGGUAGCAUUCCACAUCAAAAAUUCAUUCUUUAUCACUUCCCUACUCGAGGACGAGCAGGAGUUCAGCUUGCGGAUGCUUGAUACGUCUCCAACGUAUCUAUAAUUUUUGAUGGUUUCAUGCUAUUAUCUUAUUUUUGCAUGCCUUUUAUAUAUUUUUUGGGACUAACUUUUUAACUCAGUGACAAGUGCCAGUUCCUGUUUUUUCCAUGUUUUUGACCCCUUUCGGAGGAGAUUUUGAAACGGAGUCCAAACGGAAUGAAAUCCCCGAAAAGAAUUUUUCCGUAACGGAAGAAGAUCAAGAGACUUGAGAGCCAAGGAAGGGGGGCCCCAGGGGCCCCACAAGCCGUCACCCUGCGGCCAGGGGGGAUGCGGCGGCCCUCAGGCUUGUGGGCCCCCUCGACACCCUCUUCCCUAGGGGUUGCGCCUAUAUAUUCCAUAAAAAUCCCAAAAAAAUCAAGAGAUCAUCGAAGUACUUUUCCGCCGCCGCAAGCUUCUGUCUCCGCAAGAUCCCAUCUGGGGCACGUUCUGGUGCCUUGCCGGAGGGGGAAUUCGGAUACAGAGGGCUUCUUCAUCAAUACCAUGACCUCUCCUAUGAUGCGUGAGUAGUUCACCAUAGACCUACGGGUCCAUAGCUAGUAACUAGAUGGCUUCUUCUCUCUCUUGGAUCUUCAAUACAAAGUUCUCCAUGAUCUUCAUAGAUAUGUAUCCGAUGUAAUCUUCUUUUGCGGUGUGUUUGUCGACAUCCGAUGAAUUGUGGAUUUAUGAUCAGAUUAUCUAUGAAUCUUAUUUGAGUUUCUUCUGAUCUUUCUUAUGCAUGAUUUCAUAUCCUUGUAAUUCUCUUCUAGUUGUGGGUUUUGUUUGGCCAACUAGAUCUAUGAUUCUUGCAAUGGGAGAAGUGCUUGGUUUUGGGUUCAUACCGUGCGGUGACCUCACCCAGUGACAGAAGGGGUAGCGAGGCACGCAUCAUGAUGUUGCCAUCAAGGGUAAAAAGAUGGGGAUUUCAUCAUUUGUUUGAGAUAAUCCCUCUACAUCAUGUCAUCUUGCUUAAAGCGUUACUCUGUUCGUCAUGAACUCGAUACACUAGAUGCAUGCUGGAUAGCGGUCGAUGUGUGGAGUAAUAGUAGUAGAUGUAGAAAGUAUUGGUCUACUUGUCUCGGACGUGAUGCCUAUAUGUAUGAUCAUUUCCUUAGAUAUCGUCAUGACUUUGCGCGGUUCUAUCAAUUGCUCGACAGUAAUUUGUUUACCCACCGUGAUACUUGCUAUUUUGAGAGAAGCCUCUAGUGAACACUAUGGCCCCCGGUUCUACUCCACACCAUAUUUUGAGCCUGACACUUUUUACUUCAUUGCACUUUCCGCCUUCAGAUCUAACUUUGCAAACAAUCUUGAAGGGAUUGACAACCCCUUUGAAGCGUUGGGUGCAAGCUUGCUUGUGUUUGCGCAGGUACUCUGGACUUGACGAGACCCUCCUACUAGAUCGAUACCUUGGUUCUCAAACUGAGGGAAAUACUUACUACUCUUGUGCUGCAUCACCCUUUCCUCUUCAAGGGAAAAACCAAUGCGAGCUCAAGAGACGACAGAAGGAUCUCUGGCACCACUGCCGGGGAACGACUUUUCUUGACGUAGCAGGAAGGUCCCUAUAUUGUCGAGGAAGUAUAUCAACAACAUGGAAGGUAAUUGUCCGAAAGUGGUAAAUCGGCAGAGAAUCAAGCAUUAUAUCUCAGGUACUCCCAUAAAUGUUGAAAGCAAUAUCAUCAAUACCAUAACUCCGGAAGAAUACCUAAGGGAUAUUUACCAGCCUGUUUCAGACGCCGAAAACGAAGAGGUAUGUGAUUCGGUAAGAAAACAAACUCCAAUACUUUUCCAGUAGGAAUUUUUCUCCGUUUUGGAAUAUUUGAAAAAAUAGAAAAAAUUGAAGUAGUCCGGAAAGCGCGCGAGGAGACGACAAGCCUGCCAGGCGCAGGCCCACUCCCUUGCCACGCCUGGGGGGCUUGUGGCCACCUCGUGUGCCUCCCGGACUCCGUUUUCGUGCGGAGUACUCCUUCUGGUCUAAAAAAAUCAUUAUAUAUUAUCCCAUAAGGUCUGACCCUCGUAUCACGCAGAUUUCCUCUGUUUUUGUUUCGAGCCUGUUUUCUACCGCAAAUUUAGAGCAAGAUGUCGUCUCAGGAAUCUGUGAGGGAGAACAAUCUCCGUCAAGUCUAUGGAGAAGUAAAUGCUGAUCUGAAAAGAAUGGAGGCUAGGGAAAGGCUACCUAAAGAGGCCAAGGGCAAAACUAAGGAGAAGAAUCAGGCAUGGGACAAAGUGCAAUCUGUGCUCAGCAAGGAAGAAGUUGAAGAAGUGGAUUUCCUCCAACCCUACCUCUACCUACUUUCUCCAUCCCAGAUUGAACUCUUGAGGUUUUGUGAAACAACUCAUGCUCGCAAUACUUAUCUCACUAGUGAAGUUGUUUUGUUGGAGAAACAUAUCCCAGAUCUCCAAGGUAUAAAUCAAAGAUUAAUGGCCCUCUUGGAAUCAAAGGACAAAGCAACUCCACCACCAUGACCUCCAAAGGAAGACAACUAAGCAUGGGUAUGGGAAAUCCCCUUGUCUUGUGCCAAGCUUGGGGGAGUUGCCCCGGUAUCGUAUCACCAUCACAUCUUUUGCCUUUACCUUUUUUUAGUUUGUUCCUUUUCAGUUUUCUUUUUCUCUAGUAGAUUAAAAGUCUUAGUGUUUUAGUCUUGAGUUUUGCUUUGUGUCACCCCCGAUGUAUUCGAGCUCGUGAGCCAUAUAAUAAAGAGUGUCUUAGUUGAAGGGCUUUGCCUCUUGCCAUGAUCAAAAGAGUGAGAAAAGAAAAAAAGCAUGAAAGAUCAUGUAAUGAUCUUAUGGGAAGUGAUGGCUUCACAUAUAAAAAGAAUGUUGAUUGAAACUUGUUGAGGGUAGACAAACAUAGACCUUGGUCAUUGUUGCAAUUAAUAGGAAGUGAUAAAGAAGGAGAGGUUCACAUAUAAAUACAUCAUCUUUGACACCACCUAUGAUUGUGAACACUCACUAAACUAUUGCAUGCCUAGAGUAGAUGUUGGACAAGGAAGACAACAUAAUGAAUUGUGUUUGCUUGGUUCUGAACAAUGUUAUAUGAUUAGAGAUCCCUUAGCAUGUGACAAUUGCUUCCACCUCAUUUUAGCCAAAACUCUCGCACCAAGUAGAAAUACUACUUGUGCAUCCAGAAACCUUCAACCCAGUUUUGCCAAGAGACUCCAGCAUACCUACCUAUGAAUUGAAUAAGAUCCCUCAAGUAAGUUGUCAUCGGUGCAAGCAAUAAAAAAUGCUCCCAAAUAUGUAUGAUCUUUUAGUGUGUGGAAAAUAAGCUUUGUACGAACCUGUGAUGAGGAAGACAUAAAAGCGACAAACGGCAUAAAAAAGUUCUUUAUCACAGGAGGCAAUAUAAAGUGACGUUCCUCCGCACUAAGAGGACACGCAUCCAAACCUCAAAAGCGCAUGACAACCUCUGCUUCCCUCUACGAAGGGCCUAUCUUGUACCUUUACUUUUUGCCCUUGAAAGAGUCAUGGUGAUCUUCAACAAUUCCUUGUUUCUCCUUUAUCUUGGCUAACGUCAUAUGCUAGGGAAAGAUCUUUAUUCAUAAUUCAACUUGGAGGUAAGCAUUCAUGAAUUAUUGUUGUUGACAUUACCCUUGACCAAAUGUCCAGGAGGCAAAACUAUAAGCCCCUAUCUUUCUCUGUGUCCAGCUGAAACUUUGACCAAAUGAGUACCACGUGAGUUCUAGCAAUUGUAGAGAAUGAAAAGAUGAUUAAGGAUGUUGAUUUGUUUUACAAGCUCUUAUUUGACUCUUUCUGAUGUUGUGAUAAAUUGCAAUUGCUUCAAUGACUACAGGCUAUCGGUUGUUACUUCUCAGUAAGGUUCUUGAUCCAUACUUUACUUUGUGAAGGAAUUGUCACUUUAGCAUGAGAGAUUACAUGUUGGUAUUGUUGUUCUGAUCAUGAUCAUGAUGCAUGCAUGUUUGCAUUUUGUUUUUUCGACACCUCCCUCCCUUAACAUGUGGUCAUAUUUAUUGAGCUCGACUUUCGCAUGAGGACAAGCGAGGCCUAAGCUUGGGGGAGUUGAUACGUCCAUUUUACAUCAUGCUUUCAUGUUGAUAUUUAUCGCUUCUUGGGCUGUUAUUUCACUUCACGGUACAAUACUUAUGCCCUUUCUCUCUUAUUUUGCAAGGUCUACAUGAAGAGGGAGAAUGCCGGCAACUGGAAUUCUGGCCUGAAAAUGGAGAAAGUUUGAGAUACCUGUUCUGCGCAACUCCAAACGCCGUAAAAAUAAAUGAGCAUUUUUUUUGGGAUUUAUAAAAAAUAUUGGGCCGAAGAAGUGGCAGAGGGGCGCCAGCAGGAGGCCACAAGCCUGCUAGGCGCGGCCACCCCCUGGCCGGGCCUAGGGUGCUUUUGGGCACCCAGCUGGCCCUUUGGCCCCCCUCUUCUGCUAUAUGAAGUGUUUCGUUCCGAAAAAAAUCAAGAGGAGGCUUUUUCGAGGAUUCGCCGCCGCCACGAUGCGGAACUUGAGCAGAACCAAUCUAGAGCUCCAGCAGGACGAUCCUGCCGAGGAAACGUCCCUCCCGGAGGGGGAAAUCGUCGCCAUCGUCAUCAGCAGCACUCCUCUCAUCGGAGGGGAAUCGUCACCAUCAACAUCUUCAUCAACACCAUCUCAUCUCCAAACCCAAGUUCAUCUCUUGUAACCAAUCUCCGUCUCGCGACUCCGAUUGGUACUUGUAAGGUUGCUAGUAGUGUUAAUUACUCUUUGUAGUUGAUGCUAGUUGGAUUACUUGGUGGAAGAGUUUAUGUUCAGAUCCUUGAUGCUACUUAAUACCUCUCUGGUCAUGAAUAAUAUUAUGCUUUGUGAGUAGUUACUUUUGUUCCUGAGGAAAUGGGACAAGUCAUGCUAAUAGUAGUCAUGUGAAUUUGGUAUUCGUUCGAUAUUUUGAUGUGUUGUAUGUUGUUUUUCCACUAGUGGUGUUAUGUGAACAUCGACUACAUAACACUUCACCAUUAUUUGGGCCUACAGGAAGGCAUUGGGAAGUAGUAAGUAGAUGAUGGGUUGCCAGAGUGACAUCAGCUUAAACCCUAGUUUAUGCGUUGCUUCGUAAGGGGCUGAUUUGGAUCCACUAGUUUAAUGCUAUGGUUAGACUUUGUCUUAAUUAUUCUUUCGUAGUUGUGGAUGCUUGCGAGAGGGGUUAAUCAUAAGUGUGAUACUUGUCCAAGUAAGGGCAGUACCCAAGCGCCAGUCCACCCACAUAUCAAACUAUCAAAGUAACGAACGCGAAUCAUGUGAACAUGAUGAAAACUAGCAUGAAAAAAAUUCCCGUGUGUCCUCUGGAGCGUUUUUGCUCCUGUAAGACUUUGUCCAGGCUUGUCCCUUGCUACAAAAUGAUUGGGCCAAUUUUCUGCACCGUUGCUACUUUUGUUACUUGUAGCUUGCUACGAAUCAUCUCACCACACAAUCACUUGUUACCGAUCAUUUUAGUGCUUGCAGAUAUUUCCUUGCUGAAAACCACUUAUCAGAUCCUUCUGCUCCUCGUUGGGUUAGACACUCUUACUUAUUGAAAGUACUAUCAUAGAUCCGCUAUACUUGUGGGUCAUCACUCCACCUUCCACUUGAGGUAACCAACGAGGGGCGAGAUGUAUAUCCAUUAACUCAUCAUCAAGCAAAUUUUUGGCGCCAUUGCCGGGGACUCCAGUUUUCAAGAUAGGGGAGUUGCACACUAUCUUUUACCUUUGCUUUUUAGUCUUCUUAGUUGAGUCUUAUACCAAAAAUAAAAAAAAUAGUUGAUUUUCUUCUAGUUGUCCUUUCUGCUUAGUACAACAUGUUAAGGUUUGAUGCUUUGAGGGAAUUUGAGGUCCUAGAUUUCCAUCAAAGGAAUGGAGAAAAUAUUAAGGAGGCUUGUGAUAGAAUUACUCAAGCACAUAAAAGAAUUAUGCCUUGGAUACCGAUAAUAAUUGUGCUUUGAAAUUUUUAUCAUUGGUUUUUUAUAUGGUGUAAACACUCUCUUGAUAUUAUAACUAAAGGAGAUUUUUUUAGAGUGUGAUCAGGCUAGAGCUCUUGAUAUUAUACAAGGUCUAUCUAAAUACCUUGAUUAUGGUCGUUGAUUUGACACUAUUAUAGAUAGACUUCCUGCCAUGGAAAGGAAAAUAGAUGCUCUAGACUUAAGAGAAAGAGAGAAACCCAUGGUUGAUAAGAAAAAGAUUUGGAAACUAGAUGAUGACUGGGAGCCUUUUGUUAGAAUUAGCAUCUCUAUCCAAGAUUUCCUUGCUUAUUGUGAUAUUGGAUCCCUGGUUUCUACAAUGCCAAAAGUUGUUUACGAUUAGCUAAGCUUUUUAAACAUAGACAAUUUUUCAUCUUAUCAUGAACAUGCUAAUUGGGAUAUUUCUGAGAUCCAGGGAAAUGUAAAAGAUGUCGAGGUUACAUUCUCUAAAAGAAAUGCAACGGUUGAUUUCUUCAUCAUGAAGCCAAACGAAGAAAACAUAGUGCUUGAAAGGGACUUCCUCCGAGCCAUGAAAUGCUUCAUUGAUAUAGGUAAAGGACACAUACGCUUACGUGGGAAAGCGAAAGGGACGUACCCGUUCCCUUGGAAAAAUAAGGAUGAACUUGUUGAGAAUCUGUUUGAAGGUUUUGAUGACUCCAAUGACUUUGGUGAAUUUUGAUCCUCCUUUUUGCAUCAUGCCUAGCUCCAAGGCAUAAAAGAAAGCGCUUGUUGAGAGGAAACCCAAUUUCUUUUUACUUUUAGUUUUAGUGGUCUUGAUGCUUGUUACUACUGUAGAAACAUCAUUGUAUCUUUAUUUUCAAGCUUUGUGCCAAGUUAUAGCCUCCGAUCGCAAGAAAGUUCAAAAGUUGUGACAUGCCGUCCAGAAACAGAUUAUGUCGGCUUGACAAAAAAUACGCCAAAAAUCACCAGAUCAUCUUUUUGAUCUGAUUUCUUUACAGUACGCUCCAUAUAAUUUUCUUUGUGAUGUCUAUUGAUUUGAGUUGCAGAAGUGCCCCAAAAAAAUUAUUUACUACCUCUUGUUCUAUUUUUCACAUAUUCUGCUACGUUUUGCAUUUUCAUCAUUUUACAAAUUUUAAACUUUCUUUUCCUUUGCAAAAACCUUUUGGCAAUCAUGAGAAACAGUAGCUUUACAUGAAAAUCUUUAUUUUCAGCAGGGAAUAAAUUAUUUUAUUAUGGGUGCUAACCACUCUAAUCAGCUUAUGAUGAGUUUCGUAUGAAGGGAGUUUUCAAGUAUGCGAUGCAAGAUGAUGAAAGAAGAUCCAGGAGUGUCAAGCGCUCAAGAUUGGGAAUGCCCCCAUUCACCCCAAGAAUAAUUCAACAAGACUCAAGCAUCUAAGAUUGGGGAUGCCCUCGUGCAUCACCUUCUCUAUCAACAAUCAUCAGUUCGUCCAUCUCCAUGUUAUAUUUUUAUCACUUCAUAUGUUAUGUGCUAUGCUUCAAGCGUCUCGUUCUUUACUUUUUAGUUUGUUUUAGUUUUGGUUGUUGUUCAUAACAAGUCGGAACCUAGCUUCUUUGCUUGGGACAGAAACACGCUAAACUCCACCCUAGAACACAACAUAGGUUUCCAUACUUAUCUUUUUGGUGUGUUCUUUAUCGUUUCAUAGUUGUUGUCAUGCUUAGCUCUUAGUUUUCAUGCUAUAUCUUUUUAAUAGCUUUUAUUUAGGUUGCUUUUGGAACUCUCUUGAGUUAUCAUGCUUAUUUUGUUUAGAGAGUUUGCUUGUUGCACUGAGUUGUGUGUCUUGCAUGAGUAGGUAAUUGAGGUUGCUAUUUAAGUAUAGUAGUAACUUGCAAUAGUUUUCAGGUAUUGAUUUGAGUAAUGUUUGGACUAUUGGUGCCAAGAGCUUGAGCCUAUUAGUGAUAGGUGUCGUAUUUUUGGAAAUUUGUGUGUUUUUUCAAAAACUAAAAAAGAAAUUAGUUGAGAACUCUAGCUACUAGAUCGAUCGCUAACCUCUGGAGGGGUUGGAAUAUAUAGAGUACCGUCACAUUACCAUGGGUCGAGGAUGCGCAAGGAUAACCAAACCCCCAAACACUCCUCCUCGGGGUACUUGUCUCUUUGUGAAUCUCCUAACUAGAUAGAGAGUUACUGAUAAUAAGUCUAUGAGUUCUUCGGACUAAUGCGAGUAUUCGAUUGUUGGCACUUCCACCAUCCAUAUUUUGCUAGCCUCUUCGGUACCGUGCAUUGCCAUUUCUCAUCUUGAGAGUUGGUGCAAAAUUCAUCGGUGCAUCCAAACCCUUGGCAUGAUACGCUCUAUCAUCAUAAGCCUCAUUAUAUCUUUCCUCAAAACAGCCACCAUACGUACCUAUUAAGGCAUUUCCAUAGCCUUUCCGAGAUACAUUGUCAUGCAACAUCCACCAUCUCAUGACUUGAUCUUCAUGUCAUACAUGCUUUUGCUUGAUCGAGGAGCCGCAUGCUAGUUGGGCCUUGCCCUUAUUAUUGCUACAUGAUGCGCUAGUUUCAUUGCAUAUCCUGCUACACUAGCACACGCAUACAUUUGCAUACAUCAUUAUAAAGGAUCUUAUUUUUACCCUUGUAAAACAUAGAGUGUUGCCCUUAAGUGAUGAAAAGAUCCCAAAGAGGAAAAAUUAAAAGAUCCUAAAGAGGACACAUGAAAAGAUCCCAAAGAGGACAAAUGAGAGAUAAAUAGAAAGAGCCAAAGAGGCCACAACAAAAUUAAAAAAGAAAGAAAAAAUAAAUAAAAAAGAGAGAAGGGAGCAACACUACUAUUCCUUUUGAAAGAUCCACACUGGUACUCCAUUGUUAUACUUGUACUCCAUAGAGAUUAUCAUUCAUGCAUAACUUCGUGGGGACCCUUAUACUAUAGAACUUGGCUUGUAUAUUCCAAUGAUGAGCGUCCUAAAAUGAGCUCUAGGUCUUCAUGAGCAAGCAAGUUGGAUACACCCCCACUAGUUCCAUUGUAGAGCUUAUCUUAGCUCAUAUGUGCAUCCGUUGCAUGGCAAUCCCUACUCCUCACAUCAUAUCUAUCAUUUGGCUUCCUCUCGCCUAUGGUUGUCCUCAUUGAUGUGAGCCUUUCACACCCUUUUUGUCUUCCUUCCCCAUCAUUAUUCUAUUUUCCAUCCUAAGUGCCAACCUAUCUUGCUUGCACUCAUCCAUUGUAUGAGUGCUCAAAGUCGAAAGGGAGAGGAUCAUUUUGACUUGUGCGUGACUAGUGGACUGGGGAUGAGUCAAAAUAAUAUUCUGAAGGAGACCAAGUGUGAAGUUUAGUAGAUUGAGUUCUCAAUUAAAAAAUAUAUUUUAUGCUCUAAACCCAUCUCCCAUUUCUUGCACGCAAACACCAUUUGGAGACAUUCGAGUCACGGACAGCGAGAGCCCUUGCACCUUUAUGUUUCUACUUUGCUGUUAUCAAUACUAGAUAUAGACUCUUGCUUGUUAUUGUAUUGACUUGAAUUGCAUAUUUACUUGCUUUACUUUGAAGUUCUUAUAUGUGUAUUAGUAUGUCACCACAGAAAUUAUUUGUGUUAUCAUUUACCUACUCGAGGACGAGCAAGAAUUAAUCUUGGGGAUGUUGAUAGUCCCAAAUAUAUCUAUAAUUUCUUCUUGUUCCAUGAUCUUUUUGGUGACAUUGUUAUAUGUUUUGCUACACUUUUAUAUCUUAAUUACUCAUAUUUGGACUAAACUACUAACUCAGUGCACCCAGUGCAAGUUUCUGUCUGCUGAUGUCUUUUUUGCAGGGGCUUUUACCCAAAUUUCCACAGCCUCAAAAAUCCCGAGAAAAAUAUAUAAAAGUCAGCGUGAUGAAAGCUUCAUGAAGCACAUAGAUGGCCCAGAGGGGAGCCAGGGGCUGCCCAGGCGGCCUCCCUGCAUGGCCUCGCCCCUGGCCACGCCCACAGGUCUCCUGGGUGGGUCACACCUCCUGUGGUGCCCUCCUUCGAUCUAUAUUUACCUCUUCGAUCGAAAACCCUUCCACCGUUCCGCCGUCGCAGCACUUCCCAGAUCGGGAGCGUCAGGAGAUCUCUUCCUGACAUCCUGCCGGAGGGAGGACUGACCUCCUGGAGCUUCUCAACAGCCAUGGACGCUUCCCGAACGUGUUGUGAGUAGUCCUCCUUGGACCAUGAAUCCAUGACCAGUAGCUGUGUGAUAUCUUCUCUCCAAUCUUGUGCUUCAAUGUUUAGCCCUUGUGAGCUGCCCUACAUGAUCAAGGCAACUAUGUAAUGUUCCUACUAUUGCUAUGCUCGGUUUGAUGGGAUCCGAUGGAUUAUGAGAUUAUCUUCAGAUUGUGAUGAGUUAUAUAUUUGAUUAUCCUUUUAUAUUAUGUCUUUAGUGAUUCAUGCAUGUUCUCCGUUGCUUUGUAUUGCUUUGUCCGAGUAGUAGAUUAUAACUCCAAGAGGGAACGUUUUGCAUGAUUGUGGGUUCAUGCCCCCUGAUGUCUAGCUUGAGUGACAGAAACAUGAGACUAUGGGAUGUGAUGUUGCCACCAGGGAGAAAACAACGGUGCUUGUGACCACGGUUGCAAGGCUAGUUUACCUUAUACAAAGUUUGUUAAUGAAGUUGUUCGUUCCUUUGAGUUUACACUUUGGGUGGGGCUCGCAACUUAAUACCAACGAGAUGUUCUGGAUAGAUAUCUCAAGGUGGAUGAUUAGUAAGUAGAUGCUGAUGAAUAAAUGGUCUACUUGUCUUGGCGUACAGCCCAUUACUUUUGAGCAUCUAACUUUCUUGUAGAAUGAUUAGCAUUGCGGUGCGUUCAUAAUUAUGUCAAUUCCCGAGCUGUAAGUUGUUUACCCACGCAUAGUUGUUUAUCAUCUUUUGGGAGAGAGACAUUGCUACGGCGACAGAAAUCUUCUGUCGUCUCUUGAGCUUGCGUUGGUUUUUCCCUUGAAGAGGAAAUGGCGAUGCAACACAGGAGCAGUAAGUAUUUCCCUCAGUUUGAGAACCAAGGUAUCAAUCCAGUCGGAGAAUCUCGUCAAGUCCAGAGUACCUGCGCAAACACAAAAGUGCUUGCACCCAACACUAUAAAGGGGUUGUCAAUCCCUUCAAUAUUGAUUGCAAAGUGAUAUCUGAAGGCGAAAUGCAACGAAGAAAAAGAGUAAGGCUGAAAAUAUGGUGUGGAGUAGACCCGGGGGCCAUAGUGUUCACUAGAGGCUUCUCUCAAAAUAGCAAAUAUUACGGUGGGUGAACAAAUUAAUGUCGAGCAAUUGAUCGAACCGCACAAAGUCAUGACGAUAUCUAAGGCAAUGAUUAUACAUAUAAGCAUUACGUCCGAGACAAGUAGACCGAUACUUUCCGCAUCUACUACUAUUACUCCACACAUCGACCGCUAUCCAGCAUGCAUCUAGUGUAUUGAGUUCAUGACGAACACAGUAACGCCUUAAGCAAGAUGACAUGAGGUAGAGGGAUAAAAUCAAACCAAUGAUGAAACCCCAUCUUUUUACCCUUGAUGGCAACAACACGAUGCGUGCCUCGUUACCCCUUCUGUCACUGGGUGAGGCCACCGCAUGGUAUGGACCCAAAACCAAGCACUUCUCCAAUUGCAAGAAUCGUAGAUCUAGUGGGCCAAACAAAACCCACAACUUGAAGAGAAUUACAAGGAUAUGAAAUCAUGCAUAAGAGAGAUCAGAAGAAACUCAAAUAAGAUUCAUAGAUAAUCUGAUCAUAAAUCCACAAUUCAUCAGAUCUCGACAAACACACCGCAAAAGAAGAUUACAUCUGGUAGAUCUCCAUGAAGAUCAUGCAAAACUUUGUAUUGAAGAUCCAAGAGAGAGAAGAAACCAUAUAGCUACUAGGUAUAUGGUGAACUACUCACACAUCAUCGGAGAGGUCAUGGUGUUGAUGAAGAAGCCCUCCGUAUCCGAAUCCCCCCUCUGGCAGGGCACCAGAACGUGCCCCAGAUGGGAUCUUGCGGAGAUAGAAGCUUGCGGCGGUGGAAAAGUACUUUCGAUGAUCUCCUGAUUUUUUCUGGGAUUUUAGGGAAUCUGUAGGCGAAAGACCUAGGGAAGAGGUGGCCCAGGGACCCCACAAGUCUGGGAGGCGCGGGCCCCCUGGCCAUGGCUAGGGGGCUUGUGGGGUCCCUGCUGGCCCCCUCCCCUGAUUCUCACGCUUCCCGAUCUUCUUCUGUUUCGGAAAAAAUCUUUUUGGCAGUUUCGUUCCGUUUGGACUACGUUUAAAAUCCUCCUCUGAAAGGGGUCAAAAACAUGGAUAAAAACAGGAACUAACACUUGGCACUGAGUUAAUAAGUUAGUCUCAAAAAAGAUAUAAAAGGCAUACAAAACAUCCAAAGUUUGACAAGAUAAUAGGAUGAAACCAUCAAAAAUUAUAGAUACGUUGGAGACGUAUCAAGCAUCCCCAAGCUUAACUCCUGCUUUUCCUCGAGUAGGGAAGUGAUAAAGACUGAAUUUUUGAUGUGGAAUGCUACCUAGCGUAGUUGUCCUUUGCAACUUCUUUCGUGUGACAUGAAUGUUUAGAUCCGUAAGAUUCAAAACAAUAGUUUUCUAUUGACAUGAAAACAAUAAUACUUCAAGCAAAGUAGCAAGGUAAUCAUGAACUUUCAAAAUAACAAGGCCAAGGAAAGUUAUCCCUACAAAAUCAUAUAAUCUCUCUAUGAUCCAUCAUCCUCACACAACUAAUGUAAAUCAUGCACAACCCCGGUAUUGGCCAAGUAAUUGUUUUCACACUCUUACUUUCUCAAACUUUUUAUAAUUAUCACGCAAUACAUGAGCGUGAGCCAUGGAUAUAGCACUAUAGGUGGAAUAGAGUCUGGUGGUGUUGAUACGUCUCAAACGUAUCUAUAAUUUUUGAUGGUUUCACGCUGUUAUCUUGUCAUAUUUGGAUGUUUCAUGUACCUUUUAUAUAUUUUUUGGGACUAAAUUAUUAAUUCAGUGCCAAGAGCUAGUUCCUGUUUUUUCUGUGUUUUUUGGCUCUUUUCAGAUCUGAUUUUGGAACGAAGUCCAAAUGGAAUAAAAUCCCCGAAAUGAUUUUUUCCCGAACGAAAGAAGAUCAGGGGGCUGUGGGCGAAGCCAGGAGGGCUCCUGGGAGCCCACAGGCCCCCACUCCUCCACUAGGGGGGAGGCGGCGGUGGCAGGGCUUGUGGCCUCCUUGAGCGCCCCCUGACAUAGAUCUUUGGCCUAUAUAUUCCCUAAAAUACAGCAAAAAAUCAGGGGAUCCACGAAAAUACUUUUCCGCCGCUGCAAGCUUCCGUUUCCUCGAUAUCUCAUCUGGAGACCCUUCCCGGCGCCCUGCCGGAGGGCACUUUGGAGUUGGAGGGCUUCUUCAUCAUAAUCAUCACCCCUCCAAUGACUCGUGAGUAGUUCACUUCAGACCUAUGGGUCCGUAGUUAGUAGCUAGAUGGCCUCUUCUCUCUCUUGGGUCUUCAAUACAAAGUUAUCCAUGAUCUUCAUGGAGAUCUAUCCGAUGUAAUCUUCUUUGGCGGUGUGUUUGUCGAGAUCCGAUGAAUUGUGGAUUUGUAAUCAGAUUAUCUAUGAUAUAUAUUUGAGUCUUUGCUAAUUUCUUAUAUGCAUGAUUUGAUAUCCUUGUAAGUCUUGGGUUUUGUUUGGCCAACUAGAUCUAUGAUUCUUGCAAUGGGAGAAGUGCUUGGUUUUGGGUUGUUACCAUGUGGUGACCUUUCCCAGUGACAGUAGGGGCAGUAAGGCACACAUUGAGUAGUUGCCAUUAAGGGUAACAAGAUGGCCUCUGUCGUUGAUAUGAGAUUGUCCAUCUACAUCAGGUCAUCUGGCCAAAGGCGUUACUUUGUUCUUUUGGACUUAAUACACUAGAUGCAUGUUGGAUAGCCGUCGACGUGUGGAGUAAUAGUAGUAGAUGCAAACAGUAUCGGUCUACGUGUUUUCGACGUGAUGCCUAUAGAUAUAAUCAUUCCCAUAGAUGACGUCAUGACUUUGCGUGGUUCUCUCAAUUGCUCAGCAGUAAUUUGUUCACCCACCGUCUACUUGCUUUCAUGAGAGAAGCCACUAGUAAACACUACGGCCCCGGGUCUAUUCACGUCUAUCGUUUACACCUCCGCUUUUACUUUGCUUUGUUACUUUGUUGCUUUCAGUUCUCACUUAGCGAACAAUCUAUAAGGGAUUGACAACCCCUUCAUAGCGUUGGGAGCAGGUUCUUUGUGUUUGUGUAGGCUCUUGUGAUACUCCUUCACUGGAUCGAUACAUUCAUUCUCAAACUGAGGGAAAUACCUACCAUCGCUGCACUACAUCACCCUUUCCGCGUCGAGGGAACUCCAACGCAAGGCUCCAAGGCCACGGGGGAAAUCCUUUGCAUAUUUGCCUAGGAAGUCCCUUAAGGCGUAGCCGUAGCAGAAGGAUUCCUGGUGCCAUCUACACACCUAUUUCUGGCGCGAUUGGAAGGUCUUUUGUUGCAGUAGCACAGCUAACAUCAAGAAGUAUUUCUCGUGUCGUUGCCGAGGAGGAGAGAUCAAGAUCUAUCAAAGUAGGGCUCACAAACUCAUCUCCUGCAUUUACUUUUUUUGGCUAGUUGCCUCUCGUUUUCCUCUCCCCCACUUCACAUUUGCCUUUUACGUUUGCCUUUUUCGUUCGCCCUUUUCUCUUGCUUGCUUUCUGUUCGCUCGUGUGCUAUGUGCCUUCAAUAUGCUUGCAUCUUCGCUUGCUGAAAAUCUAUUGCUAUGGAUCCUCAUCCACUAGCUAAUCUCUUUAAGAGACCCACUUAUAUGGAACGAAUUGCGAGUGAGUUGAGUGCACUUGACUAUGUUAAUGGUGUUUUGCUUGAGAUGCGUUAAUCUCAAAAUUGUGAGGAAGAAAUUUAUGAAGUGAUUCACGAGGUCUCCUUGGAUGAAAAGCAUGAUUACAAUGGUUUCACUAUAAAUUCUAUUAGUGAUAAUCAUGCUAAAAUUAUGCAAAACCCUAAGCUUGGGGAUGCUAGUUUUGCUUUGUCCACUACUUGUUGCAAUAAUCAUGAUUGGGGUGAUGAUAUUUCUUAUGAUCUUGAAAAUUUGUUCAAACCUCAUGAUGAAUAUGAUAUUUGUAACAAUACUGAAAGUGGGUUUGGAGAAGUCAUGACUUUAGUUGAUGAUAGUGCCACUAUUUUUGAAGAGCGUCAACUUUGCAUGCAUGUGGAUCAUUAAAAGAAUAUCCUAUGGGAUAGCUAUAUUGUUGAAUUUGAAUAUGAUCCCACAUGUAAUUGCUAUGAGAGAGGAAAAUAUUGUGAUAGAAACCUUCAUGUUACCAAAUCACCUCUCGUGAUGUUGAGAUUGCUCUUGUCUUUUUCUUCUUCCUUGCAUAUGGCAGCUAUUGGUUGUCUUGAAAAUUUGUUUUCCUAUAAAAUUUCUAUACAUAGGAAGUAUGUUAGACUUAGAUGUGAUUUUCACAUGCUUUAUGAUGCUCUCGUUGUGCUUCAAUUCUUGUCUUUUGUGAGAGCAUCAUUGAAUGCCUAGCUAAGGGCGUUAAACAAAAGCGCUUGUUGGGAGGCAACCCAACGAAUCUAUACUUUUUCUUUCUGUUUUGUGUUUUCUGCACUUUCAUAAUUCUGUUAUGAUUGUGUUUUUUGUGUUUGUUUUUGCAUUUGUGCCAAGCAGAACCGUUAUGGUUUGUCUUGGGGAUGAUCGUUUGGUCAUGCUGGAAAAGACAUAAACUUUCUGCUCACGAAAAGAAUUUUCAUUUUUUUAUGUAAGAGCUUUUGAGUUGAUUCUUUUUGCUGCUGAUUUCUACGCAAAUUCUUCAUAAUGUAGUAAUUGUUCAGAAUUUUUAAGUACCAGAGGUAUACUAAAUAUACAGAUUGCUACAGACUGGUCUGCUGUUAACAGAUUCUGUUUUUGUUGUGUUGGUUGCUUAUUUUGAUGAAACUAUGGAUAGUAUCGGGGGGUAUUAGCCAUGGAAGAUUGAAAAUAUAGUAACCCAACAUCAGCAUAAGUAGAAUUUAAGUUUUCUACAGUACCUAAGGAAGUGGUGGUGUGCUUUCUCAUACUAAUGUUAUCACAAGUUUCUGUUUAAGUUUCGUGUUGUGAAGUUUUCAAGUUUUGGGUGAACUUCUUAUGGACAAAGAGAUAAAGAGUGGCAAGAGCUCAAGAUUGGGGAUGCCCAAGGCACACCAAGAGAUUCAAGGAUGCCGUAAAAUCCUAACUUGGGGAUGCCCCGGGAAGACAUCCCCUCUCUCGUCUUCAAUCCAUCAGUAACGUUACUUGGGGCUAUAUUUUUAUUCACCACAUGUUAUGUGAUUUUGCUUGGAGCGUCUUGUAUCGUAGGAGUCUUUUAUUUUUGUUGUGUCAAAAUCAUCCUUGCUGCACACCUAGAGAGAGAUACAUGCACUCACCAUGAUUUUGUCGAGCUUCACUUAUAUCUUUUGGUAGACAAUUCAGCUCACAUGUGCUUCACUUAUAUCUUUUGAGCUACAUACUUUUGCUCUAUGUGCUUCACUUAUAUAUUUUACAGUGCAGCGGUGCGUGGCUUGGUAGGUGAUCUAUGCUUUGCAAGUAGUCUCAAAAGGGGUAGUUAUCCGAAGGGAUACGAAAACUUCCACCUUCAUGUGCAAUGAAUAGUUAGGAGAAGUUUGAUUCAUCUCAAUUAGUUUUGAGUUGUGGUUAUGGUAAUAUUGAAGUCAUGCUAGUAAGGUGUUGUGGAUCUAGAAAUACCUGUGUUGAAGUUAGUGAUUCCCGUAGCAUGCACGUAUGGUGAACUGCUAUGUGAUGAAAUCUGAGCACGAUUAGUCUAUUGAUUGUCAUCCUUUGCGUGGCGGUCGGGAUCACGUGAUGGUUACCUACCAACCCUUCCCCUAGGAGUAUGCGUUGAAUGCUUUGGUUCGAUUACUAAUAAAACUUUUGCAACAAGUAUAUGAGUUCUUCAUGACUAAUAUUGAGUCCAUGGUUUAGAUGCAUUUUCACCUUCCACCAUCAGUAUAUCCUUAGUGCCGUGCAACUUUCGCCGAUGCACAAAACCCACCAUUAGCCUCCCUCAAAACACCCACCAUACCUACCUACUAUGGCUUUUUCAAAGUCAUUCCGAGAUAUAUUUCCAUGAAACAACCACCAUGACAUGUGCCACCAGAUCUACAUUGUCAUUGCAUGAUCGUAAUAUAGCUUGCAUGAUGUUUCCAUUAAUGUCUAUGCCAUGCUAGAUCAUUGCCACGGUACACUACCAAAGGCAUUCCAUAUAGAGUCAUUGUUGCUCUAUGUUUUGAGUUGAAAGUGUGAUGAUCAUAAUUAAUGGAGCAUUGUCCCAUGUGAGGAAAUAAAUGAGGCCAAAGAAGCCCACCAAAAAAAAGAGGCCAAAGAGCCCACCAAAAAAAUGAGAGAAAAAGAGAGAAGGGACAAUGCUACCACUUUUUCCACACUUGUGCAUAUUAAGCACCAAGAUCUUCAUGAUUGAGAGUCUCUCGUUUUGUCACCACCAUAUAGCUAGUGCGAAAAUUUUCAUUAUAUAACUUGGCUUGUAUGUUCCAAUGAUAGGCUUCCUAAAAAUUGCCUUAGGUCUUCGUGAGCAAGCAAGUUGGAUGCACACCCACUAGUUUUCUUUAAGAGCUUUCACAUACUCGUAGCUCUAGUGCAUCAUUUGUGUGGCAAUCCCUACUCAUUCACAUUGAUAUCUAUUGAUGAGCAUCUCAACAGCUCAUUGAUGUGCCUAGUUAAUGUGACCAUCUUCUCCUUCUUUUGUCUUGCAACCUCCACCACACUCCACACCAUCUAUAGUGCUAAAACCAUGGCUCACGCUCAUGUAUUGCGUGAGAGUUAAAAAAGUUUGAGAAAGUAAAGGUGUGCAACAAUUUCUUGGCCAAUACAGGGAUUGUGCAUUAUUUAAAUUUGUUGUGCAAUGAUGAUAGAGCAUAGCCAGACUAUAUGCUUUUGUAGGGAUAACUUUCUUUUGGCCUUGUUAUUUUGAAAGUUCAUGAUUACCUUGCUAGUUUGCUUGAACUAUUAUUGUUUCCACGUCAAUAGCAAACUAUUGUUUUGAAUCUAAUGGAUCUGAACAUUCACGUCACAUAAGAGGAGUUACAAAGGACAUCUAUGCUAGGUAGCAUGAAAGCAUAAAAAAUUCAUUCUUUAUCACUUCCCUACUCGAGGACGAGAAGGAGUUAAGCUUGGGGAUGCUUGAUACGUCUCAAAGGUAUCUAUAAUUUUUGAUAGUUUCACACUGUUAUCUUGUCAUCUUUGGAUGUUUUAUGUACCUUUUAUAUCUUUUUUGGGACUAACUUAUUAAUUUAGUGCCAAGUGCCAGUUCCUAUUUUUUCUGUGUUUUUGGCUCUGUUUAGAUCUGAUUUUGGAACACAGUCCAAACGGAAUAAAAUCCCCGACAUGAUUUUUUCCCGAACGGAAGAAGAUCAGGGGGCAUGUGGACCAAGCCAGGAGGGCCCCUAGGAGCCCCAAAGCCCCCACUCCGCCACCAGGGGGAGGCGGCGGUGGUAGGGCUUGUGGCCUCCCUGAGCGCCCCCUGACCUUGAUCUUUGGCCUAUAUAUUCCCUAAAAUACAGGAAAAAAUCAGGGGAUCCACGAAAAUACUUUUCCGCCGCCGCAAGCUUCCGUUUCCUCGAGAUCUCAUCUGGAGACCCUUCCCGACGCCCUGCCGGAGGGGACUUUGGAGUUGGAGGGCUUCUUCGUCAUCAUCAUCACCCCUCCAAUGACUCGUGAGUAGUUCACUUCAGACCUACGGGUCCGUAGUUAGUAGCUAGAUGGCUUCUUCUCUCUCUUGGAUCUUCAAUACAAAAUUCUCCAUGAUCUUCAUGGAGAUCUAUCCGAUGUAAUCUUCUUUGGCGGUGUGUUUGUCGAGAUCCGAUGAAUUGUGGAUUUGUGAUCAAAUUAUCUAUGAUAUAUAUUUGGGUCUUUGCUGAUUUCUUAUAUGCAUGAUUUGAUAUCCUUGUAAGUUUCUCCGAGUCUUGGGUUUUGUUUGGCCAACUAGAUCUAUGAUUCUUGCAAUGGGAGAAGUGCUUGGUUUUGGGUUCUUACCAUGUGGUGACCUUGCCCAGUGACAGUAGGGGCAGCAAGGCACACAUUGAGUAGUUGCCAUCAAGGGUAACAAGAUGGGCUCUUUCGUUGAUAUGAGAUUGUCCAUCUACAUCAUGUCAUCUUGCUUAAGGCGCUACUCUGUUCUUUUGGACAUAAUACACUAGAUGCAUGCCGGAUAGCGGUCGACGUGUGGAGUAAUAGUAGUAGAUGCAGAUAGUAUCGGUCUACUUGUUUUGGACGUGAUGCCUAUAGAUAUAAUCAUUGCCAUAGAUGACGUCACGACUUUGUGCGGUUCUAUCAAUUGCUCGACAGUAAUUUGUUCACCCACCAUCUACUUGCUUUCAUGAGAGAACCCACUAGUAAACCGUACGGCCCCCGGGUCUAUUCACAUGUAUCGUUUACACCUCCGCAUUUACUUUGCUUUCUUACUCUGUUGCUUCCAGUUCUAACUUGGCGAACAAUCUAUAAGGGAUUGACAACCCCUUCAUAGAGUUGGGAGAAGGUUCUUUGUGUUUGUGCAGGCUCUUGUGAUACUCCUUCACUGGAUCGAUACCUUGGUUCUCAAACUGAGGGAAAUACUUACCAUCGCUCCGCUACAUCACCCUUUCCGCUGUGAGGGAACACCAACGCAAGGCUCCAAGGCCACGGGGGAAAUCCUUUGCAUAUUUGCCCAGGAAGUCCCUUAAGGCGUAGCUGUAGCAGAAACAUUCCUGGUGCCGUCGACACACCUAUUUCUGGCGCCAUUGGAAGGUCUUUUGUUGCAGUAGCACAGCUGACAUUAGUGGUUGUGAGACAAAAAGGAGGAGAUGGUCACAUUGACUCGGCGUAUCAAAGGGCUUUGGAGAUGCCCAUUAAUAGAUACCAAUGUGAAUGAGUAGGGAUUUCCAUACAAAGGAUGCACUAGAGCUAUAAGUCUGUGAAUGCUUAAAAGGAGAACUAGUGGGUGUGCAUCCCACUUUCUUGCUCACGAAGUCCUAGGGAAAUUUGAGGAAGCCCAUCAUUGGAAUAUACAAGCCAAGUUAUAUAAUGAUGAUUCCCACUAGCAUAUGGUAGUGACGAAACGAGAGGCUCUCAAACAUGAACAGUGUGGUGCUAUUACGAAGCAUUGUCCCUUCUCUCUUUUGAUCUCUCUUUUUAUAUCUUUUUUAUUUAGGCUCUUGGGCCUCUUUUUUUUCUAUUUUUUAUAAUUGGGCUCUUUGCCCAAUUUUUUUUAUUUCCUCACAUGGGACAGUGCUCUAAUAAUGAUGAUCAUCACACUUUUAUUUACUCACAACUCAAAGCUUAGAAAUGACUCUAUAGUCAAUGCCUCCGGAAGUGUACCAGGAUGUGCAACGAUCUAGCUUGGCGAAUGACGUUGAAACAUCUCGCUAGCUAUCUUACGAUCAUGGAAUGGCAAUAUCAGAGUGACAGCACAAGUCAUGAGACGAAACGGUGGGAGUUGCAAGGCAAUAUAUCUUGGAAUGGCUAUGAAAAUGCCAUAGUAGGUAGGUAUGGUGGCUCUUGUGAGGAAGGCAUAUGGUGGGUUUAUGUACCGGCGAAAAUUGCUCGGCAUUAGAGAGGUUAGCAAUGGUGGAAGGUGAAAGUGCAUAUGUACCAUGGACUCACAUUAGUCAUGAAGAACUCACAUACUUAUGGUGAAAGUUUUUAUUAGUAAUCAAAACAAAGUGCUAAACGCAUACUCCGAGGGGAAGGGUUGGUAGGUGUUAACCAUCGCGCGAUCCCAACCUCAACACAAAGGAUGACAAUCAAUAGAUCAAUUAUGCUCCGAUUUCCUAACAUAGCAGUUCACCAUACGUGCAUGCUACGGAAAUCACUAACUUCAACACAAGUAUUUCUAGAUUCACAACACCCUACUAACAUAACUUUUAAUAUUACCAAAUCCACGUCUCAAAACUAAUUGAGAGGAAUUAAGACUUCUCUUUCUACUCAAUGCACAUGAAGAUGGAGGUUUUUGUAUCCUCUUUGGGUACCUAUCACCUUUGGGACUACUUUCAUAGCAUAAGCCAACUACCAAGUCACGCUCCGCCGUGCUCUAAAAGAUCUAAGUGAAGCACAAAGAGCAAAAUUAUCUAGCUCAAAAGAUAUAAGUGAAGCACUAUGAGUAUUCUAGCAAAAUCACGACGAGUGCAUGUCUCGCUCUAAAGGUGUGCAGCAAGGAUGAUUGUGACACCACAAAAAAAAACUCCUAAUAUACAAGACGCUCCAAGCAAAACACAUAUCAUGUGGUGAAUAAAAAUAUAGCUCCAAGUAACGUUACCGAUGGAUUGAAGACGAAAGAGGGGAUGCCUUCCCGGGGCAUCCCCAAGCUUAGGCUUUUUGGUGUCCUUGAAUUUGGCUUGGGAUUCCUUGGGCAUACCCAAGCUUGAGCUCUUUCCACUCCUUAUCUCGUUUUCCAUGAGAACAUCACCCAAAACUUAAAUUCUUCACAACACAAAACUUAAACAGAAACUCGUGAUAACAUUAGCACAAGAAAACAAACUACCACCACUUUAGGUACUGUAGAAAUCUUGGUUUCUAUUUAUAUUGGUGUUCGGCUACUGUAUUCUCACUUUUCCAUGGAUAGUACCCCCUGAUACUAUCCAUAGUUUCAUCAAAACAAGCAACCAAUUCAACAAAAACAGAAUCUGUCAAAAACAGACCAGUCUGUAGCAAUCUGUAUACUUCGUAUACUUGUGGUACCUCAAAAAUUCUGAAACAUUACGACUGCCUGGGAAAAAGGCAUAUCAACCAGCAACAAAACAAUCAACUCAAAAGCUCUUUCUGAAUAAAAAUUAAAAAUCAUCUAGUGAGCGAAAAGUUUCUGUCUUUUUCCAGCAGGAUCAAACAACCAUCACCAAGACUAGUUAGAAAGGUUUUGCUUGGCUCAAACACAAAAAGAAACACAAAAAACACAAUCAUAACAGAAUUAUGAUGGUGUGGAAGCAACAAAACAGAAAGAAAAAGAAAUAAAUUAUUUGGGUUGCCUCCCAACAAGCGCUAUUGUUUAACGCCCUUAGCUAGGCAUAAGCCGAUAGAAUCACGGAUCAUCGUGUUUGGUGCUCAAACCAUAAAUAGCAUGAUCACUUAUCAUCUUAAGGUUUUCAUCUUUCUUUCUAGAUGAUUCACCACUAUUUUUGGGAACAAAAACAAACUUGGUGACCUUAUUGUGGGCAAAGUUUGGAGCAAUCUGCACAGUGGCAAAAGUGGAACCCAAGUUGGUUAUAACGUCCUCUAGUUUGCCAAUCCUAGCGGAAUCAUGACCUAGUUUUUCGUUAACUGUGGCUUCCUUCUCCUUUAAAUUUUUCAAAACCAUUCUCACCUUGGAUCUGUACUGAGUUAUUUGAUUGUGGAUCUUUUUAUCCAAAUUCUCAAUGAGUUUUAUCGUAGCAACUUUAUUUUCAAUGACGUCCAGCCUACGCAUCACAUGUUCCAGACUUAAGGUAGUUCCAUUAACCAUGAGUGGGGGCGAGCCUACCAAAUUUGUUAAAGCUCCAUAAGAAUCAACGGUAUGGAUACCCAAGAAAUGUCCACCUACGAUGGUGUCAAGAAUAUAUCUAUUCCAAGGAGAAACACCCACAUAAAAACUACGAAGCAGGACGGUAGUGGAUUGCUUAUGAGUAGAUCUACUCUGAGCAUUGCAAAUCCUAUACCAUGCGUCCUUUAAGUUUUCUUCCUCAAUUUGUUUGAAAUUGAGAACUUCGCUCUCGGGAGUAUCGUUCGAAGUGGUGGAUCUAGCCAUGAGGACAGGUAGACUAGCCCACACAGACGAACAGAAAGCAAGCGAGAGAAAAGGGCAAACGAAAAGGCAAAUGAAAAAGGCAAAUAUUUGUUUGUAAAUUUUAGUUUUUCUGAAGUGGGGAGAGGAAAACGAGAGGCAAAAAAAUAAAUGCAAGAGAUGAGUUUGCAACACUUACUUGGAUGAGUUCUUGACUUGAUCCUCCCCGGCAACGGCGCCAGAAAUUCUUCUGCUACGGCGACAAAAAUCUUCUGUCGUCUCUUGAGCUUGUGUUGGUUUUUCCCUUGAAGAGGAAAGAGCGAUGCAGAACAGGAGAAGUAAAUAUUUCCCUCAGUUUAAGAACCAAGGUAUCAAUCCAGUAGGAGAAUCUCGUCAAGUCCAGAGUACCUGCGCAAACACAAAAGAGCUUGCACCCAACGCUAUAAAGGGGUUGUCAAUCCCUUCAAUAUUGAUUGCAAAGUGAGAUCUGAAGGCGGAAAGUGCAACGAAGAAAAAGAGUAAGGCUGAAAAUAUGGUUGGAGUAGACCCGGGGGCCAUAGUGUUCACUAGAGGCUUCUCUAAAAAUAGCAAAUAUUACGGCGGGUGAACAAAUUACUGUCGAGCAAUUGAUAGAACCGCGCAAAGUCAUGACGAUAUCUAAGGCAAUGAACAUACAUAUAGGCAUCUCGUCCGAGACAAGUAGACCGAUUCUUUCUGCAUCUACUACUAUUACUCCACACAUCGACCACUAUCCAGCAUGCAUCUAGUGUAUUGAGUCCAGGACGAAUAGAGUAAUGCCUUAAGCAAGAUGACAUGAUGUAGAGGGAUAAACUCAAACCAAUGAUGAAAACCCCAUAUAUUUACCCUUGAUGCCAACAACACGAUGCAUGCCUCGCUACCACUUCUGUCACAGGGUGAGGUCACCGCACGGUAUGAACCCAAAACCAUGCACUUCUCCCGUUGCAAGAAUCAUAGAUCUAGUUGGCCAAGCAAAACCCACAACUCGAAGAGAAUUACAAGGAUAUGAAAUUAUGCAUAAGAAAGAUCAGAAGAAACUCAUAUAAGAUUCAUAGAAAAUCUGAUCAUAAAUCCACAAUUCAUCGGAUCUCGACAAACACACCACAAAAGAAGAUUACAUCGGAUAGAUCUCCAUGAAGAUCAUGGAUAACUUUGUAUUGAAGGUCCAAUAGAGAGAAGAAGCCAUCUAGCUACUAGCUAUGGACUCGUAGGUCUAUGGUGAACUACUCACGCAUUAUCGGAGAGGUCAUGAUGUUGAUGAAGAAGCCCUCCGUAUCCGAUUCCCCCCUUCGGCAGGGCACCAGAACGUGCCCCAGAUGGGAUCUUGCGGAGAUAGAAGGUUGCGGCGGCGGAAAAGUACUUUCGAUGAUCUCCUGAUUUUUUCUGGGAUUUUUGGGAAUUAGUAGGCGAAAGACCUAGGGCAGAGGUGGCCCAGGGAGCCCACAAGCCUGGGAGGCGCGGCCCCCCUGCCCGUGGCUAGGGGGCUUGUGGGGUCCCUGCUGGCCCCCUUCUCAGAUUCUCAGGCUUCCCGAUCUUCUUCUGUUUCGGAAAAAAUAUUUUUGGCAGUUUCGUUCCGUUUGGACUCCGUUUAAAAUCCUCCUCUGAAAGGGGUCAAAAACAUGGAAAAAAACAGGAACUGGCAGUUGGCACUGAGUUAAUAAGUUAGUCUCAAAAAAGAUAUAAAAGGCAUACAAAACAUCCAAAGUUUGACAAGAUAAUAGCAUGAAACCAUCAAAAAUUAUAGAUACGUUGGAGAUGUAUCAGACAUCACUAGUGAACAUCAUGUGACUCAGGUCCAUAUCACCACCAUUGCUUACACCUCCACCAUUUACUGCUUUCAUUUACUUUUUCGUUGCAAUCACUAUCACUAUUCCCGCUUAUGUUUUCAUCCUUUGCAAACUACAAGGCCGGAGAGAUUGAUAACCUCUCUGUACUCGUUGGAGCAAAGUUAUUUGUUGUGUGUGCAGGUCCACGUCUUCUGCUAGCGCUAGAGCAACGGACACCUACUUUUUGAUCCUCGAAGUCCUCCUGGUUCGAUAAACCUUACAGUCCCCGUCUAAGGGAAAUCUCUUGUUGAAUACAUCUCCAUCUUCCACUUGGGAUAACCAACGAGGGGCGAGAAGUAUAUCCAUCAACUCGUCAUCAUGGCCCCGCCUGUCGGUGAGUCAUCUGUUGCCUCCGAGUGGCGUAGUCUCCCCUAGUGCGCUUUCUUCUCGGUAACGCGUAUUUUGGCCGAAGCAUUUUUCCUUGGUACGUAUGCCUCUCUGGAAAGCGUAUUUCGUCCAAAGUGUUUUCUAUUCCUUACCUUAAAAACAGAUUUGACCAGGAUCUUUAAAUGGCUCUAACUUUUUAAAGAAAACUCCAAAACAACUGAUUCUUUUUCCUACCUCUCUAAAAUCUCCUCUAGUUUAUUUACAAAUUUAUUUCAAAGAACUUCAAACAACUUUUAUGUGCUGUUUUAAAUUUGUGUGUUAAUUUAGAUAUUGUCAAAAUAGGAUUUGCAGAGAGGGGACUCACUUCAAGAAUUUGUUGUGCACAUCACACUCCUCAACUCCAAAGGCAAGCAUAUUGAACUCUUGUUUACAUAAAGUUGUGUGAUGUUUGUUGUGGUACAUCUAUUGCAUGAUUUAAGUUUGUGUUGAUAAAAUAUCGCAUGAAAUCAUACCUUGCACGACAACAUGUGAUGGAUAUUUUUUUUACUCAGUUUGUGGAUGGCGAGUGGUGAGUGGGUACUGCCUCAUACCUCGUAUGCUAUGUUGGUCUGGACAACCUCGGAGUAAGGUGUGUCAUAGUGGAAAUAAGACCAUGGGUUGACAUCUCGUGGGCAGAGAGUGGUCAGUGAAAGCUUGUUGGUGUUUGAUGGUAGUAACCCUCAAAUAAUACCUUCAGCAAGAUUGUGUGGUACUAACCCUUGCAGGAAAAUAUUAAACCUCCUAUGUCGACUGUAGUUCGAGUCUUGUCUAUGUGUCACCUUAACUUUCGUGCUACCGCGGGUCUCCUCGAAAGGGAAUACGGUCUAGUAGGUCGUAAAUCUAUUACCAGGUAGACACCAAGUAGAGAAGACGAGAUCAAGGUAUCCAUGGCCCUGGACUAAAUCCAGUCAUCCAGCCAGGGGGUAUGGGUGUCUCCGGUCUGGGACCGAGAGGGAAUGGCCAUUCCCUUGUAGCGCGUGGUAUAAAUUUGAUCCCAUGCUAGUCGAGGUUGGAGCCUCCCCCGUCUUAUGGUUUUCUCUCGCAGCGUAGUCCGAGUGAUGUCGGUAUUCAUGGGAGAAAAAUGGGUUUGUACUAGUUAUGAGUGUUUACUUCCAAAAUACCGUGUGUAGGAUUAGUCCGAGUGACUCUUGAAACCCGUGGGAUGUGGGUAAAGAGUACACCCUCUGCAGAGUCAAAACUAUUCGAGUAGUCGUGUCCAUGGUCAAGGACGAUUGGUUGACUAGUCAAGUGUCGGUUCGAGUGUCGAUCUUCGAAGGAAGUUAAUGACAUCGUGAGACAAAUCACGAAAUAUGGUGGAUGAUCAUAACUAUUGUUUUUAUUGUGGACUAAUCCCUUUGAUUAUGUUGGUUGAAUAUCCGUGGGAAGGUUCUACCUCCUGGAUAUUCAAUAUUUAUUAUUAUUUCUUAUAAGCCCUUUUUGUGGUGUCGCUUAGACGCCCGAUAGUGGCAUGCUCGUUAUUAUUUCUUAUAAGCCCUUUCUAUGAUGUCGCUUAGACGCUCGACUGUGGCAUGCUCGUAUUAUUUCUUAUAAGCCCUUUUUGUGGUGUUGCUCAGAUGCCCGAGUGUUGCAACUAUUAUUUCUUUCAUACAAGCACUUUCUGUGGCGUCGCUGAGACGCUCGACUCUGGCAACUUUUAUUACUUGCAUGUGAAUCCUUUAGGCGUAGUCGCUCUGACGCCCGACUGCGACACACAUGCGAUUACUUGUUCCUUGUUAUCCUUCCUUGCUUGUUUAUAUAACAUUGGUGGAGGAAGUUUGUAUGCACGAAUGCAUCCAUGAAUAAAUUCUUAUGGAAUGAUAGAGUUAUUUUAGUGGAGUAUGCAUGCAUCUCACCUGCUUUAACUUAUCAGUUUUCUUGAUGUUUGCGAGUACAUUCAAAGUACUCAUUGGCUUGUCCCUGGCUAUUGUCCUGGCCAGAUUGCACGGAGAGGAGCAUGAUGUUGUUGACACCGGAACCUAGGAGUCCAGGAUAGCAGCCUUGUGAGGUAGGAAUUUAUCCAAGUCAGUUGUUCCUUUGGGAAUGGAGUCCCAUGAACACUGGAGAUUCCUCGAGUUUCUUCCACAGUCAACCUUAGACUUUUGUGCAAACUAGUAGACCUUUAAGGUCUAGAAUAAUAAUGUUGAGAACUGAAAAUUACCUCCACGACCGCCGUGAAUAAUAUUAUUAUGACACAUCUGAUUAGUGACUCAGUUUUAAGAACACAACAUCUCCUCAUAUGGAUCCCAUUGUAACUACUCCCUCCGUCCCAAAAUUCUUGUCUUAGAUUUGUCUAGAUAUGAAUUUUCUAGACAAACCUAAGACAAGAAUUUUGGGAUGGAGGGAGUAAUAAGAAAAUGUGAACGACUCCUCGGCACUUUGAAUUUAAUAAUACGUAUGUCAGACAUAGGCAAGUCACUCGUCAUCGCAUGUGAGGAGAACGAUACGGUUUAGGGAAAACCAAUGAUGCCUUCGAAGUAAUGACCUUUCCUUGGGUACAUUCAUAAGAAGUUCAAGGAUCUCCACGAGAAUCCGGAUGCGUAUAUCCUCGCCCUCGAACUUACUGAUGAAAACAUGGUUGCACACCAACAAAUAUGACAAUUUAGCAUAGCUGAGCACGCUCCAGAAACAUAUAAGUAAAAGGGGAUGCUAACAAAGAGCUCUAAAGUAGAAAAGCGUCAUUUUAUAUGUUGCAAGCAAUAUAGCGAUAUAAAAGUAUGAUAUGUAUUACUCUUAUGGCAUGACUCUAAAGAAUAAAGAUAAGGAGGAAAAGAUUAUCAGUUGCCUUCAAGAUUUGCAGAUGUUUAGAAAUCACUUUAUAAAUAAAAUAAUAGAUAUGUGCAAUAAACUAUACAACCAGCCAAUAAACUAAAUUAACUCUAAAUCAAAGAAGUUCUAAAAUAGUACUAUUUAAAAAGUAGAUAUAAGUACAUAACAAACUCUUGUAGGUCAAAUAUAUAUAGUAAUACUAUUCAUCAUCGAGAGUGCAGAAUAAGUAAUUCUUCAUCAGAGAUAAUUUUACGAUUGUUUCAUAAAUGAAUUUCAUUUUCUAUACAAAUAGUAACAAGCAUAUUGGUUCAUUAUAUCGUUGGGUAGCUAUAGAAAAUGCGCAACUUCGCCAUGUUGAACACUUUUCGAGAUUCCUAACGGGUUAAGUGCACUUUCAAAAAUGUUGGGCACCCAACGACUGGCAGCGAGCGUAUUUUUGUGUUUUUUCUAAACCGCUGUGCCGGAAUGAAGCAAAUGAUACAGUGCUGGAAAGAUAUCAUCGAGGCACAACUUUUUCAUGUAGAACACACUUUCUAUUUCCUUAUGGUUCAAGAGCAGUUUCAAAUUUAGUGAAACGCACGAUUGUGUUUUUCAAAUUUUGUAAAUAUUUUCGUACGGUAUUCGCUCCAGUUUUUUUUCUCUUUUCGAGAAUCACAUAUUUUAUACCGAGUUGUGAUUCUCGUGCAUGCAAAUAUGUGCUUCCGCGAGAAAUAAAAUUGUGCUUUUCAUGGAAGCAUGUUUUUUCAUUUUCGAAGAAACAAAAGAAUUAAGUGCUUCCACAAGAGGCAAAUAGUGUUUCUUGUGCAAGCACUAUUUUUUCCUUUUAAAAAUAGUUGUGUUUGUUGCAAAAACAAAUCAUUGCUUCCCUUGGAAGCAUUGUUUUUGUCCUUUUCCAAGAAGCACACAUGUUUCAAAAAAAUUGAAUAACGUCUAGAAAUUACAAGAAAAUGAACAUUUAAUAAAUAUUGUUUGCAAUUUUGAAAAAUAAUUAGAGUCUAAGGACAAUUUUUUAUUUACAAAUCAUUUUUGAGUUAAUGUUCUUAUUUCGAACGGGUGAACAUUUUCAUGAAUUCAUGCACAUUUUUCUGAAUUCACCAAUAUUUUUUAAUACAUGAACUUUUUUUGAAUUCAUAACCAUUUAUUUGGAUCCAAGAACAUUUAUUUGAAUUCCACGACAUUGUUUUGACUUAAAAACCGACCUCGAUAAAAAAAGUAGGUAAAAACUAGACUAAGAAGAAAUAAUUGUGAAAAAAGAGUAUGUGAUCGUGUGCCAGAUGAUUAACUGAUAGCUAUGACGAUACGCUAAUACCAUUAAUGGUUGAUCUGGCGUUAGCACUCGCAUUGAGCGAUAUACAACAACACUUGAAGGCGUCUUCCUCUUCUUGGUUGACUUGUCCGACUGGCUACAAUUCUUAUUCCUCCUCCUCUAGUUCCUUCCCUAGGAUCCCCAAAUUCUCUAGUUCCUUGAUCCAACCACCUAAGGUUGUAAUCUGAGCUUGAUUGAGUGAACUAGUGUACUGGGUUGCCAACACAUUAUUUGGGUUUAUCUCAUCACCAUUUUACCAAAUAUAAACCGUGUAAGAAAUUACCCUAUAUAUAUAGGGUAAUGGGAUGUUACGAAUCCUCUAAUUUUAUUAUGCGAGGGCGAUGUUCUAGUGCCAUUCAAACAUGACAUUUGAGACUUACAGAGAAAAGUAUUCUGAGUACCUUCCUUUUAUUUAUUGAUUUAGAAUAGCAAAAACAAAACAAAAAGAUGAAUACAUGCGGAACAUGAAUAAAUUACCAUGAUAGAAUAGAAGCAUUUUCAAUUCGCGAAAAGAAGGAAUAAAUAGAUGCAUUUUCAAGCGGAUUUGGCCGAGGCGGGUGUAGGGGUAGAAGAAAUCAGCUUGCAUGUAUCGCGACACUUGUUAUCUGAGCUAUCCUUUUCCUUUGCGCAAUGCUUGAAGCAAUCCAUGUCUUGCUCUAUGGCUUUCUUAUUGGCGGGGGUGGCCAUGAUGUAGCCAAAUCUCGCAGCCAUGUAUGGGCAGUCGACGUAGCAGUGGUCGGUGCAAGUAGGAUCCAUGCAUGCCUUGUCGCAGUCGGCGCCACAUUGGGUAGAAUAGUCCUUGACAGUCUUGUCGCCUGGGCAGCCACCAUGCUUGUCGACGGAUUCUUUUAGGGCAUCCUGCCCUCCAGAAGUUUCUAGAUUAAAGACUUCUUCCUUCUUUUCCCCGACCUCGGCGAGCUCCGUGAACAAGUGCUCGAUGAAGGUGACGCUGGUUGCCUCAGUGUUGCAUGCCUUGUCCACCAUGGCGGUGCACGUGGCAUCCUUUUUUUCGCCCUUGCCACAGAGCUUGGAGUACUCGGUGAGGCAGGUGGGACUAGCCUUCUCAUGCCCUG